rnacentral:lncRNA from 1 species
AGACGCAAUUGGCCCAGUUGGCCCAAUUAUAGUCGGACGGUGACUGUGUGAGCCUCAGAAUUAUCCCACCUCGCUUAACUUUGGAGGAGGAAGCCACUUUAAAAGGGAGAGCCACCCUUCCCCCAUUGGACUAGUCUUUUGGGGUGAUUGGGCCUUUCCCUGAGUUGGGUGUGCUUAAUGAACUGUUGGGCUCCGGGCAACCCUAAAUUGUUGGGCCUUGGCCAACCCCACCUGGGCUGAGUGUAUCAUCUAGUAUUGGAGCUAGGGUCCAUUUUAAGAAGGUGGGAAUGCUGAGGACAUCCUCCACUAUUACCCGUUGGCAAAGACGCAAUUGGCCUAGUUGGCCCAAUUGUAGUCGGACGGUGAUCGUGUGAGCCUCAGAAUUAUCCCACCUCGCUUAACUUGGGAGGAGGAAGCCACUUUAAAAGGGAGAGCCACCCUUCCCCCAUUGGACUAGUCUUUUGGGGCGAUUGGGCCUUUCCCAGAGUUGGUGUGCUUAAUGAACUGUUGGGCUCCGGGCAACCCUAAAUUGUUGGGCCUCGGCCAACCCCACCUGGGUUGAGUGUAUCAACAACCGUGUGUGCGCACACACAGAAGGCCUGUAGUUUCGUCGCGGCACCGUCAGUUUUAGUCAUAACGCCAUUACCAAACAUAACCAAUAAGAAAUCUCACGUGGCACAAAUAGACUAAGCCAGGAUGACAAUAUACAAAAGAGACUCCACUUGUAAGAAUGAUUACAAGCAGAAAGCCAAAUAUAUCAUGGCCCGAUGGAAUGAACAAGGCAUGACCAUAACCAAAAUUGGAUGAUCAAGGGAGUACGAUGGGAGACUGUUAAUUUAGCCCCAAGCAUAUUUCUAUGUCCAUCAUAAAGAUUACAAGGUCAAGGAUUAGUAUCUGACUAGACAUGGAGAGAAAAACAAUCAUAAGAUUAAGUUGGUAUGCCUUCGAUAGAUAUGGGGAAACCAAAGGCAUCAAACUCAAGAAAAUGAUCGGACAUGCCUUUCCUAGGUUAGGUUGGUAAAGCGACAAUGCAAUCCUUAAGAACAGGCGAACUGGAUAAGGUACAUCAGCUUGUGCCAAUCGAAGAAGGGCAUGAUCGAGGAUGGAAAUAUGACAACUAAAACGUCACAGAUUAAAUAGCGAGAACACGGACUCGAGAUCCUAGCUUUAAGCUCAUGCACAUUUUACGUUGGAUAAAGAAAUCAUCCAAACAUCCAUUUGUGUUUAGUCAUGGAGUGAUAAUGGAGAAUUCAAACUUUGGGUCAUGGUUCACUAAAUACAAACAUGGCCUAGUUUUGGGUUUAGACAAACAAGCCACAAACAUUCUAUCGGCACAUCAAGUACAAGAGCAAGCACAUAUAACACCUAAAUAGAUUACCUAAAGAACGGAGGACAACUAUUUCAUUGACGUUCAUAAUACAACAUUACCUACAAUCACUGGUUACUGGAAUAAAGAUGAGAGAAGCAACUUGGGUGUAUAGGUGACAAACAUGAUGCAACAAUCAAGAUUCAUGCUCGUCCUAUGCGUCCUCACAAAUUUUCGCCAAUCUAAUGUGGUAAUAGAGUUCUAUAUCGGUGGCAUACUUACGACUCUCUCGGUAUUUUGCUAGUCGUCAGCUACACAUACGUUUUCAGGGUUAGUGUACCUACAGAAAAUUCCAUCACAGCCCAAUUUCCCAUGAUGCAAGAUCCACACAUGACAGUUUAUCACAAUUUAUACUUCAUAUAUUUCUAUAUGGAGGCCAGCUCUUCAUUAAGCGCCGAGCCACGCAUAGGUGUCGCUGCCACACUUUAACCAUAGGGCAGCCCAUUAUGGUAACUCACUGUGACACCCCAGGUGUCUAUUUCAUGUUAUGUCAGGAGAUUUAUCCUAAUAUCGUAUGCUCAGUGAAAAUUUCUAUUUCUCGCUUGCGUAUGUCUCUGAUUAUCCAGACUAUUCAUUCACAUUUCACUGAAUUCGGAGUUAUUCGAUCGCGAGAAACAGCCAAUUUUGGAGUCUGUUAAAACUUUUAAUUCUCGGCACGAAUGCAAACUCGAUAAUCAAUCUCAUAUAUCAAUCUCGUCUAAAGCUUAUUUAAUCAAGCGCUUGACAGUUCCUAGUCAAGCUGUGUACGAAUCCGAUUCCUCGACCUUUGAUCUAUGUCCAAAGUUUAAUCCAAAUCCGUACUCUCAAAUGGAAUACUCAGUAUGUCGUCCUCUAAUUAAUUCUUACUCGACUCAGCCUAGCACCGUUGCGUCUAAACUGAAUUCAAAACCCACUCCGGCAGCGAUUUUAAAAUGUCACGAUUCGCCUUCUCCGACUAAAAAUCCAAGGCCGUUCAAAAGUUUGAGAGAAACAUUGUUUCUAAAAUAGUGCGCGAGAAAAUUUCAACACAAAAUCUCCAAUGUGUUGUCCUCAAAUAUAGUCUUAUCCGACUCGGCUUAUUACCUCUGUGUUCGGUCCGAAAUUCGAAAAUCAACAUCGGCCAAGAUUUUCAUUAAUCCAACUCGCUUUAUUUCGAUGCCGAAUCCGAAGCCGAUCGACCUCAAGUCUUUUAUUUUUAUUUGUGCACGAGGAAUUAUUUCCAGGAGAAGUCAAAUCAGACUCUCGGCCGAAUUAAUCGCUCAAUCUUUCGUUCGUCCGAACUCUAAUUCACUCUGUUCUGCGUACAGACGAAUUCCACAGGAGCAUUUUUGUUCCAAAGGAAUAAAUAGCGCAGCCUGACUGAGUGUUUUGGGCCAGCCCAGCCUAGCCCACUAAGAAACCCUAACCCUAGGGCUUCUCUAUAAAUAGGAGCCCUCUCCCUUGCAAAUUGGCUUUUAUUCAUCUACCCCCCUAGCCACCACCUCCUUUUUUUCCCUGUCCCUUUCUUCCUCACGGCAGCAGCCCGCGCUCCUCCUCCCACACGGCAGCGCGCAGGGAGCUCCCUCUCCUCCCAUGGCGUCCUGCCCUUCUCCCCCUUGACUCCAACUUCCUCGACGCCCCCUUCUCCUUCUCCCUCGCGCAGCAGCACCCGGCGCCCCCUUUUCCUCCUCCCUGGUUCCCACGGCUGCCAGCAGGUCCUUCUCCCAUGGUGCUCGGCGCCCCUGCAGCAGGGAGCUCGGCUCUUCCCCUCCCAGGGCGCCACCUUUUCCCUCGGCGCCUCCCCCCAGCGAGACCUCCCAUGGCCGACCUCCACUUUCCCUGUCCAUGGCUGUUGUUCCAUGCGCCCUACUUUUUUUCUCUCCCAUAGAAAGCAGCAGGAGCAAUGCCGCCCGGGUCUAGGCCCCUGCUACUCCUCUCUUCCCCACAAAACAGCAGCCGCAGCGAGCUCGCUGUCGUCCAUGGCGCCCCCCUGCAAUCUUCCCCCUUGGCUAUUUGACGGAAUGCCCGUGGGAAAUAUUGUGUUGUGCGCAGCAGCCCCGACAUCUCCACGCUCUGUCUGCUCGCUGUUUUGUGAAGCCAGUGGACAGCACGCCGUGAUGCCCGUCGGGUGUUUGCUGUUUUUAUGCAGCCCCAACGUCGUCGUCGUUCACCCUCGGUGAGACCACGACGAUCCUUAUUCGAUUCCGCAUCGGCGUUGUUUUCCAGUGAUUAAUUGUGUAUGUGUGCUGUUUUGUUUUGUUUUGUUUUGUGGAGGAGAGGAAGCCCGUGUUUUGCGUGAAGGAGAAGGCAAGCCGCCCAACGCUCGUCGAUGUUCGGAGCGAUGCACAAAUUGGAAUCGACAUCAUUCUCACAAACACCGAUUGAGUUUAUUUAUGGUGAGCCGGUGCAUGUCGCUCUCGAUUGACUCGAUUAAUAACUUAUAUAGACGUGGUUGAAAUGUUUCGGUGGUAGGUCAUAGUAUGGUUGUGUUCAUGAUUUCAAGUUAGAGAUUGGUGGUUUACGAUUCGUAUAAAUUGGUCGAUGUUGUGCAUGUGUGUGUAUAUGUGUAAAAAAUGUAUUGGUAUGGAUUGAAGUUUGUGGCGAAAGAAAACGAGUUAGAAAUAUGGCUCGGAUGUUUUUAAGUUUCGGUAAGAUUGUAUUUGAUGUGUGGUUUGCUGUUAGGAUAAUUUUAAAAUGCCGGUUAUGUUGUGAGAAAUGCAUCGAUAGAAAUUUAUGUGAGGAGUAAGUUUGGAAAUACAAGUUAUGUGAGGAUUGAAUUAGUACACAUAGGCGUGUGUGUGCCGUGGUGUGUUAUUGUAGUGGUGGCGUAAGAUAUUUGAUUGAGGUGUGCGGGUAUAUGCCGUAAUAUGGUUAUACCCGUGACGAGGAAAAAUGUAUGCAUUGGGUAACACGACGCUUAGGUCGCUAUUGUAUAAUCGAAUAAAGGAUGUAUUAUUGAGCUUGAGUCAAAAUGUGGGGUACUAGUGAUACGCUAGGCAGGCGGUGUUCCAAAUAAAUAAAUCGGUUGAUGUGGUAGUUGUCGUGCGUGAUUUAUUGUUAGUGAGUAGUUGAACUACGAGUUAUGUGAGAAUCAUGUUAGAAACUAGUGUGCAACGUGUAAUUGUGUUCGUGUAGUGAAUAAUAGGUCAGUAGGUAUCGUUGGUGUCAUUGGCAAAUGGGGAUCAUUCCUGUUGUGCGAUAAAUUUUGAAAGGCAAAGAACAUGAGUAGUGUGUCGAUCAAGUUAACCGAUAGGUUCUGUAAACACGCUUGUGAUGCUUUUAUGUGCAUGAUAAGAUCGAUGCCUUGUCGUCGUAGUCUCAGGAAAUUUUCUGAAAUGUGCUAGUGCUCUACUGAUGGGGUUAAAUGAACUUGAGAUGUAUUACAAUAGCUGUGUGUCGCGCAGGUUAUCCAAAAAUGGCGAAAGGUGGUGUAUGUUGGUAAUUGGGAAAUAGUCACGUCAUAAGCCAACUCGUGUUAAGCAGAAGUCGAUUGCGUUAAGUGAUUGUUAUAUACAUGUUGUGUCUCGGAUUUCGAUAAUAAUAGGCUAGUCGACAAGUAUGUUGUAUAGCGGCCUAGGGUGUUGCCUUGGUUAACCAACUUGUUAGAUGGCUUUAGUUAAGCUCGUAGUCACGAUGAAUUGCUUGUUGUCGUCUAAAUGCGUAUGGUUAUGGUCGCGGAUGAAAAGUAGUAGUGCUUAUGUGAUGUCUAAGUUAAAAUGCAAACUAUUGGGUGAAAAGCGCUUCGAUAUUGAUUAUCGUAGAUAAUGCGUUGUUAAUUGAGUAUGGUACUUCUAGUGCUCGAAAUGACUCGGAUAAAUAUUAGUAAGUCUACUUGUUAGUCCCCAUUUGAUUAAUUUAACUCUAACAAAUGGUAAAGUGUUAGAAUAAUUCAAGUCUCUAAAACGCGACAAUUCUUGAAGUAAAUAGGGGCUGGAAAUUAUUAGUUGUCGUUUUGGACUGCACGCAGUGAAUUCCUCGUGUUGUAUGUUUGAUGGACUAAAUUAUGUUUUCUGUAGAAAAGCAAUAUUGUAGAUAACUUUAUUAUCUUACUUGCGUUAAAAUUUGACAGUCAUAAGUCUGAUCGUUUGGGAGUUAUACUUUUCGCAAAUUCGGUAACUGAAUUUGUCCACUUUCUGCACAGAUUUCAGAAACUGCAUUGUUUGCUUAAUUUAAUGUUGCAAUCAGUUCAUGGUCGUUAUAAUAAAGUUGUAGAUGUUUUUCUUAUAUUGCUUGUGUUAAAAUUUCAUAACCAUAGGCCUGAUAGUUUAAGAGUUAUGAAUUUUACAAACUGGUUGCUAUAUUAUGUCCACUGUCAGAACAGAUUUCGAAAACUGUAUUGUUUGAUUCAGUUAAGCAUAGAAUCACUUCUUGGUGAUUAUAAAAGUUAUGUAGUGCUUUUGCCAAGCUUUCCAAAAAGUCUUGGAUCACUCUUUUUGGUGGUCUGAAGAUUAAGUUAUGGAUGUUUAAAGUGUGAAGACUGAAUCUGCCCAGUUUUGGACAGCAAAGCCUUCAUAGUGUAUUUUACCCUUAAUACAUAUUAAAUCAACCGAAGAUGUUUAUAAAUAUUUUGUUGACAAUUUCAUUAGCUUUCCAAAAAGUCUAGGAUCAAUUUAUUUGGAUGCCUAAAUCUUAGUUGUGAAUUUUUAAAGCUUUCCAAAAAGUCCUCCUUUGCUAUUUUUAGAUUAAUAUUUAAAGAGUUAUGAUUAAAACGAUUAACUGCUGUGUUGCUGUCCAAAAAUCUGCAAGUGCGCAUUUAAUUGUUUAGUUCACCCUUUUGGCUAAAAAUGCUUAAUUAGCACUUAACGGACAUAGACUUGUAACAGCUAAGCUUGAGAUAACAUGUAUGUCCUGUUUUAUAUGUUUCUUUCUCUAGUUGAUUGUGAUAUAGGGGUUCUGUAGACAUUGAUGCAUAUGCCCUCUGUUAAACUUGUGUUGGGAUGAUUUUGUGUGAUUAAUAGAAGAACUAAUGAAAAGCCGUAGCAAAUUAAAAAAUGCUCAUACUUGUGAUGUCAUGUUUGUGUUGGUUAAGUAUAGUAAGUGUCGUCAACUUUCCAGUGGUAGUGACUACGUAUGCCUGAUGACGUGUAGAUAACUAAUGCUAACGUGUGGUUGUUUAUGGUGUCUUCCAAUUUAUUGUUAGUUCGCCACUGUGUCUUUGUAUAUCUUGUGGUAUUUUUCAUUAUAUUCAUACAUAUGCAUCUUGCUUCUCAUUUAGGACCGAGAGAUGAUGAUCGUGCAAGUGAUGUGGUGCCAACCACAAGAUAUAGUUGGUGGACGACCUAAGGAAGGAUGGACAUACCCAGUGGCUGCUCGCCAAGCGAGUAUCCCACAGCAAACACUAUCUAUGUGUUGAAUUCCAAGCAAGCAUCGAUUUUAUGCAUAACCGUUAAAUAUGCUAUUUUACUGCACUUAAUGUUUGUAGGCUUGUACUGUGCACUUAAGUGUAGGAGUUGCAUGAAUCCCUAGCUGCAUGAUUUCAGGAUUCCUUUUGAGAUGGAUACUAGUAUGCUAGGUCGAGUAGUUGCUUUGCUAAUUAGGGAUCUCGGAAGAAGUCGAGUGAUUUUUCUAGUACUCGCGCGAGGUCAGGAUAUGGUUGUAUCUAUUUUGAUAACAGAAUGAUGAUGGUUUGUGGACACAGAUCCAAGGGGAUGCGUUGUCUACGAGACGAAAUUGGAAUAAGGAUUAAGGUGUGGUACCUCUGUCAAGCGUUUGAACAUACUAAACACAUGUCGAGAAAUAUGGUAAAUCGACAAGCCUAGUACCUGAGUGAACCUGCCCACAUAUUGCCCUCCUCACGUGACUUGAGAUGUGGUCUCCCAUUCCAGUUAUGGUGGGUACAAGUGCGGUCACCGCACGACGGCAGUCGGGGUCAGUGAGGCAUUGUACGCCAAGGCGGUGAGCCCCUUUCUGUUGACGGGGAAUCGAUGGGGACGGUUGAUGUGUGUGGGGACGGAGUGCCUCGCCACGUCGUGUGUUUAGGUUUACCUUGCAAGGUUAAAAACUCGAUUCGAAUCGUCUGCUUCUCGCAGCUAAUGAGACUGCUUGAUCCAUUGUAUUGUAUUGAGUAAGAAGUGGAAUAAGGUGACAGUCAAAGGAUAUUGAUUGAAACAAUGUUUGACACCAUGUAUGAAUAGCUAGGUAUUCAUCUAGUCUAAAGGAUUACACUAAAACUUGAAAAGUUAAAACUUGUUUUUAGACUCAGCUAGUGCUUUUGGCAAAACAAACCCCUCAGCCAAACAACUACAUGGUCUAGAGGUAGAGGAGUAGAUUUCUCACACCGGGUAAGUCUAGCUGAGUAUUAGUAUACUCAGCCUUGCUUGUGGCAUAAUUUUUGCAGGUACUCCUUAGGAUGAUUGGUUGCUGGUGUGACUUGGCCUUCAUCCCUGCCGCCGGGAUAGAUGGUCGAGAGGGUUACUGCUUCCGCAGGAGAGGACCAGGAGGAGUAGCGUGGCCAGGCUUCACUAUGUUACUCGGUUUUCUCCGUUAGUUAUUUCCGCUACAUUAAAAUUAUGGUUAUUAUUUCUGAAACUCCGAUAUUGUAAUCACUAUUGAUACUUCUUAAAUUUGUGGUAUUAUGCUUUAUUGUAUUUCUCUGUGCCUCACCUUCGAGUGAGCUAGUGGUAUUCUAUCCUGGAUAAGUGGCUUUAUCGGACUAGAUCCGAGGGACUGACGGGUUAUUCCGAUUUAAGUGUGUCAUUGCCUUUAAGGGUGCAAUUUGGGCACUUAAGUUGGAAUAAUUCAGGCGGUUCCGCCACAGCUGGUAUCGAAGCGAAUACCAUUAAAGAGAAGUCAAUAAGUCAUGAUUCCAACCUUUUCUAAAUUAAAACUUGCUUAGAAACUAAAGUUGGAUAGAUGUCAGGACGAUAAGGAUAGACCUAGGACGUGAAACCUUAGGAGAUAGAUGGGUAGCUAGCUAGGUGGCUAUAUUUAUAUAGGACAUAAAGGCUACUACUACUACUACUACUAAUAGGAAGGAUGCUGUAGAAGCACCCAAAAAAAUAGUUAGGUCUGAGAAGACGACUAGAAUGAGCAUGCAUCAUGAUUCUUGCAUUAUAAUUGUCUCUUGUGCACCAACAUGCUUCUCUCACCUUUAUUCCAAUAAUAAGAAAUUGUGAAUAUUGUGUUGUAUUGCUAUGAACUGCAAAAAAUGCCUUAUCUCUUGCCUAAUUAGUAAGUCUUGCUAGGUUGUGUUAUGUGUUUCUCUUGCCUUGCUAUCUAGGUGGUAUUGUAAAUGUUCAACCCUUUUUGUAAAAAAAAUUGUUGCUUGUUCUGUUCAUAAAAAGACCCCCAUCCAAACAACCUUGAGUUUAACAAGUGAAACCUCAAAAAAUAUUUUCAUUCUUAUGUGGGUAUUUUCUAACCCUUGUGUGUUUUACCCUGAAGUUGCACCUACACAACUUGUAGACCCCCAUAGCUUAACCGCUAGACCAACCCAAGUCUCCUUGUGCACUUGUUACGUCAAAAAAAUUGUUGUUUGGUGUCUAGUUGCACAAACCCUAUCAAGGCCAUGUUUCAUUCCAUAAAUCCUUGCCCCCUAAAACUUCCUAGCAUUUCUGUUGAUCAUCCUAGCUGAUCUUGCUUGAUGACCUCUCUUUUUCACCUAGAUCUAGUAAUCUUUUCUUUUCCUUUGUGAAUCGUGUUGUGGCUUAUCAUCCGAAUCUCCGGAUCCCCUAUUGAUCCUGCCCUACUAUCUAGAUAUCUGCUAUAACUCGUUCUCAAGUAUCAGAUGUUGAUCUACCUAAAUCUCUCAAUUAUGGUCAUUCUCAUACCCCUUCUCCGAGGAUUAUGACGUUGUUUUAUCAAUUUUAUCUCUAAACAGUGUAUCCAUUUGGUUCAAGGGAUUUUUGUUGUCAUCUUGUGGUUCUCUCAUGUCUCUACAAGUUCAUCAACAUGAUCUCUUGAGUGCUUCCUUCUCAUAUCCCAUAUCAUACUAAUCUCUGGCCUGAUAAUCUCCGUGUUGAUCAUAAAAUAGUUCUCUGAGUUGAAGAAAAUUCUCAUGUGAUGCUCUUUCGCCAGCAAUCUCUACUUCAACUCCGGUCACAUUCUUAUUUUCUGAGCCAUACUAUCAUGGGCUCCAUCUAUCUAUGCUAUAUGGAUUUCUCAUCGGUUGCGUAUGGUAAUGGUGUUAUGACUAACGACUGAUGGUGCCACAACCAAACCGAGAGCCUACUAUGGUGCACACAUGGUUGAGCUGCUCGGCACACACUGGUAUCGCGGUUAAUAGUCGUGAUCCAUUAUGGGACUAUAUCGAUGUGCUAUCUUUUGUGGACAUUCUCUCAAAGUGAUCGCUACAUUUUAUCUCAAUAUGUCACGAUAUUCUAUCCAAAUCUGUCAUCAAUAUCUUGUUAGAUCCCUUCUCAUAAAUUUGCAUAUAUCUCCAGCCUUGGAGUUACAUGCUUCUCCACCCUUGAAGAUCCUCAUUCGAAUCUCGGGACAAGAUUCUUUUAAUGGGAAAGGCUGUGACACCCCAGGUGUCUAUUUCGUGUUAUGUCGGGAGAUUUAUCCAAACCUCGGAUUAUCAAUUUUAGAGUAUGUUAAAACUUUUAAUUCUCGUCACGAAUGCAAACUCGAUAAUCAAUCUCAAUUUAUCAAUCUCGUCUAAAGCUCAUUUAAUCCAGCGCUCGACAGUUGCUAGUCGAGCUGUGUACGAAUCUGAUUCCUCGACCUUCGAUGUAUGUCCAAAAUUUAAUCCAAAUCCGUACUCUCAAACGGAAUACUCAGUAUGUCGUCCUCUAAUUAAUUCUUACUCGACUCAGCCUAGCACCGUUGCGUCUGAACCGAAUUCAAAACCCACUCCGGCAGCGAUUUUAAAAUGUCACGAUUCGCCUUCUCCGACUAAAAAUCCAAGGCCGAUCAAAAGUUUGAGAGAAACAUUGUUUCUAAAAUAGUGCGCGAGAAAAUUUCAAAGCGAAAUCUCCAAUGCGUUGUCCUCAAAUAAAGUCUUAUCCGACUCGGCUUAUUACCUCUGUGUUCGAUCCGAAAUUCGAAAAUCAACAUCGGCCACAAUUUUCAUUAAUCCAACUCGCUUUAUUUCUAUGCCGAAUCCGAAGCCGAUCGACCUCAAGUCUUUUAUUUAUAUUUGUGCACGAGGAAUUAUUUCCGGGAGAAGUCAGAUCAGACUCUCGGCCGAAUUAAUCGCUCAAUCUUCCGUUCGUCCGAACUCUAAUUCACUCUGUUCUGCGUACAGACGAAUUCCGUAGGAGCAUUUUUAUUCCAAAAAAAUAAAUAGCGCAGCCCGAUUGAGUGUUUUGGGCCAGCCCAGCCCAGCCCACUUAAAAACCCUAACCUUAGGGCUUCUCUAUAAAUAGGAGCCCUCUCCCUUGCAAAUUGGCUUUUAUUCAUCUAUCCCCCUAGCCGCCACCUUCUUUUUUUCCCUGUCUCUUUCUUCCUCACGACAGUAGCCCGCGCUUCUCCUCCCACACGGCAGCACGCAGGGAGCUCCCUCUCCUCCCAUGGCGUCCUCCCCUUCUCCCCCUGGGCUCCAGCUUCCUCGACACCCCCUGCACCUUCUCCCUCGCGCAGCAGCGGCGGGCGCCCCCUUUUCCUCCUCCCUGGUUCCCAUGGCUGCCAGCAGGUCCUUCUCCCAUGGCGCUCGAGCCCUGCAGCAGGGAGCUCGGCUCUUCCCCUCCCAGGGCGCCACCUUUUCCCUCGGCGCCUCCCCCCAGUGAGACCUCCCAUGGCCGACCUCCACUUUCCCUGUCCAUGGCUGCUGUUUCCUACACCCUACUUUUUUUUCUCCCAUGGAAAGCAGCAGGAGCAAUGCCGCCCAGACCUAGGCCCCUGCUCUUCCUCUCUUCCCCACAAAACAGCAGCUGCAGCGAGCUCGCCGUCGUCCAUGGCGCCCCCCUGCAAUCUUCCCCCUUGGCUGUUCGACGGAAUGCCCGUGGGAAAUAUUGUGUUCUGCGCAGAGCGCAGCAGCCCCGACAUCUCCGCGCGAUGUCGACUCGCUGUUUUGUGAAGCCAGUGGACAGCACGCCGUGAUGCCCGCCGGGUGUUUGCUGUUUUUGCGUAGCCCCAACGUCGUCGUCGUUCACCCCCGGUGAGACCGCGACGAUCCUUAUUCGAUUCCGCAUCGACAUUGUUUUCAUGUGAUUAAUUGUGUGCUGUUUUGUUUUGUUUUGUGGAGGAGAGGAACCCCGUGUUUUGCGUGGAGGAGAAGGCAAGCCACCCAACACUCAUCGAUGUUUGGAGCGAUGCACAAAUCAGAAUCGCCAUCGUUCUUACAAACAUCGAUUGGGUUUGUUUAUGGUGAGCCGAUGCAUGUCGCUCUCGAUUGACUCGGUUAAUAAAUUAUAUAAACAUGGUUGAAAUGUUUCGGUGGUAGGUCAUAGUAUGGUUGUGUUCAUGAUUUUGAGUUAGAGAUUGGUGGUUUAUGAUUCGUAUAAAUUGGUCGAUGUUGUGCAUGUGUGUGUAUAUGUUUAAAAAAUGUAUUGGUAUGGAUUGAAGUUUGUGGCGAAAGAAAACGAGUUAGAAAUAGGGCUCGGAUGUUUUUAAGUUUCGAUAAGAAUGUAUUGAUGUGUGGUUUGCUGUGAGGAUAAUUUUAAAAUGCCGGUUAUGUUGUGAGAAAUGGAUCGAUAGAAAUUUAUGUGAUGAGUAAGUUUGGAAAUACAAGUUAUGUGAGGAUUGAAUUAGUACACGUAGGUGUGUGUGUCAUGGUGUGUUAUUGUAGUGGUGGCGUAAAAUAUUUGAUUGAGGUGUGCGGGUGUAUGCCUUAAUAUGGUUAUACUCGCGACGAGGAAAAAUGUAUGCAUUGGGUAACACGACGCUUAGGUCGUUGUUGUAUAAUCGAAUAAAGGAUGUAUUAUUGAGCUUGAGUCAAAAUGUGCGGUACUAGUGGUACGCUAGGCAGGCGGUGUUCCAAAUAAAUAAAUCGGUUGAUUUGGUAGUUGUCGUGCGUGAUUUAUUGUUAGUGAGUAGUUGAAUUACGAGUUAUGUGAGAAUCAUGUUAGAAACUAGUGUGCGGCGUGUAACUGUGUUCAUGUAGUGAAUAAUAGGUCAGUAGGUAUCGUUGGUGUCAUUGGCAAAUGGGGAUCAUUCCUGUUGUGCGAUAAAUUUUGAAAGGCAAAGAACAUGGGUAGUGUGUCGAUCAAGUUAACUGAUAGGUUCCGUAAACACGCUUGUGAUGCUUUUAUGUGCAUGAUAAGAUCGAUGUCUUGUCGUCGUAGUCUCAGCAAAAUUUUCUGAAAUGUGCUAGUGCUCUACUGAUGGGGUUGAAUGAACUUGAGAUGUAUUACAAUAGCUGUGUAUCGCGCAGGUUAUCCAAAAAUGGCGAAAGGUGGUGUAUGUUGGUAAUUGGGAAAUAGUCACGCCAUUAGCCAACUCGUGUUAAGCAGAAGUCGAUUGCGUUAAGUGAUUGUUAUAUACAUGUUGUGUCUUGGAUUUCGAUAAUAAUAGGCUAGUCGACAAGUAUGUUGUAUAGCGGCCUAGGUUGUUGCCUUGGUUAACCAACUUGUUAGAUGGCUUUAGUUAAGCUCGUAGUCACAAUGAAUUGCUUGUUGUCGUCUAAAUGCGUAUGGUUAUGGUCGCGGAUGAAAAGUAGUAGUGCUCAUGUGAUGUCUAAGUUAAAAUGCAAACUAUUGGGUGAAAAUCACUUCGAUAUUGAUUAUCAUAGAGAAUGCGUUGUUAAUUGAGUAUGGUACUUCUAGUGCUCGAAAUGACACGGAAAAACAUUAGUAAGUCUACUUCUGGUUGAUGUGUUAUGUCCACUGUUAGAACAGAUUUCGAAAACUGUAUUGUUUGAUUCAGUUAAGCAUAGAAUCACUUCUUGGUGAUUAUAAAAGUUAUGUAGUUCUUUUGCCAAGCUUUCCAAAAAGUCUUGGAUCACUCUUUUUGGUGGUCUGAAGAUUAAGUUAUGGAUGUUUAAAGUGUAAAGACUGAAUCUGCCCAAUUUUGGACAGUAAAGCCUUCGUAGUGUAUUUUACCCUUGAUACAUAUUAAAUCAACCAGAGAUGUUUAUAAAUAUUUUGUUGACAAUUUCAUUAGCUUUCCAGAAAGUCUAGGAUCAAAUUAUUUGGAUGCCUAAAUCUUAGUUGUGAAUUUUUAAAGUCACAAGUCUGAAUCUGUCCAAAUCUGGACAGUGCUGUUGUGUUAACACUUUUUGACCUUGCUAAGUGUCGAAUCAUGUUGAGGUAAAAAUACCAAAGUUGUAGUUCACUUUUUAAGCUUUCCAGAAAGUCCUACUUUGCUAUUUUGGAUUAAUAUUUGAAGAGUUAUGAUUAAAACGAGUAACUGUUGUGCUGCAGUCCAAAAAUCUGCAAGUGCGCAUUUAAUUGUUUAGUUCACCCUUUUGGCUAAAAAUGCUUAGUUAGACAUGUAACGGCUAAGCUUGAGAUAACAUGUAUGUCCUGUUUUAUAUGUUUCUUUCUCUAGUUGAUUGUGAUAUAGGGGUUCCGUAGACAUUGAUGCAUAUGCCCUCUGUUAAAUUUGUGUUGGGAUGAUUUUGUCUGAUUAAUAGAAGAACUAAUGAAAAGCCGUAGCAAAUUAAAAAAAUGCUCAUACUUGUGAUGUCAUGUUUGUGUUGGUUAAGUAUAGUAAGUGUCGUCAACUUUCUAGUGGUAGUGACUACGUAUGCCUGAUGACGUGUAGAUAACUAAUGCCAACGUGUGGUUGUUUAUGGUGUCUUCCAAUUUAAUGUUAGUUCGCCACUAUGUCUUUGUAUAUCUUGUGGUAUUUUUCAUUAUAUUCAUACAUAUGCAUCCUGCAUCUCAUUUAGGACCGAGAGAUGAUGAUCGUGCAAGUGAUGUGGUGCCAACCACAAGAUGCAGUUGGUGGACGACCUAAAAAAGGAUGGACAUAACUAGUGGCUGCUCGCCAAGCGAGUAUCCCCCAGCAAACACUAUCUAAGUGUUGAAUUCUAGGCAAGCUCCGGUUUUAUGCAUAACCAUUAAAUAUGCUAUUUUACUGCACUUAAUGUUUGUAGGCUUGUACUGUGCACUUAAGUGUAGGAGUUGCAUGAAACCCUAGUUGCAUGAUUUCAGGAUUACUUUUGAGAUGGAUACUAGUAUGCUAGGUCGAGUAGCUGCUUCGCUAAUUAGGGAUCUCGGUAGAAGUCGAGUGAUUUUUCUAGCACUCGCGCGAGGUCAGGAUUUGGUUGUAUCCAUUUUGAUAACGGAAUGAUGAUGGUCUGUGGACACGGAUCCAUGGGGAUGCGUUGUCUACGAGACGAAAUUGGAAUAAGGAUUAAGGUGUGGUACCUGUGUCAAGUGUUUGAACGUACUAAACACAUGUCGAGAAAUAUGGUAAAUCGACAAGCCUAGUACCUAAGUGAACCUGCCCGCAGAUUGCCCUCCUCAUGCGACCUGAGACAUGGUCUCCCAUUCCGGUUAUGGUAGGUACAAGUGCGGUCACCGCACGACGGCAGUCGGGGUCAGUGAGGCAUUGUACGCCAAGGCGGUGAGCCCCUUUCUGUUGACGUGGAAUCGAUGGGGACGGUUGAUGUGUGUGGGGACGGAGUGCCUCGCCACGUCGUGUGUUUAGGUUUACCUUGCAAGGUUAAAAACUCGAUUCGAAUCGUCUGCUUCUCGCAGCUAAUGAGACUGCUUGAUCCAUUGUACUGCAUUGAGUAAGAAGUGGAAUAAGGUGACAGUCAAAGGAUAUUGAUUGAAAUAAUGUUUGACACCAUGUAUGAAUAGCUAGGUAUUCAUCUAGUCUAAAGGAUUACACUAAAACUUGAAAAGUUAAAACUUGUUUUUAGACUCAGCUAGUGCUUUUGGAAAAACAAACCCCUCAGCCAAACAGCUGCAUGGUCUAGAGGUAGAGGAGUAGACUCCUCACACCGGGUAAGUCUAGCUGAGUAUUAAUAUACUCAGCCUUGCUUGUGGCAUAAUUUUUGUAGGUACUCCUUAGGAUGAUUGGUUGCUGGUGUGACUUGGCCUUCAUCCCUGCCACCGGGAUAGACGGUGGAGAGGGUUACUGCUUCCGCAAGAGAGGACCAGGAUGAGUAGCGUGGCUAGGCUUCGCCAUGUUACUCGAUUUUCUCCGUUAGUUAUUUCCGCUGCAUUAAAAUUUAUGGUUAUUAUUUUUGAAACUCUGAUAAUGUAAUCACUAAUGAUACUUCUUAAAUUUGUGGUAUUAUGCUUUAUUGUAUUUCUCUGUGCCUCACCUUCGAGUGAGCUAGUGGUAUUCGAUCCUGGAUAAGUGGCUUUAUCGGACUAGAUCCGAGAGACUGACGGGUUAUUCCGAUUUAAGUGUGUCGUUGCCUUUAAGGGUGCGAUUUGGGCACUUAAGCUGGAAUAAUUCAGGCGGUUCCGCCACACUCACCUUCUUACCUGAGCGUAGGUGUGUCAUUGCAAGUACAUUACACUUCUCAGUAUUCCCAUGUCUGUAUACCCAUACACAUCCAUGGGGUACUGAAUCCCAGAAAAUUAAUUACUCCACAUCGCAACCUUCAUAUAUACAUAUGUGUAACAUGUAUAUAUUCAAGCGCUUUUCAUGCUCUUCCCUAGACCAACGUUUGUUCGGUCAUGCUCUCACAUCUCACCUUUCCUGAGCGUCGAUCCAUUCAAAAUUAAAUGGCCUCAAAAAUAACAUUACACAUGUAAGCAAUAUUUCCCCCAGUUGUGGGUUAGUGUUUUAAUCUAAGCCACCAGAUACUCCUUAAUUUUAGGGCUUAACAGAGGAUGUCGCUAGCAUUAAAGUUUUUCAAAUCUGUUUUUCAAAACCAAACAAUGUGUUUAGUUGAAAAUAGAAUUUCUAAAACCAAAACUUUGUUUUGAAAGUAUGUAUGUGACCGUAUUAUACUUAAUCCUGCUCCGAUACCAGCUGUGGUAGAACCUCCCAAGUUUUUGGGCCCACAUGCACCUGCCCUUAUCUCAAAGACCUCAGACGGCUAUGCAUGUGCACCAGAUAACAUAACAUGAUCUGUCUGAGUGUCCCAAGGACCCCGGAUAAACCACUUACAACCAGGAACGCGAAAUUAAGUAAACACAAAUCACACACCAACAUUUUUGCAGUGGAAUUUCUUUAUUACAAAAGUUACAAAUUACAACAAAUUUACAUUAUAUUUAUCGGAGUGGUUACAAACUGAUUCAAAGAAAUAUACUUUGAAAUGUUAUAAAUUAUUUAUAAUUUUGAAAUAUAUGGUAGCUUAAGUGACCAUCCUCAAUAAGAAGUAUAGAAGAGUUACUUAGCACCAUCAACAGCAUUACAAAUCUAGUACCUGCAACAACAUGGGUUCGAAAACCCUGAGUACGAAGUGUACCUUCGCAAGUCUUACCCGUCUAAAGAAAAAGACUCUCAAGGAUAUGCUGGCUGUUGGGAAUCAAGGUAUGUCUUAUCAAGAAUCAAAGACUCUAUUUGCAGAAAAGCUUACUAUGAGUGGAUCCUUAAAAAUCCAUUUUUACUUGUCAAGUUAAGUAAAGUUACCUGCAUCUAGAGUUCUUUCUAUCCUAGUUCAAGCACUUGGCCUAUACUAGCCGUUUUUUCUCAUCCCUUCAGUUCACUGGAUUGCUAUGUGUAGGACAGUGACCAAGUCUUCAUGUCCGAGAAGUAACGGCGAUCUGAAUCGAUUAAUACCUAGCUGGGGAUCUCCAACCACACGACAUAUGUAGCACUUAACCCUUGCAUAUGUCAACUCGCCACCGGGUUUCUCAAGACCAGAUCGGGUUCACGCCAACUGAGACCAUAGAUACACCACCGUCUAGCCUCUUGCCACGAAGGGUACACGCUACUCUCGCCAUCUCUCCACUCCCAUUGUGUGUUGGCCUUUCUGGUAUUGGUCUGCCCGAGGCAAAGCUUACCCAUGACGAGGCAUGUGGCCAGUUUAAAGGUCCUCAAUCAUCAAGCCUACAUCGGUACGGUCCUUAAUCGACUGAAACAGAGACACUACACCGAGACUUCCUUCUUGUGCAAGUCACCCGUCCGGUCUCAGCUUUAUUAUUUAAAACCCAAAGUUUGGUACCUGACAGAGGUACAUCUUUUCAGAUGUUGAACCCAUCACGGUCGUGAUGGAUCCACCAUCAUAAGUCUUUUCUUUGUAAAAAUUCCCAUCCAAUUUGAAGCAUCACAAUCUGUUUUAAAACAAAACAUUUUGUUUUUCUAAAGCAACGCUAAGCAUCAUAAAAAUCAUUUUAGUAAAAGGGUAUCAAGGAAGGGUAAUCAAUUUUCCAAGGAAGGAAAUGCAUCAAUUGUUUAGCACACAACUCCUAUCACUUAAUGCAUCAAACAAGGUGAUAAAGAUUUUAAAACAGCAAGGAGGUGGCAAAUGCACCGAGGCUUGCCUGGAAUAAACACUACGUUAGUGUUUGUUAGCUGACGAUCACUUGAUGAUCAUCCUUUUGUUCUGAUACUUGCUUCGUCUGUCCAUCUUCAGUUUCGUCCAUCAACAUCAUCUUGUGGAGAAGCUCAUGCUUUCCAUCCUCUUGUGGUCGACUCAGCUUUGGUCCUCCGCAUCACAUGAUUAAUUAACAUACCUCAUGGGAUAAACAAUGCACAUGUAUGAAUAUACAGAGGAAUAGCAUAAGACAGAUAAUCUACACUGAAGAUGAUGAAACACUUAUAACAAAGCAUUAUAAUCAAUCACAAGCAAGUACUAGCUAGCGAUAUAUGACUAAUUAUAAUAAUUACACUUUUCUAGCCUAUUUGGAGGUAUCUCAUAUAUCACAAAACAAUAAAAUAUACACACGCUCUACUCCCCUUAACUAACGUUCAACUCUAGGGAAUUAACAAAUUAGAUUUAUUAGUAUUAGCCAUCUAAAUUUAGAAUAAGGAUAGAAGCAUCGUAACUAACUUUCUAAACCAUUUAUCCAGAUUAAUUUGCAUAACAUGCCAAAUACAUGAACAUCACAUUAUUCUAUGACCUAGCAGAUAGAGUGUUUUUAUUCGAAUCACACCAUGCCUACAAUUAUAUUAACAUAUUCUUCACAUCAUUUAUACCUCAAACCUAUCUCCCCACGUCACCACUUCGACCAAACAAACCAAAUUCAUGACAAACAAUACUAACAACACUUAUUUGUCAAGUGUUGAAAAAUUCUAAACUCAUCUAUCGAAAUUCAUUAAAUAGUUGAGCAUUAACAAGAGGACUGGUGGUGCCCUGCUAACAGCGAGAACAUAAUUAUUAACCUAAGAAAUUUACAUAGAAUGUAAUAUCUAUUAAGACUAAACAUAAAAUUCACCAUACACUAGGAAUUCUCAUGAAAAUAUUGAUAGCACUUUCGACUAAACAUCUAAAAUGUUAAACAUACAUUCGCAGUACUACCAAUAUACUUUUCACUGAAAGUAGCAAUUCAAAUUUAGUUCCUAUAUCAAACAAUUUUUAUUUUAUUAUUUUUAAUCGCAAAUAUGAACACACCAUUACAAGCGAUUACGACAUUUCAUCACACAAGCCUACUUAUAUUCUACUCGGUCCACAAAUUAAACUAAUUAACUGGAAUACUGAAAUAACUCACCAUAACUAAAUCUGACUUGAUAAUCGCAAGAACGACGAAGUCAACGAGGGUUUCGUAACUCAGGCAUUUUGUCAAGCACCUAGUGAGCAUCACACUAGCACAUUAAUUAUUCAAUGAUCAAACUAUCCUGAAUUACUCAUCGGCUUACCACGACCAAAACAAUUUGAUAAUCGCAGAUUGAUGAUGAAUAUUGGUUCAGACUUUCCAUCGAACACUUGGCAUGGGUUGUGCUCGAAGACGGCUUCCAGGGGAGGAGCUUGACGUGGACUGGGCACGACCACACGAGAUGAGCGCAGGGCUGUCUUCGGCAGGACUCGAGACAGCUUAUCGGCGUUGGGGCUUGAAGACCACAACCGACGCAGGAAAGAUUUGGACACAGUCCGGCGAGCUUCCAUGGGCGACGUCCACGAAUUUGAAGCUGCAAUGGCCAUGGCGAGCAGGGACGCACGCGACCAAAGGGAGUGCCGCGCCAUGGACGGAGGAGCAGAGAGAAAAGCAGGGGGCGAGCAGGGAGAAGAACAGGCAACCUCAAUCACCAGGGGGUGCGGCCAAGUGAAAUCCGAGUAGAGGGCACGACUGCGCGCACCAUGGGAGGAGAGAGAGAGAGAGAAAAGCAGGGGGGCCGCGACCACAGGGGGCGCCAUGGGGGAUCUCGACCAGGGGCGCGGUGCUUCAGGAAAAAUCCAAGGCGGUGGAGAGCUUGGCUUCUUGCAGCGAGCAGAGGAAGGGCGCGACUUGGGGAAAUGCCAGGGAGAGGGACGCACCACCAUGGGCGAGCGCAGGGGCACACAGGCUGAGCAGGGAGCACGGUUGUGAAGAACACGGCUGGGCAUGGAAGGGAAGCAGCUUCAUGACGCACGGAGGGAGUUCAGGGCGAUGGGACGCGCAGGAACUCCAGGGUGCGACAACAGGGAGACGGGCGGCCGAGCUGGAGGAGCAAGGGGGCACCAUGGGGAGCUCGGCUGGGCGCACAACGCGUGGAGGAUAUAAGCAUCACAAGAAAUAUCCAGGGAGAGAGAUAGCGACGGGAAGAGAUGGAGAGGGAGGCUGCGUGUUGGGUACUUGUUCUCAAAUGCUAUGAAUUAAGAACAAGGUAACACAAAAAGAGGUUAAUGGUUAAUGCCCUUCGUCCUUCGAAGCAUUAUUUCCCUUAGGAUAUAACGAUCUUUGGACAAAGGUCAUGAAGGACGUACCUUCAUCAUCACAGUAUAUGUUAAUGAAAGAAGAAGCAUAUGAAACAUGAGAAAUAACAUGAAUAAUCAUAUGACAUCAUUAGUAUAUCUUUAUUAUAUCAUCAUGGAUGAAAAAGAACAAUAUUGAAUUACAUUUGUACCUUCGGCUUGACAGAAGGCAAAAGUCCAAGCGUGACGCACGAGUGAAUAUAAAUCAGCGUGAACAGUACUGGGGUACUGUUCACCUAUUUAUAGGCACGGGACGCAGCCCGAUCAAAAUUACAUUUAUGUCCUUGAUAGCUAGUUUCAAUCAUGACACAAAUUAUCAUAGGUUGAUCGGUCUUUUCCUCUUUAAGUCGGUGCAGCCCUUCGUCUCAAGCCGUACCAUUAUGCCGAAGCUCCUUGGAUAGCAGCUUCGUGUGUACCUUCACGCUAUGUUUGAUUAUACGCUGAUCUUUCGAAGGUGUUUCUUCUUAAAGGACUUUCGGCGACGAAGCAGGCCCCCAACAGUAGCCCCUUCGUGGUGCUAGAUCGUUUUUCGUAAUGAACUUGAUCCGUGCAAAAUCUUCAAGGCUUCAGAAUGCCGAAGAUCCGAAAACACCUUCCCUGAGCUCGUUGCCGAGAAACAAUUAAAGUAUUCCGGGUGCAAGGUGGCCCACCACACAGCGGGUAGUGGUCCACUGUUCUGAGGGUGCGGGAGACUGGUCGGCGGGUGCGGGCGACUUGGCGAUUCACCUUCCCACCUGCAACACUAUAUAAACAGACGGGUAAGUGUGAAGUUACCACAACAUUCAUUGCCAUUGCACUGUUGUGCCGUUGAAAAAUUCAACCAUAGCCAAAGCUUUUUCACUGCAUUCUCGAGCGAACCAUCUCUUUUGAAUUAUUUUUGGAAAAAGAAAGAGCUUCGUCAAAACUAUAAAAAUCAUUAGCUUCGUAAAAACCGCAAAGGAUUCAUCAUAAUAUGGCGAGAGUACGCUCGACUGCGAGGGUGACCCGUGAAGGGGAGGAGACUGAAGCUACUGAGACAGCUCCGAUCUCCGAAGUCAUGAGACAAUUGAGCCUAGUUAUGACGGAGGGAGACAUUGAAGAAGGUGCACCUGCUGCCGAAGCUGAACAAGUUGAUAUCGAGGAAGAAAAUGUUGACGAAGAAGAGGAAGACUAUAACACUCUGAUCCCAACAAAACCCAGCCACUUGGAUUUUGAAAAAUCUACUGUGUCUAAGGCCGACGUGCCCACGAUGAUGAAGCUGGGUUACUUCGGAGAAGGUGAGAAGAAGCUUAUUCGUUUUGCCGGAGAAGAAACCACUCCAAAGCCGAAAGAUGACGAAGUAGUGGUUUUCAAAAGCUUUUUCAGAGCAGGAUUACGGUUUCCGCUUCACGAGAUGAUUGGAGAAGUUUUGGAUAAUUAUGAAAUCUAUCUUCAUCAGUUGACCCCUAACACCAUCGUUAGGCUCAGCAUCUUCAUUUGGUCCCUUCGAAGCCAAGGAAUGGACCCAAAUGCUAAAGCUUUCUGUCGAGUGCAUGAAUUGCAUUACCAAACAAAGGCCAGAGAAGACAGGCUACACGAAAAUUUCGGUUGUUAUAACUUCGCAUAUCGCAGGGAUACGAAGGCUCCGGUGCUCAGUUAUCGUACCAAGUGGCCAACCGGCAGGAAGAGCGAAUGGUUUUAUUUCAAGGCCGAUGAGAAGAAGAGAGAGAAGCUGAUGCAAAUGGUUAUGUGUCCGAUGACUCUAAGCUUCGGACUGACUAGGCCAGUGUGCCACAUGACGUUGGGGUCACCAUGCCAACAAGCCGUAGCAGAAUUUAGGGUGGUGGCUAAACAUAUUAGCACUAGAGAUCUAGUGCAAGAAUACCUGGCCAACAGGGUAUCUCCAACAUUGAGCGAAUGGAGUAUGCCAAAGCUAAAAGGAACAAAGAAGAAGAGUGAACUUGUUCGAUUGCACUAUCGCUUCAAGUUUGAGAAACAAUUCAAAGAGCCUUGCCAAGAGUGGAUAGAAAUGAUUGAAACUAUGUGCAACGAAAUUUUGGGUAUUCAUACCAAAAAAGAAGAUCAACUGAUGACUGCAGCCUUCGGCACCCGACCAAAAUAAAGGUUGAAUCGGGUAAUGGACGCUUUAAACUUUGAAUACCCUGAUUAUGAACGGCUAAGCAAGGGUGCCAAAGGGACAAAGAGAAAAAGGGUUGUCAGUGUUCUGAGAAGACAGGCUGCUAGGAUGGUGAAAGAGGAUGAAGAAGCUCUAAAAAAGAGAAAAUCCAGUCCUGAGCCGAAGGUGGCUACUUCGAAGAAGAGAAAGGCUGCAACUCCGGAGCCAAAAGCAGCUGAGAUAGAAGAAGAAACUCCUUCAACACCUUCUGCUGCUGAAGUAGAAAAAAAUUUAAAGGCAAUGAUCGAAUCCUUACCUAUAAAGCUGCUAAGUCCUCUAGGGCCGCAACUGACGAAGCUUUUACAGAAGAAGGAUGAGCCCUCGGCAGUGAAAAAGGCGGUUGGGCCAAAAAAGUGAAGAAUUGUUACUGUUAUGCAAGCCAUUGAGGAAACGCAACCACCGGCCACAGCAUAAAAAAUGACACCAUCUGCCGAGGCUGUUGCUUCUGCUGAAGCUGCGACUCCCAAAGCUACCAAUCUGGAGAGUACAUUAUCCGCUAUUGAUAAAGUGCUCUUGGAUUUGGCCAUGGAGGAGACUGUUGCGGAUGCAGAAGAAGCCCUGGCCGCAGUGCCUGAGAAAGGGAAGGAAAUUGCUGAAGAUGCUUGGGAAGAAAAAGGCUUCAGCUUCCAAAAUCUAGUUGAUCAAGAAUUAUCCAAGGCCGAGAAAAAGGAGCUACAGGAGUAUGCUAUAUCCUGUGGCUACCAGCCAGGAGCCAUGCUCUUUGGUAGGAUUAAUGAAGAAGCCUUAGGAUGUAUUCGAGAUCAUACUGGGGCGAAGGUUAUCAGCACUCUAUCGAAGAGUGUUGGUUUUCCGAAGCUUGAAGCUGACAUUAGCAGAUACCGACGACAACACAUCGUUGGUAGCUUAUUCUAUUCCAAUUUUAAGGUAAAGUUUCUUCCUCAGCUUUUACUGUUUUGUGAUGAAGCAAGGAUUUCUGACAAAGGUUAAUUUGCACAGAGUAUGCUGCUAAGCAAAGCCUUGAGGAUGCAACAGGACCUCGAAGAUAAGAAUAAUGAGGUUAUAAUCGAGGGCUUGGAGAAUAAAAUCAAAGAUCAUGAAGCUUCACUAGAAAAGAAAUUUUCCUUCUUCAGACAAUGGAGGGUUCAUUGGCAGAAGCCCAAGCCGAAAUUGCCAGAUUAAACAAUGAACUCCUCCGAAAAUCAGGAAGCCUUGAGCAAGAAAAGAAGAAAUUUGAUGUGAAGAUUGAAGCCGAAGUCGAGAAAAGUUCGAAUCUGCAAAAAUCCUUAAAAGAGCUUCAGGACAAAUGCUUGAACUUCGGCAACCGGUGUGUGCAAUGGCUGAAACAGGUCUUCAACUCAGUGGGGGCCAGCUCUAAAAAAUUUGAACCUUCGGUUGAAGACCUGCCAAGCACCUUCGAACAUAUUGAGAGCGAAGUUGAGGAGCUUGAUGAAGUUAUAGCUAGGCAUGGUGACUUCUGUGCCCUGCUGGCUUCUCGCAGCACAGCUGUAGCUUUUAUGAAGGCUGGUUGCACACACGGGAAGAUUGUAAACUGGCCGAACUUCAGUAUGUCCCCAGUGGACCUAAUUGAUAUCCCUAGCCUAGCUCGAAGCAUUGGAAAUUGAUUUAUAACAUAAAUUUGGACGAAGGGUGGGCGGGACUUAGCUAGUGACGAAGCUCGAAGUCAUCUUAAGCCGGUAUUAAACUUGUACCUGUUGCUUACCUUCUCCUGAGAUUACUUUUUACCUUAUACUGCUUUGUUGUGUAAAGGAUGACGAUGCCGAAGGUCAAUAAUCCAAAGCUUGACGGAGACUGAUGAAGCUGCUGCACAAAGCUUUAGAGACAUUUGAAUUAUCUUUGUAAAAGAUAUUGUAAUUUAGGAAUCAAAAUAUUACUUUGUUAAUUUGUCCAUACCUUGUAAUAUAUUUAUACCUUUUCAUCCGUGUGUGAAUUCCUUUGAUGUGGACGAAACUUGUGUCUUUUGAGCCGAAGGCGAAAAACACCUUCUCUUCUUUUCGUACACAACGAAGCAUAUAUUUGCUUAUUUAUACUCAUCGAAGCCUUGUCAUCAAAGCCACAACAUCUGUUUGUAUUCUAUGUUAUGAUGAUGAUGAUCCUGCGAAUGUCUAAAUGAAUGUGUAUGAAUGCAAUGAAUGAUGUGAUGUAAUGUGCAAAUGAAUGUCCAAACACACGCAUACGAAGCCACACCCAGACUCUGUAUCCCCUUAGGAACGUCUUUUGAGUCUUAAGCUCUGCAUCCCCUUAGGAACGCCUUUUGAGCUUCUUCACCUUCUAUUUUGGUGGUAUAAGUUCUGCAUCCCCUUAGGAACGUCUUUUGAACUUCUUCGCCUUCUAUUUCGGCGGUAUAAGUUCUGCAUCCCCUUAGGAACGACUUUUGAACUUCUUCGCCUUAUAUUUCGGUGGUAUUUGGCUCUGCAUUCCCUUAGGAACGACUUUUGAGCAGAAAACUUACGAUGUGCUCCCUUAGGAACGAGUUUUUGUAGCUUUGUCAUGCUCUGCAUCCCCUUGGGGACGACUUUUGAGCUUCUCCCUGCUUUUGCUCUUUUUUUUCUCUCUGCACUCGAUGGUGCAUGCUCAGAUUUUACAUUUUACAUUCUUUUGGGGGAUUUGGCUCUCGUGGAGCUAAAUAAGAAAGGAAAAAUUACAAUCUAUGGCCCCAUUAAAAACCUUUCUCCCCCUUUAGAAAGGAAAAGGGUGCCUUAGAAAAAUGAAAAAAGAUUACAUCAAAUUACACAUAAUAUCGCCGAAGCUCAUCCGCAUUCCAAGAUCUGGGUAUGUCGUUGCCGUCCAUAUCCUUCAAUCUGUAAGAACCGGGCCUUGACGAAGAUACCACCAGAAAAGUUCCUUCCCACUUCAGCUGCAAUUUGCCUACUGUGUCUGGAUUGGCCACUCUCCGAAGCACCAAAUGCCCUGGCUUAAUAUUUUUGAACCGAACUUUUCUGUCAUGCCAUUUUAUUGUUUCGGCUUGAUAUUUAUUGAUGUUCUCCACAGCCUGAAGUCUAGUCCCCUCUAUAGUAUCUUUUGCUACGUGAUAAUCAGCUUCGUCUCCUGCCGAAGCUAUUGUUCUUAUUGAUCCUGCUUUAGCUUCUUCUGGAGUUACAGCUUCGUCACCGAACAUAGUUUGAAAGGUGUAAAUCCUAUUGAUCUUGACAUAGUUGUAUUGUGGCUCCAUACCACUUUAAUCAACUCAUCUGGCCACUUUCCUCUGGGCUGAUUGAAGAUUAACUUCAUUAUUCCUGUCAUAAUAAUGCCAUUUUCUCUUUCUACCAACCCGUUUGACUCCGGAUGCCUAACUGAUGCAAAAUGGAUCUUCGUGCCAAUGUGGUCACAGAACUCUUUGAAUGUUUCGGCAUCAAACUGCGUUCCAUUGUCCACAAUUAUAGCCUUCGACACGCCGAAGCGACAAACAAUAUUCUGCUAGAAGAAUUUUUGGACUGUGACCGAAGUUAUUGUAGUCAAAGGCUUCACUUCAAUCCACUUGGAAAAAUAUUCUACAGCCACCACAACAUAUUUCAAAUUACCUUGUGCCGGUGGAAGUGGACCUAAUAAAUCCAGGCCCCAUCUUAGUAAUGGCCAAGUAGGUUGUAUCAGCUGUGUGAGAGACGAAGGCUGCUUCUGAUCUCUUGCACAUUUUUUACAAUUCUCGCACUUUUGAACCAACUCUGUUGCAUCCGAAGCUGCCUUCGACCAAUAAAAGUCUGCUAACGCAAUGAAGUCUUUAUUUGUUUCUUCUUCCAGAGCACCUGGCGUCCAAUCGGCAAUGAAGUCUGCUAACGUCUGGGACUGAAUUGAGGAUCUAUGGACAUAAUCAAUACUGAACUUGUUAAGCUCCGCAGCCCAUUUUCCAAUCCUUCCAGUAGCUUCUCUGUUCCUCAUUAUGUCCUUUAGAGGCUGUGACGAAGGAACAAUUAUGUGAUAUGCUUGAAAAUAAUGCCGAUGCUUCCUGGAAGCCAUUAACACAGCAUACAACACCUUCUCCAAUUCCGUAUAAUUUUUCUUUGAUAAACUUAAAACUUCGGAGACGAAGUACACUGGAGCUAGCCUUUUGAUUUGGCCAUCUAACUUCUCCUGUACAAGAGCCGCACUAACUGCAGAGUGCGAAGCUGCCACAUAUAAGAGUAAUGGAGCCCCUGGCGAAGGUGGAGUUAGUGUUGUUAGAUCGAUCAAGUAUUGCUUCAACUCUUCGAAAGCUUUUUGCUGAGCCGGGCCCCAUUGAAAAACUUCGGCUCACUUCAGUAUUUCAAAGAAUGGCAAAUUUCUUUCUGCUGAUCUGGAUAUGAAUCUGUUCAAUGAUGCUAGUCUUCCUGCCAGCCGUUGGGCCCCCUUCUUUGUGCUUGGCGGCUCCAUCCAAAGGAUAGCUUCAAUCUUGCUCGGGUUGGCUUCAAUUCCCUUCGUUGAUACCAAACAGCCAAGGAACUUGCCCUUCUUCACCCCAAAAACACACUUGUCUGGAUUUAACUUCAGGCCAACUUGCCUGAUAUUGGCAAAUGUCUCUUGCAAAUCAGCAAUGUGAUUUUCUUGCUUCGUGAUUUUCACUAUGAUAUCAUCAACAUAGGCUAGUACAUUCCUGCCUAUUUGAGAAUGAAGGACCUUGGCUGUCAUUCUGCUGAAGCUUCCUCCAUCAUUCUUGAGCCCCUCAGGCAUCCAAAGGUAGCAAUAGGUGCCACUGGGAGUUAUGAAGCUAGUCUUCGGCUCAUCUUCCUUCUUCAUCUAGAUUUGAUGAUACACUGAGUAACAAUCCAGUAGACUCAUGAGCUCUAAAGAAGCUUCCGCAUCUACUAGAGAGUCUAUUCUUGGCAAUGGGAACUCGUCCUUUGGGCAUGCCUUGUUGAGAUCUGUGAAAUCAAUACACAUUCUCCAUUUACCAGUGGCCUUCUUCACCAUAACAGUGUUGGCUAGCCAUUCCGGGUAUUUCUACUCUCUGAUGACACCAGCACUAAGAAGUCUCUUCAGUUCGUUCCGAGCACCGUCAGCUUUGUCUUCAGACAUCUUCCGAAGCCUUUGUUUUCUUGGCCUAAAAGAUGGAUCCACAUUGAGUGAAUGAUCAAUAACAUCUCUGUUGACACCACAGAGAUCAUUGGCUGACCAAGCAAAAAAAUCUUUGUUGUUGAAUAAAAAUAUUAGCAAAGUCUUCUCUUGCUCUUCAGAUAGCUAAGACCCCAGCAGUACCCUUUAUUCUGCUAUGUCUUCACAUAAGAGCAUAGGCUUCGGCUGAUCCACCGAAGCAGCCUUCUCUCUUUUGUAUUUAUACUGCUGACAAGCUUCGGCUCCAUCUAUGUUAUGAAUUGCCUUUGAACCUGUCCAGUUUCCUUCGACCCUUCUGGCAGCUUCUUGACUCCCAUGGACAGCGAUGGGCCCUUGUUCCGAAGGUAUCUUCAUGCAUAAAUAUGUUGGGUGAAGUAUGGCUUUGAAGGCAUUAAGUGUCCCUUGACCAAUGAUUGCAUUAUAGGGGUACUCCAUGUCAACGAUGUCAAAGACAACCUGUACAGUCCUUGUGUUGUGGACGAAGCCGAAGGUCACUGGCAUUGUGAUUUUGCCGAGUGCUACAAUCUGCCUUCCUCCGAAGCCACAACAAAGAGGGUGUGUAGCAUCAUGAAUCUUGUCUUCUGGCUCUUGCAUCUGUCUGAAGGCCUUAGCAAAUAUGAUAUCUGUUACACUGCCUGUAUCGACUAGAACAUUAUGGACCAGAAAUCUCUUGAUGACACAAGAUAUGACCAUAGCAUCAUUGUGAGGGUAAUCCUUGAGCUGAAGGUCCUCCUAAGAGAAGGUGAUUGGGAUGUGAGACCAUUUGGACUUGAUGAAGCGUCCCUGCACCCCAACGUGCUACACCCUUCUCUGCGCUUCCUUCUUCUGCUUCUUGUUGGCCGGCUCUGAACUUGAACCUCCUGUUAUCGAGAGCACCAACUUCGUAGUCGAAGGUGCUACGACUUGGUUGUUGAACGAAGCCAUCAGCUCUAAAGUGGAAGUGAGUUCACCGAAGGUGGGCGCCAAUGUUGGGGACUUGUUCUCAAAUGCUAUGAAUUAAAAACAAGGUAAUACAAAAUGAGGUUAAUGGUUAAUGCCCUUCGUCCUUCGAAGCAUUAUUUCCCUUAACAUAUAACGAUCUUUGGACGAAGGUCAUGAAGGACGUACCUUCAUCAUCACAGUAUAUGUUAUUGAAAGAAGAAGCAUAUGAAACAUGAGAAAUAACAUGAAUAAUCAUAUGACAUCAUUAGUAUAUCUUUAUUAUAUCAUCAUGGAUGAAUAAGAACAAUAUUGAAAUACAUUUUACCUUCGGCUUGACAGAAGGCAAAAGUCCAAGCGUGACGCACGAGUGAAUAUAAAUCAUCGUGAACAGUACUGGGGUAUUGUUCACCUAUUUAUAGGUACGGGACGCAGCCCGAUCAAACUUACAUUUAUGUCCUUGAUAGCUAGUUACAAUCAUGACACAAAUUAUCAUGGGCUGAUUGAUCUUUUCCUCUUUAAGUCGGUGUAGCCCUUCGUCUCAAGGCGUACCAUUAUGCCGAAGCUCCUUGGAUAGCAGCUUCGUGUGUACCAUCGCGCUAUGUUUGAUUAUACCCUGAUCUUUCGAAGGUGUUUCUUCUUAAAGGACUUUGCCUAGUGUAAAGCCCAAUUAAGUGAUUAAUCUAUUUUCAACUAAGUCUGUCUAUAUAUAAGUCAUAGCGAACUUGUGUACUUAACUAAGUUAAUGUUAAGAAACUUAUGGAUGAUUAAAGUGAACAUGGAUAAAUGCUCAUACUUGCGAUGUCGUGUUUGCGUUGGUUAAAUAUAGGAAAUGUCGUUGUCUUUCCAGUGGUAGUGAUUACGUGUGCCCGAUGACGUAUAAAUAACUAGCGCUUGCGUAUAAUUGUUGUAGUGUCUUACUAUUUAGUGUUUAGUUCGUUACCGUGUAUUGGAAUAUCUUGUGCUACUUUCAUCAUAUUCAUACAUAUGCAUCCUGCAUCUCAUUUAGGAUCGAGAGAUGAUGAUCGUGCUAGUGAUGUGGUGCCAACCACAAGAUUGAGUUGAUGAACCACAAAAUGCUUGAUACCAUGUAUGAUUAGCUAGCUACACAUCAAGUCUUAAGAGAAUCACACUAAAACUUGAAAAGCUAAAACUUGAUUUUAGACUCAGCUAGUGCUUUUUGGCCAACCAAACCCCUCAACCAAACAACUGCAUGUCUAGAGGUAGAGCAGUAGACUCCUCACACCGGGUAAGUCUAGUUGAGUAUUAGUAUACUCAGCCUUACUUGUGGCAUAAUUUUUGCAGGUACCUCCUUGAUUUGGUUGCUGGUGUGACUUGGCCUUCAUCCCUGCCACCAGGAUAGAUGGUCGAGAGGGUUACUGCUCCCACAGGAGUGGACCAGGAGGAGUAGCUGUAACACCCGGGCUUUAAGGAACAAAGCCGGGUGCAUCUCAUACAUGCGUCAAAUAAGACAACAUAUAUAAUAACAGAGUGUAUAGAGAUAAAUGUCACAAUAAUGAGAGUAUUUAUUACAUAGCGGAAGUCUUACAAAAUAAAAGAUAAAUAUAAAGGAUCUAAAAUCCAUCCUUGGCGCUAGAAAGUCGACUAGGAGACGCCACCUAGAUCGAAUCGAACUCCUCGUUGCGUGGCUCCACUUGAACCACCUGUUCUUCUCCUGUGGGGGGUGUGAGACAGAAAGGGUGAGCUCACACAUGUUCAUCGCUCAACAAGUUGUGGGGAAUAAUGUGACAUGAACUCACGAAAGGUGGGAGUUCAUGUGAUGUGUAAGGCUAAUCAACAAUAUAAAGGUUGCAGCUGAGCAUUGCUUUUAUAAGUUGGUCAAAGUUUUAUUAGCAGUUACUAAGUGUAAGUAAAUACAAGCCCAUAAUAAAUAAUAAUAGAACAAAAUUAAUAAUAAACCCAUGCAAAUGCAAAUGACAAAUUGAAUUUAGGUUCCAUAAUUUAAUCAUGCGAGAGUUCUGAGCUGCUCAUGACCGUGAGCUCGGCUAGUAUACCAAUUUUACACUCUGCAGAGGUUGUACCCUAUACCCACAAGUCGUGUAUCCCAUGUCGUCAGGGUUUGCAAGGCCCUUAGACACUACCGAGGUGAAUGACUAGGGAUCCACUACGAGGCCUUUACAAAGUUCCACUAGCUUCCGAAAACCCGCUACAAUUUAUGGGAAGAGCACUUGCAAGAAUCCCCCAUCUGACCGCCAUCGCAGCAACAUCAACCCGAGAACCUCCUUGCAUGCAACUCCCCUACUGCCCUUUCCCCUUUCGGGUAAGGUAGUCUUCCACUAGCUUUCCUAAUUAGUCAGCCAAGGGCGUCCCAUUCCACCCUUGUGGUGGCACGUGUUUCUCAAGUUAAGCUCCAUGUUCCAAUUAAAAAUAUAAUGAUCUUGACAUGAACAUAAAUAAAAUAACAGAAUAAUUGGAACAUGGAUAUAAUGAAAUAUUAUCCCAAAACCAUUUAAAGCAAUAGCAAAACUACCAAAGUGAUUCAGGGAUAACAAGGUAAAAUGGAUAAACAGAAUAGGGUGACCUAUUGGGUCCCAUCAAAAUUAAACCUGUUGGGGGCCUUCAUCUUUCGAAGGUCCUCAAAAACACAACUAACAUGUUUUCCAAGUAUAAUACAUUCACAGGGACCUUUGACCUUAGGAUGAAGCUGUACACGAUAUGAAAAGCAUGGUCUGGGAGAAGGAUGAACCAAUUCCGAAGAAACGCGUGAAGAAGCUUCGGCUUAGCAAUGGGAAAACAAACCAACUAAAGAGGAAAAGGCUAUCUAGUCCUCGAUAGAUUGUCCUUAAGUCAAUAGUAAAUAUCAAGGGCAUGGAUGUAAUUUUACACAGGCUGCGUCCUGUGCCUAUAAAUAGAUGAACAGUAGCACCGUAUUGAGCACGCUGACUGGUAUUCACUCGCACGUCACUCUCGGACUCAAACCUUCUGUCAAGCCGAAUGUACAAAUGUAACUUACUGUUAUUAAUGUUUGCCCAUGAUGAAAUAAUGAGAAUAUAAAUAAUGUUACAAUUCAAUAUGAUUGUUCAUGUUGUUUUCCAUGUUUCAUAUACUUCUACUUUCAUUAUUAUAUACUAAGAUAAUGAAGGUAUGUCCUUCAUAACCUUCGUCUGAAGAUCAUUGUAUCCUAUGUGAGAUAAUGCUUCGAAGGAUGAAGGUCUUUAACCAUUAACAUUUUGUGUUGCCUUGUUCUGAACUCAUAGCAUUUUAGAACAAGUCCCCAACAUUGGCGCCCACCUCCGGUGAACUCAUUCGACCACCUUCGGCAAGCUGUGACCUUCAUCAUGCUGCUGAAGAAAGAUUCAGUGCUAGGGGCUGCAUUGCAGCCACUGGACGUCAACCAAGAAACAUUGCGUGAAGCUAGAAGCCAAAAAAGGAAGGCUACAAGUCCAACGCCUCAGGAGGAGGAGCUGGACCAAGAAAUAAGGGACCUCAAAGACAUUCAUCAACAGGUCCAGAGGAAGAAGGAGAAGAUGCUUCGUCUCUCCGAUUUACAAAAGAAGAUCGAUGAGGCUGCUGAGGAAAUGCGUCAUCUCACUCAAGAUGACCAGGACCGAAGACCUCAAUGUAGAGAGCUUGGUCAGGAAAAUUCCUACAAUGAUGAUGAAUGGUAUGAUGAUUUCCAUCAUGGAAAUUUUGCUUUUGAUGAUGCUUCUCCUCUAUCAGCAGAACUGCAGGCUACCCCAUGGCCCCCAUCAUAUAAGUCACCCCAGCUCCCCAUGUAUGAUGGGCACUCAGAUCCGUAGCGCUUCUGAUGAGCUACGAAGCAACCAUAUCUUCAUAUGGGGGCAAUACUGCAGUCAUGGUGAAAUCCUUCGUCAUGGCAGUCAAGAAUGUUGCACAAACCUGGUACUCCUCUCUUCGGCCAGGAACAAUCACAUCAUGCAGAAGCUGAAGAACAUGCUGAUUACCAGUUUUCAAGGGUUUCAGACGAAGCCGGUUACUGCUCAAGUUUUGUUCCAGUGCACGUAAGAUCACAAAGAAAACCUCCAGGCGUAUGUCCGAAGGUUUUUACAUUUGAGAGGAUAAGCGCCCAUAGUGCCCGAUGAAAUCGUCAUUGAGGCCCUGAUCAAAGGGCUUCGGCCAGGACCUAUGACUCAAUACUACGCCAGGAAACCCCCUUAGAGUCUAGAGAAGCUGCUUCAGAAAAUGGAUGAGUACAUCCGGGCCGAUAAUGAUUUCCACCAGAGAAGGGAAGAAGCUUAUAGGUUUUUUGAGAUGACUAGGGGCUUCGGAGGAAGAAUCCACCCUAAGCAUGUUAGAUCAAUCCACAAUUCCAUUCAGAGUGAUGACAGAGGCAGCCAGUUUUAGAGGCCACAUCAUAGCUCACAGUCUUCAGGGCAACAAAAGAGUUCUUUCAGGCCACCAGCUCCAAGGGGCAGAGGAGGCAGGGGCUUCAGAGGAAGAUAUGGGGAUCAGCCCAGGAAACUCUAUUGCUUAUUCUGUGGUGAAGACAAGGGCCACACUACAAGAACAUGCUAGGUCACCAUUCAGAAGCAAAAAGAGAUUGCCGAAGCAGAAGUGCGGUAGAAUCAGCCGAAGCAGGUUUUACAUACUGCUUCGUGCUACUCUCCCUAUAUACCAGAAUACGUGGGUAAUCAACCUGCAGCUUCUGUUGCUUCGGCAAGUCAUUCACAAGCUUCCUAGCCCUAGCUCCCACUACCACCACCACUGCCACCUACUCAUACCCGAAGCCAACAGCCAAAAGGGCACCAACAUGCCCAACAUCAGCACGACUUCAGGGAGGAGUCCGAAGCUCGUACAAUCAAUAGCACUGUACCAGAAUCGAAGCAUAUAUACUGAGGAAUAUCCUACUUUUGAUGAACUUUUAUUUUUUAUGCCAUUUUAUUUUUUCGUAAGAAACAAGUAAUGUAGAAUUUAAUUUCAAUUUCUUGAAAUAAUUGUGCUUUCGCCAGAGUGAAAUAUAUUUUCCUCAUGGAUUUAUGAAGCUCGAAAGACGUGUCUAAAAAAGCGGAGCAAAAUUUCGAAGCUCAAAAAAGUCGUUCCUAAGGGAGCGCAGUGUAAGUUUUCUGCUCAAAAGUCGUUCCUAAAGGAAUACAGAGCCAAAAAUUAUGAUCCGAAGCUACAAAAAAAGUCGUUCCUAAGGGAGCACAGCGUAAUUUUUCUGCUCAAAAGUCGUUCCUAAGGGAAUGCAGAGCCAAAUACCACCAAAAUAUAAGGUGAAGAAACUCAAAAGUCAUUCCUAAGGGGAUGCAGAGCUUAAAUGCCACCGAAAUAGAAGGUGAAGAAGCUCAAAAGUCAUUCCUAAGGGGAUGUAGAGCUUAAAGACUCAAAAGACAUUCCUAAGGGGAUGCAGAGUCUUAUGUAUUCCAGUGUGGGCGGGUGGGUGUGUGUCUUCGGCAUCAUCAUCAUUUUGCAUCAUAUCAUCAUAUCAUUUCGCAUAACGUUACAUCAUACAUCACAUCGCAUUAACGUCACAAAAAUUACGAAGCAAAACUUCGGCAAAUGCUUUGUCAAAAUGAAAAUGUGCUUCGGGAAAUACAGUUUUAAAAGACUUGUCAUAGAAGGGCUCUUUCUUUACGAAGCAUGAAAAGAAGGGAAGGUGUUUUUUCACUGAAGGCUCAAAAACUGUAUGUGUACAAAUUUCACGCAUCGUAAAGAAAUACAUUAUAGUAAUUUACAUGUCCCAUCAAUUGUUCCAUACAUCAAAUAUUACAAAGUAUUCUUACAAUAAAGUUACAAAGUAUUAUUACAGCAAAGUCUACUCUUCUCUAAGGAUCUUUUCUGCAGCUUCAUUUAAUAAUUUGUCGACAACUUUGUCGAUAAUAGAGUUUGUAAUGCUUAUAACAUCUAGAGCUUCCUUCUUCUCCGGAUCAGCCAGGGGAUUGUGCGGCUCUGGCAGUGGUGAUUGCUCAGCUGUAGAAGGUGAACUAUUAGUUCGAAGCCACAAAGUAAGUACCGAAGUUAAAAUUCAAAAACAAUACCUAUGUGCCUUUCCCGUUCAGCAGCCUCUUUAGUUCGCCUAGCUUCUUCUCGGGCGUCAUGGGUGUCUUUUUCAUUCUUUUUUAUAAUUUCAUUGGCCAAUUCCUGGCCACCAUUUACCUAGACAUCAGAAUAAAACUUUCCAUCCACUAAAGUUGCUUCUGCUGAAGGGUCCUUCGUGUCGUUUAUGGAGAAGGCAGCUUCAGCUUGAGCUAUAGCUUUCACGUGAUCGCAUCCAGCCUUCUCUAGAAUAGCUGCAAUUCCCCAGGCGUCGGAGAAAGCACAAAUAUCUCCGCGAUCAUUCAAAAUUUCCUCAAAAGCUUCGGCUUCCCCGCUUAUUUAUUCAAUGAUGCCUUCGGGGUCGCCUUGAACGAAUUUCUCCUCAGAGGAGUAGGCACCUACCUUUGCAAAGCUGUUUUUUCAAAUUUUUCACGCAAUCCAAGGAUUUUUCGAAGCAUCUAUCCUUGGAUUCGCAAAGCUUUUCAAUAUUUUUCUCUAGCCUGGCCUUCCACCAUUUGUUGAUUUCUUGGCUGCCCUUUGCAACUUCACAAUUUUCUUUGGCUUCAGCCAGUUGUUUCCGAAGGUCUUCAACCUCGGUUUUUUGGGCUUCGGUCUGACCAUUGUAUUUAGCUUCGUCUUCUUUCAUUUUACUCACCAAUGAAAUUAAAAUUUUGUCUUUCUCUAGACCUUCGUUUCUCAGCUCAAUUACCUCUGAGCGAAGGUUGUUGAGAGCUAUUGUACAACUUUCAUCUUCGGCGCUUUUUGAGCCCUGAAAGCAUUGCUAAGAAUUAAGCCCUGAAAGAAAAAGAAAGAAUUAAGCAUGACAAUGAAAUACUUCAUUUCAAACUUUAAAGUUAACAGCUUUUGUACCUUUAUACUGUUGUAUGCAAGGCUAUCAGCAAGAUCAUCCUUCGACAUGGCCGAAAGGCCUUCCUCAAGCUUCGGAAAUCCCAUACUUUUGGCUAUUUCUCGGCAAACCGAUAUUUCUUUGUUGUCCGGGAGACAGUAUAGGAAGUCAUCUUUGUCAGUGCCAUUGAACACUAAGGCUCCCUUCGGAUAUUUUAGUUUCUGGGCGUAGUGUCUGGCUUCUAAGAUUUCUUCUUUGGAUAAUUUUUUCCCGAAGCAUGUCGAAUAAUGUAAUCAACAUCUUCGGCUAGAGCUUCGGGGGCAGGAGAUUUUGCUUUUUCUAUCAUGCCUUGCCCCACCGCCAUGCCGGUAUCUGAAGUUUGUUGCUCAGCUUUAUCCUCAGGUGCAAUAGCCUUCGUCUCAAUGGGCAUCGAAGGACCCAGUUUUGGCUCCGGCCUGGACUUUAACAGCUUCGGCAACUUUCUUAGUAGGAGCAGGGCUCAAGGCCUUUGUGGUCUCCAUGAUAGCGUCUAGCACACUAGCCAUCCUCCUUCUCUUGGGAGUGGAGGCAGGAGCCUUUUGCACUUUCGACAAUUCUGCCUUUGCUGGUGGACUCAGAAUUUCUAGCAUUAUCACUGUUUUUCCCAAUUUUGGCUCUUCGGCCGCAUCAUCUUUGGUUUCGGCUGGCCCGACUGUAGACACCUUCGGCACUACAAUCGAUUCUUCAACACUCUGCACGAUGGGAGCAGCUUGUUUUGCUUCAGUAGUUGAAGAGGUCCCUUCACCAAAUUCAGGCACUACGGCCGGUUCAAUAUAUCGCGGCCGGUGGGUCAGAACCUUCAUUUUCUUGCCCUUCGGCAUAGCAGUGGUGGCUGAAGUGGCAGUUUUUCUCUUCUUUCCUUGCCUUCGCAAUGGGUAGUGAUAAUCAGGGUAUACGAAGCCAAUUGCAUCAAACACCCUGUUCAAUCUUUUUUUGCCCCGACCCCCAAAGGCUGCGGACAAGGCAUCAUCUUCGGCCUUCGAGUAUGUCCCAAGCAGCUCGUCGCUGGUAGCUUCAAUGCAUUUCAACCAGUCAUCGUUUGGUUCAUCAAACUUCUCUCUAUAUCUGAAGGUAUAUUUCAAUCGAACUAGACCACCUUCACUGGAUUCAGCAGUAGUCUCCUUCGGCAUUUCCCAGUAAUCCACAAGUGGCCACACCCUAUAGGCUAUGUGCUCUUGGAUUAUAUCUCUUGUGCCAAUGAAGGCACAAACAUUGCUAAAGGCCUUUUGGCAUGCUUCGACGUCACCUUCAAUAGCCACCUUCGGCCUUCGGAGGCCGAAGCGAGACCAGAUGGUGCGCUGGAUGAUUUCCUUGAUAUCCUUCCUUUCAAUCAAACCAUUUUUAACAUAAAACCACUCCUCCAUCCAGGCCCCAGGCCAUCUUUUCCGGUAUGUUGGCACUGGGUAGCUUGCAUUAGAGCGAGCAAUGAAUCCGUAACAACCGAAGUUAUUGUGGUAUUGUUCCUUGCCGGUAGCCUUCGUCUCAUAUAACAGCUCGUGCAUAUUACAGAAGCACUUCGCGCUCGGCUCCAGCCCCUGGCUUCUUACAGCCCAGACAAACAUCCCCAUACUAAUUAUAGCUUUGAGGGUAAUUUGAUGAAGAAAGAUUGGAAUAUCUUUAACACUUCAACCACAAAUUUGCUCAACGGGAACCGAAGGCCUGCCUUCAAGAAGCUUCGGUAAAUAACAACUUCAUUUUCCUCAGGAGCAAGGGCAGUGCUGUCUCCUUCAACCCUCACAAUAGACAUGUCGCGAAAAUAUCUCCCUCUCAUGGUGUCAAUACGACUUUGUUUAAUGGUCGAUUUUCCGAAGAUGGUAUGGCUUGGCCGGUAGGGACGGUCCUCAGAAUCUUCAGACAAACCCUCCAUUAUCUUCGUAGUAAUUUUUUCUGUAUUUGUUUUUGCCAUAGACUCAUAAAACCCAGCAAUAAAAGGAUCCGCAAUUUUCUUCUCUUCAAACAGCUUCUUCUCCUUAGUGAGCUUUUUCUCCUCAGUCAUCUUCUCCUCAGUCAUCUUCUCCUCAGACAUGGAGCAAGCACGUCUUUAAACCAAAGCUCAAAAAUCAGGCGAGAGCUGAUAAGCAAGAGUUAAAAAUUCGAGAAAAUAACACAAACAACGAAAAUGGCGCAUCAAAUGCCACCGUUGUGGGUUCCUAUUUAUACGCCUAGCGCUUUGCACCUUGGCGGUGUAACACCCCAGGUGUUACCCAAGGCCCUGGCCAAAGGAGCACACUUGUGUCCUGCUUACCCUAUAUGCUAAAUUGGAAAGUGAAGGCACUAAAAGCUUUAGAAUCAUGGUUAAGCUAAGUAUUGAUCAUAACAAGAAAGAAACCCUAGCCUUCAUCCAUUCUCACUCAUGAAAAAGAUUCUCAAACCCUAAUUCCCCUCUUAAGCCAUUAAACCCUAAACAUGGGGUUAAAGGGGAAAGAGUGGGCAAAUGGCCAAAUCAUGGAAGGAAACCUUUACCAAAGAUGAAGUAUAUUAGAAAAUCUACAAAAUGUAUUAAGGAUGAUAUUACAAAAAGGCCCAACAAAAACCCUAAAUCAGUUCACUAAGUGGAGAGCACAAAAAAGCCAUCAAAAUUUUUCUAAGUCCCAAAACCAACCCUAGCCUAAAGAUCAUAUGUGUUCACCUUUGUGCUGGUGCCAAAACCACUUGGACCAAAUAACAAAAAAUGGCCAAAUUACCUAAGGCACACCCCUGAAAAGUUUGAAAACAAACCAAGGUCGUUUGACAUGGUUUGGCAUAAUUUUUGUCGGUGGUGAACAGUGCAGACAAACAAGACUUGGCACCCACAUAUCUUGUAAGCUAGGGCAGAUCUUACAUUGGGACUUACACAAACUAGCUAGCCCUAGGUGCAAGGAAGAAAUCUUGCACAAGACCUUUGGCGAGAUUCGCACGGUUGUGACCUCUACAGUCGCAAGAACUUGGGCAGAUGAACACGGCCACGUGUUCGACGCGCCCUGGCAACGCCAGAGCACGCCCUCGACGCUCAGCCCGCGCGCGCAGCCCCACGCCGUGCCAACCCCGCGUCCACACCCGCGCCCGUGGCUAUAAAGCCCACCUUGGCCUCGACCGUACACCCCCGCGCGUCCCUGACCCAGCCCGAGCACGAGUUCGCCGGCGUUUUCCCAGAGAACCCCGUGCCAGCGGCCGCACAAGCCACGACCACCGUUGACCAGCCAAACUAGCCAUCCUCCGCCCCUUCCAAUCCUUGGGUUAGCUUCUACGAACCCCAGUAAAGCUCCCCGAGCCGAGGAUUGAGCAAUACCUCACCAGAGACGCCGGAUCGACGUCGCCGGACUUCAACUGGCCGCCGUCGCACGUAAACCGAGCUCCACGGUAAGCCAUUCGUCGAUUCCUUGUACCUAUAGCAUCCUUAGUAUCCCGUGAAGCUCCCUGUGCCAUUUGAUUGAACCCUACCACCAUGAGCAGGCCGGAGCACACGCCGCCGACGAGCCUGACCGCCUACGCACGUGGUCAGCCCUAUCCCGCCCAUCACCGUCGACGAUCCGCACCUCGACUUGACCGCCAGGACCUCCCGAACCUCACCCAACCCUUCACCGGACCUCCCUCGCCGCCGGUAAGUCAUGCCACCCUUUUUCCUGUCUGCGGUUACUAUUGCAAGGGGAAUGAGCCCGGGUUGAAAGAAAGAAAAGCCGGGGGGUUUUGCGAGGUCAGUGACUUAGAGGAAUAGUUCUGCAGGGGUACGGUUUAAAGGAUUAGUUAGAGGAAACCAGAGGGGCCUCGGUGCAAACUGAUUUUUCCUUAAACCUUUUAGAGUUUCAAUUUAAUUAAGUGUACUGCCCAAACCUCAAUAAAUAGAGGAAAAAUAGAAAUACUUUUGGUCUAAGGGUAAGAAAGUCAGGGGCAUGCUUAACUACUAACUAACCUGUGUAAAAAUGUUAAACUCCCCAGUAUACUAUAUGUUGGGACCAUGCUUCGUCGCCGAAGGUCCUGCGGAAAGGAAACAGCUUUGGCUGAAGCUGCUUGAACGUAAUGCCGAAGGUAUCAUUCAUGAAGCUUCGGUAUUACAGCAUGUCCGAAGAUGAGGGAUCGAACCGACUUAGAGAUAGAAUGACCUUUUAGUCCAUAAGGGUCUGAGUCAAUGUUGUAAACAUUUAUGAGGGGCAUGAUUGUAAUUCCUCACAGGCUGUGUCCUGUGCCUAUAAAUAGUGAACAUUAUUCCUUUACUGUUCACACAUUCCUGUAAUUGCAAACGCUUCACUCGGGAAUUAUUAUUAUUUGUCAAGGCAGAGGUAUAAAUGUACUUAAACAUUAUGUUCAAGCAUCUUAAAUUCGUAUGAUAAGAUAUGUGAAUAAUGUCACUUAUUUCCGAUAUAUUUAUCUUUAAUGUUUCACAUUGCACAUUUCUUUGUAUUAUCUGUAUAAUUUUAAUUACGAAGGUAUAACCUUCGUAAUAUUCUGCUCAUGGUCUUCGUCCGAAGUUCAUUAAAUCCUUGAGGAAAUAAUGCUUCAGCGGAUGAAGGGCAUUAAUAUUUAACAUUUUAUGUUGCCUUGUUCUUAAUUCAUAACAUUUGAGAGCAAGUCCCCAACAUUGGCGCCCACCUCCGGUGAACUCACUUCCACUCUUUUGAGCUAAUGGCUUCGUCCAACAAUCAAGCUGAAGCUGCUUCGGCUCCGAAGUUGGUACUCCCGAUAACAGGCGGUUCAUGCUCAGAGCCAACCAACAAGAAGCAGAAGAAGGAGGCACAGAGAAGGGUACAGCAUGUCGGGGUGCAAGGACCCUUCAUCAAGUCAAGAUGGUCUCACAUUCCAAUUACCUUCUCUCAAGAGGAUCUUCAACUCAAGGAUUACCCACACAACGAUGCUAUGGUUAUCUCUUGUGUGAUCAAAGGAUUUCUGGUCCAUAAUGUUUUGGUUGAUACAGGCAGUGCAGCUGAUAUCAUAUUUGCUAAGGCCUUCAGACAGAUGCAAGAGCCCGAGGACAAAAUCCAUGAUGCCACACAUCCCCUUUGUGGCUUCGAAGGAAGGCAGAUCGUAGCACAUGGAAAAAUCACAAUGCCAGUAACCUUCGGAUUCAUUAACAACACAAGGACUAAACAAAUUGUAUUUGAUAUUGUUGAUAUGGAAUACCCUUACAAUGCAAUCAUUGGUCGUGGUACUCUCAAUGCCUUCGAAACAAUUCUUCAUCCAGCUUAUCUUUGCAUGAAGAUACCUUCGGACCAAGGGCCUAUUGCUAUUCAUAGAAGUCUGGAAGCUGCCAGAAGUGCCGAAGGAAAUUGGACAGACUCAAAAGCAAUCCAUAACAUAGAUGGAGCUGAAGCUUGUGAGCAAUACAAGUUCAGAAGGGAAAAAGCUGCUUCGGCCGAUCAGCCGAAGCCCAUGCUCUUGUGUGAGGAUAUAGCAGAGCAGAAGGUGCUCUUGGGAUCUCAACUGUCCGAAGAACAGGAGAAAACCUUGAUAAGGUUUUUGUUCAACAACAAAGAUAUUUUUGCUUGGUCAGCUAAUGAUCUUUGCGGAGUUAACAGGGAUGUUAUUGAGCACUCGCUCAAUGUUGAUCCAUCCUUCAGACCCAGAAAGCAGAGGCUUUGGAAGAUGUCUGAUGACAAGGUCGAAGGUGCUCGGAAUGAAGUGAAAAGACUCCUCAGUGCCGGAGUUAUCAGAGAGGUAAAAUACCCAGAAUGGCUGGCUAACACCGUUAUGGUAAAUAAGGCCAAUGGUAAAUGGAGGAUGUGUAUUGAUUUUACUGAUUUCAAUAAGGCCUGUCCGAAGGACGAGUUUCCAUUGCCAAGGAUAGAUUCCCUAGUUGAUGCAACAACUUCAUCAGAGCUUAUGAGUCUGCUGGAUUGUUAUUCAAGCUAUCACCAAAUUUGGAUGAAGAAGGAGGAUGAACCGAAAACCAGCUUCAUAACCCCUAGUGGAACAUAUUGUUACCUUCGGAUGCCUGAGGGGCUUAAGAAUGCUGGAGGAAGCUUCAGCAGAAUGACAGCGAAGGUUCUUCAUUCCCAGAUAGGCAGAAAUGUGCUAACUUAUGUUGAUGAUAUCAUUGUAAAAAGCACGAAGCAAGAUAAUCACAUUGCUGAUCUACAGGAGACCUUCGCUAAUUUUAGACAGGCUGGUUUAAAGUUGAACCCAGAAAAAUGUGCCUUCGGAGUGAAGAAAGGGAAAUUUCUUGGUUGUCUAGUCUCAACAAAAGGAAUUGAGGCUAAUCCAAACAAAAUCGAAGCUAUCCUUCGAAUGGAACCACCAAGUACAAAGAAGGGGGCUCAAAGAUUGACAGGAAGACUGGCAUCUCUCAACAGAUUCAUAUCUAGAUCAGCAGAGAGAAAUUUACCAUUUUUCGAAGUGCUGAAGUCAGCCAAAGUUUUUCAAUGGGGACCAGUCCAGCAGAGAGCCUUCGAAGAGCUGAAGCAAUAUUUGAUGGAUCUAACAACACUAACUCCACCAACGCCAGGGGCUCCUUUGUUGUUAUAUGUGGCAGCUUCGCACUCAGCGAUAAGUGCAGCACUUGUCCAGGAGAAGCUUGAAGGCCAAAUCAAAAAGCAAGACCCAAUAUACUUUGUAUCCGAAGUUCUUAGUUUAUCAAAGAAAAAUUAUACAGAAUUGGAGAAGGUACUGUAUGCUGUUUUGAUGGCCUCCAGGAAGCUUCGGCAUUAUUUUCAAGCUUACAAUAUAAUUGUUCCUUCUUCACAACCGUUGAAGGAUAUUAUGAGAAAUCGAGAAGCUACUGGAAGGAUUGGAAAAUGGGAUGCAGAGCUCAAUGAAUUUUGUAUUGAUUAUGUGCAUAGGUCUUCGAUUCAAUCCCAAACGUUGGCAGACUUCAUUGCUGACUGGACGCCAGGGGCUCAAGAGGAAGAAACGAAUAAAGAUGCCGAAGUAUCGACAGUGUUUUGCGAUGGGUCUUGGGAACCUUCGGAGCAGGAGCAUCUGCUGUGUUGGUUUCACCUUCCAAAGUUAAAACUAGUUAUGCGACAAGACUUGAUUUCAGUUGCACAAACAAUAUUGCUGAGUACGAAGCUCUACUCUUGGGUCUUCGGAAGUUAAAGGCAAUGGGAAUCAGAAGGGCCAUUCGUAAAACUGAUUCCCAAGUUAUUUCUGGUCAUAUUGACAAGAGCUACAAAGCAAGAGAUCCGAAGCUUGAAAAAUAUUUAGAUACAGUCCAAAGGAUUGAGGCUUCCUUCGAAGGAUUCUCUGUUAAAAAUAUUCCUCGUGGAGAAAAUGAAUAUGCUGAUCUAUUAGCCAAGUCAGCAGCACAGGGGUUGCCCUUACCUUCGGAAGUAUUUUUCGAAACAAUAAAAGCACCUUCGGUCGAGCUUCUUGAAAGAGCAGUCCUCAACAUAUCCCCCGUCUAUAGUGAAGAUUGGAGAACUGAGAUCAUCUCUUUCCUUCAGGGUAAUUUUCUUUCAGAUGACGAAGCUUAUAACAGGAGGAUAGAAGCAAGAGCUCGACCAUAUGUCAUAAUAGAAGGGGAAUUAUACAAGCGGGGGGUCUGUUCCCCGUUACUCAAGUGUUUAUCCAGAGCCGAAGGCAUAGAAUUGAUGAAGGAAAUACAUGCAGGCAUGUGUGGAUCUCACAUUGGAUCUAGGCCUUUGCUCGGAAAAGUUUUUCGUCAAGGAAUUUAUUGGCCAAAAGCAGCUUCGGAUGCAGCGGAUUUAGUUCAAAAGUGCGAAGGUUGUCAGAAAUGUGCAAGAGAUCAAAAACAACCUUCGUCUUUAACUCAAUUAAUACAACCCACUUGGCUGUUGCAAAGGUGGGGCCUUGAUUUGCUAGGUCCAUUACCACCAGCACAGGGGAACUUAAGAUAUGUUGUAGUGGCUGUGGAAUAUUUUUCUAAGUGGAUUGAGGCAAAGCCUUUAGCCACAAUAACUUCGGUUACUAUUCAAAAGUUUUUCUGGCAAAAUAUUGUUUGUCACUUCGGAGUGCCGAAGGCCAUUACUGUGGAUAAUGGGACACAGUUUGAUUCUGAAGCUUUCAGAGAAUUUUGCGAUCAAAUUGGCACGAAGAUCCAUUUCGCAUCAGUUCGACAUCCGAAGUCAAAUGGACUUGUUGAAAGAGCUAAUGGGAUCAUAAUGACAGGAAUAAUGAAGUUAAUCUUCAAUCAGCCCAAGGGAAAGUGGCCAGAUGAAUUAAUCAAAGUGGUGUGGAGCCAUAACACAACAAUGUCAAGAUCAACAGGCUUUACGCCAUUUAAACUAUUGUUUGGUGACGAAGCAAUAACCCCGGAAGAAGCCAAAACAGGAUCAAUAAGAACAGUAGCUUCAGCAGAAGACGAAGAUGAAGCUGAUUAUUCUGUGGAAAAAGAUGUUAUAGAAGGGAUCAGGCUUCAAGCUGUGGAAAACAUCAACAAAUAUCAAGCUGAAACAAUAAAAUGGCGUGACAGAAAGGUUAGGUUGAAGAACAUUGAACCAGGACACUUGGUAUUUCAAAGAGUAGCCAACCCUGAGACAGUGGGCAAAUUACAGCUGAAGUGGGAAGGACCUUUUUUGGUAGUAUCUUCGUCAAGACCCGGUUCCUACAGAUUAAAGGAUAUGGACGGCAACGACAUUCCUAGAUCAUGGAAUGCGGAUGAGCUUCGGCGAUAUUAUGUUUAGCUUGAUGUAAUUUUUUCUAUUCUUUUUUGUGGCACCCUUUUCCUUUCCAAAGGGGGAGAAAGGUUUUUAAUGGGGCCACAACAUGUAAUUUUUCUUUUCCUCAUUUCAAUUCUAUAAGAGUGAUAUCCCCCAAAAAAUGUAAAUGUAAACACAAAGGAAAAAGAAAAGAGAACAGGGAGAAGCUCAAAAGUCGUUCCUAAGGGAAUGCAGAGCUUACAGCGAAAAAUAAACGCUGAUUUCGCUGAAAGUAAAAGGCGAAGAAGCUCCUAAGGGAGGCUUACAGCGAAAAAUAAACGCUGAUUCCGCUGAAAGUAAAAGGCGAAGAAGCUCCUAAGGGAGGCUUACAGCAAAAAAUAAACGCUGAUUCCGCUGAAAGUAAAAGGUGAAGAAGCUCCUAAGGGAGGCUUACAGCGAAAAGUCAACGCUGAUACACCGAAAAGUAAACGGUGAAGCCGAAAAGUAAACGGCAAAAAGAUUUGAAUCAUUCCUAAGGGGAUGAAGGGCAAUGAUUAUGGUUUUUGAAUAUGUGUUCCGAUAUUCAUUUGCACGAUACAUUACAUCAUGUCAUUUGCAUUCAUAAACAUUCAUUUAGACAUAUAUAGAAUCAUCAUCAUCAUACCACACAAAAAAGACAGAUGCUUCGGCAAUGAGGAAAAACUUCGAAGAAAGAGGAAAUUUUCAUGCUUCGUUGUGUACGAAAAGAAGGGAAGGUGUUUUUCGCCUUCGGCUCAAAAGAGAAGUUUCGUCCACAGCAAAGCAGAUUGUACAUGGGUAAAGGAGACAAGAUACAUUGCAAGGUAUGUACAAAUUUACAUAAGUUUUUUCCACAAUUAUAUUACAAAAAUCUCUCCAGAAUUUUUUACAGGAAAGUCUAUUAUAGCAACUAUUAAGCUUCAGGCCGUCAUACUUCAGCUUCGUCAUAUUUCAGCUUCGUCAUACUUCAGCUUCGUCAUCCUGCACAUAUUAAAGAACAGAAUAAGAAAGGUGCAAAUGUCAAGGAGAAGGUAAAAGUAACAAAUAUAAGUUUCUCACUGGCUUAAGGUGGCUUCGAGCUUCGUCACCAGCCAUUUUUUGCCUGCCAUUUACCCAAAUUUGGGUCAUAAAUCUAUUUCCGAUGCUUCGGGCUAAGCUUGGGAUAUCAACCAAAUCUGCUGCUGACAAGCUGAAGUUUGGCCAAUUCACAAUCUUUCCGUGCGUACAGCCCACCUUCAGAAAAGCGGUAGCUGUGCCUCGAGAAGCUACCAGGGCGCAGAAGUCGGCAUGCCCACCAAUAACUUCGUCAAGAGCAUCAACCUCGCCUUCAAUAUGUUCCAAGGUGCUGGGCAGGUUUUCGGCUGAAGGUGAAAAUUUUUCAGAACUAGCUCCGAUAGAGUGAAAUACGUCAUUCAGCCGCUGCACGCAUCGGCUGCCGAAAUUUAGGCAUUUCUCUUGGAGAUCCUUCAAUGAUUUUUGCAAAUUUGAAUUUUUCUCGACCUCAGUCUUGAGACUUGCUUCAAGUUUCUCCUUUUCUUGCUCAUAUUUUUCUGACUUUUUGAGUAAUUCAUUCUUUAAACUGUCAUUUUUUGGCUUGGACUUCAGCCAAGGAGCCUUCCAUAGACUCAAUAAUAAAGUCUUUAUUUUCUAAGACACCUUCGUGUUCUUUAGCCAUGAUUUCAAGGCCUUGAAUGGCGAAGUCCUUCUUCUUCAGAACAGCUUCAUAAUUUUCAACUUUUUCUUCUAAAUCUUUGAUGAUAGCUUUGUUCUUCUCCUCUUCAAGAUCUUGUUGCAUUUUUAGCACCUUACUUAAUAGUAUACUCUACCAGAACAACCUUCGUCAAAAAACGACAUAAAAAUAAUAAUAAUAAUAAAAUAAUAAUAUUUUUUACCUUAAAAUUAGCAUAGAACAGGCUACCAGCGAUAUGUUGUCACUGGUACCUGCAAAGGUCCGCUUCUAUCUUCGGCAGGCCAACGCUUUUGGAGAAGGUUCUAACAACUUUGGCCUCGGUGCGAUUCCGAAGGCACCUUAGCUUCCCUUCGUUGACCCCACCAAAUAGCAUAGACCCUGGUUUAUAUCCGCAAGAUAUGGCAUAUUUCCUCAACUCUUCUUUUUCAGCACUUGUUAAAUCUUGUCCAAGUAAAUCUUGAAAGUUAAAAUUUUCUUCCUCCAAAAUGUCUUCAACCUGCUUUUUUCCCUUUUCAGUAGCCGUGUUCACCACAGCCACAGCAGCUUCUUCUUCAGCCAUUUUCAGAAGAAUAUUGUCAAUAACUUCCAGUGUGGUUUCCAGGUUUGAAUCUUCGGUGGCCCCGGCUUCGGUUCCGGUAGCUUCGGCUCCAAUAGUUUCGGCGGUUUCGACUCCGGUAGCUUCGGCUCCGGCAGUUGCAAUAUCAGUGGUUUCAGCCCCGGUAGCUUCGGCUGCGGCGGCUUCGGCUGCGGCGGUCUCGGCAAUAACAAUUUUUGACGCCGAUACCGGUGGCGGCGUCUGAUGAAUCACAUCUGUCACUUGGAUAAUUCUGCAUUUUUUCGGCUUUGCAGGACUUUCUGCUGCUGAAGCUUCUUUGUCCUUCUGAAAAACUUCGUCAGUUCCGGUGCCAGCGGACUUAGCUUGACAGGCAAAGAUUCAGUCAUUACCUUCAGAAUUUCUUCUACUUCGGCAGCAGAAGGUGUCGCAGGAACUUCCUCAUCUCGGACUAAUCUCUCUGGUUCUGGAGAUACAGGCUUUGGAGAUGCAGCCUUCCUUUUUCUUGAAGCAGCUACCUUCGGUUCAAACUUUUCUUUCUUCUUUUUUGGUUGAUCUUCGUCAUCUUUAAUCAAAGUGCCUGCUACUCUUUUCCUUUUCAGCCCUUCGGCACCCUUAUCGAGCCGCCCAUAAUCAGGAUAUUCAAAGCCUAUAGCAUCAAGCACUCUGUUUAGCCUUCGUUUCGGCCGGGUGCCGAAGGCUGCUGUCAUCAACUGAUCCUCUUUUUUAGAAUAAUUCCCAAGAAUUUCAGUACUCAUCACUUCGAUUGUUUCGAGCCAUUCUUGGCAGGGUGCUUUAAAAUAUUUCUUGAACUUAUAAUGGUAGGGCAGUCGGACAAGCUCCCCCUCUUUCUUCUCUCUUUCAAGCUUCGGCAUAGCCCAUUCCUUCAUAGUUGGAAAUAUUUUGAAAGCCAAAAAUUCCUGCACUAAAUCUCUAGUGCCAAUGUGCUCUGCAAUAAUCCUGAAUUCAGCCAACGCGAUAUGGGUUGGACCUUCUGGUGUCAUACUGCAUUGGGGUCUGGUCUCUCUGAAGAUCAGUUCAAGCGGACUCUGUACCAGCUUCUCCUUGUCAUCCUCAACUUUGACGUAGAACCAUUCCGAUUUCUAGCCUGCCGGCCACUUGCUUCGGUAGCUGAUCACAGGAAAUUUUGUACUUUUCCGAUAGGCAAAAUUAUAGCAACCAAAAUUUUCAUGUAACCCAUCUUUUCUGGCUUUGGUUUGGUAAUGUAGCUCAUGCACCUGGCAGAAACCUUCGGAAAACGGUUCCACCCCCUGGCUUCGGAGAGCCCAAAUAUAAACACUAAGCCUAACAAUAGCGUUAGGAGUUAGUUGAUGAAUAUAGAUCCCAAACUUCUUUAGCACAUAAGCAAUCAUCCUAUUCAAAGGAAAUCUCAAACCAGCUUUGAGGAAACUCUUGAAAAUCACUAUUUCAUCUUUCUGUGGUUUCGAGGUAGUCUCUUCUCCACCAAAGCGAAUCAGCUUUUUCUCAUCUUUGCUAAAGUAGUCCGACUUCACCAUCUUAGGAAAAUCAGCCUUAGAGAUGGUUGACUUUCCGAAAUCUAGGUGGCUAGGCUUGCUUGGUACUGCGAUACUGUGAUCACCUUCAGAAUAAGUCUCUUCAAUAUCUGCUUGUUCUGCUUCGGCAGCAGGGGUGUCUUCCGAUGUCACCAACCCAGAUCGCCUCAUUGUUUCCGAGAUAGGAACAGUUUCCGCAGCUUCGGCUUCAUCUCCUUCGCGCUCAGCUCUAGCAGUAGAACGCACUAUGGCCAUUUGAUUUUGAAUUUCUUGAAAAUUGCUUGGAAAUUAAUAACCUUUCUUCCGAAGCUCUUCUUCUGACGAAGCAGACACUAAACUGGAGCUUCGUUUGAAUGCGAAAGUCAAGCUUCGGCUAUGGUUAAAAUUUUUGGCAGCAAAACAGUGCAAUAGCAAUGAAUGUUGUGGUAACUUCACACCUACCCGUCUAUUUAUAUAGUGCUGCAGGUAAGAAGGUGAAUCAUCAGGAUUUUUACACCAGGCAAACAGUUGCUCGCACCCGCUGCACGGUGGGCCGCAAAGACUAAAAUAGUGAACCUGCAUGGUGGGACCGCUACGUGCUCGAAAACUGUAUCGUUUCUCGACAACGAGCUCAGGGAAGGUGUUUUUCGGACCUUCGGCUUCCUGAAGCCUGAGAGACUUUUUCACGGAUCAAGCUCGUUACGAAAAACGAUCUAGCACCGUGAAGGGGCUACUGUUGGGACCAUGCUUCGUCGCCGAAGGUCCUGCGGAAAGGAAAUAGCUUCGGCUGAAGCUGCUUGAACGUAAUGCCGAAGGUAUCAUUCAUGAAGCUUCGGUAUUACAGCAUGUCCGAAGAUGAGGGAUCGAACCGACUUAGAGAUAGAAUGAUCUUUUAGUCCAUAAUGGUCUGAGUCAAUGUUGUAAACUUUUAUGAGGGGCAUGAUUGUAAUUCCUCACAGGCUGUGUCAUGUGCCUAUAAAUAGUGAACAAUAUUCCUUUACUAUUCACGCAUUCCUGUAAUUGCAAACGCUUCACUCGGGAAUUAUUAUUAUUUGUCAAGGCAGAGGUAUAAAUGUACUUAAACAUUAUGUUCAAGCAUCUUAAAUUCGUAUGAUAAGAUAUGUGAAUAAUGUCACUUAUUUCCGAUAUAUUUAUCUUUAAUGUUUCACAUUGCACAUUUCUUUGUAUUAUCUGUAUAAUUUUAAUUACGAAGGUAUAACCUUCGUAAUAUUCUGCUCAUGGUCUUCGUCCGAAGUUCAUUAAAUCCUUGGGUAAAUAAUGCUUCAGCGGACGAAGGGCAUUAAUAUUUAACAUUUUAUGUUCCCUUGUUCUUAAUUCAUAGCAUUUGAGAGCAAGUCCCCAACACUAUAUUAAGGAAGGAUUAACCACAAAAACUUGCUUUGAUUCAAACCUAAAGAAAAUAAAAAAAGGGGAUUUAAAGGAAGAACCAGAGGGCACCCACAUUUUUCCUAGCUUACUUGAGGGACAUAGAUCACAAGAAAAUUUUGUUGAACCCUCUGUUAGUACAAAAGAAAUGCCCCAUAUUUUAUUUCUUAAAAACAGUGAGAACUUAGAAAAAUCCUUGAAAAAUAACCCUAAGGAGAAACCACCCCAAUCCUUGGGAUAACAAAUAAUAUGUUAGUAUGAAUCUAGGAAAAAUAUAAGUUUUGUUGUUUGAUAUUUUUCAAAUGACAAGUUAGCUAUAAGUACAUUUUUGACAUUAAACUUUAGAAAAUCACAACUAAAUAACCAUUAUGUCACUUUCUGUGAUUUUUAGCACAUAGACCUAUUAUCACACAUGAAUCUUGGUAAAAAUAAGUUUUAGUCCAGAACAUUCACCUAAAUCAGAGCUGUAGUACAAAGUGACUUUUUACCCUCACUUUUGUCAUUUUUGCCCAAGGGUUAUCUGAAUUAAUUCUAACCUCAAAAUUUUAGAAUAGACUACAGAGAUCAAUGUCUACACACUGUAAUUUUUGUAACAUUUUUGGAAAAACCUAAUUUGCCAUGGUAGUUCAAAAGCACUCAAUAAUAAGCAUAAUAGAAAGUAAAAGAGGAAUUGUGGAAGAAAUUAAUAUUGUGCAACUAAAUUCUCCUAAGAGUCCCAUAAAACAAAAGGAGAUGAUUAAAAUCCUUAAGUUCACUAAGACCCAAAAAUAGUUGUAUACCAAACACUAAGAGCACCUCCCGAUAAAGAAACCCUAGUUUACCCACUGUUUUAAUAUUGUUUCACCAUACAUAGUAUUUACUAAAUUAACAUAUUAUUAGUAUACAUGUAUCUUAUUCAUCGCAUUCGAUAGAUUGUAAUCUCGUGGAUGGAGAGUACAUCCUCGUUCCGGAGCAAGGAGUUGCUCACGAGGUAGUCCAGGAGCCACCACCAGAGCCUGCCAUCGAGGAUCUGUCUGCCCCAACUUUGGAAGGCAAGCCUCGGUUUUAUGCAUAACCAUUAUAUAUACGCUAUUUUAUUGCACUUAAAUGUUGUAGGCUUGUACUGUGCACUUAAGUGUAGGAGUUGACUGAAACCCUAGUUGCAUGAACUCAAGAUUUCCUUUGAGAUGAAUACUAGUAUGCUAGGUCGAGUAGCUGCUUUGCUAAAUAGGGAUCUCGGUAGAAGUCGGGUGAUUUUCUAGCACUCACGCGAGGUUAGGAAUUGGUUGUAUCCAUUUUUUAUAACAGAAUGAUGGUAGUCUGUGCACACAGAUCCAUGUGGAUGCGUGGUCUACAAGUUGAAAUUGGAAUAAAUAUUAACAAGCGGAUACCUGUGUCAAGCGUUUGAACAUACUAAGCACAUGCCGAGAAAUGUGGUAAAUCGGUAAGCCUAGUGCUUGAGUGAACCUGGCAACAAACUUUAUGCCUCACGCGACCUGAGACGUGGUCUCCCAUUUCGGUUAUGGUGGGUACAAGUGCGGUCACUGCACGACGGCAGUCGGGGUUAGUGGGGCAUUGUACGCCAAGUCGGUGAGCCCUGUUCUGUUGACGGGGAAUCGAUGGGGACGGUUGAUAUGUGUGGGGUUGGAGUGCCUCACCAUGUCGUGUGUUUAGGUUUCCCUUGCAAGGUUAAAACUCGAUUCGAAUCGUCUGCUUCUCGCAGCUAAUGAGACUGCUUGAUCCAUUGUACUGCAUUGACUAAUAAGUGGAAAUGAGUUGAUUGGCAAAAGAUGUUUAUUGUAAAAUGCUUGAUAACAUGUAUGAUUAGCUAGGUACACAUCUAGUCUUAAGAGAAUCACACUAAAACUUGAAAAGCUAAAACUUGAUUUUAGGCUCAGCUAGUGCUUUUUGGCCAACCAAACCCCUCAGCCAAACAGCUGCAUGUCUAGAGGUAGAGGAGUAGACUCCUCACACCGGGUAAGUCUAGUUGAGUAUUAGUAUACUCAGCCUUGCUUGUGGCAUAAUUUUUACAGGUUCUCUGGAGGAUAUGGUUGCUAGAGUGACUUGGCCGUCUACCUUGCCACCGGGUUAGACAGUCGAGUGGGACCCUACCUCAGCAGGAGAGGAGCAAGAGGAUUGAUGGGCCAGGCUUCCCCAUCCUCCCUUAUGUAUCGUUAGUUAAUUUCUGCUGCAUCCCGAACAAUGAAUUCUACUGUUGCAAAACUCCGAUGAUGUUGUAAUAACUUUAAGUACUCCUUUAACUUGUGGUUUUAUGCUUUAUUGUAUUUGCUCUGUGCCUCACCUUCGAGUGAGUACGUGGUACUUGAUCCUGUUAGUGGCCUUGUCGGACUAGAUCCGAGGGACUGACGUUUUAUUCCUAUUUAAGUGUGGUCUAGCCUCUAAAGUGGGACUUAGACACAUAAGUUGGAAUAAUUCGGGCAGUUCCACCAUAGCUGGUAUCGGAGCUUGUACCACCACAGAGGAAUCAAUAAAUCGUAAUUACCAACCUUUUCAAAAGUAAAACUUGCUUAGAAACCAAUGUUGGAUAGAUCGUUAAGACGAUAAGGAUAGACCUAGGAUGUGAAGCCUUAGGAUAGUAGAUGGGUAGCUAGGUGGCUAUUUGAAUAUGCCCUACAGGCUGCUAUGGUAUAGGUGGGGGAUUUCUAUACCCCUAUAUACUUGAUGUGAGGUCACUUAGGACGAGCAUGCAUGCAUUAUUUUUCUAGCUACUUAGUAAGAGGUCAAUAUUAACAAAGACUACUUAAUCAAAGAGACACCCGUAAUAAGAAAUUAAGUCUACAUCGAAGAUCGCAACUUAACCAUGGGAAAGCCAAGCACUAGUUUCCCUCUUAUUUUUGGUAAUUCUUUUUCUUUUUUCGCUUACGAUUGCCCUUACACAGAUGACUUCUCACGAAUCCAUGGAAGGAGGGAACACACAUUCCCACACAGACAGACUUGCACGAGAGGGUUUUCCCCGUAUUUUGUGGGAGGUACUGCAGGGAGCCGGUUAUGCUAUGCCUCCCCAGUACGCGGUGCAGUUGUUCGAGGAGCACCGGGUACCCCGCUGUAGGGUGAGGAUGACUUUGGAGCCUCAUCCCUUGCAGCCCGGCUGGCGUUCUUUGGACUCUGAGUCUUUCGGUUUCAGAGCCGAGGAUACUAUUGAGUCCACUGCUCUGCACGUGCUAACAACCUUCUGCGGCUUUCAUCCCUUGGAGCUGUCAACCCACCCCAUCGGCUUAUUCCACGCUGAAAAGGAGGACGACCCGAUGUGGAAGGAUCGGGUUGAGCACGCCAAGGAUGUGUGGGCUCUCUACCCUGGACAUACUGCUCACCUGACGGUUUGGUGCAUGAAUGCCCUGUAUCGUCUACAGGCAUUGCGAGGUGAGGAAAUGUCCCAACUAAUGGGAUUAGUAGAGUCUACCAAGAUCACCCUGGAUAACAGGGAGGACCUUGUGGUCGACUUGUCCACUAAGCUGGUGGAAAAGGGUCUCCAGGUGGAACAGAUGGCCACCCAAAUCCAAGAGCUUGAGGAUCAGGUGGAGGCAAGGGGGAACACCAUCAAGGUUCUGGAAGAUCAACUCCAGACCACACAGCAACAGCUUGAGGAAGCCAACUAGCACUUGGAUCUGCACCAUCAAGAGAUUCAAGACAUGGAGGCAGAGGGGGCCGAUGAGGAUGCAGACAACGAGGGAGGAGAGGAGCCGGAUCCUGCAUCCAAUUUGGACACUGCUGGUUCAGGAAGACCACCUUCCCCCGAGUCUAGCGUUGCCUUGUUUGCUCAGUAGAUUUCAAAGUUAGGAUAGAAGUGUGCGGCAGUAGAACUCCUCGAAACUAGCUUAGCUUUUGCACCUUGGAGGUACUAGGAUAGAGAGAGUUGAGUAUUUUGGGCACUGCUGUAACUAUUGGAAAAACUCUUUUGGCAUGUUGAAUGAUGGAUGGCUUCUGCUUUUAUGUAUGAAUGAAAUUUUAUUAUGAUGGUACCAGUUGUGAAAAGCAAGGAAACAUUUGGAAUCUUACAUACCUCGUUAUUGAAGAUCUUUUAUCAUGUGCAAUCACGGAUUUCAAGUAUGAUAUUGAGAACAUCCUAAAUUUCAGAUGGCAGGAAGAGCGCGCUGUGGACAGAAUGAACGCAUUCCUCCACCACCGCCGCAACCUCCUACCAUGCAGGAGCUAAUGGCUCAGCAGAAUGAGAUUCUGCGAUAGCUAGCUCAGCGUCAGCCACCACCCCAACAUUAUGGUAAUGGUGAUCAUCAUCAGCGUCCCCCAGUAGCGGCCACCUAUCAAGAGUUUCUCAGUACUCAGCCGCCGUUGUUCACUCGGGCAGAAGACCCACUCGACGCGGAUGUUUGGCUCGGGGUGGUGGAAUCCAAAUUUCCACUGCUUAAUGGUGAUUGUUCAGAUGUGACCAAGGUCCGUUUCGCCACCCAGCAGCUUCGUGGGCCUGCGCGGACAUGGUGGUACCAUUUCCUCGCCAUGCAGUCGGUUGACACGUGGUUGAAUGGGGAGAGUUCAAGGCAGCAUUCAGAGGGCAUCACAUACCAGAAGGCAUCAUGGACCGCAAGCUCAAUGAAUUUCUGGCACUCACUUAGGGAAGUAGUAUAGUGUUGCAGUACGCCCAAGCCUUUAAUGACCUGUGUCAGUACGCAGGCUAUCAUGCUGACACGGAUGGGAAGAAGGGAGACAGAUUCAGGAGGGGCCUCAGUACUAAGCGUCGCGACCAUCUCAACACAGUCAGGGCCAACAACUACAAUGAGUUAGUCAACAUGGCAUCUCUCAGGAGGACUGCAUCACAGCCCGUUAGGCAGAAAAGAAGAGAAAGACCCCUGUGACAAGACCUUCAGCUUAGCCUCAGCGCUUCAGGAUUGUGUCCGACACUUAGAGUAGAGGACCUCAGCAACAACAGGGGCGAUGGGUGAUCCGACCACAAUAGCAGCAGCAGGCACCCAACCGCUCUCAACCCCCAGUUCAGAGGAACAACAACCAGCCACAACAGCAGUACCGUCAGGGCAAUGAUAACAGGUGUUUCACUUAUGGCAGCACCAGGCAUUAUGCCAAGAAUUGUCCCAAGAACCAGCAGAGGCAGGGGCAGAAUGCAAAUCAAAACCAAGGCAAGAGGCGGAAGGUGCAAGUGAGGCAGGGCAGGCUAAACUUCACCACAGUGGCUGAUAUUCCGGAGGGAGCACCCAUCAUGACCGGUAUCUUUUCCGUUUUGAAUUACCCUACUGUCAUUCUUUUUUAUUCCGGUGAAUCACACAGCUUCAUCAGCACAAAAAUUAGUGCAAAAUGUCACCUAACCUUUUACCACACAGAUGGGGUUAUUAUGAUUUCAACCCCGGGAGGCAGGGUUGCCACCUAUCAACUCAACUGGCGUGUGCCAAUAAAAUUGGGUAGCCUUGUAUUUAAAACCACCCUCCUUAUCAUGGCAUUGGAGAGCGUGGAUGUCAUCUUGGGAACUGACUGGUUAUCCCGACAUCAUGCAUUAAUAGAUGUCGCAGCGAGAGCCAUUGAAAUACACUCACCUUUUUUUGGAGACUUCACAUUGUACUUGCCUAACCAGGAUUGUACCCAUUCUUAUGCACUCGCCCUGAUAGAGUCACCCGUAGAGAGUAUUCUAGUGGUUUGAGAGUACCCUGAUGUUUUCCUAAACGAAUUGCAAGGGAUGCCACCCGACAGAGACAUAGAGUUUGCAAUUGAGCCGCAACCCGGAACUGCACCUAUAUCCAAGAUACCCUAUAGGAUGCCUCCAGCAAAGUUAGCAGAACUGAAAAAGAAGUUACAAGAAUUGUUGGACAAGGGGUUCAUUCGCCCAAGUACUUCACCAUGGGGAUGUCCGGCCUUGUUCGUGAAGAAGAAGGAUGAGAGUUUGAGACUGUGUGUCGAUUACCACCCUCUCAAUGAGGUAACGAUUAAAAAUAAGUAUCCUUUGCCCCGCAUUGAUGUGUUGUUUGAUCAGUUGGUGGGAGCCAAGGUAUUUUCCAAGAUAGACCAUCGCUCUGACUAUCAUCAAAUCAAGAUCAGGGCCAGCGAUAUUCCGAAGACGGCUUUCUCUACCAGAUACGGACUUUAUGAGUACUUGGUGAUGUCAUUCGGGCUGACCAAUGCCCCAGCAUAUUUCAUGUAUUUGAUGAAUUCAGUGUUUAUGCCAGAGCUAGACAAGUUUGUGGUGGUCUUCAUUGAUGAUAUCUUGGUCUAUUCAAAGAAUGAAGACGAGCAUACUGAGCAUUUGCACAUCGUACUUCAACGACUGCGGAAUCAUCACUUAUAUGCUAAAUUGUCCAAAUGUGAUUUCUGGCUAAGGGAGAUUAAAUUCUUGGGUCACACCAUUUCUCAGGAUGGGAUAUCAGUUGAUCCUGAGAAAGUGCAAGAGGUGAUGGACUGGAAGCCUCCUACCACAGUGCGGCAGAUUCGGAGUUUCCUAGGAUUGGUAGGAUAUUAUCGGCGAUUCAUUCCGGAUUUCUCUAGGAUUGCAAACCAAUGACUAAAUUAUUGAAAAAGGGAGUAAAAUUUGAAUGGAAUCAGAAAUGUGAAGAUGCCUUUCAUGCACUAAGGCAACAUCUGACAACAGCACCCGUGCUAGCACAGCCUGACAACACCAAAUCUUUUGAUGUGUAUUGCGAUGCUUCGGGCACUGGAUUGGGUUGUGUUCUGAUGCAAGACAAUAGAGUUAUUGCCUACGCCUCCAGAGCACUCAGGCCCCAUGAGCAGAAUUACCCCACGCAUGAUCUAGAGUUAGCAGCAGUAGUUCAAGCUCUAAAGAUAUGGAUACAUUAUCUAAUGGGAGCUCAUUGUAACAUCUAUAUUGACCACAAGAGUCUCAAGUAUAUUUUCACUCAGACUGAUCUUAAUAUGAGGCAGAGAAGAUGGUUGGAAUUGAUCAAGGACUAUGAUUUGGAUUUGCAUUACCAUCCUGGCAAGGCCAAUGUUGUGGCAGAUGCCUUAAGUCGAAAAGCCUAGUGCAACUGUGUAACUAUGGAUUCUAAGAUCGCCACUCUGUGUGACGAGUUGCGCAAGCUAAACAUGGAAGUUGUUUCCCGAGGUACCUUGGAUUAUAUCUUCGUGGAGCCAACUCUAUAAGAGCAGAUAGUCCUGGCACAGAUUGAUGACAAGGGUGUUCAAGUCAUUAAGGAAAUGCUCAAACAAAAGGUGGAUAAGUACAUAUGUUUUCGUCAGGACAGCAAGGGAGUUCUAUGGUUUGAAGACCGAUUAGUUGUUCCUAAAAACCUAGAACUCAGGAAGAAAAUAUUAGACGAAGCUCAUCUCUCCAAAUUUUCCAUGCACCCCGGCAGUGAUAAGAUGUAUCAUGACCUCAGAUCCUUGUAUUGGUGGACCAGAAUGAAGAGAGAAAUUGCUAAGUAUGUAUCUAAGUGCGACACUUGCCAAAGAAUCAAAGCUAGUCAUUUGAAUGUAGCAGGUACCCUACAACCUCUUCCCAUUCCUUCUAAGAAGUGGGUGGACAUUUGCAUGGAUUUCGUUGUGGGAUUACCAAACACCUCCCGACACCACGAUUCUAUUUGGGUCAUUAUGGAUAGGCUAACUAAGACAACUCAUUUCUUGCCAGUGCAUACUACCCACAAGGCAGAAAAAUAUAAAGAGAUCUAUAUUGACCAUAUAGUGCGUUUGCAUGGAAUCCCGAGGACUAUUGUGUCUUAUAGAGGAGCACUGUUCGUGGCACGUUUUUGGGAGCAGCUACAAAAGUCACUUGGAACAACCGUGAUUAGAAGCUCAGCAUACCAUCCUCAAACCGAUGGUCAGACAGAAAGAGUAAAUCAGAUUCUGGAGGACAUGUUGAGGGCAUGUGUGUUACACUAUGGUAAGAAUUGGAAUAAGUGACUUUCCCUGGCGGAAUUCUCUUAUAAUAACAACUACCCUAAAGAUGGCACCUUUCGAGGCCUUGUAUGGGAGAAGGUGUAGAACACCGCUAAAUUGGUCACAAGCUGGAGAAAGGGAAGUAUUUAGACCUGACCUAGUACUUGAAGCCAAGGAUAAAGUCAGAGUCAUUAAGAAGAACUUGGAAGCUGCUCAGGCCAGGCAGAAGAGCUAUCAUGAUAAGAGAAGGAAGCCUCUACAAUUCGAAGUGGGGGAUCAUGUGUAUCUCAAAGUGUCACCCACCAAAGGUGUUCAGAGAUUUGGGAUCAAGGGCAAGUUAGCUCCUCGCUAUAUUGGGCCCUAUGAAAUCAAGGAGACUUGUGGACCUGUAGCAUACCAAUUGAAGUUGCCACCUCAUAUGUCAGCAAUUCAUGAUGUAUUUCACAUGUCUCAGCUAAGGGAGUGCGUCCGCUUACCCACGGAAGUGCUACCUGUACCUGAGUUGGAGAUAGAACCGGACUUGUCAUAUCAAGAGCACCCCGUCUAGGUAUUGGACCAAAAGGAAAGGUCAACUCGAGCAAGGUAAAUCCGGAUGUAUAAGAUUUAGUGGAGCAACCAUUCAGAAGAAGAGGCUACAUGUGAAACUGAGGAUUUUUUGCGCUCUCGCUUCCCCGAUUUUCUGCCUAAAGGAAUCGGUACGUAACCCAAAACACCCACCCCCACCUGCCCUUUGAAUCUAAAUAUAAGAGAAACAUAGUUGAUAAGAGCAGAGUAAGUUGUGAAACUAAAUCAAGAAGGACUUCCUUCUGAAGUUGCAAAGAGGAUGACAUUCGAAGAGUAGUUUACUAGAGAAUCUUGACCAAAAAGGAACCACAGUACACCAACACGCACCUUCUUGGCACCCCACUAAAGGAUCCCUACCCAAUCAAGGGACGAGAUUCCUUUAAGGGGGGAGGGCUGUAACACCCCAGGUGUUACCCAAGGCCCUGGCCAAAGGAGCACACUUGUGUCCUGCUUACCCUAUAUGCUAAAUUGGAAAGUGAAGGCACUAAAAGCUUUAGAAUCAUGGUUAAGCUAAGUAUUGAUCAUAACAAGAAAGAAACCCUAGCCUUCAUCCAUUCUCACUCAUGAAAAAUAUUCUAAACCCUAAUUCCCCUCUUAAGCCAUUAAACCCUAAACAUGGGGUUAAUGGGGAAAGAGUGGGCAAAUGGCCAAAUCAUGGAAGGAAACCUUUACCAAAGAUGAAGUAUAUUAGAAAAUCUACAAAAUGUAUUAAGGAAGAUAUUACAAAAAGGCCCAACAAAAACCCUAAAUCAGUUCACUAAGUGGAGAGCACAAUAGAGCCAUCAAAAUUUCUCUAAGUCCCAAAACCAACCCUAGCCUAAAGAUCAUAUGUGUUCACCUUUGUGCUGGCGCCAAAACCACUUGGACCAAAUAACAAAAAGUGUCCAAAUUACCUAAGGCACACCCCUGAAAAGUUUGAAAACAAACCAAGGUCGUUUGACAUGGUUUGGCAUCAUUUUUUCGCUGGUGAAAAGUGCAGACAGAUAAGACUUGGCGCCCACAUAUCUUGUAAGCUAGGGCAGAUCUUCCAUUGGGACUUACAUAAACUAGCUAGCCCUAGGUGCCAGGAAGAAAUCUUGCACAAGACCUUUAGCGAGAUUCACAUGGUUGUGACCUCUACAGGCGCAAGAACUUGGGCAGAUGAACACGACCACGUGUUCGAGGCGCCCUAGCAACGCCAGAGCACGCCCUUGGCGCUCCGCCCACGCGCGCAGCCCCACGCCGUGCCAACCCCGCGCCCGCGGCUAUAAAGCUCACCUUGGCCUCGACCGUACACCCCCGCGCGUCUCUGACCCAGCCCGAGCACGAGUUCGUCGGCGUUUGCCCUGAGAACCCCGUGCCAGCGGCCGCGCAAGCCACGACCACCGUAGACCGGCCAAACUAGCCAUCCUCCGCCUCGUCCGACCCUUGGGUUAGCUUCUACGGACCCUAGUAAAGCUCCCCGAGGCGAGGAUUGAGCAAUACCUCACUGGAGACGCCGGAUCGAUGUCGCCGGACUUCCUCCGGCCACCAUCGCACGUAACCGAGCUCCACGGUAAGCCAUUCAUCGAUUCCUUGUACCUAUAGCAUCCUUAGUAUCCCGUGAAGCUCCCUGUGCCAUUUGAUUGAACCAUACCACCGUGAGCAGGCCGGAGCACACGCCGCCAACGAGGCGGACUGCCUGCGCACGCGGUCAGCACUAUCCCGGCUAUCACCGUCGACGAUCCGCACCUCUACGUGACCGCCAGAACCUCUCGGACCUUACCCAACCCUUCACCGGACCUCCCUCGCCGCCGGUAAGCCGCGCCACCCUUUUUCCUCUCUGCGGUUACUGUUGCAAGGGGGAAGGAGCCCGGGUUGAAAGAAAGAAAAGCCGGGGGGGUUUUGCGAGGUCAGUGACUCAGAGGAAUAGUUCCGCAGGGAUACAGUUUAAAGGAUUAGUUAGAGGAAACCAGAGGGGCCUCGGUGCAAACUGAUUUUUUCUUAAACCUUUUAAGCCUUAUUCUUUUAAAUGAAUACAGAACUUGCAAAAUUCAUAACUCGAAUUUUACCCAGCCAAAUUUGGUCAAACUAAUUUUGUUAGGUCCUAAAUAUUAUGAACUACUUAAGAAAAAUAACAAACACCCUAAGUACUGCAAGACUUUUUAGAGUUUCAAUUUAAUUAAGUGUACUGCCCAAAACUCAAUAAAUAGAGGAAAAAUAAAAAUACUUUUGGACUGAGGGUAAGAAAAAUCAGGGGCAUGCUUAACUACUAACUAACCUGUGUAAAAAUGUUAAACUCCCCAGUAUACUAGAUUAAGGAAGGAUUAACCACAAAAACUUGCUUUGAUUCAAACCUAAAGAAAAUGAAAAGGGGGAUUUAAAGGAAGAACUAGAGGGCACCCAAAUUUUUCCUAGCUUACUUGAUGGACAUAGAUCACAAGAAAAUUUUGUUGAACCCUCUGUUAGUACAAAAGAAAUGCCCCAUAUUUUAUUUCUUAAAAAUAGUGAGAACUUAGAAAAAUCCUAGAAAAAUAACCCUAAGGAGAAACCACCCCAAUCCUUGGGAUAACAAAUAAUAUGUUAGUAUGAAUCUAGGAAAAAUAUAAGUUUUGUAGUCCAGGAGCCAGCACCAGAGCCUGCCAUCGAGGAUCUGAUGAAGACAUCCACACUACUGAUACAUCUAUGCCAAUACAAGUACCAAUUUCUGGUCCCAUUACUCGCGCUCGUGCUCGUCAACUCAACCAUCAGGUGAUUACACUCUUGAGUUCAUGUCCAUCAUAUUUAGACCAUGGAGACCCGUGCACUCUUGUUUUGCUUAGGAACCAGGGAGAAGACCGAAAGGGAAAAGGAUUUGAACAUGCUAGAUUCGGACUGCAGAAGAACACCAACUUGUGACGGUCACCAUGAUCACAUGCGGGCUCGGAUUGGAAUGUUCAAGCACAACAUGGAAAGCUUAUUGUUGGGGGCAUGCUUCGUAGCCGAAGAUCCUAAAAAGAACACCUUCGAAAGGUCUUCUCAGAAGCAAGCGCCGAAGCUAUUAUCUAUAAAGCUUCGGCAUAAAGACAAAUCUCAAGAUGAAGGGUCGAACCGGUUUAAAGAUGAAUUGACUUAAAGACCCAUGAUGUUUUGUAUCAUUAUUGUAGUCGAUUGUAAAGGACAUAAAUGUAAUUUUGCGCAGGUUGCAUCCUGUGCCUAUAAAUAGGUGAACAGUAUCCCGACACUGUUCACGCGAUCCUGUAAUCACGGACACGUUACGCUUGGAUUAUUGUUUUCUGCCAAGGCGAAGGUAUAAAUGUGCCUAAAUAUUAUGUUUUAAUACUUGUAUAUUCACAUAAUAAAACAUGUGAAUAUAUUUUGUGAUGUAUAUUUCAUUUCUCAUUGUUGUCUUAAAAAUAUGAUCACGAAGGCGAAACCUUCGUGAUACUUUACUUAUGACCUUCGUCCGAAGCUCAUUAAAUCCUUGGGGAGAAAAAGCUUCAGCGGACGAAGGGCAUUUAUACUUAACAUCUUUGUGUUGCGUUGUUCUUAAUUCGAAGCAUUUGAGAACAAGUCCCCAACAUUGGCGCCCACCUCCGGUGAACUCACUUCCACUUUCUGAGCUGAUGGCUUCAUUCAAAGCUGGAGUUGCUUCGGCUCCGAAGCUUGUACUCCCGAUAACAGGCGGUUCAUGCUCAAAGCCAGCUAACAAGAAGCAGAAGAAGGAGGCACAGAGAAGGGUACAACAUGUAGGGGUACAAGGACCCUUCAUCAAGUCAAGAUGGAAUCACAUCCCGAUUACCUUCUCCCAAGAGGAUAUUCAGCUCAAGGACUACCCUCACAAUGAUGCUAUGGUUAUCUCUUGUGUUAUCAAAGGAUUUCUGGUCCACAAUGUUUUGGUUGACACAGGCAGUGCAGUGGACAUUAUAUUUGCUAAGGCCUUCAGACAGAUGCAAGAGCCCGAAGAUAAGAUCCAUGACGCCACACAUCCCCUUUGUGGCUUUGGAGGAAGGCAGAUUGUAGCACUUGGCAAGAUCACGAUGCCAGUAACCUUCGGAUUUAUCAACAACACAAGGACUGAACAAGUUGUGUUUGAUAUUGUUGACAUGGAGUACCCUUACAACGCAAUCAUUGGUCAUGGUACUCUCAAUGCUUUUGAAUCAAUUCUUCAUCCAGCAUAUCUUUGCAUGAAGAUACCUUCGGAUCAAGGGCCUAUUGCUAUUCAUGGAAGUCAGGAGGCUGCCAGAAAGGCCGAAGGAAACUGGACAGAUUCAAAAGCAAUCCAUAACAUAGAUGGAGCUGAAGCUUGUGAGCAAUACAAGUACAGAAGGGAGAAAGCUGCUUCGGCCGAUCCGCCGAAGCCCAUGCUCUUAUGUGACAAUAUAGCAGAGCAGAAGGUGCUAUUGGGAUCUCAAUUGUCUGAGGAACAGGAAAAAACUCUGAUAAGGUUUCUGUUCAACAACAAAGAUGUCUUUGCAUGGUCAGCUAAUGAUCUCUGCGGAGUCAACAGAGAUGUUAUUGAACACUCGCUCAAUGUUGAUCCAUCCUUCAGACCCAGAAAGCAGAGGCUUCGGAUGAUGUCUGAUGACAAGGCUGAAGGUGCUUGGAAUGAAGUGAAAAGACUCCUCAGUGCCGGAGUCAUCAGAGAAGUGAAAUACCCAGAAUGGCUAGCCAACACUUUUAUGGUAAAAAAGGCCAAUGGCAAAUGGAGGAUGUGUAUUAAUUUUACUGAUCUCAACAAGGCUUGUCCGAAGGAUGAGUUUCCAUUACCAACGAUAGAUUCCGUAGUUGAUGCAACUGCUUCGUCAGAGCUUAUGAGUCUGCUAGAUUGUUAUUCAGGCUAUCAUCAAAUUUGGAUGAAGAAAGAGGAUGAGCCAAAAACUAGCUUCAUAACCCCUAGUGGAACAUAUUGUUAUCUUCGGAUGCCUGAGGGGCUCAAGAAUGCUGGAGGAAGCUUCAGCAGAAUGACAACGAAGGUUCUUCAUUCUCAGAUAGGCAGAAAUGUGCUAACUUAUGUUGAUGAUAUCAUAUUAAAAAGCACGAAGCAAGAAAAUCACAUUGCUGAUCUGCAGGAGACCUUCGCUAACUUUAGACAAGCCGGACUGAAGCUGAAUCCAGAAAAGUGUGUCUUCAGAGUGAAGAAGGGGAAAUUCUUUGGUUGCUUAGUUUCAACAAAAGGGAUUGAGGCUAAUCCAAAUAAAAUCGAAGCUAUUCUUCGGAUGGAACCACCAAGCACAAAGAAGGGGGCUCAGCGACUGACGGGAAGACUUGCAUCUCUGAAUCGAUUCAUAUCUAGAUCAGCAGAGAGAAAUUUACCAUUUUUUGAAGUGCUGAAGUCAGCCGAAGUUUUCCAAUGGGGAUCAGUUCAGCAGAAAGCCUUCGACGAGCUGAAGCAGUAUUUAAUAGAUCUAACGACAUUAACUCCACCAGUGCCAGGGGCUCCUCUGUUGUUAUAUGUGGCAGCUUCGCACUCAGCGGUAAGUGCGGCACUUGUCCAAGAGAAGCUUGAAGGGCAAACCAAAAGGCAAGCCCCAAUAUACUUCGUCUCCGAAGUCCCUAGUUUAUCAAAGAAAAACUAUACAGAAUUGGAGAAGGUGUUGUAUGCUGUUUUGAUGGCUUCCAGGAAGCUUCGACAUUAUUUUCAAGCAUACCAUAUAAUUGUUCCUUCUUCACAGCCUUUGAAGGAUAUUAUGAGAAAUAGAGAAGCUACUGGAAGGAUUGGAAAGCGGGCUGCGGAACUCAAUGAGUUCUGCAUUGAUUAUGUGCAUAGAUCUUCAAUUCAGUCUUAGGCGUUAGCAGACUUCAUUGCUGACUGGACGCUAGGGGCUCAGGAAGAAGAAGCUAGCAAAGAUGCCGAAGCUUGGACAGUAUUUUGCGAUGGUUCUUGGGGAACCAUCGGGGCAGGUGCAGCUGCCGUCUUAAUUGCACAUUCCAAAGUUAGAACAUGCUACGCAGUGAAACUUGAUUUUAGUUGUACAAAUAAUAUUGCUGAAUAUGAAGCUUUGCUUUUGGGUCUUCGGAAGUUGAAAGCAAUGGGGAUAAGAAGGGCAGUCCUCAAAACUGAUUCCCAAGUUAUUUCUGGCCAUGUUGACAAAAGUUGCAAAGCAAGAGAUCCGAAGCUUGAAAAAUAUUUGGAUACAGUUUGAAGACUUGAAGCCUCCUUCAAAGGGUUUUCUGUUAAGAAUAUUCCACGAGGAGAAAAUGAACACGCUGAUCUACUAGCCAAGUCAGCGGCACAGGGGCUGCCAUUACCUUCGGAAGUUUUCUUUGAAACAAUAAAAGCACCUUUGGUUGACCUUCUUGAAAGAGCAGUGCUCAAUAUAUCUCCUGUUUAUAGCGAAGAUUGGAGAACUGAGAUCAUGUCUUUUCUCCAGGGCAAUUUCCUUUCAGAUGACGAAGCUUAUCAAAAGAGAAUAGCGACAAGAGCCCGUCCAUAUGUAAUAAUAGAAGGGGAGUUAUACAAGCAUGGAGUCUGUUCUCCAUUACUCAAAUGUCUAUCACGAACUGAAGGUAUAGAGCUGAUGAAAGAAAUACAUGCAGGCCUGUGUGGAUCUCACAUCGGAUCCAGGCCUUUGUUGGGUAAAGUUUUUCGUCAAGGAUUCUAUUGGUCGAAGGCAGCUUCGGAUGCAGCAGAAUUAGUCCAAAAAUGCGAAGGUUGUCAAAAAUGUGCAAAAGAUCAAAAACAACCUUCGUCUCUAACUCAAUUAAUACAGCCCACUUGGUUGUUGCAAAGAUGGGGCCUUGAUUUGCUAGGCCCACUGCCACCAGCACAAGGGAAUUUAAAAUAUGUUGUAGUGGCAGUGGAAUAUUUUUCUAAAUGGAUUGAGGCAAAGCCUUUAGCCACAAUAACUUUGGUUACUGUUCAAAAGUUUUUCUGGCAAAAUAUUGUUUGUCGCUUCGGAGUGCCAAAGGCCAUUACCGUGGACAAUGGACCGCAGUUUGAUGCCGAAGCUUUCAGAGAAUUUUGUGAACAAAUUGGCACGAAGAUCCAUUUUGCAUCAGUUCGGCAUCCGGAGUCAAAUGGACUUGUAGAAAGAGCUAAUGGCAUUAUAAUGACAGGAAUAAUGAAGUUAAUCUUCAACCAGCCCAGGGGGAAGUGGCCGGACGAAUUAAUCAAAGUGGUGUGGAGCCACAACACAACAAUAUCAAGGUCAACAGGUUUUACACCAUUCAAAUUGCUGUUUGGUGACAAAGCAAUAACCCCAAAAGAAGCUAAAGCGGGAUCAAUAAGAACAAUGGCUUUGGCAGAAGACGAAGCUGACUAUUCUGUGGCAAAAGAUGCUAUAGAAGGGAUCAGGCUUUAGGAUGUAGAGAAUAUCAAUAAAUAUCAAGCCGAGACAAUAAAAUGGCGUGACAGAAAGGUUCGGCUAAAAAAUAUUAAGCCAGGACACUUGGUACUUCGAAGAGUUGCCAACCCAGACACAGUGGGCAAGCUACAAUUGAAAUGGGAAGGGCCUUUCCUGGUAGUAUCUUUGUCAAGACCCGGCUCCUACAGGCUGAAGGAUAUGGACAGCAGCGACAUUCCUAGAUCUUGGAAUGCGGAUGAUCUUCGGCGCUAUUAUGUGUAACCUGAUGUAAUCUUUUUUAUUCUUUCCAAUGGCACCCUUUUCCUUUCCAAAGGGGGAGAAAGGUUUUUAAUGGGGUCAUAGCAUGUAAUUUCUCUUUUUCUUAUAUCAGCUCUACAAGAGCAGUAUCCCCCGAAGAUGUAAAUGUAAAAACUGGGCAUGCAUCAUCGAGUGCAACGAGAAAAAGAAAAAAACACAGAGAAGCUCGAAAGACGUCCCUAAGGGGAUGCAGAGCAUGACGAAAUUACAAAAAGCCGUUUCUAAGGGAGCGCAGCGUAAGUUUUCCGCUCAAAAGUCGUUCCUAAGGGAAUGCAGAGCUUACAGCGAAAAGUCAACGCUGAUUCCGCCGAAAUAAAAGGCGAAGAAGCUCCUAAGGGAGGCUUACAGCGAAAAGUCAACGCUGAUUCCGCCGAAAUAAAAGGCGAAGAAGCUCCUAAGGGAGGCUUACAGCGAAAAGUCAGCGCUGAUACACCGAAAAAUAAGCGAUGAAGCCGAAAAAUAAACGGCAAAGAUUUGUUAUUAUGGUUUUAUAUGUGUCUUCAAACAUUCAUUUGCACGAUACAUUACAUCAAACAUUUGCAUUCAUAAACAUUCACUUAGACAUACAUAGGAUCAUCAUCAGCAUAACAUACAAACUUGCUUCGACUUCGAAAGAGAAGGCUUCGGAAAAAAGAGGCAAUUUUAUGCUUCGCUGUGUACGCAAAGAAGGGAAGGUGUUUUUCGCCUAUGGCUCAAAAGUAUUAAUUUCGUCCACACCAAAGCAUUUCAUACAUGGACGAAAAAGUAAGAUUAUAUUACAAAGUGAAAUUUAAUUACAUCAUACUUUAUACAAGUUGUCACAAGAGUUUUUUGAGCUAUUUUUACAGACUAUUCGAGCUUUGACAACAUCUCUGGAGCUUCUUCCUUUUAUUCUGCAGCUUCAGCUUCGGCUUGGUCAACCUGUAUGUAAGUACUAUAAGCUAAAUUCAAAAUUCAAAGGAAAAGGUAAUCAUAAGGUAUAAUAUUGUUACUAGCUUAAGGUGGUCUCGGGCUUCGUCACCAGCUUUCUCUCGCCCACCCUUUGUCCAUAUCACCUUUAUAAAUUUAUUAGCAAUGCUUCGGGCGAGAUUAGGAAUAUCAUCUAGAAUUGCUGGUGAUAGGCUGAAAUUGGGUUUGUUGAUAAUUUUUCCAUGUUCACAGCCAGAUUUCAGGAACGCAGCAGCGGUGCCCCGAGAAGCUACCAGGGCACAAAAGUUGUCGUGUCCAUCAAUAACAUCAUCGAGGUCAUCAAUCUCACCUUCGAUGUGUUCGAAGGCUCCUGGUAGAUCUUCAUCUGAAGGAAUAAAUUCUUCACUACUGACCCCGACUGAAUAAAACACCUUCUUCAGUCGUUGAACACAUUGAUUGCUGAAUUUCAAACAUUUGUUCUGAAGGUCUAUCAAUGAUUUUUUCAAAACUAAACCAUUCUGGAUUUCAGCCUCAAGUUUUUCAUUAAGCUUCAUCUUUUCUUGUUUAGAACCGAGAAGCUUCGUAUUCAGUUCCAUUAUUUUAGCUUCGACUUCCGCUAGUAAACCUUCAGUUGUUUGCAGUUUGAACUCUUUUUUCUCAAAAGCAGUUGUUUGAUCUUUUAUUUUGUUUUCUAAGUUUUCAAUUAUAGCCUCCUGCUUUUUGUCUUCUAAAUCCUGUUGCAUCCUCAAAGCUUUGCUCAAUAGCAUACUCUGUACACGAACAACCUUCGUUAGAAAACAUUUUUUAUGAAAACAGAAAGUUAGAGGGAGAUUGUUUACCUUGAAAUUGGAAUAAAAGAAACUACCGACGAUAUGAUGUCAUCGGUAGCGACUAAUAUCGGCUUCGAGCUUCGGAAAACCGAUACUCUUUGAUAGAGUACCGAUAACCUUUGCUCCGGUCUGAUCUCGGAUGCAGCCUAGCUUUUCAUCAUCAACACCUCCGAAGAGAAGUGCCCCUGGCCGAUAGCCGCAAGAAAUGGCAUAAUCUUUUAAUUCUUCUUUUUCGGCUUUUGUUAAUUCUUGACCAACCAAGUUUUGAAAAUUGAAAAUUUCAUCCUCCAGUGUUUCUUCGGCAAUUUCUUUCUUUUUCUCGGCCUCUGGGGCCAAAGCCUCUUCGGUGGCUCCAGCAGCAUCUUCUGCAGCCAUGUCUAGCAGAAUUUUAUCUAUAUUAAGAGCCACACUUUCCAAAUUAAUGUCUUCUGUUCUGAUAGCUUCGGCAUCUGUGGCCUCCGAAGGUGCAGCUUCAGUAGCUGUUGUGCUUUCAAUAGCAGACACCUUCGGAGCUAAAGCCCUGGGUGGAGUUGCUUCAAUUACUUCUGUCACAGUAACAAUCCUUUGCCUCUUUGGCCUAGGUGCCUUUGUUUUUGUGGGCUCCUUUUCCUUAUGAAAAAGCUUCGUCAGAUGAAGCCCCAAUGGACUUAGUUUGACAGGCAAAGUUUCAGUCAUUACCUUUAGGAUUUCCUCUAUUUCAGCAGUAGAAGAUGUCGCAGAAGUCUUCUCUUCCUCAUCAACUGAUUUUUGCUUUGGGGUCGAGGUCUUUCUUUUCUUCGAAGCAACUGCUUUUGCCUCAGAUUCUUGUUUCUUCUUCUUUGGUUGAUCUUCGUCGUCUUUUUUCAAAGCACUAGCCACUCUUUUUCUUUUUUGCCCUUCGGCACCCUUGUCCAGUCGCUCAUAGUUAGGAUAUUCAAAGCCUAUAGCAUCCAUCACUCUGUUUAGCCUUCGUUUCGGACGGGUGCCGAAGGCCGCUGUCAUCAGUUGAUCUUCUUUUUUAGAAUAAUUUCCAAGAAUUUUGUUGCACAUUACUUCAAUUGUAUCCAGCCAUUCUUGACAGGGUACUUUGAAAUGUUUUUUGAACUUGUAGUUGUAAGGCAACCGAAUAAGCUCCCCUUUCUUCUUCUCCCCCUCUAGUUUCGGCAUUUCCCACUCCUUCAAAGUAGGAAAUACUCUAAAGGCCAAAAAUUCCUGCACUAAGUCUCUAGUGCCAAUAUGAUCUGCAAUUACUCAAAAUUCAGCCAAAGCAAUCUGGCUCGGGCUCCCCCGUAUCAUGUUGCACGGAGGUCUAGUUUCUCCGAAGGUCAAUUCUAAUGGACUCUGGACCAAUUUUUCUUCAUCUUCGUCAACUUUGACAUAAAACCAUUCAGAUUUCCAUCCUGCUGGCCAUUUGCUUCGGUAGCUAAUCACUGGGAAUUUUGUAGUUUUACGGUAAGCAAAGUUGUAGCAGCCAAAAUUUUCAUGCAAACCAUCCCCCCUAGCCUUGGUUUGGUAGUGCAGUUUGUGUACUCGGCAGAAACCUUCGGAGAAUGGUUCCACCCCCUGGCUUCGGAGGGCCCAGAUAUAAACACCCAGCCUAACAAUAGCAUUAGGCGUCAGCUGAUGAAGGUAGAUCCCAUAUUUCUUCAACACUCCAGCAAUCAUCUUGUUCAGAGGGAAUCUUAAACCAGCUUUAAAAAGACUUUUGAAAACCACCACUUCAUUUUUUCCUGGCUUCGGGAUAGUUUCUUCUCCACCGAAACGAAUUAAUUCCUUCUUUGCUUCACUAAGAUAGCCCAACUUCACCAUCUUAGGAAAAUCAGCUUCGGAGAUGGUGGACUUUCCGAAGUCCAGGUGGCUAGGCUUGCUCGGCACUGCGCUGCUGUAAUCAUCUUCGGAAUCAGUUUCUUCAACAUCGGCCCGUUCUGCUUCGACAGCAGGGAUGUCUUCGGCAGCAGGCGUGUCCUCCGGUGUUACCAACCUAGAGCGCUUCAUUGCUUCUGAAAUAGGAACAGUGUCAGUAGCUUCGGUCUCAUCUCCCUCACGAUCGACUCGAGCAGUAGAGCGAACUCUAGCCAUUUGAUUAUGACUUGUUUGAAAUUUUUGGUGUUGACUUUUUUGUUUUCUCCGAAGCUCUUACUCUUGUGCCGAAGCAGAAUCACAAGCAAAGUUUCGUCUAAACAUGAUGGUUAAGCUUCGGCUAUGACUAAAAAUUUGGCAGCAAAACAGUGCAAUAGCAAUGAAUGCCGUGGUAACUUCACACCUACUCGUCUGUUUAUAUAGUACCGCAGGUGGGAAGGUGAAUCGGCAAGGUCUCCAGCAUCGAACAAACAGCCACCCGCACUCACUGAACGGUGGGCCACAGGGUUCGAGAAGGUGAAUCGCUAGCGCGCGCGUAAUUGGUGCAAGAUGGGGCACGCGCGACGAUUAUUUUAAUCGUUUCUCGCCAACGAGCUCAGGGAAGGUGUUUUUUGGAUCUUCGGCGUCCCGAAGCCUAGAAGACUUUUUCAUGGAUCAAGCUCGUUACGAAAAACGAUCUAGCACCACGAAGGGCUACUGUUGGGGGCAUGCUUCGUAGCCGAAGAUCCUAAAAAGAACACCUUCGAAAGGUCUUCUCAGAAGCAAGCGUCGAAGCUAUUAUCUAUAAAGCUUCGGCAUAAAGACAAAUCUCAAGAUGAAGGGUCGAACCGACUUAAAGAUGAAUUCACUUAAAGACCCAUGAUGUUUUGUGUCAUUAUUGUAGUUGAUUGUAAAGGACAUAAAUGUAAUUUUGCGCAGGUUGCAUCUUGUGCCAAUAAAUAGGUGAACAGUAUCCCGGCACUAUUCACGCGAUCGUGUAAUCACGGACACGUUACGCUUGGAUUAUUGUUUUCUGCCAAGGCAAAGGUAUAAAUGUGCCUAAAUAUUAUGUUUUAAUACUUGUAUAUUCACAUAAUAAAACAUGUGAAUAUAUUUUGUGAUGUAUAUUUCAUUUCUCAUUGUUGUCUUAAAAAUAUGAUCAUGAAGGCGAAACCUUCGUGAUACUUUACUUAUGACCUUCGUUCGAAGCUCAUUAAAUCCUUGGGGAGAAAAUGCUUCAGCGGACGAAGGGCAUUUAUACUUAACAUCUUUGUGUUGCCUUGUUCUUAAUUCGAAGCAUUUGAGAACAAGUCCCCAACACUUAUCAAGUCUACUUUCAUAUGGAUCCGGAAUUAUAGUCAUAUCUAUUCUGAGGCCGCCGUAAUCAUUGUUUCCUUACCAAGACAUUUCCUGUCUUUUCUGCCCAUGGUGCUGCGUCACCCUAUUUUGGCCCAAUGGGUUGUGUAUCGAGUUGGGUCCAUUAGGGACGCAUCAUAGGGUUGUAGCACGACCUCAAUACCCUUGUGGUCAUCCUCCCAUGUUUAUAAACCUCCAAUCCGCCACCAAGAACAGCGGGUUUUGUUAGAUCAAGUUUAGUUCUCGCUACUUUCUUGUAAGUGCGCGUGCUAGUUCAGCCGCCCGUCUUCUUGUCUUCGGAACCCCACCAUAUUGGAGUUUGAUUUUGAAACCUACAUUUACAUCUGGUAAUUCAGUACUUGUUCUACUUGUCCUUGCUAGUUCUUCGAUUGCUUGCAUGACGAGUGCCCUAGUGGCCGGGUGUCACGCUCCACAAGAUCGUGACAGCCAUAGGAGGUGGUCUAUCGGUUGCUAAGGCGCAGCGUCUUUGGAAGGCUGUAGUCGGGCCAUGAACGUCGUCUCCUCCACCAAUUGAGUUAUUCCAUACCCUCUCAUCGAAAGAUCAGGCAUUCACCCAACGGGUGCACAUCAGUUGGUAUCAGAGCAAGGUUUAUCGGUGAGAGAUUUAUUUUUCUUCGCUGUUUUCUUAUCUCCUAUAGUCCAAAAAAGCCCAAAAUAGUAGACUAGUUUUACCACAAUCCUAUAGACCAUUGAGCCUUUACUAGUACUACUUAGCUAGGGCUUGUUGAGUUUUCGGUUGCAUCGGUUGUGUCGAGUUGCUGGUCUUAGUUUAUUCCUUUAGAGUUUUGAGUUCUACCACGUUUUGGUCACCACGAGAUCCACCAUUACCAUAAACAUCUCUGGCUCGUUUUUGCCACCACGGAUACAUCUCAUGUCGGAUUUGGAAGUUUAAAUACAAUCUGGAAAGCUUAUCUUAUCUUCUUUCCAACGGAUCUGACCUUGCCUCAAAAUUCAUUCUGAGUGCUCCGCAAUCAUCAUAGAGAUUUCUGGACCUUCUAUAUUAACAAGAUUUGUUAAAUCUGAUUUCAAAGGGGCUGUUAGCAAUAUCCUUAUUGUUUGGGUUGUCAUAGUAAAAAAAAGGGUUCAGGCCCCAGCAAAAAAAAGAAGAAAAAAAAGAAAAAAAGGAAAAAAAGGAAAAGAAAAAGAAAGAAGGGGGAUGAAUCUCUAAAUCUAUUGUUUCUCUUUGUGCUGUGCUAGAUGUUCUUUUUCAGUGACUAUCUUUGUGCCUAGGCUCAUGUCUCUAGCAUGGUUUAGCCUAGGACUAGCACAGUACCACCGUUGAAUGAUUAUUCAGCUUGCUUUUGUAACUAACGUGGUACUAGUGUAUUCCUUGCUUCAGCCCGCCUACAAUUCUACAUAUUUCGACUACAGUUUGACAGGUCGUGUUGCUGUGGCACCGAUACACUUAUUCCACGGUUGUAGACUUGUUGGUUGCUGACCCCUCCUAUUGAGCAAGGUAAGAAUUGGUAAGAGCUUGUGUAGCAGGUUGAGAGUGAGCGCCUUGCAGUAGCUACAUCCAAAUAGUUGUAGAGUUUUUAUUCCUUCACAUUUUUUUAUCUUGUUGCCUCUGUUCGUCUAACCAUGGCAGGAUUGGAGGUUGAUGAUGCUUCUCGUAAUAUGCCACACUCUCCUCGCACCAAGGGCAUCAUACAACACUUUGUAAGGCUGGUGAAGACACACACGGAAGGUCUUGAUAAUGACUUGCAGGUGACGAAUGAAAAGAUGGGGCAAUUGGAGGCCACACAGAUCGACACAAACACCAAACUUGCAAAUGUGGAAAUGACAGUUGCUCAUAUUGACAAGAGCCUUAUCGCACUCUUGAGGAGAUUUGAUGAGAUGCAUGCUAAUACCAAUGGUGGGCAUGAUGAGGGCGCCGAAGGUAACUGGGAUGACUAUGUUGCUGAUACUAAACAAGAUGACCAAGAAGCACCUAAUCACCGGCGACUACGUACUAACCGCAGAGGUAUGGGUGGUUUUCGCCGACGUGAGGUACAUGGUAAUGAUGAUGCUUUUAGUAAGGUUAAAUUUAAGAUACCUCCUUUUGAUGGUAAAUAUGACCCCGAUGCUUACAUUACUUGGGAGAUUGUGGUUGAUCAAAAGUUUGCAUGUCAUGAAUUUCCUGAGAAUGCGCGUGUUAGAGCUACUACUAGUGAGUUUACUGAAUUUGCUUAUGUUUGGUGGAUAGAACAUGGUAAGAAGAAUCCUAAUAACAUGCCACAAACUUGGGAUGCGUUGAAACAGGUCAUGUGGGCUAGAUUUGUUCCUUCUUAUUAUGCACGUGAUAUGUUAAACAAGUUGCAACAAUUGAGACAGGGUACUAAAAGUGUAGAAGAAUAUUAUCAGGAAUUACAAAUGGGUAUGUUGCGUUGUAACAUAGAGGAGGGUGAGGAAUCUACUAUGGCUAGAUUUUUGGGCAGGUUAAAUAGGGAAAUUCAGGACAUCCUUGCUUAUAAAGAUUAUGCUAACGUAACCCGAUUGUUUCAUCUUGCUUGCAAAGCUGAAAGGGAAGUGCAGGGACGACGUGCUAGUGCAAGGUCUAAUGUUUCUGCAGGAAAAUCUACACCAUGGCAGCAGCACACGACUACGUCCAUGACCGGCCGUACACCAGCACCAACUCCCUCGCCGAGUCGACCGGCACCACCACCUUCCUCCAGCGACAAACCACGUGCAUCUUCCACAAAUUCAGCAACCAAAUCUGCCCAGAAACCAGCAUGUAGUGCCUCUUCAGUAGCCUCCACGGGUAGAACAAGAGAUGUUCUAUGUUAUCGAUGCAAGGGCUAUGGACACGUGCAUCGUGAUUGUCCUAAUUAGCGUGUUUUGGUGGUAAAAGACAAUGGUGGUUAUUCCUCUGCUAGUGAUUUGGAUGAAGCUACACUUGCUUUGCUUGCGGCUGAUGAUGCAGGCACUAAGGAACCACCCGAAGAACAGAUUGGUGCAGAUGAUGUAGAGCAUUAUGAGAGCCUCAUUGUACAGCGUGUGCUUAGUGCACAAAUGGAGAAGGCAGAGCAGAAUCAGCGACAUACGUUGUUUCAAACAAAGUGUGUCAUCAAGGAGCAUUCAUGUCGUUUGAUCAUUGAUGGAGGUAGCUACAACAACUUGGCUAGCAGCGGCAUGGUGGAGAAGCUUCCACUUACGACCAAACCGCACCUGCAUCCAUAUCACAUUAAAUGGCUUAACAAUAGUGGUAAGGUCAAGGUAACCAAGCUGGUACGAAUUAAUUUUGCUAUUGGUUCGUAUCAUGAUGUUGUUGAUUGUGACGUUGUGCCUAUGGAUGCUUGUAAUAUUCUGCUAGGUAGACCAUGGCAUUUUGAUUUAGAUUGUAUGCAUCAUGGCAGAUCAAAUCAAUAUUCUCUCAUACACCAUGAUAAGAAAAUUAUUUUGCUUCCCAUGUCCCCUGAGGCUAUUGUGCGUGAUGAUGUUGCUAAAGCUACCAAUGCUAAAACUGAGACCAACAAGAAUAUUAAAGCUGAUGGUAAUAACAAAGAUGGGAUAAAAUUGAAAGGACAUUGCUUGCUUGCGACAAAAUCUGAUGUUAAUGAAUUAUUUGCUUCCACUUCUGUUGCCUAUGCCUUGGUAUGCAAGGAUGUUUUGAUUUCAAUUCAAGAUAUGCAGCAUUAUUUGCCUCCUGUUGUUGCUAACAUUUUGCAGGAGUAUUUUGAUGUAUUUCCAUGUGAGAUACCAGAGGUGCUGCCACCUAUACGAGGGAUUGAGCACCACAAUGAUCUUAUUCCUAGUGCAUCUUUGCCAAAUCGUGCGCCAUAUAGGACAAAUAUGGAGGAAACAAAAGAAAUUCAGCGACAAGUGCAAGAACUACUCGACAAAGGUUACGUUUGUGAGUCUCUUAGCCCGUGUGCUGUUCCGAUUAUUUUAGUGCCUAAAAAAGAUGGAACAUGGCGUAUGUGUGUUGAUUGUAGAGCUAUUAAUAAUAUCACCAUACGGUAUCGACACCCUAUUCCACGUUUAGACAAUAUGCUUGAUGAAUUGAGUGGUGCUAUCGUGUUUUCUAAAGUUGAUUUGCGUAGUGGGUACCACCAGAUUCGUAUGAAAUUGGGAGAUGAAUGGAAAACUGCUUUCAAAACUAAGUUCGAAUUGUAUGAGUGGUUAGUCAUGCCUUUCGGGUUAACUAAUGCACCUAGCACUUUCAUGAGAUUAAUGAACGAGGUUUUGCGUGCCUUCAUUGGAAAAUUUGUGGUGGUAUACUUUGAUGACAUAUUGAUCUACAACAAAUCUAUGGAUGAACAUGUUGAUCACAUGCGUGCUGUUUUUAAUGCUUUACGAGAUGCACGUUUAUUUGGUAACCUUGAGAAGUGCACAUUUUGCACCGAUCGAGUGUCGUUUCUUGGCUAUGUUGUGACUCCACAGGGAAUUGAGGUUGAUCAAGCCAAGGUAGAAGCGAUACAUGGAUGGCCUAUGCCAAAGACUAUCACACAGGUGAGGAGUUUCCUAGCACUUGCUAGCUUCUAUCGCCGUUUUGUGAAGGACUUUAGUACUAUUGCUGCACCUUUGAAUGAGCUUACGAAGAAGGGAGUGCAUUUUAGUUGGGGCAAAGUACAAGAGCACUCUUUCAACGUGCUGAAAGAUAAGUUGACACGUGCACUUCUCCUCCAACUUCCUGAUUUUAAUAAGACUUUUGAGCUUCAAUGUGAUGCUAGUGGAAUUGGAUUGGGUGGUGUUUUGUUACAAGAAGGCAAACUUGUUGCUUAUUUUAGUGAAAAACGGAGUGGGUCUGUUCUAAAUUAUUCUACUUAUGAUAAGGAAUUAUAUGCUCUUGUGCGAACAUUGGAAACAUGGCAGCAUUAUUUGUGGCCCAAAGAGUUUGUUAUUCAUUCUGAUCAUGAAUCUUUGAAACAUAUUUAUAGUCAAGGAAAACUGAACCGUAGACAUGCUAAGUGGGUUGAAUUUAUCGAAUCUUUUCCUUAUGUUAUUAAGCACAAGAAAGGAAAAGAGAAUAUCAUUGCUGCAUUGUUCAUGAUGUUUGGAUUAGAGAUGAUUAAAGACCAAUAUGUUCAUGAUGUUGAUUUUAAAGAUGUGUUGCUGCAUUGUAAAGAUGGGAAAUGAUGGAACAAAUAUAUUGUUAGUGAUGGGUUUGUGUUUAGAGCUAACAAGCUAUGCAUUCGAGCUAGCUCCGUUCGUUUGUUGUUGUUACAGGAAGCACAUGGAGGUGGCUUAAUGGUACAUUUUGGAGCAAAGAAAAUGGAGGACAUACUUGCUGGUCAUUUCUUUUGGCCCAAGAUGAGAAGAGAUGUGGUAAGACUGGUUGCUCAUUGCACGACAUGUCAAAAGGCGAAGUCACGGUUAAAUCCACACGAUUUAAAGCCCUACUUGGGAGAGGAAGUUGAGCUUGAGUCGAGGACGACUCAAAUGCAAGAAGGGGAGAAUGAUGAAGACAUCCACACUACUGAUACAUCUAUGCCAAUACAAGUACCAAUUUCUGGUCCCAUUACUCGCACUCGUGCUCGUCAACUCAACCAUCAGGUGAUUACACUCUUGAGUUCAUGUCCAUCAUAUUUAGACCAUGGAGACCCGUGCACUCUUGUUUUGCUUAGGAACCAGGGAGAAGAUCGAAAGGGAAAAGGAUUUGAACAUGCUGGAUUCAGACUGCAGAAGAACACCAACUUGUGGCGGUCACCACGGUCACAUGCGGGCUUGGAUUGGAAUGUUCAAGCACAACAUGCAAAGCUUAUCAAGUCUACUUUCAUAUGGAUCCAGAAUUAUAGUCAUAUCUGUUCUGAGGCCGUCGUAAUCAUUGUUUCCUUACCGAGACAUUUCCUGCCUUUUCUACCCAUGGUGCUGCGUCACCCUAUUUUGGCCCAAUGGGUCGUGUAUCGAGUUGGGUCCAUUAGGGACGCAUCCUAGGGUUGCAGCACGACCUCAAUACCCUUGUGGUUGUCCUUCCAUGUUUAUAAACCUCCUAGCUGCCACCAAGAACAGCGGGUUUUGUUUAGAUCAGGUUUAGCUCUCGCUACUUGCUUGUUAGUGCGCGUGCUAGUUUAGCCGCCCGUCUUCUUGUCUUCGUAACCGAUAUUGGAGUUUGAUUUUGAAACCUACAUUUACAUCUGGUAAUUCAGUACUUUUUCUACUUGUUCUUGCUAGUUCUUCGAUUGCUUGCAGGACGAGUGCCCUAGUGGCCGGGUGUCACCCUCCACAAGAUCGUGACAGCCAUAGGAGGUGGUGUAUCGGUUGCUAAGGCGCAGCGUCUUUGGAAGGCUAUGGUCGGGCCGUGAACGUCGUCUCCUCCACCAACCGAGUUAUUCCAUACCCUCUCAUCGAAAGAUCGGGCAUUCACCCAACGGGUGCACAUCAGGAUCUGUCUGACCUAGCUUUGGAAGGCAAGCUCCGGUUUUAUGCAUAACCAUUAUAUAUAUGCUAUUUUACUGCACUUAAAUGUUGUAGGCUUGUACUGUGCACUUAAGUGUAGGAGUUGAUUGAAACCCUAGUUGCAUGAACUCAUGAUUUCCUUUGAGAUGAAUACUAGUAUGCUAGGUCGAGUAGCUGCUUUGCUAAAUAGGGAUCUCGGUAGAAGUCGGGUGAUUUUCUAGCACUCGUGCGAGGUCAGGAAUUGGUUGUAUCCAUUUUUGAUAACAGAAUGAUGGUAGUCUGUGGACAAGGAUCCAUGGCGAUGCGUGGUCUACAAGUUGAAAUUGGAAUAAGGAUUAACGUGCGGAUACCUGUGUCAAGCGUUUGAACGUACUAAGCACAUGCCGAGAAAUAUGGUAAAUCGGUAAGCCUAGUACCUGAGUGAACCUGAUAACAGACUUUAUCCCUCACGCGACCUGAGACGUGGUCUCCCAUUCCGGUUAUGGUGGGUACAAGUGCGGUCACUGCACGACGGUAAUCGGGGUCAGUGGGGCAUUGUACGCCAAGGCGGUGAGCCCUGUUCUGUUGACGGGGAAUCGAUGGGGACGGUUGAUAUGUGUGGGUCGGAGUGCCUCAUCAUGUCGUAUGUUUAUAUUUCCCUUGCAAGGUUAAAAUUGAUUUGAAUCAUCUGCUUCUCGCAGCUAAUGAGACUGCUUGAUCCAUUGUACUGCAUUGAGUAAUAAGUGGAAAUGAGUUGAUUGGCAAAAUAUGUUGAUUGCUAAAAUGCUUGAUACCAUGUAUGAUUAGCUAGGUACACAUCUAGUCUUAAGAGAAUCACACUAAAACUUGAAAAGCUAAAACUUGAUUUUAGACUCAGCUAGUGCUGUUUGGCCAACCAAACCCCUCAGCCAAACAACCGCAUGUCUAGAGGUAGAGGAGUAGACUCCUAACACCGGGUAAGUCUAGCUGAGUCUUAGUAUACUCAGCCUUGCUUGUGACAUAAUUUUUACAGGUUCUCUAGAGCAUAUGGUUGCUGGAGUGACUUGGCCAUCUACCUUGCCACCGGGUUGGACAGUCGAGUGGGACCCUACCUCAGCAGGAGAGGAGCAGGAGGAGUGAUGGGCCAGGCUUCCCCAUCCUCCCUUAUGUAUCGUUAAUUAAUUUCCGCUGCAUCCCGAACAAUGAAUUCUACUCUUGCAAAACUCCGAUGAUGUUGUAAUAACUUUAAGUACUCCUUUAACUUGUGGUUUUAUGCUUUAUUGUAUUUGCUCUGUGCCUCACCUUUGAGUGACUACGUGGUACUUGAUCCUAUUAGUUGCCUUAUCGGACUAGAUCCGAGGGACUGACGUUUUAUUCCUAUUUAAGUGUGGUCUAGCCUCUAAGGUGGGACUUAGGCACUUAAGUUGGAAUAAUUCGGGCGGUUCCGCCACAGGCGGGCCCCGUUUGUCAUUGACUUUCUCUAUUCUAGCAAAGGUAAGGUGUUUUUUCGGACCUUCCGCUUAAGGCCUUCGUUCACAUCACAUUUGAAUUUGUUGUUACAACAAAUUAAUACUGCGAGGGCUACUGUUGGGGGCCUUCAUCUUCCGAAGGUCCUCAAAAACACAACUAACAUGUUUUCCAAGUAUAAUACAUUCACAGGGACCUUUGGCCAUGGGAUGAAGCUGUACAUGAUAUGAAAAGCGUGGCCUGGGAGAAGGAUGAACCAAUUCCAAAGAUACACGUGAAGAAGCUUCGGCUUAGCAGUGGGAAAUCAAAUCGACUUAAAGAGGUAAAGUGAUAUAGCUGAGGUGCCCGUUCUUUCGGUGAGUGGAGAUAAUUCCGAUUUGGCGGAAGAUGACCCUUGCGAUCCGACUACGACGAGCAAGCCCGAGGCGCCAAUGCAUUCGCUGAACCAACUCCCUAUGGUUACCGACCUUGCUGAUGCGAGAUCGGCCUGAUCACGAAGAUCGUUUCCUGUGCGCAGUCGAAGAACGAACAAGAAAAAGAUGCGAGCAAUCUAAUUUAUUACUCUAGGGUGGAGUUCUGAAUACACGAAGACAAUGCUGAUUUGCGCGUGUUCGAGAGUAGCUAAAGAUAACGUAAAACAAAACUCAAAGAACAAAGGAGGCACAGCUCCUGGAUAAAUAGAGAGAGGGGGCGCAGCCCCUAGUGGCGGCCAAAGGGGGAAAACGCAACCCUAGGUCGCCCACUAUGGGCCGCAGUUGGGCUGGUCGUCUAUUCUUCUGAGCCCUCAUUCUUCAGUAGCAUGACGAAGUUAAGAUCUCUGGCACGGGCCCGAGUGAUUGGCCCAACUAUUGAAGGAAGUGGCGCUUGAUGUGGAGGUGCUACUGGUGUAGUCGUACUCAUGUUGCAGGUGAUGUCCUCAUCAUCCUCCCUUUCUUGAAGUGAAGUCAUCCUCGACGGCAACUCCUCAUCCUCGGCCAUAUAAGGUUUCAAAUCUGCAACAUUAAAACUAGUGGAAACACCAAAUUCCGCAGGUAGGUCAAGGAUAUAAGCAUUAUCAUUAAUCUUUGUUAGCACCUUAAAAGGACCAGCAACACGAAGCAUUAAUUUAGAACGGCGCAAAGUAGGAAACCAAUCCUUUCUCAAGUGCAACCAAACCAUAUCACCUGGCUCAAAAGUAACAAGUUUUCUUCCUUUACUACCAGCAUCCUGAUUUUUUGCAUUAGUAGCAGCAAUGUUCUGUUUCGUUUGUUCAUGUAUGGUAAUCAUUUGUUCAAUAUGUGCAGCAACAUCUACAUGUGGGGCGUUCGUAGCAUUAAGUGAAAUCAAAUCAAUAGGUGCCCUAGGGAUGUAACCAUAAACAAUCUGGAAAGGGCACAUCUUUGUAGAAGAAUGUGUGGCAUGAUUGUAAGUAAAUUCAACAUGAGGCAAGCAAUCCUCCCAAUGUCUCAAAUUCGUGUCUAAAACAGCCCUAAGCAUGGUAGAUAAAGUUCUAUUUACUAUCUCAGUUUGUCCAUCAGUCUGAGGGUGACAAGUAGUGCUAAACAGCAAUUUAGUUCCCAAUUUAUUCCAAAGAGAUCUCCAAAAAUGGCUUAGAAACUUAGCAUCACGAUCAGAGAAUAUUGUUUUUGGAAUACCAUGUAAACGAAUAAUUUCUCUAAAGAACAAUUCAGAAACAAUGCUAGCAUCAUCAGUUUUAUGACAAUGUAUAAAGUGAGCCAUUUUAGAGAAUCUAUCAACAACUACAAAAAUACUAUCCCUCCCCUUCUUAGUUCUAGGCAAGCCCAAAACAAAGUCCAUAGAAAUAUCAAGCCAAGGAGAAGAAGGGACAGGCAAAGGCAUAUACAAACCAUGGUUGCCCAAACGUGACUUAGCUUUCUAGCAAGUAGUGCAACGUGCAACAAGAUGCUCAACAUCACGGCGCAUCCGAGGCCAAAAGAAGUGUGCGGCCAACACCUCAUGUGUCUUGUAAAUGCCAAAGUGCCCCAUGAGACCGCCUCCAUGAGCUUCCUGCAGCAACAAAAGACGAACCGAGCUUGCUAUCGCGGAACAAAAAUCCAUCGUGUAUGUGAAAUUUUCCCCAGGGUUUGCCAUCCUUACAAUGUAUAUAAAAAUCUUUAAAAUCAGCAUCAUCCACAUAUUGAUCUUUCACAGUUUGCAAGCCAAAGAUUCUAAAUUCUAACUGUGAAAGCAUGGUAUAUCUAUGGGACAACGCAUCAGCAAUGACGUUUUCCUUCUCGUUCUUGUGUUUAAUGAUGUAAGGAAAGGACUCGAUGAAUUCUACCCAACUAGCAUGACGACGGUUCAGAUUUGUUUGGGUACGAAUAUGUUUUAAAGCCUCAUGAUCAGAAUGAAUUAUAAACUCACAAGGCCAAAGGUAGUGUUGCCAUGUUUGCAAAGUGCGAACUAAAGCAUAAAGUUCCUUAUCAUAAGUAGAAUAUCUCAAGCUAGCACCGCUUAAUUUUUCACUAAAAUAAGCAGCUGGUUUUCCUUCUUGUAACAAAACAGCACCUAACCCAAUACCACUAGCAUCACAUUCAAGUUCAAACACUUUUUGAAAGUCGGGCAAUUGUAAGAGUGGAGCAUGGGUUAACUUAUCUUUCAAAGUGUUGAACGCCUCUUCUUGUGGGGAUCCCAAGAAAAAGACACACCUUUCUUUGUGAGUUCGUGCAAAGGGGCAGCGAUGGAGCUAAAAUCACGCACAAAACGGCGGUAAAAUUCUGCAAGUCCAAGAAAACUCUGAAUUUGGGUGACCGUCGUUGGUGUAGGCCAGUCCUGAAUGGCUUCAAACUUGCUGCUAUCCACCUCAAUGCCCUGUGGAGUAACCACAUAACCAAGAAACGAGACAUGUUGCGUGCAAAAUGUGCACUUUUCCAUGUUACCAAACAAGCGAGCAGCACGCAAAGCAUCAAAAAUAGCACGCAAAUGUUCUAAAUGCUCCUCUAUAGACUUGCUGUAAAUAAGGAUAUCAUCGAAAUAAACAACAACAAACAAACCUAUGAAGGCUCGUAGAACUUCGUUCAUUAAACGCAUAAAGGUGCUGGGAGCAUUAGUCAAUCCAAAUGGCAUAACCAACCACUCAUAUAAACCAAAUUUCGUUUUAAAAGACGUUUUCCAUUCAUCAUCGAGUUUCAUUCUAAUCUGAUGGUAACCGCUACGCAAAUCAACCUUAGAGAAAAUAACGGCACCACUAAGCUCAUCUAACAUAUCAUCAAGGCGUGGAAUAGGAUAUCAAUAACGAACUAUAAUGUUAUUAAUAGCACGACAAUCUACACACAUACGCCAUGACCCAUCUUUCUUUGGAACGAGUAAAACAGGAACCGAGCAAGGGCUAAGAGACUCACGAAUGUAACCUUUAUCAAGCAGCGUCUGCACCUGGCGCUGGAUCUCCUUCGUCUCAUCUGGAUUUGUACGGUACGGGGCACGGUUCGGAAGAGAAGCACCGGGGAUGAGAUCGAUCUGAUGCUCAAUGCCACGGAGCGGAGGAAGACCCGGUGGUAAGUCCGUAGGAAAAACAUCAGCAUACUCCUGCAAAAGGUUAACAACAGCAGGGGGUAUAUCCAAAGACGGUGCAUCAUCAAGCGGAACAAGCAUGCGCGAGCAUACAAGUGCAUAACAGGGCAUAUGAGCUUCGUGGAAAUCAUCAAAAUCAGCACGUGUAGCAAGUAAAACAGGAGAGUGCAACUUGAUUUCAGAUUUAAUAGGUGCGGCUGAUGUCGAUUUGACUUGUUGUGCAGUUUUAGCAGCCCUAGUAAGAUCAUCUUUCAAAAUUUGGUCAGGGGUCAUUGGAUGUAUAAUUAUUUUCUGGCCUUUAAACAUGAAAGAAUAAUGAUUUGAACGAUCAUGAUGUAAACUAUCAGUAUCAUAUUGCCAAGGUCGACCCAAUAACAAAGAGCAUGCUUCCAUAGGAAUAACAUCGCAAUCGGCAUAAUCAGAAUAAGAACCCAGCGAAAAGGGGACACGUACCGAACGUGUUACCUUUAUUUUACCACCAUCAUUAAGCCAUUGAAUGUGAUAUAGAUGUGGGUGUGCGCGAGUGGGCAAGGAUAAUUUCUCUACCAAAGCUGUACUUGCUAAAUUAUUGCAGCUGCCACUAUCGAUGAUGAUGCGAAUCGACCGUUCGUUCACAACGCCCUUGGUAUGGAAUAGAGUGUGUCGCUGAUUUUUUCGGCCUGGGCAACCUGUGUGCUGAGAACACGCUGCACAACAAGACUCUCAUACCUAUCGGCGUCGAUGGGAUCAAUGUGGACUUCCUCAUUUUCUGCAUGGUUAGUGGCAAUCAUAGCAUGACUAGUUUCCUCAGAAUCACUGGCUGAAGAGUACUCACCAUUGUCACGUAUAAGCAAGGUACGCUUGUUUGGGCAGUCCUGAAUCAUGUGCCCAAACCCUCUGCAACGAUGGUACUGAAUAUCCCGUGUACGUCCUGUGGAAGAAACGGCGCCUUUGGCAGGGGGCGUUGCUGGCUUGGCCGUCCCUGUGCGCGGUGUAGUGCUAGGCGUAGAAGGUGCAGGGCUGGAAGGAGUAGAGCUGUGUGUCAAACCCCGGCCUGCAAAAGAGUUAGUAUAUGUCUUUGAUUGUCGUCCCUGCACUUCACGUUCAGCUUUGCAAGCAUAUUCAAACAAUGUGGUUAUAUCAAAAUAAUCCUUAUAAUCAAGUAUAUCCUGAAUUUCCCUGUUCAAACCACCACGAAAUUGCGCCAUAGCAGCGUCAUCCGACUCAACCAAACUACAACGAAGCAUACCCUUUUGUAAUUCCUGGUAAUAUUCCUCAACAGAUUGUGAACCUUGUUGAAAACGCUGCAUUUUGUUAAGCAAAUCACGGGCAUAAGAGAAAGGAACAAAUCUGUGGCGCAUGGCAGUUUUUAAUUGGGUCCAAGUAGUGACACUGUUAACGGAAAGUUUUUGCUUAUACUCACGCCACCAAAUUAAAGCAAAAUCAGUAAAUUCACUAAUGGCAGCCUUCACUUGGCUAUUAGCAGGACUAUCAUGGCAUGAAAAUUUCUGUUUUACCUCCAAUUCCCAAUCAAGAUAUACAGCAGGAUCAUAUUUACCAUUAAAAGAUGGAAUUUUAAAUUUAAUCUUAGCAAAUAAGUCAUUAGGGGGAUGAUGAACCACACGGCAUGCACGACCACGACGAUCUCAAUCGUCCUUCUCAGUGUCACCGCCAUAGUCCUGCUCCAUCUUUGUGGUCAACGCAUCAAGGCGUGCCAGGAUGGUGUUGAGUGUGGUGCGAGUCGCCGUUUGAGCAAGGCCAAGCUGGUUGAAACGCGUGGUCGUCGAAGUGACCGUUGAAUCAAGCCAUUCAUGCAUCGUCCUAAUGUCAGCAGCAAGUCCAUCAACUUGUCCCCUUACUUCCUGCAACUGGACAUCCACCGUGUCAUGUGCUCCUGCCAUAGUUAGCGCAAACACCAAAAGGAGAAAAACCGACGACAAUAAGGGAAUGGUGGUGACAACUCGCUCAAUGGAAUGUUGUUAUCAAGUUCUUAUCCGUUCUUACCAAGCCACAGGGGUGAACUGCAACCAACAGGUGGAACUGAUGAAAGAUUGGAUGAGCGAUUGCUUGGAGAAAUAGAAACCUGCUCAUCGUAGAAAUAUGUGGAGUUCUGGGUAGGCUGCACUCAAGUCAAGGAUUAGCACGAUCAAACAAUAAUGCAAAGUUGAAUUAUAGUGCAAAACACGAAACUAUAUUGCUGGCCACAAGUGCAAAGGACACAACAAGUUGGAACAAAGAACAAUGGAACUAGCAGAAUGGUAGUACCGUAAAUAUUGUACUAGCGAGGCCAAAAAGGCACUAGUAGGAAUCACAGGUGAUUUUGUUUUUCUUUUUUGUAUGAUUUUUUUAUAUUUUUCUCAGCACAAGAAGCAACAAAAUAGGAGCUACACCAAGUUUCACCUAAAACAGAGAUCAGAUGUGGCUUACAGAAAAAGAGCAAGUUCUCUAAAAAGCGUGUAAGAGCUUUGACGAUUUUUUUUUCUUUAUUUCCUGAAUUUUUUUGACAUUUUUAUCGAAACCAAACAUGUCGUAGGCCAGUUUGGCUGGCCUCAGAAUGGUGUCAACAAUCUCCUGUAAAAAUUUCAGAUUUUUUGAACAACCGAGCGAAAAGUUAUGCCCGGUUUAAGGAAGGUACCUCAAGUUAUGUUUAAAACGAUCGAGAUGAGACAACCGCUUUGUUUCCUUUCCCCUUUUUUGUUUGUUCUCUAGUUCUAUCCUUUCUCUUUCUUUUUCUUUCUUUUUCUUUUCUUUUUUUUGUUUCUGUUUUUUUACGUAACCGAAGGAGAAAACAAGGAAGCGGCGUUGACUCGGUUUGUGGCGUGAUCAAACGGGAGAUGGUGGCGGCGCGCUAGGGUUUGAAUGGUGGAAGAAACAAGGAUGGUGAAAAAACACAAUGCAACCAGCAACAAAUGACGCGCAAGCACACAAAUUCAAAAAUGCAGAUUAUUGAAAGAAAGUGCGAGUCUCAAAAGGGUGCUGGGAUAAGGUCUAACCUGAAUUUUUAUGUGGUUUUGUUGAUAGUAGGAGGAAAAAAACACUCGAUAAACUCACCAAUCAACCUGGAAAUCUGAUACCACUUGAUAUAGCUGAGGUGCCCGAUCUUUCGGUGAGUGGAGAUAAUUCCGAUUUGGCGGAAGAUGACCCUUGCGAUCCGACUACGACGAGCAAGCCCGAGGCGCCAAUGCAAUCGUUGAACCAACUCCCUGUGGUUACUGACCUUACUGAUGCGUGAUCCACCUGAUCACGAAGAUCGUUUCCUGUGCGCAAUCGAAGAACGAACAAGAAAAAGAUGCGAGCAAUCUAAUUUAUUACUCGAGGGUGGAGUUCUGAAUACACGAAGACUGCGCUGAUUUGCGCGUGUUCGAGAGUAGCUAAAGCUAACGUAAAACAAAACUCAUAGAACAAAGGAGGCGCAGCUCCUGGAUAAAUAGAGAGGGGGACGCAGCCCCUAGUGGCGGCCAAAGGGGGAAAACGCAACCCUAGGUCGCCCACUAUGGGCCGCAGUUGGACUGGUCGUCUAUUCUUCUGGGCCCUCAUUCUUCAGUAGCAUGACGAAGUUAAGAUCUCUGGCAUGGGCCCGAGUGAUUGGCCCAGCUAAUGAAGGAAGUGGUGCUUGAUGUGGAGGUGCUGCUGGUGUAGUCGUACUCAUGUUGCAGGUGAUGUCCUCAUAAAAAAGGCUAUCUAGUCCUCGAUAGAUUGUCCUUAAGUCAAUAGUAAAUAUCAAGGGCAUGGAUGUAAUUUUACAUAGGUUGUGUACUGUGCCUAUAAAUAGAUGAACAGUAACAUCGUACUGGGCACGCUGACUGGUAUUCACUCGCACGUCACUCUCUGACUCAAACCUUCUGUCAAGCCGAAGGUACAAAUGUAACUUACUGUUAUUAAUGUUUGCCCAUGAUGAAAUAAUGAGAAUAUAAAUAAUGUUACAAUUCAAUAUGAUUGUUCAUGUUGUUUUCCAUGUUUCAUAUACUUCUACUUUCAUUAUUAUAUACUGAUAUAAUGAAGGUAUGUCCUUCAUAACCUUCGUCUAAAGAUCAUUGUAUCCUAAGGGAGAUAAUGCUUUGAAGGACGAAGGUCUUUAACCAUUAACAUUUUUGUGUUGCCUUGUUCUUAACUCAUAGCAUUUGAGAACAAGUCCCCAACAAAACUUAUGCAUGAAUAGUGAUAAUAAAGAAUAUUAUUGGGUAAUAAAAGUGGAUCAAGGGCACAACUUGCUUGGCACUUGAGAUUCCAGUAACCAAGGUGAUUCUUCAGAUCCUCGUGACCUCACUGCUAAUCGUAGCAAUACAAACAGACAUGGUAUAGACAAAAUUAACAUCACACCAUGCAUAAGAACAAACUUCAUAAUAAUGAUCUACGCGAAGUUACGAGGUCGUGGGAUCGAGAACUACUAAGAUCGAAGUCGGGGGUCAUCAAGUUAUGAUGUGAUUAAAUGAUUAAAACUAGGUGUUAUUUUAUAAUACCAGAGAAAAGAUAACCAAAAAUAGUAAUUAAUUCAACUUUAAUCUAAAUUAUAAAUUGACUAUAGAUCACAGUUUAGUAGAUAAUGAUGAGCACAUUAACAAGAAUAACCAACAUAAGUUAAGUAAAGAUUUAAUCAUAAAAUAAUGAGACAUGGUAUAAUAAAUGUUGUUAUUGCAUAGUAAAUAUUCGUACGAGACUAACGCAACUUGACCGGAUCAAAUCGGAAUCAUAGAUUUUAAGUUAUGAAUUUCUAAUGAUUUUAUGUGUUUUGUACAAUAUUAAAUGGGAUAUAAAUUUUAAUAUGACUUUCAUGUGAAAACAGUGGUACUAGAUGAUAAACCAUAAUAUUACAAAAUUAUAGAAACUCGAAUGGACUAAAAAGGAGCUAGAAUAGAUUUUCUAUGAUUUAAACAAGUUUCUGCAAUUAGUUUUAUAUUGAAAAUCACUUUUUAAAUGGAUUUCUCAAUUUCCUUACAGAUCUGGUCUGCGCGCAAUAUUAACAAAAAGUCCAAGGACUAAAACAGAAACAUUCCUAAGACUCAGAUCCCCAGUCGCUAGGACUCCAGGUUGUUUUGUCACUUUCUCAGGGUCUCUUUUGAAAGAAGAGCACGACGAAGGGGUAUCGGCAACCCACAGUCGUCCGAUCUCCACUCAACGCGCCAGAUUAGAUUGCCAAACGGGAAUAUUCCUAUGCCAUCACAGCCACCCGCGGCAGGAUCAACGACCCUGAUCUAUUGUGUGGGAGGGAAAACACGGACAACCGAUCCGGCCAUCCGUUUCGAUCUCGACGGCCAAGAUCAACCUAACGCGAACCGUUACACCGUCCUAAUCCUGACCGCACAACAAAAUCGAACGGCCAGGAGCCGAUUCCCACUCAGGUGACGACCGACCGGCGGCGGCAUUCCACCCACGGCGGCGCGGCAUUAACGGGCCACUAGCUUAAUCUCCGAUUUCUGCCUACAACAUGAUUCUGAUGCUUGCAUAACAAAGCAGAGAGUAUGGGGAAUGUAAUGGAGUGCAUCAUACCGUUCUCGGUGGCGACAGCAGCACUGCCCACGGUGACCCACGGCCCGACUGCCUGGAUGAAGAACCGAUGAGAAAUUCCGCCGCACCGCAGGCCUCAGCGCUGGAUUAGGCCCGUGUACACGAUCUACCAACCCUGUAGAAUGCCUGGAACCGCACAACGGAGGUUGGGAGGCGACGAUGGCUACAAUCAAUGGCGGCGUUGCAGAUUCGCACGGCUACAGCGAGCAAUUCCCCACCGUCCAGCCACACAUCACCCCCUCGAUGCGGACAUAAGCACCACCCGAGCGGCUGUACGCCAUGAUGAAGUACUCCUCCACAUCCGGCCGCCACCGCAGCCUCAGGCUGUAUGUGUACCGUGCCGUUUCAGCAGCUUCCGGCUGUACCGCCAAGGGGGGAGUGGGAGUCCAUUAAUGGUGAGGGCCGCCGGUUGCGAGCCAAAGGCGGAUGGGGAGGUGAUGUAGGACUAGGUAGGGAAGAAGCACGGAACGACGAGCACGAGGCAGAAGAAUCGAGCACGGAGGUGGCGGCUCGAGAUGGCAGAAAAAAAUGAAAAGGAAAGUCUAGUUCUGCAUUUAAGCACCAUGACCGGGAGGUCCAGCCAGCCGAAGGGAAUAGUUGAAUUCCCGCAAAAGUUUGUUGCUAGGAUCCGAUUUCAUGGCUAGAAGCUCGGACCCCACGAAUUUUUCUAUUCUCGGGUUAUUACGGAGGGGAAAGAGAGAUGACAUGCGGGGCCCGCACCGUCAGCGAGUGGUGGCCAGGGUGAUGCGCGCUGCUGCCGCGCCCUAAGAUGAGUUGGGCUGGCUGCGCGAGGAGAUGGGAGAAGUGGGCCGAAUUGUGAGGGUGCGGCCCAACAGCGGGUUUUUCUUCUUUUUCUUUUAUAUUUCCAUUUCUAUUUUCUAUUUUCUAUUUCUCUCAUUUUCAUAUUUAGGUUUCGAAUUUGAAUUCAACUAUGAAUAUGAAUUUUGUACUUAAACUAAAGGUAGACUUUAAUCUUACAAGUAUGGAUAGAGUUUACGUUUUUUAUGAAUUUUAUAAUAUUUCUUUUCUUCCUUUCUCCACAUCUUAAUUUCCAAAUUUAGGUUUAAAUGCCUAUUUGACCAUUUGUAUAUUCCUAUUAUCAUUAUUUUUAAAUGCACAAUCAAAUAAACUCCAACAUGAUGCCAAGUGUAUAAAUAUUUAUUAUUAUCUCAUUUAAGUAUCAUGUUUUUUUAAAUAUGCAAAUUCACAUACACAAAAAUAGUUGCUUUUAAGAGGAGCAAAUUUCUAGUGUACAACCUUUACUAAAAGAUGCUUUAUCUAAAUUUUAUAGCUCAAAUAAAAGAGAGAACCUAAUUCAUAUAGAUGUCCUUUAUUAGAAAACAUGUUUAUUUUGUUAAGGAGAAAAUUCUUUUCUAGAGGAUUUACUCAAAAAUUUUGGAAAGUUUUACUAAAUUCUUAAGACAAAAUUUUUAGGUGUUACAGUAGAGUGGUCAGGCUUCGCCAUGUUAUUCGGUUUUCUCCAUUAAUUAUUUCCGCUGCACUAAAAACUGUUGUUACUGCUUUUGAAACUCCGAUAAUGUAAUCACUACUGAUACUUCUUAAAUUUGUGGUAUUAUGCUUUAUUGUAUUCUCUGUGCCUCACCUUCGAGUGAGCUAGUGGUAUUCGAUCCUUGGUAAGUGGCUUUAUCAGACUAGAUCCGAGGGACUAACGGGUUAUUCCGAUUUAAGUGUGUUCCUGCCUUCAAGGCGUGACUCGGGAACUUAAGUUGGAAUAAUUCGGGUGGUUGCGCCAGAGCUGGUAUCGGAGCGAAUACCAUUACAGAGAAGUCAAUAAGUCAUGAAUACCAACUUUUCAAAAGUAAAACUUGCUUAGAAACCAAUGUUGGAUAGAUCGUCAGGACGAUAAGGUUAGACCUAGGACAUGAAGCCUUUGGAAAUAGAUGGGUAGCUUGGUGGCUAUUUAUAUAGGCCGUAAAGGCUACUAUUGCUACUAUUAGGAUGCUGUAGAAGCACCCGAAAAAGUAGUUAGGUCUAAAAAGACGACUAGAAUGAGCAUGCAUCAUGUUUGUCGCAUUAUAAUUGUCUCUUGUGCAUCAACAUGCUUCUCUCACCUUUAUUCCAAUAAUAAGAACUUGUGAAUAAUGUGAUGUACUGCUAUGUUAGGAAUUAUAAGAAAUGCCUUACCUCGCGUCGGAUUGGUAAGUCUUGUUAGGUCGUGUUAUGUGUUUCUCUUGUCUUGCUAUCUAGGUGGCAUUGUAAUUGUUCAACCCUUUUUGCAAAAAAAAUGUUGUAUGUUCUGCUCAUGAGAAGACCCCCAUUUCCAAACAACCUUGAGCUUAGCAAGUGAAAUCUCUUAAAAAUUCAUGCUUGUGUUGGUAUUUUCUAACCCUUGUGUGUUUUACCCUUGAAUUUACACCUGCAUAACUUAUAGACACCCAUAGCUUGACCCCUAAAUCGACUAAAGCUUCCAUGUGCACUUGUGUAUGUCAAAAAAUGAUUUAUUGUCUAUUUUUCCAAAACAAUAUCCAGUCCCAAAUCCUUUUUGGAAACCUUGUCCAAAAUCCUCAUUAAAUUCUCUUUUGCUCAACCUAGAAGCCAUCUGGGUUGAUGACCUCUCUUUUCACCUGGAUCUAGUAAACCUUUACCUUUGUGAAUCAUGUUGUGGCCUUAUCAUCCAAAUCUCUAGAUCCUUUAAUGAUUCUACCCUAUUAUUUGGUUAUCUGCUAUAACCCGUUCUCAAGUAUCGGAUGUUGAUCUACCUAAAUCUCUUAAUUCUGGUCAUUCUCAUACCCCCUUUCUCCGAGGAUCAUGACGUCAUUCUCAUACCCCCUUUCUCCGAGGAUCUACCUAAAUCCUUUAAUGAUUCUUAUUGUUGUUGUCUUUAGUUCUCUCAUGUCUCAGCAAGUUGCCAAUCUUGAUCUCAUGGUUGGUUCCCCUCAUAUCCACUCUCGUAUAAAUCUCUGACUUGAUAAUCUCCAUGAUGAUCAUAAAAGAGUAUAUGGAGUUGAAGAAGAUUCUCAUGCAUUGCUCUUUUUGCCAAAAAUCUAUGUUUCAACUCCUGUCACGAUCUUAUUUUUUGAGCCAUACUCCCAAGGGCUCCAUCUAUUUAUGCCACGUGGAUUUAUCGUUGGUUGUAUUUGGUAAUGGUAUUAGGACUAACGACUGAUGGUGUCGUGACGAAGCCGAGAGCCUCCUGUGGGCGCGCACACAAGAUUGAGCUGCUCGGCACGCGCUGGUAUCGCAGUUAAUAGUCGUGAUCCAUUAUGGAAAUUACGCCAACAUGCUAUCUUUUGUGGACAUUCUCUCAAGUGAUCGCUGCAUUUUGUCUCAAUAUGUCGCGAUGUCAGGUUCAAAUCUAUCUUCCGUAUAUUGUCAGAUGACAUCUCAUGAAUUUGCUUCUACCUUUAGCGUAGGAGUUACAUGCUUGUCCACCCUUAAAGAUCCUCAUUCAAAUCUCGGGACGAGAUUCUUUUAAGGGGGGAAGGCUGUGACACCCCUGGUGUCUAUUUCGUGUUAUGCUGUAAGUGUCCUGAGUUCUGAUGGUGAGUGAAAAUUUCUAUUUCUCAAUCGUGUCUAUCUCUGCUUAUCAAGUUACUCAUGUUCAGUUCCCUUGAAUGUCUGAGUUAAAUGAUCUCUAAGAAAGGAUAGAUUUAGAGCCUGUUAAAACUUUUGUUUCUUGAAUGAGUGCAAAUUCGGAUGUCAAUCUCGUUUCGCAAAUCUCGUCAAAAACUCCUCGUAUCCGAAGUCUCAAUAGUGGCUAUCUAAUCUAUGCCUGAACCCGUUUUCUCGAUAUUUGAUCAAUGUUCAAAUAUCUUUAUCCAAAUCUGUACUCUCAAAUAGAAUGCUCCGUUAUGUCAUCCUCUAAUUAAUUCUUAUCCGACUCAGCUUAAUAUCUCUGUGUCCAAUUCGAUUUAAAAAAUCAGCAUCGGCGAUUUUUUUAAAUGUCGCGAUUUGUCUCCUUCAAUCAUAAAUUGGAAAGUUGGUCAUAUCUCGAUUCAUUUUAUUUUCGAAUCAUGUACGAGGAAUUAUUUCCAAGCGAAGUCAAAUCAAAUUCUCGGUCGAAUUAAUCGCUCGAUCUUCCGUUCGUCCGAACUCUAGUUCGCUCUGUUAUCCAUACAAACAAAUUCUACAGGAGCAUUUUAUUCCUGUAAACAAGAAUCCUUAACCUGGAAGCAACCUUUGCUUCUACCCUAAGAAAGCUCAAGGAAAACCCUAGCCCUAGAGCUCCCCUAUAAAUAGAAGUGCUUAUUCCUUACACAUGGAAAAAUUUGCACUCCUACCCCUAGCCGCCAGCCACUUCCUUCUUCCCCACGAAGCAAACUCUUCUGUUCCUAGACGCAGCAGGGGGCAACCACUCACCUCCAUAGCUCCCUCUGGCAUCGGCUGUCAAGCAGGCUUCCCUGCCUUCCUCCCUCUUGAGCCACCUGGUUUUCGUCUGUAAGCUUGCCGGCCGCCAUCUUCCCCAAGUGCUGACGCAUGGGAGCCAUGUCCCCUCUGUCUAGAAAACGCAUAGCUCGAGCACACCUCUCUGCUCCCUUCCAUGUUCGUCUGUGGCUCCUCUCCUUGAGCACCCCCAUGGUCGGCUCUUCCUCAGCUCCACAUCCAUGGCGGCUUGGCUCUAGCCCCCUCCUCUCUGUUCCUUGCACAGAGGAACUUCUUCUCCAAGACCGGUGCUUUCUUCCCUCUGUGUCUUCUUCCCUGCGCACCUGCAGGCCGCCGGACCUUGCUCCAUCCAGAUUUCGCGCCAUAUGCUCCUUCAUCGAGGCCAUGGCGAGAUCUGUCACCAGAGCCAUGCUUGGCCUCGCCCCGGACCUCGGGUUUGCACCAGCGAGCUCACCUAUAGGUCCGGCCAUGGCCCCUACAGUGUCUAGACCAUGUGUUCCUUCUUCGCCUAGCCCCACAUCGGCUCGCCUCACCUCAGCCUGACUGGGCGCCGACACCCAGCGAGCUCCUCCUCCACAAGCAGACCGUGGCAUGGGAUGCUGAGCUCGCCUAGAUCACGUGCGCCCUUGUGUUUCCCCUCAUGGCGCACCCUACGCACCGUUGCCGACAUGCUCUACCUCGUCGUCCGCCCCAUCUGAAUCCUAGCAGCAGCUCGUGCAUCAGUUCCCCAUACGCAGCCAUGGUGGUUCUCUACUCACCAUUCUAACCACAAUAGCAAGCCCCAAGCCACUCUCCACUUCGCUCGGUCUGCUCGACGAAAUGCCCCUCAGUGUACGCUGCUGCCCCCAUGUCGUGUCACCUGCGCGAGUGUUCACCGAGUGCAGCCCUCUACUCCUCCCCGGUAGCACUCGCGCCCCUUCCUCGCUGCACGCCACGCAGUGUGUCUCUCCCUCGUAGCACAGCCGCCUGGUGUUCGGCAAAAUAUCCAAACCAAGAACAGUUGCCAUUUUCGCUGUGGGUUCUGUCGUGCUGCGUCCUUGCCACUCUCGCAGCCACACCCUCCUUGUUGUUGUGUCAUCGUUGCACUUAUGCACUGCGCAUCUGCAUCCCUUCCGCACCGCACACUCCAAUCAUCGCGCUCGCGAGUAGUCGCCUUGCGACGUCGUCAUCACGACUCCCCGCAAGUCGCACGUGGCCGACACUGUGCUUGUGCGAGUGCGUGAUUGGAGAACCCCGUCGGAGAAGAAAGUAAGUGCAAGGUGAUGGGACCUUUCUUUAUGUUCUAUGCCCCAGUUAAGUGUUAAUUAAGUAAUGCGUAAGUAUUCGACGAAGUUUCUCUUUUGCACUCAGUGGCGUGAACGCGCAGGUAGAUCGAAGAAACAAAUGUGUCGCGCUUGUUUGAUGUGAUAAGUAAGUUGGAGGUACAAGUUAUGUGAGAGAUGAAUUAGUGAACGUGUGUGUGUGCCAUGGUGCAUCGUAUAUAUGGUUGCGCUACGUGGAUCAAGUGUCUCGAGUGCAUGCCGCAACAUGGUUUUAUGCGAGACAGGGUAAUAUAAGGUGUGCUCGACACAAAUGUUCGGUUGGUAUAAGUAGAAACUGUUCUGGAUUAAUUAGAGAGGUGGUGACAUGCCAAAGUAGUCAUCGCUUCCUCUAUGUUUAUAAGUCGAGUCGACGUGCAUUAUGCAUUCGUAAAAUUAUGCUUCACAUAUAGUGUAUGGCUGUGCUCACGAUUUCGAGUAGACACUUCAAGUAAUCAAGUAGGUUCGUGAUACAAGUUGUGUAAUGCAGUUAGUUGUUUUGGGAUAAUUAUUGAAAUGCUCUGUUCAUAUGAUAAAUAUGUAUGUGUUCAUGAUUUGGGAAGUAAGUGCAUGGUGGUUGCGAGUUGGAGAUUGGUGGUUUGCGGUUCGUAUGAUUUGGUCGAUGUGCGAAUAUACGUGUAAAUAUCUAUGUUUACAAAAAUGUUGUAGUGAAUGUUAUGUCUCGGAUUUCGAUAAUAAUAGGCAAGCCGGCGUGUAUGUUGUAUAGCGGGCUAUGUCAUUGCUCUGGUUAGCCAACUUGUUAGGUGGCUUGGCUAAGCUUGUGGUCACGAUGAUUUGCUUGUUGCAGUCUAAAUGUGCAUGGUUAUGGUCGCGAAUGAGAAGUAGUAGUGCUCAUGUGAUGUCUAAGUUAAAAUGCAAAUUAUUGUGUGAAGAGUGCAUCGAUAUACAUAUAUACCGGGUCUGAUUAUUGUAGUGAAUGCGUUUGUUAAAUGUGUGUAGUAAUUCUAGUGCACGAAAUGACUUGGGUAAAAUUUGUAAGUCGAAUUGUUGGUGCUCAUUGAUUAUUUUAACUCUAAUAAAUGGUAAAGUGUUAGAGUAAUUCAAGUCUCUAAAAUAUGGCCAUUCUUGAAGUAAAUAGGAGCUAAAAUUUAUUAGUUGCUGUUUUGGGCUGCACGCACUGUUUUCGCCGUGCUGUCUGUCUAAUGAACUAAAUUAUGCUUUCUGUAAAAAAGGCAUAUAUAUAGGAAAGUUGUACAUAACUUUAUUAUCUUACUUGUGCUAAAAUUUUACUGCCAUAAGUCUGAUCGUUUAUGAGUUAUGCUUUUCACAAGUCCAGCACCUGAAUCGGUCCAAUUUCUGAACAAAUUUCAGAGAUUGCAAUGGUUGCUUAAGUUAAUGUUGAAAUCAGUUAUUGGUGGUCACAAGAAAGUUGUAGAUAACUUUAUUGCCUUACUUGUUUUAAAAUCUGACGCCCAUAAACCUGAUCGUUUAGAAGUUAUGCCUUUCAUAAGUUCAGUAACUGAAUCUGUCCAAUUUUUGUACAGAUUUCAGAGAUCGCAUUGUUUGCUUAAGUUCAUAUUAGAAUCAGUCCUUGUCCACUAUAAGAAAGUUGUAGAUAGUUUUCUUAUUUUAGUUGUUUUAAAUGUUCAUGACAAUAAACCUGAUAGUUUGAGAGUUAUGAAUUUUAUAUGAUGAUUGUUGUAUUCUGUCCACUGUCAAAACAUAUUUCGAAAACUGUAUUAUCUGAUUUAGUUAAACAUAGAAUCACUUCUUGGUGAUUAUAAAAGUUAUGUAGUACUUUUACUAAGCUUUCCUAAAAGUCUUAGAUCAUCCUUUUUGGUGGUCUAAAGCUCAAGUUAUAGAUGUUUUAAGUAGGAAGACUGAAUAUGUCCAAAUCUGGACAGCAAAGCCUUCCUAGUGUCUUUUAGCCUUGAUACACUUUAAGCCUUCCUAGUUAUUUAUAAAUGAGUUGUAGACAAUUUAAUUAUAUUUCCAGAAAGUCUAAGAUCAAAUGAAUUGGAUGUCUGAGUCUCUAGUUAUGAAUUUUUAUAGUUGUAAGUCUGAAUCUGUCUAAAUCUAAACAGAGCUGUCGUUUGUCACUAUUUAACCUUGUUAAGUGUCUAAUCAGAUUGAGAUGACAAUACCAAAGUUGUAGAGUGUUUCUUAUGCUUUCCAAAAAUUAUUUGAUCACUAUUUUUAGACAAAUAUCUUGUAAGUUAUAACUGAAACAAUCAACUGUUGUGCUGCUGUCCUAAAAAGGAUAGAUGUGAGUGAUUGUUUCACCCCCAGUGUGUUUUGUCUUGAGUCGAGUACUUGUUUGUCUUGAUCUUGAUUGAACGAAUUAAUGAUAAUAUAACUAAUAUAAUUGAGCCUAAAUAUAUAAGUAACUAGUGCACGUCUCGCUAAGUUAGUGAACCAAAUUGGUUAAGGUCUAAUAAGUGUUUGCCUAGUGAAUAAUUGCAAAGCCCAAUUAAGUGAUUAAUUCCUUUUCAACUAAGUCUGUCUAUAUAUAAGUGGUAGCGAACUUGUGUACUUAACUAAGUUAAUGUUAAGAAACUAAUGGAUGAUUAAAUUGAACAUGGAUAAAUGCUCAUACUUGCGAUGUCGUGUUUGCGUUGGUUAAAUAUAGGAAAUGUCGUUGUCUUUCCAGUGGUAGUGAUUACGUGUGCCCGAUGACGUAUAAAUAACUAGCGCUUGCGUAUAGUUGUUGCAGUGUCUUACUAUUUAGUGUUUAGUUUGCUAUAGUGUAUUGGAAUAUCUUGUGCUACUUUCAUCAUAUUCAUACAUAUGCAUCCUACAUCUCAUUAGGACCGAGAGAUGAUGAUCGUGCAAGUGAUGUGGUGCCAACCACAAGAUGCAGUUAAUGAAUGACCCAAAGAAGGAUGGAAUUAACCAGUGGAUGAUCGCCAAGCGAGUAUCAUCUAACAAACAGUAUCUAGUGUUGGAUUCCAGGCAAGCCCCGAUUUUAUGCAUAACCGUUUAUAUAUGUUAUUUUACUACACUUAAUGUUUGUAGGCUUGUACCGUGCACUUAAGUGUAGGAGUUGCCGGAAACCCUAGUUGCAUGAACUCAGGAUUCCUUUUGAGAUGGAUAGUAGUAUGCUGGGUCGAGUAGCUGCUAUGCUAAAUCAGGAUUUCGAUAGAAGCCGAGUGAUUUUUCUAGCACUCGCGCGAGGUCAGGAAUUGGUUGUAUCCAUUUUGAUAACAGAAAUGAUGAUGGUAUGUGGACACAGAUCCAUGGGGAUGCGUUGUCUACGAGACAAAAUUGGUAUAAGGAUUAACGUGUGGAUACCUGUGUCAAGCGUUUGAAUGUACUAAACACAUGUCGGGAAAUAUGAUAACCGAUAAGCAUAGUACCUAAUUGAACCUGCCCGUAGACUUUACUCCUCACUAGAACUAAGACGGAGUCUCCCAUGCCAGAUUAUGGUGGGUACAAGUGCGUCCAUUGCACGGCGGCGGCCAGGGACAAUUGGAGCAUUGUACGCCAAGGCCGUGAGCCUUGUUUUGUUGCUAGGGAAUCGAUGGGGACGGUUGACGUGUGUGGGACGGAGUGCCCCUACAUGUCGUGUGUUUAGGUUUACCUUGCAAGGUCAAAACUCGAUUCGAAUCGUCUGCUUCUCGCAGCUAAUGAGACUGCUUGAUCCAUUGUACUGCAUUGAGUAAAAAGUGGAAAUGAGGUUACUUUCAAAAGAUGUUGAUUGAUAUAAUGUUUGAUACCAUAUAUGAAUAGCUAGGUACUCAUCUAGUCUAAAAUUACUAUUCUAGAACUUGAAAAUCUAAAACUUGAUUUUAGACUCAGCUAGUGCUUUUGGCAAACCAAACCCCUCAACCAAACAGCUUCAUGGUCUAGAUGUAGAGGAGUAGACUCCUCACACCGGGUAAGUCUAGCUGAGUAUUAGUAUACUCAGCCUUGCUUGUGGCAUAAUUUUUGCAGGUACCUCCUUGAUUUGGUUGCUGGUGUGACUUGGCCUUCAUCCCUGCCACCGGGAUAGAUGGUCGAGAGGGUUACUGCUUCCACAGGAGACGACCAGGAGGAGUAGCGUGGCCAGGCUACGCCAUGUUACUCGGUUUUCUCCAUUAGUUAUUUCCGCUGCACUAAAAACUAUUGUUACUGCUUUUGAAACUCCGAUAAUGUAAUCACUACUGAUACUUCUUAAUUUUUUGGUAUUAUGCUUUAUUGUAUUUUUCUGUGCCUCACCUUCGAUUGAGCUAGUGGUAUUCGAUCUGGUAAGUGGCUUUAUCGGACUAGAUCCGAGGAACUAAUGGGUUAUUCCGAUUUAAGUGUGUUGCUGCCUCCAAGGCGUGACUCGGGCACUUAAGCUAGAAUAAUUCGGGUGGUUCCGCCACACGCAAGGUCAAGUCUGUCGCACGCCUUCCUCGCACCCACGCCUAUAAAGGCCAGUAGCCCUUGAACAAUCCUUGGCUCAGCCUCGGACACUCGCCGCGCUCAAUCACCGGAAGCAUUGGCUGUGAACCGAGAGCUCCACCGCCCGCCAUGCCGCCCGAGCUCCACCCACCGCAGCCAGCUCACCUCAGCCAUCCCUCGCCCACGCCAGCAAUUCGAUUAGCUUCACUGGAGACCCAUGAAGCUUCCCAAACCCUCAGACCGGGUGCAACAUCACCGGAAACAUCGGAUCACCCUCGCCGGACUCCUUCCGCUAACCGGAAAGCGUGGACCAGGUAAGCCACUGCAUCAUUUCCAAAUUCCUCGCGCAUACCACCUCUGCGUCACUUGGUAAAGCUCCCCGAGUCAACCAUUUGAACCAUUCCGCCGUGGUUAGGCCGGGACACUCACCGCCGAUGAGCUCCCCCGCCUGCGCACGAGGACCGACCGACUCCGACCAUCUUCGACGCCGGCCCGCACAUCGACGUGACCGCCGUAACCUCCCUGACCUCCCUGGACACCUCACCGAAGCUAGAUCGCCGCCGGUAAGCCUCGCCACUUUUCUCCACCGCGGUUACUGUUCUAAUAAGGCUAGGAGCACGGGUUAGAUUUAGGUUAACCCUAGGGGGUUUUCUGCAUUGUCAGAGACUUAGUUGAAUAGUAGCCCGAGGACCUGUUUGUAAGAGACAUGGGAAAUAUAUGCCAGGGACCCUAGCGCAAAGUAAAUUUCCUUUUCCAUUUAAAAUCAAAAUUCUUUAAAUCUGCAGCAAAAUAGAUAAAUGCAUAACGUAAAGAAUAUUCAUCCAAAUUUGGUCAAACAAAUUUUGUUAGACUAUGUGAACUAUGCACUAUCAAACAAAAAUAGUAAACCCCAUGUUUUCUAUACUAAUUUUUAUAAUUUUGAAUUAAAUUAGAAAACUGCCCAAACCUUGAUAAUACAGAGAAAAAUAGAAAUACUUCUAUACUAGGCUUGAGAAAAAUUGUGAAGACACUCACCAAGUAUAUACACUGUUUAAAAAUAAUAAACACCAUAGUAUACAAGACUAAGCCAGAAAUAUCCAUUAAAGACUAUUUCUACCUAAACUUUAGGAAAUUGAAAAAGGGGAUAUAAAACAGAAACCAGAGAGUGACCACAUUUUUCCUAGGAUGCCUAAGUGACAUAGAUCAUAGGAAAAAUAUAUGGAACCCUGGUCUAGUAUUGAUCUAAGGUCAUAAUUUUAUUUAGGUAUUAAGAAGUAAAUAAAGGCCAUAAUUAAAAAUAUAAGGGCACAUGCAAUAAUGGCACGAAAAAUUCAGUAGACUCCUGACCACUAAUAUACCACUGCAAAAAUGGUAAACACCCCAAGCCAUCACAGUAAGUGAGUUAAACAAGUAGAACUUGAAUUUAGCCAAUAAUUCAAAUAAGUUAAAAGAAAGACUAAAAAAGGGAAACAAUGAACAACCCAAUUUUUACCUAAAUAUUUAUGAUGUAAACUACCAGAGAAAAAUAUGAGACUAAGAUAAAAAUAUGAUGUAAUACACCUCACCCCUGCCCCAUGAAAAAGACUGUAUAUUCCAAGAAUUUUACAACCCCUUCCCUAUGAGCAAAGUUAACCAACUUAAAGAAUGAUUGCUCUUGCACAAAGAAGAAGAUAGGAAAAUUAGGAAAUCUGUUGUUUGACAUUUUUCAAAUAUAGAAAAGCACCACUAAGCCCCCAAAUUUUAGAAAAUCACCAUAAAUUAACCAGUAGGUAUUAUUGGCUAAAAUUUGGUAUAAAGUCAUUUUAUUACACCUGGAUACCAGCAAAAAAAACAUAGGAUAAAAUUCACUGUUAGAGGAGAGUUGUAGUUCAAAGCACCCUCUCUGCCCUAAAUUUUAGUAUUUUUGUAUUGAGAAAACCCUUCUCAUUUUAAGCCUCAAUUUUUGAGACUGAAUUAUAUGAACCAUUAAGAAGCCACUGUAAUUUUUUCAGAAUUUUUGUUAAUUUUUAAAUUAGUGUUGUAGUUCAAAUCCACUCCAAAAGCAUAAAUAGAAAAGGAAAAAGAGAGAAUUAGUCAAAGUGAUGAAUCUUACCCAUAAUAAUUUCAGCAAGGACCUUGUUAAAUUUUCACUAAGACACUAAAAGUCAGUGGAGUACCAAAAUAAUCUAACCACCUAAACUUGACCAUACCUGAUUCUAAAUGACUGAGUAUACCACUAAACCUCCAAUAGAAGGGUUUAGCUUUGUAUCACUAACUUAAUCAUUUCACCAUGCAUCAUCAUUACUAAAUUUACAUACCAUAGCAUACACAUCUCUUAUUCAUUGCAUUCAUUUAGAUUGCAACUUCGCUGAUGGAGAGUACAUGCUCAUCCCCGAGCAAGAAGUUGCCCAAGACGAAGUUCAGGAGCCAGCUCAAGAGCCUGCCACCAAGGAUCUUCCCGCAGCCCCAGCUUUUGAAGGCAAGCCCCGGUUUUAUGCAUAACCGUUUAUAUAUGCUAUUUUACUACACUUAAUGUUUGUAGGUAUGUAAUGUGCAUUUAAGUGUAGGAGUUGCUUGAAACCCUAGUUGCAUGAACUCAGGAUUCCUUCUUGAGAUGGAUACUAGUAUGCUAGGUCGAGUAGUUGCUUUGCUAAGUAGAAAUCUCGGUAGAAGUCGAGUGAUUUUUCUAGCACUCGCGCGAGGUCAGGAAAUUGAUUGUAUUCAUCUUGAUAACGGGAUAUAUGCUAGUCUAUGGACUUGGAUCCAGGGUGGAUGCCUUGUCUAUGAGACAGAAAUGGAAUUAAGGAUUAAUGUGCGGAUACCUAAGUCAAGCGUUUGAAAGUACUAAACACAUGCCGGGAAAUAUGGUAACCGGUAAGCCUAGUACCUGAGUGAAGCCGGGCGCGGACUUUCCUCCUCACUUGUCCUGAGAUGGGUCUCCCAUGCUAGCUAUGGUGGGUACAAGUGUGGUCACUGCAUGGCGGCAGCCAGGGUCAGUGGAGCAUUGUAUGCCAAGACGGUGAGCCCUGGCCGCGAACAGGGAAUCGAUGGGGACGGUUGACGUGUGUGGGGACGGAGUGCCCCUACAUGUCGUGUGUUUAGGUUUACCUUGCAAGGUUAAAACUCGAUUCAAAUCGUCUACUUCUCAUAGCUAAUGAGACUGUUGACCCCUUGUACUGCAUCGAGCAAAAAGUGAACUAAGGUGUUACUUGAGAUAACAUGUUGAUUGUACUAAAUGAUUGUUACCAUGUAUGCUUAGAAAAGGAGCAAAGCUAGCUUAAAUAAAUAUGCUAGAAUGGGAAAAGCUAAAAUUGUUUUUAGACUCAGCUAGUGCUUUUGGCAAACCAAACCCCUUGGCCAAACAGCUGCAUGGUCUAGAGGUAGAGGACUAAACUCCUCACACCGGGUAAGUCUAGCUGAGUAUUAGUAUACUUAGCCUUGCUUGUGGCAUAUUUUUUUCAGGUACACUACAUGAUAUGGUUGAUGGUGUGAUUUGGCCUUCCACCUUGCCAUGAGGUUGGACGGUCAAGUGGGAUGCUGCCUCGACAAGAGAGGACCAGGAGGAGUAGUGGGCUAGGCCUUGCCCUAUUCCUUAGUGUCGAUGUUAUCGAUUAUCAGCUCCAUUUAAUUCUGAACUUGUUAUCUUUUGUCAAAACUCCGAUUCAUGUAAUAACUCCAAUUCCUUAAAUUGUGGUUUCAUGUUUAUUGUAUUCUCUAUGUGCCUCACCUUCGCGUGAGCUAGUGGUAUUCGAUCCUUGGUAAGUGGCUUUAUUAGACUAGAUCUGAGGGACUGACAGGUUAUUCUGAUUUAAGUGUGUUGCUACCUCUAAGGCGUGACUCGGGCACUUAAGCUAGAAUAAUUUGGGUGGUUCUGCCACAGCAUGGCCCACACAUCCUUCACAUGACUCACUCUGUUGCACCACAUUGGGUCAUCCCUCUUCUCGGCAGGGAAGAGUCCACAGAAGGUCAUUGUUGGUGACUUGUUCUCAAAUGCUUCGAGUUAAGAACAAGGCAACAUAAAAAGUGUUAAAUAUUAAAGUCCUUCGUCCUUCAAGACAUUAUGUCCCUUCGGAUAUAAUGAAUUCCGGACGAAGGUUAUGAAUGAAGAAAAUCUUAGUAAGCACAAUAGAUGAUAAAGAAGAAUUCAUAUGUGAAAUACGAAGAAUAAUAUAGAUAUUAUCAUCAACUUAUUUUUAUUUGUAUUAUCAUAUCCAGAAUUACAAAUUAUAAAUGUACCUUCGGUUUGACGGAAAGUAAAGGUACAAGCGUGAUGCAAAAAGCGAUUGCCAAGUCAACGUGAACAGUACGGGAGUACUGUUCAUCUAUUUAUAGGCAAGGGACGCAGCCUGUGUAGAAUUACAUUAAUGCCCUUUACAUUUAUCAAUAACUCUAUAGUAAUUCUUCGAGGUCUAAUUUGCCUUUUCAUCUUUAAGUCGGUUCCCCUUCUCUGCUAUCAUGCUGAAGCUUUUCUGCGCACAGCUUCGUGAUCAUCUUAUCCUUCGUCAUAAUUGCCUUUGGUCUCGCUCAGGCUUCGUCCUGACCAUACUCUUGUAUACUCAUAACCCGAUUCCGAAGAUACAUGUUCACAUAUUUCACUUGGAAAACAUUGUCAAAUCAUGUUUUUGAGGACCUUCGGAAGCCGAAGGCCCCCAACAGUAGCCCCUCGCAAUAUUAAUUUGCUAGAAUGAUAAAUUCAUAUUGCGACAUGGACGAAGGCCUUAAGCCGAAGGUCCGAAAAAACACCUUCCCUUUGCUAGAAUAGCAACAGUCAUUGACAAGCGGGACCCUCCAGUUUUCAACGCAUUAGGUGUAUAAAUAAGAGCUCACCACGAGUUUAUUUGGCACACUUUCUUGCCAUCUGCUCUUGCUCACUCGACUUUUAGCCUAUGUGCAACAAUACUUGCUUGGCUUUUUAAAUUUUUAAGCUUCGGUUUCGAGAGCAUUUUCUCAGCAUUUGCGAAGAUGUCUGAAGAUAAGAAAGUUGUUGCUGAAUCGAAGCUGAGCCUUUCUGAGGAGAUGCAUCUCGGCUUUCUUCAAUCAAUAGCAAAGACCGAUACAGAGAAGAUCGCUAGGGAGAUUUUGGAGGGUUUAUCUGAAGACACUGGUGACAGUGACAGUUAUGAUGUGGAUAGUGGUGGUGAAGAUUCCGAAGAUCGACCUUAGCGACCAAGCCAUGCGGUUUUUGGUAAAUCAAGUAUUAAACAAAGCCAUCUUGUCAAUAUGAGGGGUAGAUAUUUUCGGGACUUGUCUAUUGUGAGGGCUGACGAAGGAGAGAAAACUUGUCCGACUCCCGAGGAGAAUGAAGUCGUGAUAUUCUGAAGCUUCUUAAAGGCUGGACUGCGGUUUCCUUUGAGCAGUUUUGUCGUGGAAGUACUGAAGAUAUUUGAAAUCUGCCUUCAUCAACUUACUCCCGAAGCAAUCAUAAGGAUGGGCAUCUUCGUCUGGGCCGUGAGAAGCCAAGGUUUAGAACCAAAUGCAAAAAGUUUUUGCAACAUACAUGAGCUAUUGUAUGAGACAAAACCCUGGGGUAAAGAGCAGUAUCACAACAAUAUUGGCUGCUACAGCUUCGGCGCCCGGUCUGGGUCAAGCUGUCCCGUGCCAACCUUUCGAAAGAGGUGGCCCGGCGACUGGAUGACGGAAUGGUUUUAUGUGAAGAGUGACUUGAAAACACGGGAAGAUAUUAAAGAUAUCAUUAUGCGCCCUAUCUGGCAACGCUUCGGCCUCCGGAGGCCGAAGGUGGAAAUGAAUGAAGCAGCCGAAGAAUGCCAGAGAGCCUUCGGCGUGGUUUGCUCUUUUAUUGGGACAAGGGAUUUGGUCCAAUUACACAUUGCCUUCAGAAUAUGGCCACUUGUAGAAAAGUGGGAAAUGCCGAAGGAGACUGUUAGAGAAACUGACGAAGGUGGAUUAGUUAGGCUGAAAUACACAUUCCAAUAUGGAGAUAAAUUCGUCGAGCCAGAUGAUGACUGGCUAAAAAGUAUUGAGGCCAUAAGUGAUGAAUUGCUUGGAUUAUACUCGAAGGCCGAAGACACUGCACUAUCAGCGGCCUUCGGAGGCCGAAAGAAGAAGAGACUCAACCGAAUAUUUGAUGCAAUUGGGUUUGUCUACCCCGACUACCGUUAUCCAACGCGGGGUCAAAAAAGAAAGAAUACAUCUUCUGCGAAGGAGGUUGCUUCAGCCGCUCCUAGCGAGCCGGCGCCGAAGAGGAAAAGGGUGAAGGUUCUCACACACCGGCCACGUUAUUUUGAACCGGCCACAGUGCCUGAGUUUGUCGGUGAGACCUCUUCGGCCACCGAAGCUAAAGAACCAACCCCCCUGUCGAAUAUUGAAGGGCUGGCCGAAGUGCCGGCGACGGAAAAAAUAGAAGAACCGAGGGCUGAAGAAACAAAGACAUCAGAAAUUCUAAGUCCUUCAGCAAAAAUUGAGGUGCCAAUGCCAAUGACGACCCCAAAGAGAAAAAGAAUGGUUAAUGUACCGGAUGUAUUGGAGACAAUAAAGUCUUCAAGCACUACUCUGAAGAAAUUUGGCAAGACUUCCGAAGUGCAAAUCGAAGCAUUUGAUGCCGAAGCUUCAAAGCAUCAAUCUGAGACUGAAGCUGGGCCUUCAGAGCCCACCAAGGUGAAAUCCUUGUAAGCCGAAGAAACUGAAAUAGCAGAAGAAAUUUCGGCUGAAAAAACUGGCACUGCCGCCCCCGAAGCAUCUUCCGAAGCCUUCGAUUAUAUUUUUCGUCAUGCUUCGGGGAAAAAAUUGACUGAAAAAGAAAAGCAAGAGGCCCAAUUUUACGCCAAAAAACUGAAAUAUCCAAAGGGGGCGUUGAUAUUCAACGGCAGUGGAGAAGAAGACUUUUUGUAUUGUCUUCCUGACAGCAAGCAGAUUUCUGUCUGUCGGGAGAUGAGCAAGAGCUUCGGAUUCCCAACACUAGAAAGCGGGCUCUCGGUGCUAUCAAAAGACGAGCUAGCCGACAGCUUGGCGUACAACAGCUUAAAGGUGCAAAAAUGAGAUUUUUGUAUUAUUUGUUGAAAUCAAAAUUUUUCAUUUGUUUAAACUUAUUGAAACCAAACUUUUUGUAGGGUCUCAUACUUAGCAAUGCCCUCAGGGCUCAAAAAGAUGCUGAAGACGAAGGGUGCGUUAUGGCCCAGAGCAACCUUCGUUCCGAAGUAAUUGAACUAAGGAACGAAGGUCUCGAAAAGGAUAAAAUAUUAUAUUCAUUGAUAAAUAGAAUAAAAGAAGACGAAGCUACUUUUAAAGCUCAAGCUGAGGCUCAGAAGCGUGAAAUUGAUGAUCUUCGAAAACAACUAGCCAGAGCUAAAGAGGAGCGCACACUUGAAGAAACAAAACGAGAAAUCAGUGAACAAUGGGCAAAUCAUUUGGAGAAAAAUGUUGAAGAGCUUCGUGCAUCUAAGAAAAGAUGCUAUGAAAAAUCUAUGGAAUGUGUUAAGACAAUAAAAACCAGCUUCGCCAGAGUUGGCGCAUUCUCAAGUGAGGAGAACUUCGUAAGGGGUGACCCCGAAGGCCCAAUUGGAUGGAUCAGCCACGAAGCUAAGGCUUUUGAAGAAAUUUUAAGUAGUCGAGGAGACAUAUGCGCCUUUUCGGGUGCUAGGGGGAUCGCAACCAUUUUGGAGAGGAAAGGCUGUGACCACGUGAAAUUCUUGGCACAAUCCGAAGCCGCCUUAUCCUCUGAAGAUAUAAAGGACCCCUCGGCCGAAGCGAGCCUGGUCGGUGGAAAAUUUUUCACCGACAUCUGGGACAAUGGUGGCCGGGAAAUGGCCCAAGAAAUUAUACGAAAAAGCGAAAAAGGCAUUCAUGACGCUACAAAAGUAGCAGAGGCCGCUGAGAAAAGUGCAGAGCCCGAAGUGCAAAUAGGUAUUGACUAGUGGUUUUUGACUCUGUUGUAAUUUUUUGAUUUCAAACUUGUUCACGGUUUGUAAUAGUAAUAUAGUCGUAUCUUCUCCCCAGAACCUGCCAAUCCAUCUGCGGACCCCCACGCGAAGGGGGACGACGAAAUUAAGAAAAUGGCCGAAGCCAUCAUGGAUAAAGUUGUUGAUCAGCUACUAAACGAGGCUGCAGAAAUAGUUCUAAGGGAAGAUUAGCUGUUAUUGUAAAAAAGAUUUAGAAUGUAACAUUUGUUGAGAAACAUGUGUGAUAUUUUGUAACCUUGAAUGUAAUAUAUUAGUUGUUUACAGUUCUAUUCUUUACGAUGCAUGAAACUUCAUAUACAUACCGUUUUUGAGCCUUCGGCGAAAAAACACCUUCCCUUCUUUUCAUGCUUCGUAAAUAAUAUCUGCGUUCUCAUAAAAUCAGUAACCAAUCCUCGUAAAAUCAAUAAUCAAUAGAUCUUUUCAUUUUGACGAAGGUAUAAUUCCUCGAUAGUUAUUUUUGUGCCCUGUCACUGUUUCUUCGAAACAAUCUUCAAAUAUCAAUACUGAGACCCCCUUCUUGCGUUGUUGAUGCAAUAUGAUGUAUGAUGUUAUGCUGUGCAAAUGAUGUAAUGAUGUGAUGUUGUGCAAAAUGAUAUUUGCCGAAGAUCGACGUUUUUUCACUGCAAGCCUCCCUUAGGAGCUUCUUCGCCUUUUACUUCAGCGGAAUCAGCGUUUAUUUUUCGCUGUAAGCCUCCCUUAGGAGCUUCUUCGCCUUUUACUUUCAGCGGAAUCAGCGUUUAUUUUUCGCUGUAAGCCUCCCUUAGGAGCUUCUUCGCCUUUUACUUUCAACGGAAUCAGCGUUUAUUUUUCGCUGUAAGCUCUGCAUUCCCUUCAGAACGACUUUUGAGCAGAAAACUUACGCUGCGCUCCCUUAGGAACGACUUUUUGCUGCUUCGAAGAAAUUACGCUGUGUUCCUUAGAACAAAAUUUUUGAUAACUCGAAGGUCCUCCUUGCCACCAUAAAUUCUUAUGCUUCGGCAACUUAAGCCUAUGGAGAAGAUAUAUUUUCAUUAUAGUAAAAAGCAAAACUGUUACAAGAGAUUAAAAACGACAAAAAGCACUUAAGCCUCCCAUAAUUGUUCCUUAUUAAAAAGAAAAUAAUACUGAAUGUGAAAAACUGCUGUCGGGGUAGGAUAUUUGUCAGUAAAUAUGCUUCAACUCUGGCACAGUGCUAUUGACUGUGCGAGCUUCGGACUCUUCUCUGAAAUCCCGUUGAAGGUGAGUGUGCUGACUCCCUUCUGGCCGCUGGCCUCGUUGCGUUGGUGGUGGAGGUGGAGGUUGUUGCCAAGAUGCUUGAGGUUGGCUUGCCGAAGCAACAGAAGCUGCAGGGUGGUUGCCUACAUAUUCUGGAAUAUAAGGCGAAUGGUACGAAGCAGUAUGCAUGACUUGCUUCGGCUAACUCUGUUGUGCUGCAGCUUCUGCUAUCUCCUUUUGCCUCUGGAUGGUAACAUGGCACAUCCUGGUGGUAUGGCCCUUGUCCUCACCACAGAAUAGACAAUAAAUUUUCCUUGGCUGAUCCCCAAAUCUUCCUCCGAAGCCCCUGGCGCCUCUGCCCCUUGGAGCUGGCGGCCGAAAAGAGCUUUGCUGCUGCCCCGAAGCUUGAGAGGAGUACUGUGGCCUUUGCUGUUGAUUCCCUCUAUCAUCAUUCUGAGUAGAGUUGUGAAUUGACCUGACGUGCCUCGGAUGGAGUCUUCCUCCGAAGCCCCUGGUCAUUUCAGAGAACUUGUAUGCUUCCUCCCUUCUUUGGAGGAAGUCAUUGUCAGCUCGAAUAUACUCGUCCAUCUUCUGGAGCAGCUUCUCCAAAGUUUGAGGAGGCUUCCUGGCAAAGUAUUGAGCUGAAGGUCCCGGCCGAAGCCCCUUAAUCAUGGCCUCAAUGACAAUUUCAUUGGGCACUGUUGGUGCCUGUGCCCUUAGACGCAGGAACCUUCGGACAUAUGCCUGAAGGUAUUCUUCGUGGUCCUGGGUGCACUGGAAUAAAGCCUGAGCAGUGACCGGUUUCGUUUGAAACCUUUGGAAGCUGGUUAUCAGCAUGUCCUUCAGCUUUUGCCAUGAGGUGAUUGUCCCUGGCCGAAGAGAGGAGUACCAGGUUUGUGCAACACUCUUGACAGCCAUGACGAAAGAUUUUGCCAUGACUGCAGUAUUGCCACCAUACGAAGAUAUGGUUGCUUCAUAACUCAUCAAGAAUUGCUUCGGGUCUAAAUGACUGUCGUACAUGGGGAGCUGGGGUGGCUUGUAAGACUUGGGCCAAGGUGUAGCCUGCAGUUCUGUUCACAAAGGAGAAGUAUCAUCAAAAGCAAAAUUUCCAUGAUGGAAAUCUUCAUACCAGUCGUCCUCGUUGUAGAAGCCCUCCUGAUGAAGCUCUCUGUGCGGAGGCCUUCGGUUCUAGUCAUCUUGAGCAAGAUGACGAACUUCUUCAGAGGCUUCGUCUAUCUGCCUUUGCAGGUCAGCUAGACGAGCCAUCUUUUCCUUCUUCCGUUGGACCUGUUGAUGGAGCAUCUCCAAGUUUUGGAUUUCUUGAUCCAAGUCAUCCUCCGGAGGCGUUGGGCUGGUGGCCUUCCUCUUCUGGCUUCGAGCCUCCCUAAGAGAAAGGACAUCCUGAUUGGGGUCCAGCGGCUGCAGAGUGGCAGCCUCUGUUGCUGAAGCUUUCUUCGGCGGCAUGACGAAGGUGAUGCUUGCCGAAGGUGUUUAAAACUCAAAAAAUGGAAGUGAGUUCACCGGAGGUGGGCGCCAAUGUUGGUGACUUGUUCUCAAAUGCUUCGAGUUAAGAACAAGGCAACAUAAAAAGUGUUAAAUAUUAAAGUCCUUCGUCCUUCAAGACAUUAUGUCCCUUCGGAUAUAAUGAAUUCCGGAUGAAGGUUAUGAAUGAAGAAAAUCUUAGUAAGCACAAUAGAUGAUAAAGAAGAAUUCAUAUGUGAAAUACGAAGAAUAAUAUAGAUAUUAUCAUCAACUUAUUUUUAUUUGUAUUAUCAUAUCCAGAAUUACAAAUUAUAAAUGUACCUUUGGUUUGACGGAAAGUAAAGGUACAAGCGUGAUGCAAAAAGCGAUUGCCAAGUCAACGUGAACAGUACGUGAGUACUGUUCAUCUAUUUAUAGGCAAGGGACGCAACCCGUGUAGAAUUACAUUAAUGCCCUUUACAUUUAUCAAUAACUCUAUAGUAAUUCUUCGAGGUCUAAUUUGCCUUUUCAUCUUUAAGUCGGUUCCCCUUCUCUGCUAUCAUGCCGAAGCUUUUCUGCGCACAACUUCGUGAUCAUCUUAUCCUUCGUCAUAAUCGCCUUUCGUCUCACUCAGGCUUCGUCCUGACCAUACUCUUGUAUACUCAUAACCCGAUUCCGAAGAUACCUGUUCACAUAUUUCACUUGGAAAACAUUGUCAAAUCAUGUUUUUGAGGACCUUUGGAAGCCGAAGGCCCCCAACAGUCGUCAAGGCCUUUUGUGCUGCGACCUCAGUGGUGUCGUCCGCCCUGAACCCGACAGUCUUGGAAUCAAGGGAACGCCACCUAGGCUACAGAGGAUAAGACUCCAGGGUCAGCCAAACCCUGCAACGUGGCACCCAAUGCUCCUCAUAUAACUGCACCAUGUAAAGAGGGGGUGUGGGGUAUCCAGUGGAGCAGAGCACCUCCCACAAGAUAGAGGGAAAGCCCUUGUGGGAAAGAUAGUCAAAGCUGAAGCGGGUGUCUCCUAUGUUGGCGGGGGUGGGUGAAGGCAUCUGUAGAAGAGGGUUAAGUGUAAGUGCUAAGGUAGCGGUAAGGAGAUAAGUGUGCUUACGUUUAAAGGAGGUGGAUCAACUUAGAUUUAUCUAUUCCAACUCAUUUUCUUGCUACCCAUUUUAACUAAUGUUGCUAGGGGUCAUGAUUCAAUGCAAUUUCUUUAUCUUUUAAUUAUUCAUGUUUUAUAAUGCAUGCAUGCUUCAAUAAACGUCCUCUCAUCGAUCAGAGGGGUGCUCCUAGGGCAUCCUUACUUAUCUUAGUGUCAGCCUUUAUGGCCUAUUUAUAUAGCCACCUAUCUACCCCACCAUUAUUAAGGUCUUUUGUCCUAGAUCUAGCGUUCUAGUACUGACAAUCCAACACUGGUUUCUAAGCAAAGUUUUAUGUUCCAAAAGUUGGCAUUCAUGAUUUAUUGACUCAUCUGUAAUGGUAUUCGCUCCAAUACUAGCUGUGGCAGAACCACCCGAAUUAUUCCAGCUUAAGAGCCCAAGUCGCACCUUUAAAGGCAGCAACACACUUAAACCAGAAUAAACUGUUUAAUUCUUUGGAUCUCGUCCGAUAGAGCCACUUACCAAGGAUCGAGUACCAUUAGCUCACACGAUGGUGAGGCUCAGAGAGAAUACAAUAAACAUGAAACCACAAAUUAAAGUACUGGAGUUAUUACAUAAAUCGGAGUUUGAUAAAAGAUAACAAGUUCUUAAUAGUGCGGUGGAUAAUAGAUAACGUUGGUGCUGAGGAAUAGGGCAAGGCCUAGCCCACUACUCCUCCUGGUCCUCUCCUGCCGAGGCGGCAUCCCACUCGACCGUCCAACCUAGUGGUAGGGUGGAAGGCCAAGUCACACCAUCAACCAUGUCCUGUAGCGUACCUGAAAAAAAUAUGCCACAAGCAAGGCUGAGUAUACUAAUACUCAGCUAGACUUACCAGGUGUGAGGAGUCUACUCCUCUACCUCUAGACCAUGCAGCUAUUUGGCUGAGGGGUUUGGUUUCCCAAAAGCACUAGCUGAGUCUAAAAACAAUUUUAGCUUUUCCCGUUCUAGCAUAUUUAUUUAAGCUACGUUUGCUCCUUUCUAAGCAUACAUGGUAACAAUCAUUUAGUACAAUCAACAUGUUAUCUCAAGUAACACCUCAUUUCACUUUUUACUCGAUGCAGUACAAGGGGUCAAGCAGUCUCAUUAGCUAUGAGAAGUAGACGAUUCGAAUCGCGUUUUAACCUUGCAAGGUAAACCUAAACACGCGACAUGUUGGGGCACUCCGUCCCCACACACAUCAACCAUCCCCAUCGAUUCCUCGUUCGUGGCCAGGGCUCACCGCCUUGGCAUGCAAUGCCCCACUAACCCUGGCUGCCGCCAUACAGUGGCUGCACUUGCACCCACCAUACCUAGCAUGGGAGACCUUGUCUCAGGAGAAGUGAGGGGGAAAGUCCGCGCCCGGCUUCACUCAGGUACUAGGCUUACCGAUUACCAUAUUUCCUGACAUGUGUUUAGUACUUUCAAACACUUGACUCAGGUAUCCGCACAUUAAUCCUUAAUUCCAUUCCUUUCUCAUACACAAGGCAUCCACCCUAGAUCCAAGUCCAUAGACCAUCAUAGAUCUCGUUAUCAAGAUGAGUACAAUCAAUUCCUGACCUCAUGCGAGUGCUAGAAAAUGACUCGACUUCUACCGAGAUCCCUAAUUAGCAAAGCAGCUACUUGACCUAGCAUACUAGUAUCCAUCUCAAAAGGAAUCCUGAGUUCAUGCAACUAGGGUUUCAACCAACUCCUACACUUAAGUGCACAUUACAAACCUGUAAAUAUUAAGUGUAGUAAAAUAGCAUAUAUAAACGGUUAUACAUAAAACCGGGGCUUGCCUUCAAUUGCGGGUGCAGCAGGAGAUUCUUCGGCGACAAGUUCGGGAGCUGGUUCCCGAACUUCCUCCUGUUGUUUCUCUAGCUCUUGGGUCAAGACGUACUCUCCGUCCGCGAGAUUGCAAUCUAAUGAAUGCAAAUGUAUCAGUAUGAAUGCAACAUAAUUACCCAAUUGUACAUGUCUAAAGUGCAUACUAGGUUUCAAGGAUUUCUUUACCUUUUAACUUUUAAGGUCUUUUAUAGGGUAGGUUGAACUACGCCUCUGUUUUAGAAAUUUCCAAAAAUCCUAUAAAACUUACAGUGGCUUCCCAUUGGCUCACAUAAGUCUGUCUCAAAAAUUGAGGCCUAAAAUGGGUGUGGUUUUCUCUGCACAAAAAAUAUUAAAAUCUAGGGCAGAUGGGGGUACUUUGAACUACAACCCUUGAGUAGAGAUGGUUUCUGCCCUAAUACUUAUUUUUGCUGGUGUUUGUGGGUGAUAAUUUGCUCUUAUGCCAAAUUUUAGCCAAAGAUACCUAAUGGUUAAUUUAUGGUGAUUUUCUAAAGUUUGGGGCUUACUGGGUGCUUUCUACUACCACUCUAUUUGAAAAAUGUCAAACAACAGAUUUCCCAAUUUUUCUAAUUUCUUCUUUGCGCAAGAGCAAUCAUUCCUAAAGUUGGUUAUUUUUACUUAUAGGGGAUGGGUUGUACGAUUUCUUAGAAUAUAUAAUCUUUCUCAUGGGGCAGGGGGUGGGGUGUAUUCCACUUUCAACUACCUUAGUUUUAUAUUUUUCCCUCACAGUAUACAUCAUAAUUAUUUAUGUUAAAAUAGGGUUUCUUGCUGGUUCCCACUUUUAGUCUUCCUUUUUAAUUUUUUGAAGUAUUGGCAAUUUCCUAGUUUUAUUUGUUUGACCCACUUACUGUGAUAUUCUGGGGUGUUUUUUUACAGUAGUACAAUAGUGGUCAAGGGUCUACUAAAUUUUUCUUACCACUAAUGCAGAUCUUCUCAUAUUUUUAAUCAUUAUCUUUCUUAAAUACUUAAUACCUAAAUAAAAUCAUAAAUUCCAGACCAGUACUGGACUAGGGUUCCAUAUAUUUUUCCCAUGAACUUUAUCACCUAAUCAUGCUAGGAAAAAUAAUAUUGUACUCUGGUUCCUAUUUUUGGUGCCCUUUUUUAUUUCUUCAAAGUUUGGUUAAAAACAUAUCCUAGGGAAUAAAAUUUAUAUUAUCUUGGGUACUGGGGUACUCAACAUUUUUAAACAGUGUAACUAUCGGUCAAGUAUCUUCAUAAAUUUUCUCAGCCCUAGUCCAAAAGUAUUUCUAUUUUUCUCUCCAUUAUUAAGUUUUAGGCAGUUUUCUAAUUUAGUUCAAAACUCUAGAAAAUAGUAUAGGAAACAUGGGGUUUAAUAUUUUUGUUUGAUAGUUCAUAUUUUACAGAGUCUAGCAAAAUUGGUUUGACCAAAUUUGUAUGAAUAUUCUUCAAGUUAUGUAUUUAUCAAGUUUGCCGCAGAUUUAAAAUAACUUAGAAAUUCGAAAAGGAAAAGAAAAAACAUCUUUGCACUCGGGUCCCUGGUUAAAGUUUUCUUCUUCCCUUACAAACGAGUCCUUGGUCUAUUAUUCAGCUGAGUCUGUGGCUUAACACUUAACCCCCUAGAAUUUCCUAGCAUCUAACUCGCGGUCCUUACGUUCAUCGGAACAGUAGCUGAAAGGAAAAUCUACGUGGCGCGGCUUACCGGCGAUGGUAAAGUUCCGGUGGGGUGGUCCACGCCAUCGGGAGGUCACGAGGGUCACGUCGAUGGUCGGCUCAUCGCAUGUGGUGGCCGGAGUUGUUCUGGCCUCGCGCGCAGGCGGGCGAGCUCAUCGGUGGCGAGAAGCUCGGCCUGUACACAGCGGUAGAGUUCGAUCCAGUGAGUCGGCGAGUUUCACGGAAAAUCAGUGAGGUCGUGGGUGCAAGGAAUUUGGGAAUGGCUCACCUUGCAGUCCGGUCCACGUGCGGCGGUAGGCGGCCGAAGUCCGGUGAGGUCGAUCUCACUGUUCUGGCGGGGCAGGGCCUUGGCUCAUGCUUGGGAAGGCUUCACGGCCUCUCGGGGAAGCUGUCCAAGGGGUCGGGCGAGGUUGGGGGUCUAUGGGAAUGGCUGGCCACGACGGUCGUGCUCAGGCGAUGGUGGCGGGCGGUGGUGCUUGCUCUUUGCGGCAAACUUCGAUGAUCUCAGGCGCGGGCAGGAGUGAGGGCGGGCGAGGAAGUACGACCGAGGCCUUGUGGGCUCUUAUAGGCGUGGGCACGGGCACAGGCGCGCGGUCGGGUGUGGCUCGGCGCGGGUGCGCAGUCGGGCGCGCAUUGGCGUGUCAGCCGCGGUCGAGCACAUGGCGGCUUGCUUCUGCUCGUGUUCAAGCGCUCAUAGGCUCCAAAUCUUCAUGAAUUUGAGCAAGAUCCCAUUGUAAGAUCUGUUCCCCCGACUGAGCUCUGUCGUUUGCGUGUGGAAGCUUAGGGGUUUUCAAGUUUGUGCAGGGAGUUGUCACGUCGCCAACUUGGGUGUGUCUGACUGCUUCGUCCUGAGGCAAUCCUACACCAAGAUCGUGUCAACCGGCUUGGUUUGUCUUCAAACUUUGCCAGGGUGUGCCUAGGAUAUUUUGGCGCCAUUUUGUUAUUUGGACCAUGUGGUUUUGAGUUUUGGAACAAGGUGAACGCGGUUGAUCUUUGUGAGAGGGUUGGAUUUUAGAAUUCUGAAAUCCUGAUUUUUAUUUGAAGUCCCCACUUGAGUGGCUUGUUUGAGGAUUUUGCAAAACUCUUUUGGGUAAAUGUUGGGGGCCUUCGUCUUCCGAAGGUCCUCAAAAACACGACUAACAUGUUUCCCAAGUAUAAUAUAUGUACAGGAACCUUCGGACAUGGGAUGAAGUUGUACAUGAUAUGAAGAGCGCGGUUCGGGAGAAGGAUGAACCAAUGCCGAAGCUACCCGUGAAAAAGCUUCGGCUUAGCGAUGGAAAAUGAAACCGACUUAAAGGGGAAAAGGUUGUAUAGUCCUCGAUAGUUUAUCCCUAAGUCAAUAGUAAAUGUCAAGGGCAUGAAUGUAAUUCUACACAGGCAGCGUCAUGUGCCUAUAAAUAGAUGAACAUUGACACCGUACUGUUCACGCUGACUUGUAUUCCCUCUCACGUCACGCCUGGAUUUUUACCUUCUGUCAAGCCGAAGGUAUAAAUGUAAUUCAAUACUGUUCAUGUUUAUUCAUGAUAAGAUAAUAAAAAUGUUCUGCUAAUGUCAUAUAAUUAUUCAUGUUAUUUUCCAUGUUUCAUAUGCUUCUACUUACUUUAUUAUAUACUGAGAUGAUGAGGGUACAUCCUUCAUAACCUUCGUCUGAAGACCAUUAUAUCCUAAGGGAGAUAAUGCUUCGAAGGACGAAGGUCUUUAACCAUUAACAUUUUGUGUUGCCUUGUUCUUAACUCAUAGCAUUUGAGAACAAGUCCCCAACAUUGGUGCCCACCUCUGGUGAACUCAUUCGACCACCUUUGGCAAGCUAUGACCUUCAUCAUGCCGCCGAAGAAAGCUUCAGGGCUAGGGGCUGCACUGCAGUCACUAGACGUCAACAAAGACACAUUGCGCGAAGCCUGAAGCCAAAAAAAGGAAGGCUACAAGUCCAACGCCUCAGGAGGAAGAGUUGGACCAAGAGAUCAGGGAUCUCGAAACCAUUCAUCAGCAGGUCCAAAGGAAGAAGGAGAAGAUGAUUCGUCUUGCUGAUCUUCAAAAGAAGAUCGACGAAGCCGCUGAGGAAAUGCGUCAUCUCACCCAAGAUGACCUGGACCGACGACCUCAACGCAUAGAGCUUCGCCAGGACAAUUCCUAUGAUGAUGACGUUUGGUAUGAUGAUUUCCACCAUGGAAAUUUUGCUUUUGAUGAUGCUUCUCCUCUGUUAGCAGAACUGCGGGCUACACCAUGGCCUUCAUCAUACAAGCCACCCCAGCUUCCCAUGUAUGAUGGGCACUCUGAUCCGAAGCAGUUUCUGAUGAGCUAUGAAGCAACCAUAUCUUCAUAUGGGGGCAAUACUGCAGUCAUGGAGAAAUCCUUCGUCAUGGCAGUCAAGAAUGUUGCACAAACCUGGUACUCCUCCCUUCGGCCGGGAACAAUCACAUCUUGACAGAAGCUGAAGGACAUGCUAAUCACCAGUUUUCAAGGGUUUCAAACCAAGGCGGUUACUGCUCAAGCUUUGUUCCAGUGCAGGCAAGACCACGAAGAAUACCUCCUGGCGUAUGUCCGAAGGUUCUUGCGUCUAAGAGCACAAGCGCCUACAAUGCCCAAUGAAAUCGUCAUUGAGGCCAUGAUCAAGGGGCUUUGGACAGGACCUACGACUCAGUAUUUUGCCAGGAAACCCCCUUAGACCUUGGAGAAGCUGCUUCAGAAGAUGGAUGAGUAGAUCCGAGCCGAUAAUGAUUUUCGCCAGAGAAGGGAAGAAGCUUAUAGGUUUUCUGAGAUGACUAGGGGCUUUGGAGGAAGAAUCCACCCUAGGCAUGUCAGAUCAAUCCACAGCUCCAGUCAGAGUGAGGACAGAGGAAGCCAAUUUCAAAGGCCACAACACAGCUCACAGUCUUCAGGGCAGCAGCAAAGCUCAUUCAGGCCACCAGCUCCAAGGGGCAGAGGCGGCAUGUUCUUCGGAGGAAGAUAUGGCGAUCAACCAAAGAAAAUCUAUUGCUUAUUCUGUGGUGAAGACAAGGGCCACACUACAAGAACUGUCAGAUUACCAUUCAGAAGCAAAAAGAGAUUGCCGAAGCAGAAGCCCGGCAGAACCAGCCGAAGCAGGUUUUACAUACUGCUUCGUGCUACUCUCCCUACAUACCAGAAUAUGUGGGCAAUCAACAUGCAGCUUCUAUUGCUUCGGCAAGCCAUUCACAAGCUUCUUGGCCUUAGCUUCCACUGCCACCACCAUUGCCACCUACUCAUACCCAAAGCCAGCAGCCAGAAGGGCGCCAACACCCCCAACAGCAGCGCGACUUCAGGGAGGAGUCCGAAGCUCGUAUAGUCAAUAGCACUAUACCAAAAUCAAAGCACAUAUACUGAGGAAUAUCCUACUUCUGAAGCACUUUUAUCUUUUAUGCCAUUUUACUUUCUGUAUGAGAAACAAAUAAUGAAAAACUCAGUUUCAAUUUCUUGUAAUAAUUCUGCCUACACCAGAAUGAAAUAUAUCUUCUUCAUAGAUUUACGAAGCUCAAAAGACGACUCUUAAAGGAACGAAGUAGAUUUCGAAGCACAAAAGUCGUUCCUAAGGGAAUGCAGAGCCAAAAUUGACGAAGCUACAAAAAGUCGUUCCUAAGGGAGCGCAGUGUAAGUUUUCUGCUCAAAAGUCGUUCCUAAGGGAAUGCAGAGCCAAAAUUGACGAAGCUACAAAAAGUCAUUCCUAAGGGAGCGCAAUGUAAGUUUUCUGCUCAAAAGUCGUUCCAAAGGGAAUGCAGAGCCAAAUACCGCCGAAAUAUAAGGCGAAGAAGUUCAAAAGUCGUUCCUAAGGGGAUGCAGAACUUAUACUACCGAAAUAGAAGGUGAAGAAGCUCAAAAGUCGUUCCUAAGGGGAUGCAGAGCUUAGACUCAAAAGACGUUCCUAAGGGGAUGCAGAGUCUUUCGUGUACUAGUGUGGGCGUAUGUGUGGGUGUUAAAGCAUGAUCAUAUUGCAUCAUGUCAUCGCAUCAUUUAGCAUAGCAUCACAUCAUACAUCAUAUCACAUCAACAGAAUGACUAAAUACGAAGCAAAUCUUUGGAAAUACUUCAAUUGAAUGAAAAUGUGCUAGGGCACAAAGCAAGCUUCAGGUGACAAUUCUAUCAGAUCUGCCCUAGAAGGGGUUUCUUUCUUUACGAAGCAUGAAAAGAAGGGAAGGUGUUUUUUCGCCGAAGGCUCAAAAAGCGGUAUGUGUGUAUGUUUCAUGCAUCGCAAAGAAAUAAAAUACAACAGCUUACAUAUUCGGUUCAAUGUUACAUACAUCAAGGUUACAUAGUUUUGUUACAAUAGAAGCCUAAUAUUCCUUCAAUUGUUCCAUACAUCAAGCAUUUCAAAACAUUAUUACAACAAAAUCUAUUCUUCUCUAAGGACUUUUUCUGCGACUUUGUUCAAAAGUUUAUCGACGACUUCGUCGAUAAUGGAGUUCGCCAUGCUUAUAAUAUCCUGUGCUUCCUUCAUCUUUGGAUCAGCUACGGGAUUGUAUGGCUCCGGUGGCGGCGAUAGUUCAGUUGUAGUAAGUAAACUGUUAGUUCGAAGCUACAUAGCAAGUACUGAAGCCAAAAAAUCAAAAACAAAUACCUAUGCGCUUUUCGCGCUCAGCAGCCUCUUCAGCUCGCUUUGCGUCUUCCCGGGCGUCGUGGGUGCCUUUUUCAUUCUUUUUUAUAAUUUCAUUGGCCAGCUCUCGGCCACCGUUCACCCAGACAUCGGAAUAAAACUUCCCGCCCAUCAAAGUUGCUUUGGCUAAAGGAUCAUUCGUGUCGUCUAUGGAGAAGGCAGCUUCGGCCUAGGCUAUAGCCUUAACGUGAUCACAUAUGGCCUUCUCCAAGAUAGUUGUGAUUCCUCGAGCACCGGAGAAAGCACAAAUAUCCCCGCGAUCAUUCAAGAUUUCCUCGAAAGCUUCGGUUUCCCCACUUAUCCAUUCAAUAACGCCCUCGAGGUCGCCCAGAUAAAAUUUUAUUCAGAGGAGUAGUGCCCACUUUGGAGAAGCUAGUUUUUAAUUUCUUCACGCAAUCCAAGGAUUUCUCAAAACACCUUUCCUUGGAUUCGCGAAGUUCUUCAACAUUUUUAUCUAGCUUAUUUUUCCAAUAUUCACUAAUCUCUUGGUUAGCCUGUGCGAGCGCGCAGUUCUCAUUAGCUUCAGCAAGUUUUUUCGAAGAUCUUCAACCUCAGCUUUAUGAGCUUCGGCCUAAGCAUUACACUUAGCUACAUCUUCUUUUAUUUUAUUCACUAAUGAAAUCAAAAUCUUGUCUUUUUCCAAACCUUCAUUUCUUAGCUCAAUUACCUCUGAGCGAAGGUUGUUGAGAGCUAUUGUGCAACCUUCGUCUUCGGCGCUCUUUUGUGCCCUCAAGGCAUUACUAAGAAUUAAGCCUUGCAAGAAAAAGAAAUAAUUAAGUAUAGCAAUGAAAUUCUUCAUUUCCAACUUUAAAAGUUAACUUUUAUACCUUUAUGCUGUUAUACGCAAGUCUAUCAGCAAGAUCAUCCUUCGACAUGGUCGAAAAGGCCUUCUUCAAGCUUCGGAAAUCCCAUACUUUUAGCUAUCUCUCGGCAAACAGAUAUUUCUUUAUUGUCCGGGAGACAGUACAGGAAAUCAUCUUCAUUAGUGUCGUUAAACACUAAGGCUCCCUUUGGAUAUUUUAAUUUUUGAGCAUAGUGUCUGGCUUCCAGGAUUUCUUCUUCGGAUAUUUUUUUCCCUGAAGCAUGUCGAUAAAUGUAAUCAACAUCUUCGACUGGAGCUUUGGGGGCAUGUUGAACCCAACGGGUAGAAGGGUGCCCGAUCUUUCGAUGAAAGAUGAUGGAGGUGGAAAACUUGUUGGAGAACGACGUUGGCUGCCCGACUACCUCAACCAAGAUGGUGUGGCGCCUUGAGCGACAGGUACACCGUCUCCUGAUAACUAUAAUUUGGGGUGGAGGUCGACGUUGUGCUAUCCAACUACAACAACCACAAGGGUGUUGCGCCUUAGCGAUAGUUACACUGGCUCCUGUUGUUGCUGCUAUUGCCAUGCCAAGAACAGCCUUGAACCUGCAAGCAAUCGAGAACAAGCAAGAACAAGAUAACAAGCAAACACGCAUGGAUCUGAUAAAGUUGGGGUCCCGUUUCAACUAUUCAGGUGGUCUAGCCGACACAUGCGUUUACAAGGAAGUAGCAAAUGCUAAACUUACAUCAAACAAAACCCAAGUUCUUUGGUGGCUACUAGUUGCUUAAAUAGAGAAAUAGGAAGAAGGAAUUCUGGUGGAGUCAUGAAGUUCCCUCGGUAGUUCCUGGACGCCUCGGGUGUAGUCUCCCAUUAAUUCUUGAUCCACCAGCAAGUAGACGAAGGGAGCUUUCCAACAAGUAUUUAUUUGCAUUAAACGGCCUUGGAAGUUGGAAGAUAUGCCCCCAUUUAAACUUGUACUUGAUGCUGUUACGAAAUCCUCUCGGGUGCAGCAGCCUUUAUUGCCUUGUUGCCUUCUCCAGUCCAAGAUGGUUCACCUCCCAAAACACCUGAGCAUAAUAAAGUCAUCGCAAGGCUUUAGUACCUCAUUUAAAGAAGAAUUAGCUUCAAUAGCAAGGAACGAGUUCACCUGAUAAUUAAGUUUACGUGCACGGGCUCGUGUCAUUGGUCCUUGAUUAGCUACAAAUGGUGAAGUGGUCACUGGUAUGGUUGUAUCAAUGAUAGUGAUGUCCUCAUCAGGGCAGGAGAUUUUGCUUUUUCUGCCAUACCUUGCCCUGCUGUCAUGCCGGUAUCUGAAGUUUGCUGACCAGCCUUGUCCUUAGGCACGAUAGCCUUCGUCUCAAUGGGCGUUGUAGGCUCAGCUUCGGCUUCGGCCUGGCCCUUGGCAACUUUGGAAACUUUCCUAAUAGGAGCAGGGGCCAAGGCCUUUGUAGUCUCCAUAACAGCGUCUAGCACGCUGGCCAUCCUCCUCCUUUUGGGAGUUGCGGUAGGAGCUUUUUGCAUCUUUGGCAAAUUUGCCUCUGCCGAUGGGCUCAGGAUUUCUUGCAUUUUUACUGUUUCUUCCACCGUUGGCUCUUCGACCGUAUCAUCCUUAGCUUCAGUUGGCCCGACUGUAGGCACCUUCGUCAUUACAAUAUACUCUUCAGCGCUCUACACGAUGGAAGCAGCUUGUUUUGCUUCGGCAGUUGAAGAGGUCCCUUCGCCAAAUUCAGGAACUAUGGUCGGCUCAAUAUAUCGCGGCCGGUGGGUCAGAACUUUCAUUUUCUUGCCUUUCGGCAUAGCAGUGGUGGCCAAAGUGCCUUCGCAGCGGGUAGUGAUAGUCAGGGUAUAUGAAGCCGAUUGCAUCAAAUACCCUAUUCAAUCUUUUAUUCCCCCAGCCCCCGAAGGUUGUGGACAAGGCAUCAUCUUCGGCCUUGGAAUAUGUCCCAAGCAGCUCGUCACUGGUAGCUUCAAUACAUUUCAACCAGUCAUCAUUUGGCUCGUCAAACUUCUCUCUAGAUCUGAAGGUAUAUUUCAAUCGAACCAGGCCACCUUCACUGGAGUCGGCAGUAGUUUCCUUCGGCAUAUCCCAUCUCUCCACAAGUGGCCACACCCUGAAGGAUAUGUGCUCUUGAAUUAAAUGCCUCGUGCCAAUGAAGGCGCAAACAGUACUAAAAGCCUUCUGGCAUGCUUCAACAUCGCUAUCAAUAUCCACCUUCGGCCUUUGGAGGCCGAAGCAAGACCAGAUGGGACGCUGGAUAAUUUCCUUGAUGUCUUCUCUUUUAAUCAGAUCAUUUUUAACAUAAAACCACUCCUCCAUCCAGGCCCCAAGCCAUCUUUUCCAGUAUGUUGGCACCAGGUAACUUGCAUUAGAGCGGGCAAUGAACAUGUAGCAACCGAAGUUGUUCUGGUAUUGUUCUUUGCCAAUAGCCUUCGUCUCGUAUAAAAGCUCGUGCAUACUGCAGAAGCACUUCGCGCUCGGCUCCAGCCCCUGGCUUCUUACAGCCCAGACAAACAUCCCCAUCCUAAUUAUAGCUUUGGGGGUAAUCUGAUAAAGAAAAAUCUGAAAAUCUUUAAUACCUCAACCACAAAUUUGCUCAGUGGGAACCGGAGACCUGCUUUCAGGAAGCUUCGGUAAAUAACAACUUCGUUUUCCUCAGGAGCAGAGGCAGUGUUGUCUCCUCCAACUCUGACAAUAGACAUGUCGCGAAAAUAUCUCCCCCUCAUGGCGUCAAUAUGACUUUGUUUGAUAGUCGGUUUUCCGAAGAUAGUAUGACUUGGUCGCCAGGGCUAAUCCUCAGAAUCUUCAUCCCCACUCUCCACAUCAUAGUUAUCACUGUCAUCGGAAUCUUCGGACAAACCCUCCAUGAUCUCCUUAGUAAUUUUCUCUGUAUUCGUUUUUGCCAUGGACUCAUAAAACCCAGCGAUGAAAGGAUCCGCAACUUUCUUCUCUUCAUACAGCUUCUUCUCCUCGGUUAUUUUCUUCUCUUCAGUCAUCUUCUUCUCCUCAAAUUUGGAGCAAGCACGCCUUUAAACCAAAGCUCUAAAAGCUCAAAAAUCAGGCGAGAGCUAUUGAGCAAGAGCUAGAAAUUUGAGAAAAUAACGCAAAUAGCAGAAAUAGCGUACCAAAUGCUGCCGCUGUGGGUUCAUAUUUAUAUGCCUAGUGCUUUGCAACUUGGCGGGCCUCAUCUGUCAUUGACUAUCGCUAUUCUAGUGAAGGGAAGGUGUUUUUUCUGACCUUCGGCUUAAGGCCUUUGUUCAUGUCACAGUCUAAAUCCAUUGUUAUAACAAAUUAAUACUACGAGGGGCUACUGUUGGGGGCCUUCGUCUUCCGAAGGUCCUCAAAAACACGACUAACAUGUUUCCCAAGUAUAAUAUAUGUACAGGAACCUUCAGACAUGGGAUAAAGUUGUACAUGAUAUGAAGAGCGCGGUUCGGGAGAAGGAUGAACCAGUGCCGAAGCUACCCGUGAAAAAGCUUCGACUUAGCGAUGGAAAAUGAAACCGACUUAGAGGGGAAAAGGCUGUCUAGUCCUCGAUAGAUUAUCCCUAAGUCAAUAGUAGAUGUCAAGGGCAUGAAUGUAAUUCUACACAGGCUGCGUCCUGUGACUAUAAAUAGAUGAACAGUGACACCGUAAUGUUCACGCUGACUUGUAUUCCCUCGCACGUCAUGCUUGGAUUUUUACCUUCUGUCAAGCCGAAGGUAUAAAUGUAAUUCAAUACUGUUCAUGUUUAUUCAUGAUAAGAUAAUAAAAAUGUUCUGGUCAUGUCAUAUAAUUAUUCAUGUUAUUUUCCAUGUUUCAUAUGCUUCUACUUACUUUAUUAUAUACUGAAAUAAUGAGGGUACAACCUUCAUAACCUUCGUCUGAAGACCAUUAUAUCCUAAGGGAGAUAAUGCUUCGAAGGACGAAGUUCUUUAACCAUUAACAUUUUGUGUUGCCUUGUUCUUAACUCAUAGCAUUUGAGAACAAGUCCCCAACAGUAAACUUUCUUACUAUAUUUUGUAGGUUAUUUAGUGUACUACAACUUUGUUAAUUGGUCCAAAUCAUGAUAAUGUGAUGUACUUGGACUUUCCACUGAGUUCCUUUUUAGUGUUCCCCUAAAGGAAAGGUUUUUAGGGUUUUGGUCUUUUCUUUUUUUUCUUAAACUUCAUAGGGUCAGGGUGUGAUUCUUAGAGUGAAAAAGACUUGAUCAAGUUUUUGCUCCUCAAGUUUGGUGUCUUUUGCUCCAACUAAAACACAUGUGAUAAUGGGUCAUAAGGUGGGUACUGAGGGAAAACCCUGAGUAACACCUGGGGUGUUAUAGACCUAAACACCUCUUAUCGAUGUAGAGCCGAAGAGAAGCGAAGAAUUUAGGGAUUAAGAGGUUAAACUAGGGCUAAACUAGAACUACUCCUAAUGCAUAAGGUAAAAACGAGAAAUAAACUUGAUUUGGUCGAUUGUUGGGGGGUUCAAUCGGUCGUAGCGCUUCAUAUAUAUAAAGGGGAGGUCUAGAUCCAUUACAAAUUGUUUCCUGAGCUCAUCCCGUGAUUUUAGCUAACAAAUCCCGCAAGAAACUCGGAACCCUAACUGAUUCUGCACACACGUGGACCGUCCACGCCACUAUCGCGGAUCGUUCGGCCUCAGGGCCGGACCGUCUGCACAACUCUUUUCUGUGCUCAACAUAUGCCCCAUGCCUUUUGGUGGAGGUUGCCGAACCAAAAGCAUAUGAACUAAACCUGAUGUAAGUCACCGGCUUUUCAAUAUGGAGAUCACUCAAUAAAGCACCAAUGUAUAAAGGUCGUUUCAGAUUGUAUCUUUCUCGGCCAUGACCAUUUGAUCAAUGGAUCAAAAGGAAUAGAAUGAGAUGCCCCCAGUCUGGAAAGACAAAUGGACUAUACACGUAUCAUGGAUUCAUCGUCGUACCAUUCCAUAUUUGAACAGGAUAAUAUACCGAUGAUGAGUAAACGGGUGGAAAGUACCCUGGUCUCAUAGGAAGAAUAGACGAUGUUUGUUGUGUCGCCUUUCGGGCCGUUUUGUUUUAGCAAGUGAUUGGGGUUUCUUCGUUGAUCGAUCACGCAGAACGGUCUUCUCGCUAGCAUUCUUGGAGCGCAACUGAUCAAACACAGGGUUAGCUUUGAUCAGCCGACCUUAUGUGCUCUGCCCUUGCGUCUCUUUCCUUGCUUUGUGUGGAGGCUGACGCCUUCGACCAUAAGCGGACUGUCCGGCUGAGUUAGCCAGACCGUCUGUUUGAGCACCGAACCGUCCUCACGUAGGUGCCAAGCCGUCUGUGAUGCUCGGGCCAAAAUGUCGUGCUCGGCUCUUUAAUUGUGCUUGCCCCCGGUGCCUCUGGAUUUUUUAGCCUAUUCAUCCGGAGCCUUUCGAGCAAUCUCCUUUUAUGAUAUAUUUGAUAUGCGAGGAUCACCAAUGAUGAUGCCCUUGCCUUUGCCUUUAUCGACCAUUUCGGGUCGAACCAAGACCUUUUCGCAUGUGACUUCUAUUGUAUUAACAGGAAAUGGUUGUCUGUCUACUUGCAUCUCCUGAAAAGCCAACCGGACCUCAUUUAUGGCCGAUUGUAUCUGUUGAUAAAAAACAUUACAAUCAUUGGUGGUGUUGGGGACCUUCGGCGUCCGAAGGUCCUCAAAAACAUGAUUUAAUAGUGUUUCUGGAGUAUAAUGUGCAAACAGGUAUCUUCGGACUCGAAUCGGUAUCACAGAGGGAGAAGCUCAAAGCAUACGAAGGUUGAUACAGCACCGAAGCUGUGAGCAGAAAAGCUUCGGCAUGGUGGCAGGAAAGGAAACCGACUUAAAGAUGAAAAGGCUAUUCGGACCUUGAUGGAUUACUAUAGAGUUAUUGUCAGAUGUAAAGGGCAUAAAUGUAAUUUUGUAAGGGCUGUGUCCCGUGUCUAUAAAUAGGUGAACAGUAUCCCCGUACUGUUCACGCUGACUUGGCAUUUGCUUUUGCGUCACGCUUGUACUUUUUACCUUCUCUCAGGACCGAAGGUACAUUUGUAAUUUGAAAUCAUUUCUAUUUUUCCAUGUUAAUAAAAUAGAAAUGAUUCUAUGAUGAUGCUUAUAUUAUAUUUCAUGCUUUAUAUGAAUCCUUCGUCAUUACUUGUUAUGUUUACGAAGGUAUGUCUCUUAUGACCUUCGUCCGAAACUCAUUAUUUCCCGAAGGGACAUAAUGCUUCGAAGGACGAAGGACUUUAACACUUAACACUUUUUAUGUUGCCUUGUUCUUAACUCUUAGCAUUUGAGAACAAGUCCCCAACAGGUGGCAUGAGAAAAAGAAUUAUGUCACUUACAAUAAGCAAGUCUCUUUAAUUCAUUAGGAGGAGGAAUAUUAUGAGUUAAUUUAAUGUUGCCAUUUUUUAGUAACUCGUCAAAUAUUUUAUCGCAUUUGGCAAUAUUAAAAGUAAACUUGACUUCUUCUUGUCAAUUAUUUCGAAUCGACUGUAAAGCAGAACAUUUCAAAGGUUUAGCCUGUCCUGGCCAAACCAGUUCGACGGUAUAUACAUUUGUGGAUUCAUCGUUCGAAUUAUCAUAUCCCCCUAGAUGCAUAUUAUGGCUAGCCGAUUUUGAUGUUUCCUUACUUCGGCUUUCACAGGUCAUAGCCCGCUGAUGCAAGUGCACUAGCGAAAAGAAUUAGGUGCCAUCUAAUUUCUCUUUUAAGUAAGGCCGCAACCCAUUGAAAGCUAGCCCUGUUAGUUGUUUUUUCGCGACAUGGAUCUGAAAGCAUCGGUUUCUAGUGUCCCGGAACCUCUGAAUAUAGUCAUUAACCGAUUCUUCAGACCCCUAUCGGAUUGAAGCUAAGUCAGCCAAUUCUAACUCAUGUUCUACUGAGAAGAAGUGUUCAUGAAAUUUCCGCUCUAAUUCUUCCCAAGAGUUAAUAGAGUUUGGUGGCAAAGCUGCGUACCACACGAAUGCGGUAUCAGUAAGGGACAACGAGAAUAAACGAAUGCGGUAGGCUUCCCCAUCAGCUAAUUGUCCCAAGUGUGCUAUGAAUUGGCUUAUAUGUUCGUGCGUGCUUUUCCCACCUUCACCAGAAAAUUUAGAGAAAUCUGGUAUCCUAGUUCCCUGUGGAUACGGCACGGUGUCGAAUCGGUGGCUAUAAGGCUUCCGAUACAAUUGCCCUGUACCUGACACACUAACACCGAGUUUGUCCCUGAACAUCCUGGCUACCUCAUCUCUGAUCCUCUCUGCCAUGUCUGGCGACCAUCCAUUAAGUUUGUGGGUGGAAAUCUUAGGUUGCCUGACAUCACUCUGUCGACGUUCCUCCCAGGGAUGUCUGAGGUGAGUGUUAGGUGUCCUAUUAAUGUCACCAGCUUCUGUCAUAUACCUCUCAGGCUCUCUAGUGGCCGAACAAUAUUUAGGCCUGUGUCCAUGAGUUGGUAUGGUAUGGUUAUAAUGUGUUGCUGGUGGGGCACCAUAAUGUUGCUGCGAUGAGUGUGGAACUGUGUGUAUUGUGUAGCUCUCGGUUCUGCGUACGCAUGCCUGGACGGUCCGGCGUAAGGGGUCGGAUGGUCCGCGACCGGGCCAAAUGGUUCGAAGGUAUAUCCAGACUAUCCAUCCAUAUAUGGUUCUGCCUGGGUAGUCCCUAUUGGGGUCCUUCCUCUUCUGAAGGUCCUCAAAAGCACAACUAACAUGUUUUUCAGUAUAGUAUACUAUCACAGAAAGCUUCGGCUUUGAGAUGAAGGCGUGUAUGGUAUGAAAGGCGCGAUCUGGAAGAAGGAUGAACCAGCUCCGAAGCUGUAGAUGGAGAAGCUUCGGCUCAGCACAAGGACGGUGGUGGAGAAUGAAACUAACCUAAAGGGGAAAAGACUGCUUAGUCCUCGACAGCUUACCUUUUGGCUAAGACUAAAUGUCAGGGACAUGAAUGUAAUUUUGCCCAAGCUGUGUCCUGUGCCUAUAAAUAGAUGAACAGUAACACCGUACGGUUCACGCUGAUUUGUAAUCUCUCGCGCGUCACUCUUGCUUUUUCACCUUCUAUCAAGCCGAAGGUACAAAUGUAAUUCGAAUAUCAUUGAUGUUUGUUCUCGUUCAUAUAAUGAAGGAAAUAUGAAUAGUCUAAUGAUCUGAAAUGAUUAUUCAUAUUUCCUUUGCAUUUCAUAUGUCUUAGUUUACAUCCUUGCUUAUUGAAAUGAAGAAGGUACAUCCUUCAUGACCUUCGUUCGAAGAUCAUUAUAUCCUAAAGGAGAUAAUGUUUCGAAGGAUGAAGUUCUUUAACCUUCUACACUUGUGUUGCCUUGUUUUUGAUUUAUAGCAUUUGAGAACAAGUGGCCAACAUUGGCGCCCACCUCCAGUGAACUUACUCGACCACAUUCGACAAGCUUUGACCUUCGUCAUGCUACCGAAGAAGACAGCAGGGCCAGGGGCUACACUGCAGCCACUGGACGUUAAUCAGGAAACACUACGUGAAGCUAGGAGCCAGAAGAGGAAGGCUAGCAGCCCAACACCUCAGGAGGAGGAGUUGGAUCAAGAAAUCAGGGACCUCGAAGCCAUCCAUCAACAGGUUUAGAAGAAGAAAGAAAAGAUGCUUCGUCUCGCCGAUCUUCAGAGGAAGAUUGAUGAGGUCGCUGAGGAAAUGCGUCAUCUCACCCAGGAUGACCAAGACCGAAGGCCUCAACACACAGAGAGCUUCGUCAAGACAAUUCAUACAACGAUGAUGAAUGGUAUGAUGAUUUCCAUCAUGGCAAUUUUGCUUUUGAUGAUGCUCCUCCGUUGAGAGCAGAGUAGCAGGCUACCCCCAUGGCCCCCAUCAUAUAAGUCACCUCAGCUUCCUAUGUAUGAUGGGCACUCAGACCCGAAGUAGUUCCUAAUGAGCUACGAGGCAACCAUAUCUUCAUAUGGGGGCAUUACUGCAGUCAUGGUGAAAUCCUUCGUCAUGGCAUUCAAAAGUGUCGCACAAACUUGGUACUCUUCUCUCUGGCUAGGGACAAUCACAUCAUGGCAGAGCUCAAGGAUAUGCUAAUCACUAGCUUCCAAGGCUUUCAGAUGAAGCCAAUCACUGCUUAGGCUUUGUUUCAGUGCACGCAAGACCAUAAGGAGUACCUUCAGGUUUAUGUCCAAAGGUUCCUGCGUCUAAGAGCACAAGCGCCUACAGUGCCUAAUGAAAUUGUCAUUGAGGCCAUGAUCAAGGGGCUUCGGCCAGGACCUAUGGCUCAGUAUUUUGCCAGGAAGCCCCCAACAAACCCUGGACAAGCUUCUUCAGAAGAUGGAUGAGUAUAUCUAGGCUGAUAAUGAUUUCCACCAAAGAAGGGAGGAACCUUAUAGGUUUUCUGAGAUGGCCAGGGGCUUCGGAGGAAGACUUCACCCCAGGCACGUCAGAUCAAUCCAUAAUGCCAAUCCAAGUGAUGAUAGAGGAAGUCAACCCCAAAGGCAACAGCAUAACUCCCAGUCAUCAGGGCCACAACAAAGCUCCUUCAGGCCACCAGCCCCAAGGGGCAGAGGGGGCAGAAGCUUCGGUGGAAGAUAUGGAGAUCAACCCAGAAGACUAUAUUGCUUAUUCUGCGGUGAAGAUAAAGGCCACACCACAAGAACAUGCCAAGUCACAAUUCAGAAACAAAAAGAGAUUGCCGAAGAUGAGGCAUGGCAGAAUCAGCCGAAGCAUGUCCUACAUACUGCUUCGUGCUAUUCUCCCUACAUCCCAGAGUAUGUAGGUAAUCAACAGCCUACGGCCUCUGUCACUUCGGCAAGCCACUCUCAAGCUUCCAGCACCACCACUCCCACCACCACCACUAUUACCACCUACUCUGACCCGAAGCCAGUAGCCAGAAGGGCACCAGCACGCUCAACAGCAGCGCGACUUUUGAGAGGAGUCUGAUGCUCGCACAGUUAACAGCACUGUGCCUAAAUCCAAGCACAUCUACUAAAGAAUAUCCUACUCUUGAUGUAUCUUUAUCUUUUCUGCCAUUUUAUUUUUUGUAUGAAAAACAAGUCACGAAGGACUGAAUUUCGAUUUCAUGUAAUAAUUGCGCUUGUAUCAAUGAGUAAAAUGCGUUCUCCUAACAGACUUCCAAAGUUACAAAAGUUGUUCCUAAGAGAGCAGAGUAAGUUCCGAAGCUACAAAAACCGUUCCUAAGGGAGCACAGAGUAAGUUCCGAAGCUACAAAAGUCGUUCCUAAGGGAGCGCACAGUAAGUUCCGAAGCUCAGAAGUCGUUCCUAAGGGAAUGCAAAGCCAAAAUUUCCACCAAAAUAGAAGGUGAAGAAGCUCCAAAGUCGUUCCUAAGGUGAUGCAGAGCUUAAAUUUCACCGAAAUAGAAGGUGAAGAAGCUCCAAAGUCGUUCCUAAGGGGAUGCAAAGCUUAAAUUCCACCGAAAUAUAAGGUGAAGAAGCUCCAAAGUCAUUCCUAAGGGGAUGCUGAGCUUAAAGACUCCAAAGACGUCCUUAAGGGGAUGCAGAGUCUUGAGAGUUUCAGUGUGGGCGUGUGUAUUCGGCAUAAACAUCAUGUUGCAUCAUAUCAUUGCAUCAUUCCGCAUAGCAUUACAUCAUACAUCAUAUCGCGUCAACAUCAAAGAUUGAGCACGAAGUAGAUCUUCGGCAAUAACGCGAUGAAUGAAAAUGUGCUGAGGCACGAAGCGAACCAUCGGCAAAUACAAUUUUACUUGGAAAGCCUAUUGACAACAAUUGUCACACAAAGGCUUUGCUAUAAAGGGGCUCUUUUCUUUACGAAGCAUGAAAAGAAGGGAAGGUGUUUUUUCGCCGAAGGCUCAAAAACGGUAUGUGCGUAAAUUUCAUGCAUCGCAAAGAAAUAUAUUACAUUAAUUUACAUGUCUAUUAAUUGCCUCAUACACAAAUGUUACAUUAUAUCAUUACAACAAAAGCCUAAUCUUCUUUAAGAAUUUUCUCGGUGGCCUCAUUCAGAAGUCUAUCGACGACUUCGUCAACAAUGGAAUUGGCAACACUCAUCACAUUCAGCGCCUCUUUCAUAACGGGAUCGGCCUGGGGGUCGUAUGGCUCGGGUAGCGGUGAGAGUUCAGUUGUAGUAAACAAACUAUUAGUCCGAAGCCAGAAAAUAAUCACCGAAGCUAAAAUUCAAUAAUAAUACCUAUACGCCUUGCGCGCUCGCAGCUUCUUCGGCUCGCUUAGCUUCUUCUCGAGCAUCGUGGGUUUCUUUUUCAUUUUUCUUUAUGAUUUCAUUGGCCAAUUCUCGGCCACCGUUCACCCAGACAUCGGAAUAAAAUUUUCCGCCCACUAAAGUAGCUUCGGCCGAGGGGUCUUUUGUUUCGUCUGUGGAGAAGGCGGCUUCGGUCUAGGCUACAGCUUUAACAUGGUCACAACCAGCCUUCUCCAGAAUUGUUGCAACCCUCGAGCGCUAGCGAAGGCACAAAUGUCCCCGCGAUCACUAAGGAUCUCUUCAAAAGCAUCGGCUUCUUCGCUUAUCUAAUCAAUAACUCCCUCGGGGUCACCUUGAAUGAAAUUCUCUUCGAAUGAAUAUGCACCCACCUUGGCAAAGCUGGUUUUCAAUUUUCUUACGCAAUACAAGGAUUUCUCAAAGCAUCUCUCCUUGGAUUCACGAAGCUCCUCAACAUUUUUCUCUAACCUAGCAUUCGACCAUUCACUUAUUUCUUUCUUCACUUUGGCAUGUUCAAAAUUUUCAUUAGCUCCGGUAAGUUUUUUCUGAAGGCCUUCAACUUUGGCUCUAUGAGCUUCGGAUUGAGCAUUAAAUUUUGCUUCGUCUUUCUUCACUCUGUCCACCAAUGAAAGUAGAAUUUUAUCUUUCUCUAUGGCUUCAUUUCUCAGCUUGAUAACCUCUGACCGAAGGUUGCCGAGGGCUAUCUAGCAGCUUUCGUCUUUAGCAUUCUUCUGCGCCCUCAAAGCGUUGCUAAGAAUUAAGCCCUGCAAAAAGAAGAAAGAUAAUGGAUCAUCACGAGAAUAAAAUACAAGAUAACCUAUUUUUAAGUUCAUAACUUCCGUACCUUCAGACUGUUGUACGCAAGGCUGUCUGCGAGGUCAUCCUUCGACAUGGCUGAGAGGCCAGCUUCAAGCUUCGGAAAGCCCAUAUUUUUUGCCAUCUCCUGGCAAAUGGAUAUUUCUUUGUUGUCUGGGAGACAGUAUAAGAAAUCAUCUUCGUUGGUGCCAUUGUACACCAAGGCCCCCCUCAGGUAUUUCAGUUCCCGAGCGUAGUGUUUGGCUUCCGCGAUUUCUUCUUCAGACAACCUUUUUCCCAAAGCAUGUCGAAUAAUAAAGUCACGAUCUUCAGAAGGUGCUUUGGGGGUAGGAGAUUUUACUUUUUUAGGCACAUCUUUUUUUCUAGAACCAAACCAACGUCUGAAGGUCCUUCGGUUCUUUCCUCUGUUCCAGUAGGCUCUGCCUCAGGGGGCACUAAAGGUCCAUCUUCAGGUUCGGCACGAGCUGUAGCAACCUCGGCAGCCUUCUUCACAGGGGUAGGAGUUAAUGCCCUUGUCGUCUCCAUGACAGCGUCCAGCAUGCUUGCCAUCCUCCUCCUCUUGGGAGUUAUUAUAGGAGUUUUUGCCACCUUCGGUAAUUCUGGCUUCGGUGGUCCUGCCGUUUCCUCUCGGUCUGGCUUCUCGGCCGCCUUUCCUUUAGUUUCGGUAGUAUGUUUCGGCACUUUGGCCAAUCCGGUUGCAGAAACCUUUGGCACUACAGCCAAUUCUUCGGCGCUCUGGCCGGCAGGAGCAGCUUGUUCUACCUCGACAUUGGAAGAUGUCCUUUCACCAAGCUUUGGCACUGUGGCUGUUUCAAUGUAUCUUGGCCGGUGGGUCAAGACCUUGAUCUUUUUACCCUUCGGCACAACAAAGAUGGUCGAGGCGGCAGUUUUCCUUUUCUUCCCCUGCUUUCGCGAGGGGUAAGUGUAGUCCGAGUACAUGAAGCCGAUAAUGUCAAAAACUCUGUUCAACCUUUUCUUGUCUCGCCCUCCAAACGCUAAGGUCAUGGUAUCAUCUUCGGCUCUCGUGUACGCUCCAAGUAACUCAUCGCUAGUCGCCUCAACACAUGUCAGCCAGUCGUCAUUUGGUUCGUCACACUGGUCUCUAUACCUAAAGGUGUAUUUCAAGUAAACCAAACCACCUUUACUGUACCCAGCAGCAACCUCCUUCGGCAUCUCCCAGUCAUUCACAAGUGGCCAUACCCUGUAGGCUAUGUGCUACUGAACCAGGUCUCUUGUGCCAAUGAAGGCAAAACAUUGUUGAAAGCCUUCUGACAUGCUUCGGUAUCAUUCCCAAGCGCAGUAGCCGGCCUUCUGAGGCCAAAGCGAGAUCAGAUGGGGCGUUGGAUAAUCCUCUUUAUGUCUUCCCUUUCAAUCAGAUUAUUCUUAACAUAAAACCAUUCCUCCAUCGAGGCUUCGGGCCACCUUUUUCGAAAUGUUGGAACUGGGUAACUUACAUCAGAACGAGGAACGAAGCCAUAACAACCAAAGUUGUUGUGAUAUUGCUCUUUGCCAGUGGCCUUCGUCUCGUACAGCAGUUCGUGCAUGUUACAGAAGCACUUUAUGCUUGGUUCCAGCCCUUGGCUUCUCACGGCCCAAACAAAAAUACCCAUUCUGAUUAUAGCUUUGGGAGUAAUUUGAUGAAGAAAGAUCUCAAAUGUCUUCAAAACUUCAACCAAAAAUUUGCUCAAGGGGAACCGAAGACCUGCAUUCACAAAGCUUCUGUAAACAACAACUUCAUCUUCCUCGGGUGCAGGGGCAGUGAUGUCCCCCUCAACUCUCACAAUAGACAUGUCACGAAAAUAUCUUCCCUUCAUGGCAUCAAUUUGACUCUGUUUGAUGGAUGACUUUCUGAAGAUGGUAUGACUUGGCCGCCAAGGCCAAUCUUCGGCAUCUUCAUUCCCGCUUUCCACAUCAAAGUUAUCGUUAUCAUCACAAUCUUCAGACAAAUCAGCUAGUAUUUCGUUUGUAAUCUUCUCUGUGUUUGUUUUUUCCAUGGCCUCGUAAAAACCAGCUAGUGCAGGAUCAGCAACCUUCUUCUCGUCAGCCAUUUGAUGGACAAUUGAACAAAUGCCGAAGCUCACAAAACAAGCGAAAUCUGACAGCAAGAAAAUUAAAACUUGAGAAAAUAGCACAAGUGAUUGAAAUCGCGCAGCAGAUGCCGUCGCUGAGGGUUUCUAUUUAUAUGGUCAGUGCAUUGCAACUUGGUAGGCCCCAUUUUUCAUUGACUUUCGCUAUUCUAGCGAAGGGAAGGUGUUUUUUCGGACCUUCGGCUAAAGGCCUUCAUUCACGUCAGUCUGAAUUUGUUAAACACAAAAACAAAUUAAUACUAUGGGGGGCUAUUAUUGGGGGCCUUCCUCUUCCGAAGGUCCUCAAAAACACAACUAACAUGUUUUUCAGUAUAGUAUAUUGUCACAGGAAGCUUCGGCUUUGAGAUGAAGGUGUGUAUGGUAUGAAAGGCGCGAUCUAGAAGAAGGAUGAACCAGCUCCGAAGCUAUGGAUGGAGUGAUGAGGACAUCCUCCACUAUUACCUGUUGGCAAAGACGCAAUUGGCCCAGUUGGCCCAAUUAUAGUCAGACGGUGAUCGUGUGAGCCUCAGAAUUAUCCCACCUCGCUUAACUUGGGAGGAGGAAGCCACUUUAAAAGGGAGAGCCACCAUUCCCCCAUUGGACUAGUCUUUUGGGGCGACUGGGCCUUUCCCUGAGUUGGGUGUGCUUAAUGAACUGUUGGGAUCCGGGCAACCCUAAUUUGUUGGGCCUUGGCCAACCCCUCCUGGGCUGGGUGUAUCAUCUGGUAUCGGAGCUAGGGCCCAUUUUAAGAAGGUGGGAAUGAUGAGGACAUCCUCCACUAUUACCCAUUGGCAAAGACGCAAUUGACCCAGUUGGCCCAAUUAUAGUCGGACGGUGACCGUGUGAGCCUCAUAAUUAUCCCACCUCGCUUAACUUGGGAGGAGGAAGCCACUUUAAAAGGGAGAGCCACCAUUCCCCCAUUGGACUAGACUUUUGGGGCGAUUGGGCCUUUCCCUGAGUUGGGUGUGCUUAAUGAACUGUUGGGCUCUGGGCAACCCUAAUUUGUUGGGCCUCGGUCAACCCCUCCUGGGCUGGGUGUAUCAUGGAGAAGCUUCGGCUUAGCACAAGGACGGUGGUGGAGAAUGAAACCGACCUAAAGGGGAAAAGACUGCUUAGUCCUCGAUAGCUUACCUUUUGGCUAACACUAAAUGUCAGGGACAUGAAUGUAAUUUCGCCCAGGCUGUGUCCUAUGCCUAUAAAUAGAUGAACAGUAACACCGUACUGUUCACGCUGAUUUGUAAUCUCUUGCGCGUCACUCUUGCUUUUUCACCUUCUAUCAAGCCGAAGGUACAAAUGUAAUUCGAAUACCAUUGAUGUUUGUUCCUAUUCAUUUAAUGAAGGAAAUAUGAAUAGUCUAAUGAUCUGAAAUGAUUAUUCAUAUUUCCUUUGUGUUUCAUAUGUCUUAGUUUACAUCCUUGCUUAUUGAAAUGAAGAAGGUGCGUCCUUCAUGACCUUCGUCCGAAGAUCAUUAUAUCCUAAAGGAGAUAAUGUUUCGAAGGACGAAGGUCUUUAACCUUCUACACUUGUGUUGCCUUGUUCUUGAUUUAUAGCAUUUGAGAACAAGUGGCCAACGGUCCCGUACCCGGACCGUCCAUCAUAAAGGGCUAGACGGUCCACGAUCCGGCCAAAUGGUCCAGGGCUGUACCCAGACGGUUCGGUCAUAUAUGGCGCGACUUGGACUGUCUGCGCGUGGACUCGUGUAGAGUCGGAUGGUCCGGCAUAAUACGCCCGCCGGUUCAUGCCAUAUCCGGACGGUCUGGCGUAAGAUAUCGGACGGUCCACAACAUAUUCGGACGGCUCGGCAUAAGGUACUGGACGGUCCACGACAUAUCCAGAUGGUCCGGCGUAAUGUACCGAACGGUCCUUGAUUGUAACACCCCUGGUGUUACUGGCACUAAAACUUGAGCAUAACAUCAUGUGCAUUAACAUUUCAUGAUUUUUGUUACACCUAGAAUGCAUUCACUAGGUAAAAUUUUCAAACAAGUUGUGAUUAUGUGACUUGAAGAGUGCUUAACCUUAGGGUAGGGUACUUGACCAUGGAAUUAGGGCCUAUGGAUGAAAGUGAAGCCAAAAUGAGUAAAAAUCUCAAAAGCCAAUAGGAAUGUUCACAAGAUAUCAAAUUUGAUGAACUUUUGUGGCACAAAAACCCUAGUGUGCCCAAACCCUAAAGACAAGCACUAGAAAACCCUAAUUGGAACCCUAGGGGGUAAAUGCAAAUUUUAUGCACUUUUGGACCAAAGUGCAAAUAUCAAAGUGAUAGAACACCACAAACCAAGUAACUUUCACAUUGGAGAAUUUUCAAGUUGAAUGAUGAAAUUUGGACUUAUUUGUAAAAUGGACACAUGAACACUAUGUGGCUAAGUCUGAAAUCAGUGAAAUUGAGUCAACCUUGGAGCUUGGUAUCUCUGAAUUCAUAAGGAAUUUGCCCUAGGUCAAUACAUCAAACUUGUAGAGCUAUGUUAGUGGUACAAAUUUGAUUAAGUGAGUAAGUCCUAGUACUACAUGAAAAUGGGAGAAAAAGAGACCUGAAACUGGCCUGUCAGGCAGCCUUAACUCUGAAAACCUAAGUUCAGUGACAUUUGGUUAACUUUGGAAGCAGUUCAUGGUUAAUUCGAUGGAGAUAAGGUUAGGGUCAUUGUGGCAAGUUGAAUUCCUAACAUUAGCAAACAAAUUUGUUGUAUUACACUUGGCCUAGUGCUGUGCAAAUUUUGAAGUAAAUCGCCCCAAAUGUGCUCUGUCAGAACUUCUGAUGAUGAUUGCCAUGGUAAAGUAACCAGAAAAAUCUCAGAUGCAUUGAACCUCGCCGCCGGUGACCUUGCGCUCAAAUUCGUUCCGGCGCUGUGAUAGUCAUACUCCAGUGACUCACCCUCUCCCCUCCGUAAGCCCAACCUUGCUCAAAUUCGUAGCAUUGGUGGUCGAUCUCUAUAAAUUCCUGCCCCUGUCUGCUCCGCCAUCUUGUUACGAAGCUAGUGCACCAUUCCUCGCUCCCGAUUAGCCACUGUAACUCACGAAUUUCGAACUUCCCCCAAAUCGGUCGGAACGCCGCCGUGAGACAUCUCGUCGUUGCCAGCCAUCUACAGGUUAGUUCAUGCCCCUCUGUGUGAUGUUCUAGCCUCCCUUAAGUCUCCUGUUACUCGUAGACCCAUCUGAUUGAGCUAGACUGCACCAAAUCAUCAUGAACACCUCGGAUUGUCUCUAAUUUUCGCUGUCGUCGUGGACAGAGAGAUUCCGGGCCGGAUUCGUGUAAUUAAUGGAGGGAUUAGAGUCGCCGAGGGUGGAAUUAGGUGUCGGCCGAACUAGGGCUCUGGUCGUUGAGUAUAUCGACCGGUACAGGUUCGCCAGAGGGCGUGCUCACCGGCGUUCAUCAUCGGGGAUCUGUCGUUGCGAUGAAAUAGAAUUCUGAGGGCCUAACUAUGAAUGUCAGAGAAACAAAUGAAUAGUGCGUAGGGUUCUUUUCUGGUUAUUUGAAUGACCGAGGUCCUCUGCCUAAAGUUAACAUCACGACCGCGUGCGGGCGCCUGGACGUGGGCCGGUUCGAGUUGGUUUCAGCCCAUCACUAUUCAUCAUUUUCCCUUUUCUUUUUCUGCCAGGCUUAGAGAAUUUAUAAGAAAUUCUAGAAAAAUGAUAAAAAUAUGGGACCAAUUUUACUAGACUCCUAAAUUCUUCUAGUAUUUAAUAAAAAUAUUUCCAAGAUUUUAAGUCCCAACCAGGAAUUAUUUACCAAUUAAAGGUGCUUAAACCUAGUCUUUUAGAAUUUUAGAAUUUAAUUACUAGCUCCAAAAAACAUAGAACUUUUUGGGUAAACUCAAUUUGAUAAUUAGAGCCCUUGGGUAAAGUUUGGUAUGUUUUGGACAUUGUUUGAUUCCCAAACCCAAAACCCUAGCUUCCUUAGGUAAUAAUUGCAUUAUCCUAAAAGAGUACUGAUUCAGAAAACCCAAGUUACCUAGGUGUACCGUGAAGGAAAGUUGUAUUAAAGAUACAACUUGAUGUAUCUCUAAUAUAACUGCAUAUUCAUAGCAUCACAUGAGCAUUCAUGUAUAUGUAUGGUUAUGUAUAGAAAACGAAGAAGAAGUAAUUGUCGAAGAAGAAGAAACUGCACCACCAAUUGAGACUCCAUCUGCCGGGAAUAGUUUUUAUUUUGAUAUCUGUGGAACAGAUCCCCGAAUCCCCUACAACACAAGGCAAGCCCCAGUGCAUUUACCUUUUCCUUGUGAUUUUAAACUCUUUAUCACAUGAAUGAUGCAUUAGGUAAUAGGAGUUGAGUGCUAAACCAAUUGCUGCAUUUCCUUCCUUGGAACUAUUUAUCCUUCCUUGAUACCUGUUUUGCUUAAAAGUUUUUUGAUGGUUAGUUUUGCCUUAGAAAAUGUUGGGGGCCUGCUUCGUCGCUGAAGGUCCUCUAAGCAGAAACAGCUUCGAAAGAUCAGCAUAUAAACAAACGCAGCGUAAAGGUACACGUUGAAGCUACGGUCCAGGGAGCUUCGGCAUAGUGACAUGCCUUCAGACAAAGGGCUGCACCGACCUAAAGAGGAAAAGACCAAUCAGUCCAUGAUAAUUAGAGUCAUGAUUGUAACUAGUCAUCAAGGACAUAAAUGUAAUUUUGACCGGGCUGCGUCCCGUGCCUAUAAAUAGGUGAACAGUACCCCCAUACUGUUCACGCUAACUGGUAUUCGCUCGUGCGUCAUGCUUGGACUUUUGCCUUCUGUCAAGCCGAAGGUACAAAUGUAAUUCAAUAUUGUUCACAUUCAUUCAUGAUGAUAUAAUUAAGAUGCACCAAUGAUGAUAUCAUAUGAUUAUUUAUGUUAUCUCUCAUGUUUCAUAUGCUUCUUCUUUCAUCAAUAUAUACUACGAUGAUGAAGGUACGUCCUUCAUGACCUUCGUUUGAAGAUCAUUAUAUCCUAAGGGAGAUAAUGCUUUGAAGGACGAAGGGCAUUGACCAUUAACCUUUUUGUGUUGCCUUGUUCUUAACUCAUAGCUUUUGAGAACAAGUCCCCAACAUUGGCGCCCACCUCCGGUGAACUCACUUCCACUUUUGAGCUGAUGGCUUCGUUCAAGAACCAAGUCGUAGCACCUUUGGCUACGAAGCUAGUGCUCCCGAUAACAGGCGGUUCAAGUUCAGAGUCGACUAACAAGAAGUAGAAGAAGGAAGCGCAGAGAAGGGUGUAGCAUGUUAGGGUGCAGGGACCCUUCAUCAAGUCCAAGUGGUCCCACAUCCCAAUCACCUUCUCCUAAGAGGACCUUCAGCUCAAAGAUUACCCUCACAAUGAUGUUAUGGUCAUAUCUUGUGUCAUCAAGGGAUUUCUGGUCCAUAAUGUUCUAGUUGACACAGGCAGUGCAGUGGAUGUCAUAUUUGCUAAGGCCUUCAGACAGAUGCAAGAGCCAGAAGACAAGAUUCAUGAUGCUACACACCCUCUUUGUGGCUUCGGAGGAAGGCAGAUUGUCACACAUGGUAAAAUCACAAUGUCAGUUACCUUCGGCUACAUCCACAACACAAGGACUGAACAGGUUAUCUUUGACAUUGCUGAUAUGGAGUACCCCUACAAUGCAAUCAUUGGUCGAGGGACACUUAAUGCUUUCGAAGCAAUACUUCAUCCAGCAUAUUUAUGCAUGAAGAUACCUUUGGAACAAGGGCCCAUUGCUAUCCAUGGGAGUCAAGAAGCUGCAAGAAGGGCUGAAGGGAACUGGACAGAUUCAAAGGCAAUCCAUAACAUAGAUGGAGCUGAAGCCUGUCAGCAGUACAAAUACAAAAGAGAGAAGGCUGCUUCGGUGGAUCAGUCGAAGCCUAUGCUUCUAUGCCAAGAUAUAGCAGAACAAAGGGUACUGCUAAGGUCUUAGUUAUCUGAUGAACAAGAGAAGACUUUGCUAAGAUUUUUAUUUAACAACAAAGAUGUCUUUGUUUGGUUAGCCAAUGAUCUCUGUGGUGUCAACAGAGAUGUUAUUGAACAUUCACUCAAUGUGGAUCCAUCUUUCAGGCCAAGAAAACAAAGGCUUCGGAAGAUGUCUGAAGACAAAGGUGAAGGUGCUCGGAACGAACUUCUUAGUGCCAGUGUCAUCAGAGAGGUGAAAUACCCAGAAUGGCUAGCCAACACUGUUAUGGUGAAGAAGGCCAAUGGUAAAUGGAGAAUGUGCAUUGACUUCACAGAUCUCAACAAGGCCUGUCCAAAGGAUGAGUUCCCAUUACCAAGAAUAGACUCUCUUGUAGAUGCAGCAGCUUCUUCAGAGCUCAUGAGUCUACUGGAUUGUUACUCAGGCUACCAUCAAAUUUGUAUGAAGAAGGAAGAUGAGCCGAAGACUAGUUUCAUAACUCCCUGUGGCACCUAUUGCUAUCUUCGGAUGCCUGAGGGGCUCAAGAAUGCUGGAGGAAGCUUCAGCAGAAUGACAGCCAAGGUCCUUCAUUCUCAAAUAGGCAGGAAUGUACUGACCUAUGUUGAUGAUAUCAUAGUGAAGAGCACGAAGCAAGAAAAUCACAUUGCUGAUUUGCAAGAGACAUUUGCCAAUUUCAGGCAAACUGGCCUCAAAUUAAAUCCAGAAAAGUGUGUUUUUGGAGUGAAGAAGGGCAAGUUCUUUGGAUGUUUGGUAUCAUCGAAGGGAAUUGAAGCCAACCCGAGCAAGAUUGAAGCUAUCCUUCGGAUGGAGCUACCAAAUUCAAAAAAAGGGGGCUCAACGAUUGGCAGGAAGGCUUGCGUCAUUGAAUAGGUUCAUAUCAAGAUCAGCAGAGAGAAAUUUACCAUUCUUUGAAAUUCUAAAGUCAGCCGAAGUUUUUCAGUGGGGUCCGACCCUGCAAAAGGCUUUUGAAGAAUUAAAGCAAUACUUGAUAGAUCUAACACCUCUAACUCCACCUUCGCCAGAGGCUCCAUUACUCCUGUAUGUAGCAGCUUCUCACUCUGCAGUUAGUGCGGCGCUCGUACAGGAGAAGCUAGAUGGCCAAAUCAAAAAGCAGGCCCCAGUAUACUUCGUCUUCGAAGUUCCAAGUUUAUCAAAGAAAAACUAUACAGAAUUGGAGAAGGUGUUGUAUGCCGUGCUAAUGGCCUCCAGGAAGCUUCGGCAUUAUUUUCAAGCAUGUCACAUAAUUGUUCCUUCAUCACAGCCUCUGAAGGACAUAAUGAAAAAUAGAGAAGCUACUGGAAGGAUUGGAAAAUGGGCUGCGGAGCUUAACGAAUUCAGUAUUGACUAUGUACAUAGAUCCUCAAUUCAGUCCCAGGCGUUAGCAGACUACAUUGCUGAUUUGACGCUAGGGGCUCAAGAAGAAGAAACAAAUAAAGACGACGAAGCUUGGACAGUGUUCUGCGAUGGUUCCUGGGGAACCUUCGGCGCAGGAGCGGCCGCUGUCCUAGUUGCGCCUUCUAAAGUCAGAACAUGUUAUGCAGCAAAGCUUGACUUCAGUUGUACAAAUAAUAUUACUAAAUACGAAGCACUUCUGUUGGGGCUUCGGAAGUUAAAGGCAAUGGGAAUAAGAAGGGCCAUCCUUAAAACUAACUCUCAAGUCAUUUCUGGUCAUGUAGACAAAAGUAGUAAGGCGAGAGAUCCGAAGCUUGAAAAUAUCUGGAUACAGUUCGAAGGUUGGAGGCUUCUUUCGAAGGUUUUUCUGUCAAGAAUAUUCCAAGAGGAGAGAAUGAGCAUGCAGAUCAAUUAGCCAAAUCAGCGGCACAGGGGCUCCCUCUACCUUCGUAAGUAUUUUUUGAGACAAUAAAAGCACUUUCAGUUGAACUUAUGGAGAGAGUAGUGCUUAUAAUUUCCCUUGUACAUAGUGAAGAUUGGAGGACUGAAAUUAUAUCUUUCCUUCAAGGUAAUUGUCUUUCGGAUGACGAAGCUUAUAAUAAGAGAAUGGAAGCAAGGACAAGACCGUAUGUAAUAAUAGAAGGGGAAUUAUACAAGCAUGGAGUCUGUCCUCCACUCCUCAAGUGUUUAUCCAGAACCGAAGGUAUAGAAUUAAUGAAGGAGAUACAUGCAGGUCUAGGCCCUUGCUUGGAAAAGUGUUUAGACAAGGAUUUUAUUGGCCGAAGGCAGCUUCGGAUGCAGCAGAGUUAGUUCCAAAGUGCGAGAAUUGUCAAAAAUGUGCAAGAGAUCAGAAGCAACCUUCUUCUCUCACGCAGCUGAUACAGCCUACUUGGCCAUUACAAAGAUGGGGCUUGGAUUUGUUAGGUCCACUUCCACUGGCACAAGGUAAUUUGAAGUAUGUUGUAGUGGCAGUAGAAUAUUUUUCUAAGUGGAUUGAAGCAAAGCCUUUGGCUACAAUAACUUCAGCCACAGUUCAAAAAUUCUUCUAGCAAAAUAGUCUGUCACUUCGGCGUGCCGAAGGCUAUAACUAUGGACAAUGGAACACAGUUUGAUGCUGAAACAUUCAAAGAUCAGUUAGGCAUCCAGAGUCAAACGGGCUGGUAGAAAGAGCAAAUGGCAUUAUAAUGACAGGAAUAAUGAAGUGAAUCUUCAAUCAGCCCAGAGGAAAGUGGCCAGAUGAGUUGAUUAAAGUAGUGUGGAGCCACAAUACAACCAUGUCAAGAUCAACAGGAUUUACACCUUUCAAACUAUUAUUUGGUGACAAAGCUAUAACUCCAGAAGAAGCUAAAGCAGGAUCAAUAAGAACAGCAGCUUCGGCAGAAGACGAAGCAGAUUAUCAUGUAGCAAAAGAUACUAUAGAGGGGACUAGACUUCAGGUUGUGGAGAACAUCAAUAAAUAUCAAGCUGAAACAAUAAAAUGGCGUGACAGAAAAGUUCGAUUGAAAAAUACCAAGCCAGGGCAUUUGGUACUUCAGAGAGUGGCCAACUCAGACACAGUGGGAAAAUUACAACUGAAGUGGGAAGGUCCUUUUCUGGUUGUAUCUUCGUCAAGACCUGGUUCUUACAGAUUGAAGGAUAUCGACGGCAACGACAUACCCAGGUCUUGGAAUGCGGAUGAGCUUCGGCGAUAUUAUGUGUAAUUUGAUGUAAUCUUUUUUCAUUUUUUUCUAUGGCACCCUUUUCCUUUCCAAAGGGGGAGAAAGGUUUUUAAUGGCCAUAGCUUGUAAUUUUUCCUUUCUUAUUUAGCUCCACGAGAGCCAAAUCCCCCAAAAGGAUGUAAAAUGUAAAAUCUGAGCAUGCACCAUCGAGUGCAGAGAGAAAAAACAGGAAAAACAGGGAGAAGCUCAAAAGUCGUCCCCAAGGGGAUGUAGAGCAUGACGAAGCUACAAAAAGUCGUUCCUAAGGGAGCGCAGCGUAAGUUUUCUGCUCAAAAGUCGUUCCUAAGGGAAUGCAGAGCCAAAUACCGCCGAAAUAGAAGGCGAAGAAGUUCAAAAGAUGUUCCUAAGGGGAUACAGAACUUAUACCACCUAAAUAAAAGGUGAAGAAGCUCAAAAGACGUUCCUAAGGGGAUGCAGAGCUUAAGACUCAAAAGACGUUCCUAAGGGGAUGCAGAGUCUGGGUGUGGCUUCAUGUGCGUGUGUUUGGACAUUCAUUUGCACAUUACAGUACAUCAUUCAUUGCAUUCAUACACAUUCAUGUAGACAUUCAUAAGAUCAUCAUCAUAACAUAGAGUACAAAUAGAUGCUUCGGCUUUGAUGACAAUGCUUCGAUGAGCAUAAAGAAGCAAAGAUACGCUUCGUUGUGUACGAAAAGAAGGGAAGGUGUUUUUCGCUUUUGGCUCAAAAGAUACAUGUUUCGUCCACAUCAAAGCAAUUCACACACGGAUGAAAAGGUAAAAAUAUAUUACAAGGUAUGGACAAAUUUACAGAGUAAUGUUUGAUUCUUAAGUUACAAUAUCUUUUACAAAGAUAAUUCAAAUGUCUCUAAAGCUUUGUGCAGCAGCUUCAUCAAUCUUCGUUGAGCUUCGGAUUAUUGAGCUUCAGCAUCGUCAUCCUGUACACAACAAAGUAGUAUAAGGUAAAAAGUAAUUAUAAGAGAAGGUAAGCAACAGGUACAAGUUUUAUAUCGGCUUAAGAUGACUUCGUGCUUCGUCACCAGCUAAGUCCCGCCCACCCUUCGUCCAAAUUUGUGUUACAAAUCUAUUCCCAAUACUUCGGGCUAGGCUAGGGAUAUCAGCUAGGUCCGCUGGUGAUAGACUGAAGUUCGGUUUGUUUACAAUCUUUCCGUGCGUGCAACCAGCCUUCAUAAAAGCUACAGCUGUGCCGCGAGAAGCCAGCAGGGCAUAGAAGUUGCCAUGCCUAGCUAUGACUUCGUCAAGCGCCUCAACUUCGCUUUCAAUAUGAUUGAAGGUGCUUGGCGAGUCUUCAACCGAAGGUUCAAAUUUUUCAGAGUUGGCUCUGACUGAGUUGAAGACCUGUCGUAGCCGUUGCACGCAUCGGUUGCCGAAGUUUAAGCAAACAUUCCGAAGCUCUUUUAGGGAUUCUUGCUGUUGGGGACUUGUUCUCAAAUGCUAAGAAUUAAGAACAAGGCAACACAAAAAAUGUUAAGUGUUAAGGUCCUUCGUCCUCCAUAACGAUAUAUCCCUUCGGGAUAUAAAGCAUCUCGGACGAAGGUUACGAAGGACAUACCUUCGUAAGCAUAACAACGAAGAAUGAAGCAUUCACAUAAAUCAUAGAAUAUGAAAUAAACAUUUAAAUAUUGUCAUAGAAUUAUCUCUACUUGUAUUAAUGAAUAUAAAUGACUUUGAAUUACAAAUGUACCUUCGGUCCUGCGGAAGGCAAAAGUACAAGCGUGAUGCGAAAGCAAAUGACAGGUUCACGUGAACAGUACAGAGGUACUGUUCAUCUAUUUAUAGGCACAGGUCGCAGCCUGUGACAAAUUACAAUUAUGCCCCUUGCGAAAGUUUACAGCAUUGACUCAGACCUAUAUGUAUAAAAAGGUCAUUCUAUCUCUAUGUCGGUUUAAAACGCCGAAGCUCCAUGAAAAGGGACCUUCGGCCAUCUCUUGGAGACGACUUCAGCCGAAGCUGCUUCUUCGUGUGAGACCUUCGGCGCACCGAAGCACGACCCCAACAGUAGCCCCUUUCGCGGUGCUAGAUCGUUCUUCGUAACGAGCUUGACCCGUGAAAAAAGCCUCUUCAGCUUCGGGAAGCCGAAGGUCCAAAAAACACCUUCCCUGAGCUCGUUGCGGAGAAACGAUCCGACUUCCGAGCGCGUGUCGGUCCCACCUUGCAGAGUUACUGUUUGAUCCUUGCGGUCCACUGUGCAGCGGGUACAAGUUACUGCGCGCCUGGUGUAACAAUUCCGCCGCUUCGCCUUCUUACCUGCAGCACUAUAUAAACUGACAAGUAGUUGUGAAGUUACCACAGCAUUCAUUGCUAUUUGCACUGUUUUGCUGCCGAAAUUUUCCAUCAUAGCCGAAGCUUAAGUCCCAAAAUCGAACGAAGGUGCUUCUCAACGUCCGCUUCGUCAGAAAGAAGAGCUUCGGAGAAAAGAAAAAAGUAAAAAGUUUUUGACUUCCCAAACUUAGAAUCAAAUGGCGAGAAUACGAUCUACUGCCAAAGUUGUACGUGAGGGAGACGAAGCCGAAGGUUCAGACACUGUGCCCAUCUCCGAAGCAAUGCAGCGUUCCGGUCUACUGACUACAGAAGAAAUGCCUGCUGCUGAAGCAGGCCCAACAACUGCCGAAGGAGAAGAAAACAUUGAAGGGACUGACUCCGAAGAUGACUAUCACCUUGCUACGCCCAGCAAGCCCAGUCACCUGGAUUUUGGGAAAUCAACUGUUUCAAAAGCUGACCUUUCGAAGAUGGUGAAAGCAGGUUAUUUCAAUGAGGACCAGAAGAAGCUACUCCGCUUCGGGGAAGAAGAAACCACCCCGAAGCCAAGGAAGGAUGAGAUUGUUAUUUUCAAGAGUUUUUUAAAAGCCGGGCUUAGAUUCCCUCUCCACGGUAUUGUUGCGGAGAUACUAAGGAGGUUUGGUAUCUACUUUCAUCAAUUGACUCCUAACGCCAUCGUUAGGCUCAAUGUUUAUAUCUGGGCCCUCCGAAGCCAAGCUGUGGAACCAUUUGCUGACAGCUUCUGCCGAGCUCACGAAUUACAUUACCAAACAAAGGCCAGAAAAGAUGGGCUACAUGAUAAUUUCGGUUGCUAUAAUUUUGCCUACCGGAAGACAACAAAGUGCCCUGUCAUCAGCUACCGAAGCAAAUGGCCAGCAGGUUGGAAAUCUGAGUGGUUUUAUGUAAAAGUCGAUGAAGACAAAGAAAAAUUGGUACAAAGCCCUCUGGAGUUAAUCUUCGGAGAGACAAGGCCACAAUGCCGCAUUGGCGACCUAAAAGGUCCCACCUGGGCUGCUCUGAGUGAAUUUGAAAUUAUCUCAGAACAUAUUGGCACCAGGGAUCUAGUUCAAGAGUUUUUGGCAUUCAGAGUUUUCCCUACUCUAAAAGAGUGGGAGAUGCCGAAGCUGGAGGGAGAGAAGAAGAAGGGGGAGCUUGUCCGGCUUCCCUAUUACUUCAAGUUCAAGAAGUUCUUCAAAAAACCCUGCAAAGAAUGGUUAGAUACUGUUGAGGUGAUGUGCAACGAAAUCCUGGGGAAUUACUCCAAAAAAGAGGAUCAACUAAUGACAGCAGCCUUCGGUGCCCGACCGAAACGAAGGCUGAACCGAGUGCUUGACGCCCUAGGCUUCGAAUACCCAGACUACGAACAAUUGAACAAGGGCGCCGAGGGCCUCAAAAGAAAAAGAGUAGCCGAAGCUCUGAUCAGGGAUGAAGAAAUACCAGCAAAGGAGAAGAAAGUUCUCAAGAAAAGAAAAAUAUCUGCUCCGAAGCGCAAAUCACCCGAAGAAGAGGAGACCCCCACACCGCCUUCUACCAGCGACGUGGAGGAAAUUUUGAAGGUAAUGACUGAACCCAUGCCUACGAAGCUAAGUCCACUAGGGCUCCAACUGACGAAGCUUUUUGAAAAGGUGGACGAGCCGGAUCAACCGAAGAUAAACAAACCCAAACGGCAAAGAAUUAUUGCGGUAACUGAGGUUAUCGACAAAACUCCACCUAGGUUGUCAAUUCAGAAAACGGCAGCUGCUGAAGGUAGAGCUUCGGAAGUCGCGGCUACCGAAGCUGCCACACCCGAAGAUGUGAAUUUAGAAACUACUCUUGAAAAUAUUGACAAAAUUUUGACGGAAAACAUUGAAGAAGCUGCCACCGUUACUGAAGAAAUCCUGGCCACAGUGCCAGGGAAAGGGAAAGAAAUAGUCGAAGAAACUCCGGACGACGAAGCCUAUUCUUUCCAGAAUCUAAUUGGGCAGAAACUGACGAAGGACGAAAUAGAAGAACUCAAAGACUAUGCCAAAUCUUGCGGCUACAAGCCAGGAGCCCUUCUAUUUGGGGGUGUAGAUGAUGAAAAACUAGGCUGUAUUCGAGACCAGACUGAAGCUAAGGUAAUCUGUACUCUAUCGAAGAGUAUCGGUUUUCCGAAGUUAGAGACAGACAUCAGCCGCUACCGACGACAACAUAUCGUCGGCAGCUUGUUUUAUUCUAACUUCAAGGUAAACAACCUUUUUCUCUGGUUUUUAUUGCCGUUAAUAAUGAAAAUAUUACUUAACGUAAGUUGUUUCUGUUCAGAGCAUGCUACUGAGCAAAGCUCUGAAGAUGCAACAAGACUUGGAGGACAAAAAGCACGAAGCUAUAAUUGAAAACUUGGAAAGCAAAAUAAAAGAGCAAUCUGCCAUCAUUGAAAAGAAAGACUUCGAGCUCCAAUCGACCGAAGGCUUGCUGGCUGAAACUGAAGCUAAAAUAUUAGAGUUAAAUUCGAAGCUUAUCAAUCAAUCAAAACAAUUUGAUCAGGAGAAGCUAGAACUGAAUUCGAAGCUUAAAGCCGAAGUCCAGACCAGCUCAGAAUUGAAGAAAGCAUUAACAAGCCUUCAAGACAAAUGCUUAAACUUUGGCAAUAAUUGUAUUGGACGAUUAAAAAAGAUAUUUUACUCUGUUGGAGCCAGCAGUGGGAAAUUUAACCCUUCGGCGGAAAAUUUACCCCAGGCCUUCGAUCAUAUUGAAGCUGAAAUCGAAGAGCUUGACGAAGUUAUAGCCGGGCACGGCGACUUCUGUGCCUGGGUAGCUUCUCGGGGUACCGCUGCUGCAUUUCUGAAGGCCGGCUGCGAACAUGGAAAGGUUGUCAACAGGCCCAACUUCACCUUAUCUUCAUCAAUCCUGGAUGAUAUGCCCGACCUCGCCCGAAGUAUCUCCAAUAGAUUUAUAAAAAUGGUAUGGACAAAGGGCGGGCGAGAGAAAGCUGGAGACGAAGCCCGAAGUCAUCUUGAACCAGUAAGAAAUGACAUUUCGUGCUUACCUUUUCCUUUGGGCUUGAUUCUUAUGAUUCCUUGACUCAUGUAGGAUGACGAAGGUGAAGAUGAUGCCUAGGAUAUGUCGCCGAAGUUGUCUUCGAAGCUGAAGCUUAAUGAAGACUUGUAAUAUAUUCUUACCCUUCGAUUGAGGUGCUUUGAUGUGGACGAAAUCAGUUUUUUGAGCCGAAGGCGAAAAAACACCUUCCCUUCUUUUCGUACACAACGAAGCAUAAAAGGCCGCUUCCUCUUUUUGCCGAAGCCUUUCCUUACAUAACAAAACAUAAAAGAAUGCUACUCUUGUCUGCCGAAGCUUUUAUUUACAUAACAAAACAUAAAAGAAUGCUACUCUUGUCUGCCGAAGCUUUUAUUUACAUAACAAAACAUAAAAGACUACUACUCUUGUACACAACGAUUCAUAAAAAACCAAUUCUCCCCUGUGCCGAGACUAUUCUUUUACACAACGAUUCAUAAAAAACCACUUCUUCGAAACCUUUCUUUUACAUAACGAAUCAUAACAAACCAUUUAUCCGAAUUUUUCUCUGUGCCGAAGCAACCAUUUAGGAACACAAAUGCUAUGAAUGAAUGCUUAUGCAUGCAAAUGCCAUGAUGUAAUGUGCAAAUGAAUGUCCGAAGCGUAUGUCCGAAGCGUAUGUCCGAAGCCACAGUUAUUCAUCACUUUCUUAGGAGCAAACACACGUCAGCUCUGCAUUCCCUUAGGAACGACUUUGGAGCAUCUUUGCCUUUUACUUAGGCAGUAUCAGCGUUGACUUUUCGCUGUAAGCUCUGCAUCCCCUUAGGGACGUCUUUGGAGCUUCUUCGUCUUUUACUUAGACGGUAUAAGCUCUGCAUUCCCUUAGGAACGACUUUGGAGCUUCUUCGCCUUUUACUUUUGGCGGAAUCAGCGUUGACUUUUCGCUGUGAGCUCUGCAUCCCCUUAGGGACGUCUUCGGAGCUUUUUCUCUUUUUUAGUUUCGGCACUCGAUGGUGCUCUCUCAGCUUUUACAUUUACAUUCUUUGGGGGAUUUUGCUCUUAUAAAACUAAAAAAGGAAAUUACAUAUGAUGGCCCCAUUAAAAACCUUUCUCCCCCUUUAGAAAGGAAAAGGGUGCCAUGAAAAAGAAAAGAAAAGUCAAAAUUACAUCGAGUUAUACAUGAAACCGCCGAAGCUCAUCCGCAUUCCAAGAUCUUGGAAUUUCAUUGCCAUCCAUGUCCUUCAGUCUGUACGAACCAAGCCUUGACGAAGAUGCUACUAAGAAAGGCCCUUCCCAUUUCAGUUGCAAUUUGCCCACUGUAUCCGGAUUGGCCACUCUCCGAAGCACCAAGUGUCCUGGCUCAAUAUUUUUUAACCGGACUUUUCUAUCUCGCCAUUUAACUGUUUCAGCCUGAUAUUUAUUGAUAUUCUCCACGGCCUGAAGCCUGAUCCCUUCUAAAGCAUCCUUUUCCACAAGGCAAGCAUCUUCGGGACCUGAUUCUGCCGAAGCUACUACUCUUAUUGAUCCAGCUUUGGCUUCUUCCGGGGUUAUUGCUUCGUCUCCGAAUAAUAACUUGAAUGGGGUAAAGCCUGUGAAGAAAAUGGGUUUUCCUCGUGGGAAACAACGAAAUUAUUACAUGAAAACUAACAAUGUUCUUUGUUUCACAGAAAAUAAAACUGAAUAGAAAAGACUGCUAUCAAAGGUAGGAUAUGUGUCAAUAAAUGUGCUUCGACUCUGGCACAGUGCUGUUGACUGUGCGAGCUUCGGAUUGUUCUCUGAAGUCCCUUCGGUGUGGGGCAUAUUGACUCCCUUCUGGCUGUUGACCCUGUUGCAGUGGAGGUGGAGGCGGAGGCUGCUGCCAGGAAGCUUGAGGUUGACUUGCCGAAGCUACAGAAGUUGCAGGGUGGUUGUCUAUGUAUUGUGGGAUGUAAGGUGGAUGAUACGAAGCAGUAUGCAUGACCUGCUUCGGCUGAGCUUGUUGAGAUGCAGCUUCGGCUAUUUCCUUUUGCUUCUGGAUUGUAAUAUGGCACGUCCUGGUGGUAUGGCCCUUGCUUUUUCCACAGAACAAGCAAAACAGUUUCCUUGGUUGAUCUCCGAAUCUUCCGCCGAAGCCCCUGGCGCCUCUGCCUCUUGGAGCUGGUGGCCGGAAGAAAGUUUGUUGUUGCCCCGAAGCCUCGGAUAGGAUCUUCCUCCGAAGCCCCUGGUCAUUCCAGAAAAUCUGAAGGCCUCCUUCCUUCUUUGGCGAAAGUCAUUGUCAGCACGAAUGUACUCGUCCAUCUUUUGGAGCAGCUUCUCCAGGGUCUGAGGAGGCUUCCUAGCAAAGUAUUGAGCUGGUUGGGGUCCAGCGGUUGCGGUGCUGCAGCUCCAGUCGCUGAAGCUUUCUUCGGCGCCAUAGCGAGGGUCUAUAGCUUCCGAAGGUGUUCAAAAAACUCGAAGUGGAAGUGAGUUCACCGGAGGUGGGCGCCAAUGUUGGGGACUUGUUCUCAAAUGCUAAGAAUUAAGAACAAGGCAACACAAAAAAUGUUAAGUGUUAAGGUCCUUCGUCCUCCAUAACGAUAUAUCCCUUCGGGAUAUAAAGCAUCUCGGACGAAGGUUACGAAGGACAUACCUUCGUAAGCAUAACAACGAAGAAUGAAGCAUUCACAUAAAUCAUAGAAUAUGAAAUAAACAUUUAAAUAUUGUCAUAGAAUUAUCUCUACUUGUAUUAAUGAAUAUAAAUGACUUUGAAUUACAAAUGUACCUUCGGUCCUGCGGAAGGCAAAAGUACAAGCGUGAUGCGAAAGCAAAUGACAGGUUCACGUGAACAGUACAGAGGUACUGUUCAUCUAUUUAUAGGCACAGGUCGCAGCCUGUGACAAAUUACAAUUAUGCCCCUUGCGAAAGUUUACAGCAUUGACUCAGACCUAUAUGUAUAAAAAGGUCAUUCUAUCUCUAUGUCGGUUUAAAACGCCGAAGCUCCAUGAAAAGGGACCUUCGGCCAUCUCUUGGAGACGACUUCAGCCGAAGCUGCUUCUUCGUGUGAGACCUUCGGCGCACCGAAGCACGACCCCAACACUUGCAGAUUUGAGUUUUUCUCAACUUCGACUUCAAGCCUGAUGAGGACAUCAAAUACAACACCAGUACGACUACACCAGCAGCACCUUUUCUAGCACCACCAGAUGCACCUUCUCCUCAGGCGCCACCUUCUUCCUCAUCUGGGCCAAUCACCCGGGCCCAUGCAAGAGAUCUAAACUUCGUCAUGCUACUGAAGAACGAAGGCCCAGAAGAAUAGACGCUGGCCCAACUGAGGCCCUUGUGUGGGCGCCCAGGGCUGGCCGCUGUAACACCCCAGGUGUUACUCAGGGUGUCCACCCAGGGCUACACCAUUUAAAUUACUAUCACAUAUGGGUUAGUUUGAGCAAAGUACCUCAAACUUAAAAUUCAAGGUCCUAAGCAAGUGCAACCCAUCUUGGAUAUCAUGCCCUAGCUUGUCAUGUACAUCUAAAGGGGAGAAUUGCCCAAAACCCUAAAGCAAACCCCUUUGGACAAUGGGAACCCUAGAUGUAAGUAUGAUCAAAAGGUCAUGAAAACCUUAUGAUCAUGGCUUGGGCCAAAUAUAAAAGUUGUAGUACACUUAAUAACCUACAAAUAAUAGUAAGAAAGUAACCCCAAAAAGAUUUCAGAAAAGCCCCAAAAAGUUCACCAAAGGUUUGAACACAAAAGAAAAAUCAGAAAAUGCCUAAGUCCAAAACUAACCUUUGGACAAAGAUCACACCUGUUCACCCUCAUCCAAAAUUCAAAACACUUCGACCCAAUUGACAAAGUGGCGCCAAAUUACCCCUAGAAUGCCCUGGUAGAAGUUGACACCUACCCUAAGUCGUUUGACACGACUUGGCAUAGCUUUUGUCCCGGUUUGGACAGCUAUGACAUAGGCAACUUCUCACCCCUCUAUCUCCCUACCCCGACCGUAUCUUGACUUGGAACUCACAGCAAAAAGGUAGGAUAUGGAGCAGGGAAGAGACCGUACACAGUGGUUUUGCCAAGAUACGCAUGCUAAGGUACUCAAAUCCGCCGUUGAACCAUGGCAGAAGCGAGCUCCCACGUGUUCGACGCGGGCUGACACUCGGGGGCGCGCUUAGAGCACGCCCGUGCGCAAACCCCCGCACGCCCGCGGCCGCCCGUGACCACACCCGCGCCAUGGCUAUAAAGCCCGUCCCAGUGCCCGGCUGCCUUCCCUGUUGCCUCCUCUGUUCCACGCCUAACUUCCCCGAGCUCGCCCAUAGCUCCGGCGACCUCCCCGCGACACGCCAGAGCCGCCCGAGGGCAACCACCAUGGCCAGCCCCUUUCCUGCCCUCCUCCGCUCGGUCCAAGCCCUCGGAUAGCUUCCCUGAGAGGCCGUGAAGUUUGCACGAGCUUGAACCGAGGACCCGUGCCACCGGAAUAGCGAAAUCGUGCUCGCCAGAGUUCAGAACCCCGCCGACGCACGUGGACCGGGUAAGUCACUGCGCCAUUUUCUGAUUCAAUGCACAGAUAGCCUCUACAUCACCCCGUGAAGCUCACCGUGCCAUCGGAUUGAACUAGAUCGUCGUGGUUUGACCGGAACACUCGCCGCCGACGAGAGCCCCCGCCUGCGCACGUGGACCGGACGAUUCCGGCCACCUCCGCCGUCGAGCCGUACACCGUUGUGACCGCCAGGACCUCCCGGAGCCAACCCCACCCCUCGCCGGACCUCUCUCACCGUCGGUAAGCCGCGCUGCCCUUUUCUUUCUUGUGGGUACUAUUUAAACCUAGGGAGGGACCGCGGGGAGAAGAAGAGAAAGCUAGAGGGUUUUGCGCAAUGUCAGUGACUCAGAGAAAUAGUAGCGCGGGGGUAUAACUGAGAGAGUUAGUUUGGAAAUAACCCAGGGACCUCGGUGCAAAGUGGUUUUCCAGGAAACCUUUUAUUAAAUCUGAUUUAAAAUUUGAACAAAACUUGAAUAAUUCAUAUCUUCUGUUUUAUUCAUCCAAAUUUAGUCAAACCAAUUUUGCCAGAUCUUAAAUAAUUUAAACUACUUAAGAAAAAUAUAAAACCCCUAUGUGCUACAGAAAACUUUAGGGUUCUGAUUUAAUUAUUGUUUUGGCCAAAAGCUAAAUAAUAGGAAGAAAAAUAGUUGCUCUAUUUGACUAAGGUUAAGAAAAUUUGGAGAAGUUUAUGUCCACCUACUGACCUGUUUAAAAAUGCUAAACCCCUCUGUCCACCCCAUUAAGGUAGCUUUUGCCAUUUAUUUCACAUUGUGUUUAAAGUUAAAGAAAAUGAGAAAGGUGAUUUAAUUAAGGAACCAGGGAGCACCCAUACUUUUGUUAGUCCCCUUAUUCAGUGUAGUUCACUAGAAAAAUCUAUUAUACUCUGGUUUAGUAUAAAUUAGUUGGGAUACCUUUUAUUUUAAGAAAAUAAGGAAAACUUAGAAAAACCCUAGAAAAAUAACCCCAGGGUGAAAACACCCCAAACCUUGGGAUAAUUAAUGUUUUUGUUAUUAAGAACAUAGGAAAAAUAUGAAAUCUGCUGUUUGACAUUUUUCAAAUAAUAAGAUAGUAGAAAGUGCCUUUUUGGCAUUAAAACUUUGGAAAAUCACAACUAAAUAACCAUCCCUUAGCUUUCUGUGAUUUUUGGCACACAAGCUUAUUAUUACUGUUAAAUGCCAACAAAAAUAACCCUUAGGACAGAACCCACCCCUAGUUAAGAGUUGAAGUACAAAGUUGCCCAUUUACACAACUUUUGUUAUUUUUGUCUAAAGCAUAGCCUUUUUAUUUUGAACCUCAAAUUCCUAGAAUGGGCUAUAGUGACCAAGGGCAACCCACUCUAAUUUUUACAGAAUUUUUGGAAAGUUAAACCACUGUUGUAGUUCAAAUCUACACUAGAAUUCAUAAAUAGAAAAUAAAGAAAGGGAAAAUGAAUAAUGGAAAUUAGUGUCAUCCUAAAACCCUUUGUAAAUUGUCCACUAAAAUAUAUAAAGGAAAUACCAAUCCACUAUGCCUAUCCCUAACAAAACAUAAACCAAGAGUGAUAAGCAUAAACCACUAAAAGCCACGUAUGACCAAGAAAACCCUAGGUUACUCAUUAACUUAGUUUUUCUUCCUGUAGCAUAUUGUUAUUAAAUCCUGCAUAAUAAUGACCUACAUAUUCAUUGCAUUUCGAUAGACUGUAACCUCGCUGACGGAGAGUACGUCCUCGUGCCGGAGCAAGGAGCUGCUCAGGAGGUAGCCCGGAUCCAGCACCAAAGCCUGCACCAGAGGAUCUGCCUGCCACUGCUUUGGAAGGCAAGCCCCAGUUUAUGCAUAACCUGUUAUUUAUGCUAUUUUACUAUACUUAAUGAUUGUAGGAUUGAAUGUGCACUUAGGUGUAGGAGUUGUUUGAAACCCUAGUUGCAUGAUCUCAGGAAUCCUUUGAGAUGGAUACUAGUAUGCUAGGUCGAGUAGCUGCUUUAUUUAAUUAGGAUCUCGGUAGAAGACGAGUGAUUUUUCUAGCACUCGCGCGAGAUCAGGAAUUGGUUGUACCCACUUUCAUAUUAGCAUGAUACUAGUCUGUGGACAACAAUCCAUGGGGAUUGGUUGUCUACGAGAUGGGAAAAUUGGAAUAAGGAUUAACGUGCGGAUACAUGUGUCAAGCAUUUGAACGUACUAAACACAUACCAAGAAAUAUGGUAAAUCGGUAAGCCUAGUACCUGAUUGAACCUGGCAGCAGAUUGCCCUCCUCAUGCGACCUAAGACGUGGUCUCCCAUUCCGGUUAUGGUGGGUACAAGUGCGGUCACUGCACGACGGCAGUCGGGGUCAGUGAGGCAUUGUACGCCAAGGCGGUGAGCCCCUCUCUGCUGACGGGGAAUCGAUGAGGACGGUUGAUGUGUGUGGGGACGGAGUGCCUCGCCAUGUCGUGUGUUUAGGUUUACCUUGCAAGGAUAAAAACUCGAUUCGAAUCGUCUGCUUCUCGCAGCUAAUGAGACUGCUUGAUCCAUUGUACUGCAUUGAGUAACAAGUGAAAAUAUGAUGAGUUGAUACAAGAUGUUGAUUGCUAAAAAUGUUUGCUACUAUGUAUGAGUAGAUAGUACAUAUUUAGCCUUAAGAGAGUCACACUUAAAAUUGACAAAGCUAAAACUUGAUUUAGAAACUCAGCUAGUGCUUUUGGCAACCAAACCCCACAGCCAAACAGCUGCAUGUCUAGAGGUAGAGUAGACUCCUCACACCGGGUAAGUCUAGCUGAGUAUUAGAAUACUCAGCCUUGCUUGUGGCAUAAUUUUUACAGGUUCUCUGGAGGACAUGGUUGUUGGAGUGACUUGGCCGUCCAUCUUGCCACCGGGUUGGACUGUCGAGUGUGACCCCGCCUCGGCUGAGGAGGAGCAUGAGGAGUGAUGGGAUAGGCUUCCCCAUCCCUCCAUUUAUCUAUCGUUAGUUUUAUUCCGCUGCACUUCGAACAAUGAUGACUACUUUUGCAAAAACUCCGAUGAUGAUGUAAUAACUUAAUACUCCUUAAUGUAUGGUUUUACGUUUUAUUGUAUUUGCUAUGUGACUCACCAUCGAGUGAGAUUGUGGUACUUGAUCCUGUCAGUGGCCUUGUCGGACUAGAUCCGAGGGAUUGACGGGUUAUUCCCAUUUAAGUGUGGUCUAGCCUCUAAGGUGGGACUUAGGCACUUAAGUCGGAAUAAUUCGGGCAGUUCCGCCACAGCCACCACUAGGGGUUGUGCCCCCUCCUUGGCCGCCCUUCCCUAGGGGCUGCGCCCCCCCCCCCCCUCUCCCUCUAUUUAGAUGGAGGCUUCUUUUCUUUUCGGACUCGAGUUUUGUUUUACAAUUAACUUUAGCUACUCUUGAACACGCGCAAAUCUGCGUUGUCCUCGUGUAUUUUAGAACUCCACCUUCGAGUGAUAAUUAGAUUGCUCGCAUCUCUUUCUUGUACGUUCUUCGAUUGCGGACAGGAAACGAUCUUCGUGAUCAGGCUGAUCUUGCAUCAACAAGGUUGGUAACCACAGGGAGUUGGUUCAGCGAUUGCAUUGGUGCUUCGGGCUCGCUCGUCGUAGUCGGAUCGUGAGGGUCAUCUUCCACCAAGUCGAAACUUUCCCCACUCACCGAAAGAUCGGGCACUCCGGCUCUAUCAAGUGGUAUAAGGUUUCCAGGUUGUUCGGUGAGUUUAUCGAGUGUUUUCAAAUUCCUAUAGUCCAUAAAACCAAAACACAAAUAUAUAUUCCUUGCCCCAGAAACUUUUUAGCCUUUCAAUAAUUCGCAUUGUUGAAUUUGUGUGCUUACGCGUUCAACUGUUGCUGGUUAUUUUGUGUUCUUUUACCAUUUUUUUUCUUCGAACCUUAGUGCGCCACCACAUCUCUUUCCCUUCUGCAUCACACGCGCCCCCUGGAUCGCGUGCCGAUCACCUCCCCCUAGAUUGCGCCUCCUGUUUUGCCCCUGCCUUGUGCGUCCUUUGGAAAGUCAGCAAAAAAAGAAAGGAAAGCAAAAAAAAUAGUGUAUCCUGAUUUCCUAUUCCUGAUCGACAGCAAAAAAAGAAAGGAAAAGAUCUUUUAAUUACCGGAAUACCCCUACCCUUCUAGAAAAAAGUGUGUGUGGUAACUUGCUUUUGUAUUCCUUUGCCAUAUAAUCAGUUUGUGAGUUUCUUAGAAAAACAAAAAAAAGAAAAAAAAAGAAAAGGGGACACAAACCGGAGGUUACCUUGUGUGGGCGCGUCACGCAGGAUGCCCAGGGGUGCGCACCCGCUACUACUUGUUCUCCUCUUUUUCUGUUUUCCUUUGCCCCCUACCCUUGCUCCACCUUUGCACUUUGUUUCUAGCAGCUUUGAUUACGUGUUUGGCACUAUAAUUCCACCUUGCAUUAUUGUUUGAUUGUGCUAAUCCUUGCUUUGAGUGUAGCCUACCCAGAACUCCACAUAGUUCUACAACGAGCAGACUUUGUUUCUCUAGGCAAUCGCUCCUCCAAUCUUUCGCCGAUUCUACCUGUUGGUUGCAGCUCACCCCUGUGUGCUUGGUAAGAAUGGAUAAGAAUUUGAUAACAGCACUACUAUGAGCGCCUAACCCACACCCUUGUUGUCGUAGGCUUUGCUUUGUGUUGCGCUAACUAUGACAGGAAACGACGACAUGACAGAUGCACAGCUGCGGGACGUGCGGACACAAGUUGAUGGACUUGCCGUGGACGUGAAGAUGAUGCAUGAACGGCUUGAUUCAUCGAUCACUUCAUCGAACAAGCGGUUCGACCAGCUAGAUCUCGCUCAGACAGCCACUGCGACCACGCUCGACGACAUCGUGUCACGACUCGAUGUGUUGACUACGACACUCAUGGAGUUGCAGAAGGAUUAUGGCGGUGACACGGAGCGGGAAGAUGGAGAUCGCCGCUGACGUGCCCGCCGUAUGGUACAUCGACCAUCUAAUGACUCAUUCGCCAAAAUUAAAUUUAAAAUCCAUCUUUUAAUGGCAAAUAUGAUCCUGCUGCAUAUCUUGAUUGGGAAUUAGAGGUCGAACAGAAAUUUUUAUGCCAUGAUAUUUCUACUUCUUCUCAAGUUAAAGCUGUUAUUAGUGAAUUUAUUGAUUUUGCUUUAAUUUGGUGGCGUGAAUAUAAACAAAAACAUCCCACUGCCACUCCCACCACUUGGACUCAAUUAAAAGCUGCUAUGCGACACAGGUUUGUGCCUUCCUAUUAUGCCCGAGAUUUGCUUAAUAAAAUGCAGCGUUUUUAGCAAGGUCAACAAUCUGUUGAGGAAUAUUACCAGGAACUACAAAAGGGUAUGAUUCAUUGUGGUUUGUUUGAACAGGAUGACGCUGCUAUGGCACAUUUUUCGCGGUGGUUUGCACCGAGAAAUUCAGGAUAUACUUGAUUAUAAGGAAUAUUUUGAUAUGACCACAUUGUUUGAAUAUGCUUGCAAAGCUGAACGUGAAGUGCAGGGGCGCUGAUCCAAGACACAUACUGGCUCUUUUGCAGGACGGAGCCCGACAUCCAGCUCAGCUCCUGCUCUUCCCGCGCCAUGCACCACUAGCACUACACCGCGCGAGAGGACGGCCAAACCUGCAGCGCCCCCAGCUAUAGGCGCUGUUCCUUCCAUAGGACAUACACGAGAUAUUCAGUGCCAUCGUUGCAAAGGAUUUGGGCACGUAAUUUGGGACUGCCCCAGCAAGCGUACCUUACUCAUACGUGACAAUGGUGAGUACUCUUUCGCUAGUGAUUCCGAAGAAACUCGACAUGCUAUUUGCCACUGACCAUGCAGAUAAUGAGGAGGUACAUGUCGCUCCUGGCGAUGCCGAGAGGUAUGAGAGUCUUGUUGCACAGCGUGUUCUUAGUACACAGGUUGCCCAACCUGAGAACAAUCAGCGACACACUCUAUUACAUACUAAAGGCGUUGUACAAGAACGAUUGAUUCGCAUCAUCAUCCAUAAUGGCAGCUGCAACAAUUUGGCGAGUACAACUUUGGUAGAGAAGUUAUCCUUGCCCACUCGUAAGCACCCGAACCCAUAUCACAUUCAAUGGCUUAAUGAUGGUGGCAAAAUCAAAGUUACACGUUCGGUACGUGUUUCCUUUUCCUUGGGCUCUUAUUCUGAUUAUGCUAAUUGCGAUGUUAUUCCUAUGGAAGCAUGCUCUUUGUUACUUGGUAGACCGUGGCAAUAUGAUACUAAUAGUUUACAUCAUGGUCGUUCGAAUCAUUCUUCUUUCAUGUUUAAGGGUCAGAAAAUAAUUAUCCAUCCCAUGACCCCUGACUAAAUUAUAAAAGAUGAUCUUGCUCGGGCUUCAAAAACUACAAAGCAACAUGCACCUACGCCAUCCACCCCUGUUAAUGCUGAAAUCAAGUUGCAUGCUCCGGUUUUACUUGCUACACAUGCUGAUUUUGAUGACCUACGUGAUACUCACUUGCCCUGCUAUGCACUUGUAUGUUCUAGUAUGCUCGUUUCACUUGAUGAUGCCCCGCCUUUGGAUAUUCCCCCUGUUGUUUCUAACCUUUUGCAGGAGUACGCUAAUGUUUUCCCCACGGACUUGCCACCGGGUCUUCCCCCGCUUCGCGGCAUUAAACACCAGAUCGACCUCAUCCCCGGCACCCAGCUCCCAAACCGCACCCUGUACCGUACGAAUCCGGAUGAGACGAAGGAGAUCCAGCGCCAGGUGCAGGUGUUGCUUGAUAAAGGUUACAUUCGUGAAUCUCUUAGUCCUUGCUCAGUUCCUGUUUUACUUGUUCCAAAGAAAGAUGGGUCAUGGCGUAUGUGUGUCGACUAUCGCGCUAUUAAUAACAUCACAAUUCGUUAUCGAUAUCCUAUACCACGCCUUGAUGAUAUGCUAGAUGAGCUUAGUGGUGCCAUUAUUUUCACUAAGAUUGAUUUGCGUAGUGGAUACCAUCAUAUUCGAAUGAAACUGGGUGAUGAAUGGAAAACGGCUUUUAAAAUGAAGUUUGGGUUAUAUGAAUGGUUGGUUAUGCCGUUUGGAUUGACUAAUGCUCCAAGCACCUUUAUGCGUUUGAUGAACGAAGUUCCAAGGCCCUUCAUAGGAUUGUUUGUCAUUGUCUAUUUUGAUGAUAUCCUUAUUUACAUCAAGACUAUGGAAGAGCAUUUCGAACAUUUGAGUGUUGUUUACUUGUUUUUGAUGCGUUGCGUGCUGCCGCUUAUUUGGUAACGUGGACUAAUGCAUCUUUUGCACACAACGUGUCUCGCUUCUUGGUUAUGUUGUUACUCCACAGGGCAUAGAGGUGGAUAGUAGCAAGAUUGCUGCCAUUCGGGACUGGCCUACACCGACGACGGUCACACAGAUUUGGAGUUUUCUUGGACUUGCAGUCUUCUACCGUAGGUUCGUCCAUGAUUUUAGCUCCAUUGCAGCCCCUCUACAUGAGCUUACAAAUAAAGGUGUGCCAUUUGCUUGGGGCGACGCGCAGGAGGUAGCGUUCAACACUUUGAAAGAUAAGUUAACACAUGCUCCCCUCUUGCAAUUGCCUGAUUUUAAUAAAGUGUUUGAGCUUGAAUGUGAUGCUAGCGGUAUUGGACUAGGUGCUGUUUUGUUGCAAGAUGGAAAGUCGGUUGCUUAUUUUAGUGAAAAAUUAAGCGGUGCUAGCCUGAGAUAUUCUACUUAUGAUAAGGAGCUUUAUGCUUUAGUUCGCACUUUGCAAACAUGGCAGCACUAUCUUUGCAUCGUGAGUUUAUAAUUCAUUCUGAUCAUGAGGCUUUGAAACAUAUUCGUACUCAAACAAAUCUGAACCGCCGUCAUGCUAACUAGGUCGAAUUCAUCGAGUCUUUCCCUUACAUUAUUAAACACAAGAACAGGAAGGAAAAUGUCAUUGCUGAUGUGUUGUCUCGUAGAUAUACCAUGCUUUCAUAGUUAGAUUUUAAAAAAUUUGGCUUGCAAACUAUGAAGGAUCAAUAUGUCAAUGAUGCUGAUUUUAAAGAUGUUUUAAUACAUUGCAUGCAUGGCAGACCAUGGGGCCAUUUCCACGUGCAGGAUGGGUUCCUGUUUCGCGCUAACAAGUUGUGUAUUCCAGCAAGCUCGGUUCCUCUGUUGUUGUUACAGGAAGCACAUGGAGGUGGUCUCAUGGGACACUUUGGCGUCUACAAAACGCACGAGGUGCUGGCUGCACACUUCUUUUGGACCCAGAUGCGCCGUGAUGUCGAGCGCCUUGUUGCACGCUGCACUACUUGUCAGAAAGCUAAGUCACGAUUGAGCAACCAUGGUUUGUAUAUGCCUUUGCAUGUCCCUACGUUUCCUUGGCUUGAUAUUUCUAUGGACUUUGUUUUGGGUUUGCCUAGAACUAAGAAGGGGAGGGAUAGCAUUUUUGUGGUUGUUGAUAGAUUCUCCAAAAUGGCUCAUUUUAUACCCUGUCAUAAAACUGAUGAUGCUAGCAGUGUUGCUGAAUUGUUCUUUCGAGAGAUUAUUCGUUUGCAUGGUAUUCUGAAUACAAUAGUCUCUGAUCGUGAUGCUAAGUUUCUUAGUCAUUUUUGGAGAUCUCUUUGGAAUAAAUUGGGAACUAAAUUGUUGUUUAGUACAACUUUUCACCCUCAAACUGAUGGGCAAACUGAGGUGGUGAAUAGAACUUUAUCAACCAUGCUUAGGGCUGUUUUAGACAAAAAUUUGAGACGUUGGGAGCAUUGCUUGCCUCAUAUUGAAUUUGCUUAUAAUCGUGCAACACAUUCUUCUAAAAAGAUGUGCCCCUUUCAGAUUGUUUAUGGUUACAUUCCUCGGGCACCUAUUGGUUUGUUUUUGCUUGAUGCUGAGGACGCCCUACAUAUCGAGGUUGUUGCACAUGUUGAACAAAUGAUUGACCUCCAUGAACAAACACACCAAAACAUUGCUGCUGCUAAUGCUAAGUAUCAGGUUGCUGGUAGUAAAGGAAGAAAACAUGUUACUUUUGCACCUGGUGAUAUGGUUUGGUUGCAUUUGCGCAAGGAUCGUUUUCCUACUUUGCGUCGUUCUAAAUUGAUGCCUCGUGCCGCUGGUCCUUUUAAGGUGCUAACCAAGAUUAAUGAUAAUGCUUAUAUCCUAGACCUACCUGUAGAAUUUGGUGUUUCCCCUAGUUUUAAUGUUGCAGAUUUGAAACCAUAUGUGGGCGAGGAUGACGAGUUGCCGUCGAGGACGACUUCGGUUCUAGAAGGGGAGGAUGAUGAGGACAUCAAAUACAACACCAGUACGACUACCCCAGCAGCACCUUUUCCAGCACCACCAGAUGCACCUACUCCUUAGGCGCCACCUUCUUCCUCAUCUGGGCCAAUCACCCGAGCCCAUGCAAGAGAUCUAAACUUCGUCAUGCUACUGAAGAACGAAGGCCCACAAGAAUAGACGCUGGCCCAACUGAAGACCUUGUGUGGGUGCCUAGGGCUGGCCACCACUAGGGGCUGCGCCCCCUCCCUGGCUGCCCUUCCCUAGGGGCUGUGCCCCCCCCCCCUCUCCCUCUAUUUAGAUGGAGGCUUCUUUUCUUUUCAGACUCGAGUUUUGUUUUACAAUUAGCUUUAGCUACUCUUGAACACGCGCAAAUCUGCGUUGUCCUCGUGUAUUUUAUAACUCCACCUUCGAGUGAUAAUUAGAUUGCUCGCAUCUCUUUCUUGUACGUUCUUCGAUUGCGGACAGGAAACGAUCUUCGUGAUCAGGCUGAUCUUGCAUCAACAAGGUUGGUAACCACAGGGAGUUGGUUCAGCGAUUGCAUUGGCGCUUCGGGCUCGCUCUUCGUAGUCGGAUCGUGAGGGUCAUCUUCCACCAAGUCAAAAUUUUCCCCACUCACCGAAAGAUCAGGCACUCCGGCUCUAUCAAAGCCUUGCUUCAAAACUUUUCUUUUCUUGUUCGAAGUUUUCUGAUCUUCGGAGGAGUUCAUCGUUUAAUCUGGCAACUUCGGCUUGGGCUUCUGCCAACGAACCCUCCAUUGUCUGAAGAAGGAAGUCUUUCUUUUCUAGAGAAGCUUUAUGAUCUUUGAUUUUCUUUUCCAAGCCCUCGAUUAUAAUUUCAUUCUUUUUUAUCCUCAAUAUCUUGCUGCAUCCUCAGUGCUUUGCUUAGUAGCAUACUCUGUACAAAAUAGUCUUCAUCAGAAAUUUUUUGCAUCAUCACAAAGAUUAAAAAGAUGAGGAAAAAAGCUUUACCUUAAAGUUGGAAUAGAAUAAGCUGUCGACGAUAUGUUGUCGCUGGUAGCUGCUAAUGUCAGCUUCAAGCUUCGGAAAACCAACACUCUUCGACAGAGUGCUGAUAAUCUUCGCCCCAGUACGGUCUCGAAUGCAUCCUAAGGCUUCUUCAUUGAUUCCUCCCAAGAGCAUGGCUCCUGGUUGGUAGCCACAAGAUAUAGCAUAUUCCUGCAACUCCUCCUUCUCGGCCUCGGAUAAUUCUUGAAAGCUGAAGCCUUUUUCUUCCGAAGUGUCUUCGGCAAUUUCUUUCCCUUUUUCAGGCACUGCGGCCAGGACUUCUUCUGUAGCCACAGCAGUUUCCUCUGCAGCUAUAUCCAUGAGCACUUUAUCAAUAGCAAAUAACGUACUCUCUAGAUUGGUAGCUUUGGCGGACGCAGCUUCGGCAGAAGUAUCUGCUUCGGCAGCUGGUGUCAUCUUUGAUGCUGAGGCCGGCGGUGGCGUUUCCUCAAUAUCUUGCAUAAUAGUAACAAUUCUUCACUUUUUAGGCCCAACCGCCUUUUUCGUUGUCGAAGGCUCGUCCUUCUUUUGUAAAAGCUUCGUCAAAUACUGUCCUAGAGGACUUAGCAGCUUGAUAGGUAAGGAUUUAGUCAUUACCUUUAAAGUUUCUUCUACUUCCGCAGUAGAAGGCGUUGAAGGAGUCUCCUCCUCCAUCUCAGCCACCUUCGGCUCCGGGGUUGCAGUUUUCCUCUUCUUUGAAGUCACCGCCUUCGGCUCAGGACUGGUUUUUCUCUUCUUCAGAGUUUCUUUGUCCUCUUUCACCAUUCUAGCAGCCUGCCUGCUCAGAACACUAACAACCCUUUUUUCUCUUUGUCCCUUCGGCACUCUUGUUGAGUCUUUCAUAAUCAGGGUAUUCAAAAUUUGAAGCAUCCAUUACCCGAUUCAACCUUCGUUUUGGUCGGGUGCCGAAGGCUGCAGUCAUUAAUUGAUCUUCUUUUUUGGUAUAAUUGCCCAAAAUUUCAUUGCACAUAGUCUCAAUCAUCUUCAACCAUUCUUGGCAAGGCUCUUUGAAUUGUUUCUCAAACUUGAAGUGAUAGGGCAAUCGAACAAGUUUAUUCUUCUUUUUUGUUCCUUUUAGCUUCAGCAUACUCCAUUCACUCAACGUUGGAGAUACCCUGUUGGCCAAGUAUUCUUGUACUAGAUCCCUAGUGCUGAUUUGUUCAGCCACCACUCUGAAUUCUGCUAUGACCAGCGGGCAUGCUGACCCUGGCUUCAUGUUGCCCAAGGGUCUGGUCAUCCCGAAGCUUAAAGCCAGCGGGCUCAUCACCAUCAUCAUCAGUUUCCCUCUUUUCUUCUCAUCAGCCUUAAUAUAAAACCACUCACUCUUCCAGCCGGUUGGCCACUUCGUGCGAUAACUGAGGACUGGAGCCUUCGUAUUCUUGCGAUACGCGAAGUUAUAACAACCAAAAUUUUCAUGUAGCCCGUCUUCUCUAGCCUUUGUUUGGUAAUGCAGCUCAUGCACUCGGUAGAAAGCUUCAGCAUUUGGGUCCAUCCCUUGGCUUCGAAGGGCCCAAAUGAAGAUGCUGAGCCUAACGAUAGCGUUAGGAGUCAGUUGAUGAAGAAAAAUUUCAAAAUUAUCCAAAACUUCUCCAAUCAUCUCGUUCAAGGGAAACUGUAAUCCUGCCCUGAAAAAGGUUUUGAAAACCACCACUUCAUCAUUCUUCAGCGUUGGAGUGGUUUCUUCUCUGGCAAAACGAAUAAGCUUCUUUUCAGCUUCUCCGAAGUAGCCCAGUAUCAUCAUCAUGGGCAUGUCGGCUUCAGACACAGUAGAUUUUUCAAAAUCGAAGUGGCUGGGUUUUGGCAGGAUCAGAAUGCUAUAGUCUUCCUCUUCUUCGUCAGCAUUUUCUUCCUCAAUAUCAGCUUGCUCAGCUUCGGUAGCAGAAGUACCUUUGUCAAUGACUCCCUCCGUCACAACUAAGCCUGAUUGUCUCAUGACUCCCUUAGUCUCCUCUCCUUCACGAGUCACCCUCGCAGUCGAGCGUACUCUGGCCAUCUGAUGAAUUUUUGCGGUUUUUACGAAGCUGAUGUUUUUUACAGUUUUUGACGAAGCUAAUUCAAAACGUUGGUUCGCUCGAGAACGCAGUGAAAAAGCUUCGGCUAUGGUUAAAUUUUUCAACAGCACAACAGUGCAAUGGCAAUGAAUGUUGUGGUAACUUCACACCUACCUGUCUGUUUAUAUAGUGCUGCAGGUGGGAAGGUGAAUCGCCAAGUCGACCGCACCCGCUGAACAGUCACCCGCACCCGCUGAACGGUGGACCACUCGACGCUUGAGAGUGAAUCGACAUAUCGCUCGUACCCGCUGCGUGGUGGGCCACCUUGCGCUUGGAAUAUUUUAAUCGUUUCUCAGCAACGAGCUCAGGGAAGGUGUUUUUCGGACCUUCGGCAUUCCGAAGCCUUGGAGAUUUUUCAUGGAUCAAGCUCAUUACGAAAAACGAUCUAGCACCGCGAAGGGGCUACUGUUGGGGGCCUGCUUCGUCGCCGAAGGUCCUCUAAGCAGAAACAACUUUGAAAGAUCAACAUAUAAACAAAUGCAGAGUAAAGGUACACGCCGAAGCUACGAUUCAGGGAGCUUCGGCAUAGUGACAUGCCUUGAGACGAAGGGUUGCACCGACCUAAAGAGGAAAAGACCAAUCAGUCCAUGAUAAUUUGAGACAUGAUUGUAACUAGUCAUCAAGGACAUAAAUGUAUUUUUGACCGGGCUGUGUCCCGUGCCUCUAAAUAGGUGAACAGUACCCUCGUACUAUUCAUGCUAACUAGUAUUCGCUCGUGCGUCAUGCUUGGACUUUUGCCUUCUAUCAAGCCAAAGGUACAAAUGUAAUUCAAUAUUGUUCACAUUCAUUCAUGAUGAUAUAAUUAAGAUGCAUCAAUGAUGAUAUCAUAUGAUUAUUUAUGUUAUCUCUCAUGUUUCAUAUGCUUCUUCUUUCAUCAAUAUAUACUGCGAUGAUGAAGGUAUGUCCUUCAUGACCUUCGUUUGAAGAUCAUUAUAUCCUAAGGGAGAUAAUGCUUCGAAGGAUGAAGGGCAUUGACCAUUAACCUUUUUGUGUUGCCUUGUUCUUAACUCAUAGCAUUUGAGAACAAGUCCCCAACAAAAAACAAAAUGAUUUGUUUUAAGCAAAGAUGAUGCUUCAUGUGGGAAGGGAGUUUUCAAAGAAAAGAAUUGAUGGUGGAUCCAUCAUGGCCUUGAUGGGUUCAACAUUGGAAAAGAUGUACCUCUGACAGGUACCAAACUUUGGGUUUUAAAUGAUAAAGACGAGACCGGGCGGGUGGCUUGCACGAGAAGGAAGUCUCGGUGUAGUGCCUCCGUCUAAGUCGAUUAAGGACUGUAUCGAUGUAAGCUUGCUGAUUGAGGACCUUUUAACUAGCCACAUGCCUCGUCAUGGGUAAACUUUGCCUCAGGCAGACCAAUACCAGAAAGGCCAACACACAAUGGGAGUGGAGAGAUGGUGAGAGUAGUGUGUACCCUUGUUGGGGGCCUUCGACUUCUGAAGGUCCUCAAAAGCGUGAUUUAACGAUGUUUCUGGAGUAUAAUACACGAACAGGUACCUUUGGACUUGGACCCUUCGAACUUGAGUCAAAAUCACAAUGUGAAGAAGCACAAGGGAAACGAAGGAUGGAACAGAGCCGAAGCUGCGCGCAAGGGAGCUUCGGCAUGAUGACAGAAAAAAGGAAACCGACUUAAAGGGGAAAAGGCUAUCUAGACCCUGAUGAAUUACUAUGGAGUUAUUAGCAAAUGUAAAGGGCCUGGAUGUAAUUUUACAUGGGUUGCGUUCCGUGCCUAUAAAUAGAUGAAUAGUACUCCCGUACUGUUCACGCUGACUGGGAAUUUGCUUUUGCGUCACGCUUGUACUUUUACCUUCUUUCAAGCCGAAGGUACGUCCUUCACAAUCUUCGUUCGAAAAUCAUAUCUCUCAAAGGGAUAUAAUGCUUCGUAGGACGAAGGAUUUUAACGUUUAACAUUCUCUGUGUUGCCUUGUUCUUAACUCAUAGUUUUUGAGAACAAGUCCCCAACAUUGGCGCCCACCUCCGGUGAACCCUUUCUGACCACUUUCGGCAAGCAUCGACCUUCGUCAUGCUGCCAAAGGAAGCUUCAGCAACAGGGGCUGCCGCUCUGCAGUCGUUGGACCCGAACCAGGAGACCCUUUCUCUUCGGGAGGCCCGAAGCCAGAAGAGGAAGGCCACCAGUCCAAUGCCUCAGGAGGACAAUUUAGACCAAGAAAUCAGGAAUAUGGAGAUGCUUCAUCAGCAAGUGCAACGGAAGAAGGAAAAGAUGGCUCGGCUAGCUGACCUGCAAAGGCAGAUAGACGAAGCUUCUGAAGAAGUUCGUCAUCUUGCUCAGGAUGAGCAAAACCGAAGGCCCCAGCACAGAGAGCUUCACCAAGAGGGCUUCGUCAACGAAGAUGAUUGGUAUGAGGACUGCACCAUGGAAAUUUCGCCUUUGACGAUGCUUCUCCUCUGUCAGCUGAACUGCAAGCUACACCUUGGCCUCCGUCUUACAAGCCACCUCAGCUCCCCAUGUAUGACGGACACUUAGAUCCGAAGCAAUUUCUGAUGAGCUACGAAGCAACCAUAUCUUCAUAUGGUGGCAAUACUGCAGUCAUGGUGAAAUCCUUCGUCAUGGCAGUCAAAAAUGUUGCUCAAACCUGGUACUCCUCUCUUAGGCCAGGAACAAUCACAUCAUGGCAAAAGCUGAAGGACAUGUUUAUCACCAGUUUCCAAGGGUUUCAGACGAAACCAGUCACUGCUCAAGCUUUGUUCCAGUGCACCCAGGAUCACGAAGAAUACCUUCAGGCGUAUGUCCGAAGGUUCUUACGACUGAGGGCACAGGCGCCAACGGUGCCCAAUGAAAUGGUCAUUGAGGCCAUGAUUAAGGGACUUCGGCCAGGACCUACAACCCAAUACUUCGCCAGGAAGCCCCCUCAGACCCUGGAGAAACUGCUUCAGAAGAUGGAUGAAUACAUCCGAGCUGAUAAUGACUUUCGACAGAGAAGGGAGGAAGCUUACAGAUUCUCCGAAAUGACCAGGGGCUUCGUAGGGAGAGUCCAUCCUAGGCACGUCAGAUCAAUUCAUUCCACUCAGAAUGACGACAGGGGAAGUCAGCAACAGAGGCCACAAUAUUCCUCCCAGGCUUCGGGGCAGCAACAGAGCUAUCCUCGGCCCACAGCUCCAAGGGGUAGAGGCGCCAGGGGCUUCGAAGGAAGGUUUGGGGAUCAGCCCAGAAAAAUUUAUUGCCUAUUAUGUGGUGAGGACAAGGGCCAUACUACCAGUUGUGCCAUGUCACCAUCCAGAAACAGAAAGAGAUAGCAGAAGCCGCAGCACAGCAGAGCCAGCCGAAGCAAGUUAUGCAUAUUGCUUCGUAUCACUCACUGUACAUUCCAGAAUAUGUGGGUAACCAUUCUGCAGCUUCUGUUGCUUCGGCAAGUCAACCUCAGGCAUCUUGGCAACAGCUUCCACCUCCACCACCAAUACAACGAGGCCAGCAGCCAGAAGGGAGCCAGCACAGUCAUCAGCAACGAGACUUCAGAGAGGAGUCCGAAGCUCGUACAGUAAACAGUACUGUACCAGAGUCGAAGCACAUCUACUAGAAGAUAUCCUGCUCCUGAAAUAGUUCUUGCAUUUGUUUUCAUUUUUCUUUUUAAUAAGGAACAAUAAUUGAAAGCCUAAGUUUUUCUUGUCGUUUUCAAUCUCUUGUAAUAGCUUCGUUUUUGUCAUAGUGAAAAUAUAUCUUAUACACAGAUAUACGGAAUCCAAAAACUUGUCGAAGCACGAAAACUCGUUCUUAAGAGCUCGUGGAUAUAGAAAGUAUCUCCGAAGAUACAAAAAGUUGUUUUAAGAAACGCAGUGUAAGUUUUUGUCGGAGCGACAAAAGUCGUUCUUAAGGGAACGCGGCGUAAGUUUUCUGCUCAAAAGUCUACAGCAAAAAAUAAACGCUGAUACCGCCGAAGUAAAAGGCGAAGAAGCUCCUAAGGGAGGCUUACAGCGAAAAAUAAACACUGAUACCGCUGAAGUAAAAGGCGAAGAAGCUCCUAAGGGAGGCUUACAGCGAAAAAUAAACGCUGAUACCGCUGAAGUAAAAGGCGAAGAAGCUCCUAAGGGAGGCUUACAGCGAAAAGUCAACGCUGAUACACCGAAAAAUAAAUGGUGAAGCUGAAAAAUAAACGGCAAAGAAAUUGUGUUCUACUGUGGGAAUGUGUGUGUAUCUUCGGCACAAAUAUCAUUUUGCAUAUCAUAGCAUCAUCACAUCAUUCGCAUAACAUGACAUCAUACAUCAUAUCGCAUCAAUGGCACAAGAAGGGAAUACGAUGCUAACCUUCGGAAAUUGUUUUGAAGAAAUUGUGCCAAGGCACAAAAUAAAGUUUGAAGAAGUGCAGUUUUGUCAACUUUAGUGUCAGAGGAAAUCUAUUGCUUACGAAGCAUAAUAUUUUCACGGAUAUGGAUACUCUUCACGAAGCAUGAAAAGAAGGGAAGGUGUUUUUUUGCCAAAGGCUCAAAAACGGUAUGUAUGUAAAGUUUCAUGCAUCGUAAAGAACUGAAUUACAUACAGCUUAUAUAUUACUUUCAAAACUAUAGAAUAUUACACACUUUGUUCAGCAAACAUUACAUUAGUAUUCCGAUUUUUUUUACAACAAUAGCUAUUCUUCUUUUAAAACUACUUCUGCAGCUUCGUUUAGUAGUUGAGUUACAACUUUGUCCAUAAUAGCUUCGGCCAUCUUAAUAAUUCCAUCUUCAUUUUUUGCUUCGGGGUCGGCUUGUGACUCGAAGGGCUCCAGAGGAGGAGAUAAUUCGGCUGCGAUAUAAAACAUGAAUAAGUUCGAAGUCACAAGAAUAAAACAUAAAGUCAAAAGUAAUUAGACAAUACUUGUCCGUCUUUCAAGUUAUGCAGUUUUUCCAACUGCCUUUGCUGCUUCUCUAGCAUCGUGGGUAUCUUUUUCACUUUUCUUUAUAAUUUCGUGAGCCAUCUCUCGGCCACCAUUUUCCCAGAUGUCGGUAAAAAACUUUCCGCCAAUCAAGCUUGCCUCGGCCGAAGGGUCUUUUGUAUCUUCAAUAGAAAACGCAGCUUCGGUUUGGGCCAAAAUCAUCACAUGCUCGCAUCCUGCCUUCUCUAAGAUGGUCGCAAUUCCCCUGGCACCUCAGAAGGCGCAGACAUCUCCGCGGCCACUCAAAACUUCCUCAAAGGCUUCAGCUUCGCCCUUGAUCCAUUCGAUUGGACCUUCGGGAUCGCCUACUACGAAGUUGUCCUCAUUUGAGUAUGCGCCAAUAUUGGCGAAGCUGGUUUUUAUCUUUUGUACACAUGCCAUAGAUUUUUCAUAGCAUUUUUAUUUCGAGAAACGAAGCUCCACAACUGUUUUUUCCCAGUGAUUUUUCCAGUAUUCACUGGCGUCUCGGUCAGCUUCGGCAACUGCACAUUUUGAUUUUUCUUCUGCCAGCUGUUUCCGAAGAUCUUCAAUUUCGCACUUCUGGGUCUCAGCUUGGGCUUUCGAAGUAGCCUCGUCUUCUUUUAUCUUGUUUAUCAAUGAGUUUAAUAUUUUGUCUUUUUCAAGACCUUUGUUCCUUAGCUCAAUUACUUCGGAACGAAGGUUAUUCAAGGCCAUGGUAUAUCCCUCGUCUUCAGUGCCUUUUUGCGCCCUGAGGGCGUUGCUAAGAAUAAGGCCCUGCAAAAGAAGUGUGGUAUUAAGUAUAAGCAAACGAAAAAAUCUUGUUUUUAAGCACAAAAAUCUUAUUCUCUCACCUUUAAGCUGUUGUACGCUAAGUUGUCGGCCAAUUCAUCUUUUGGUAAUACUGAGAGCCCAUCUUUUAGCGUCAGGAAUCCGAAGCUUCUUCCCAUCUCCCGGCAGACAGAGAUCUCCUUGCUGUCUGGGAGACAAUAUAAGAAGUCUUCUUCUCCGCUGCCAUUGAAAAUCAAUGCCCCCUUCGGAUAUUUCAAUUUUUGGGCAUAGAACUGAGCCUUUUGCUUUACUUUUUCAGUUAAUUUUUCCCCAAAGCAUGUCGUAAAAUAUAAUUAAGAGCUUCGGAAAAUGCUUCGGGGGUGGCAGUGGCAGUUUCUUCAGCAAAAAUUUGUUCUGCCGCUUCUGUUUCUUUUUCUAUGGUUUCCAAGGAUUUCAUCUUGGUAGGCUCUGAAGGCCCAGCUUCAGUCUCAGCUUGGUGCUUUGUAGCUUCGGCCUCAGAGGCUGUUGUCUCAAUUUGCACUUUGGGAGCUUCGGCAAUUUUCUUCGGAGUAGUGCUUGAAGACUUUAUUGUCUCCAAUACAUCUAGAACAUUAACCAUCCUUUUUCUUUUGGGGGUCAUUGUUGGACCUUUUUGGGUUUUUGGUACUUCAACUUCUGCCAAAGGACUUAAAAUUUCUGAUGUUUUUGUCCCUUCAGCUCUCGGCUCUCCAAUUUUUUCAGCCUUCGGCGUUGCAGCCGACUCUUCAUUCUUCCGGGUAAGAGCAGGUUUUUUGGCUUCGGUAGCCAUAGAGGUCUCACCACCAAAUUCGGGCACUGAGGCCGGUUCAAUGAAGCGCGGUCGGUGAGUAAGGACCUUCACCCUUUUCCUCUUUGGCGCGGCCUCACUUAGAGCAACUGAAGCACCACCUUUUCCAGAAGUUACGCUUUUUCUCUUCUGCCCUUUCAGCGGGUAGCGGUAAUCAGGAUACAUAAACCCGAUAGCAUCGAAAACUCUAUUCAACCUCUUCUUCUUCCGGCCUCCGAAGGUCGCAGACAGCGCGUUAUCUUCUGCCUUGGAAUAUGGUCCAAGCAGUUCGUCGCUUGUAGCUUCGAUGCACUUCAGCCAAUCAUCAUCUGGCUCAAUAAACUUACCCUCGUAUCUGAAGGUGUAUUUCAACCUAACCAGUCCACCUUCGUCAGACUUACUGAUAGUUUCCUUUGGCAUUUCCCAUUGCUCUACAAGCGGCCAUACUCUGAAGGCUAUGUGCUCCUAGACUAAAUCCCUCGUCCCGAUGAAACAACAGACUAUGUCGAAGGCCUUUUGGCUUUUUCGGCUGCUUCAUCAAUUUCCAGCUUCGGUUUCCGAAGGCCGAAGCGCUGCCAGAUAGGACGCAUGAUAAUAUCUUUAAUGUCCUCUCGUGCCUUUAAAUCAUUUUUCACAUAAAACCAUUCCUUCAUCCAGUCCCUAGGCCACCUUUUCUGGAAGGUUGGCACGGGGCAGCUCGAGCCAGAACGAGCGACGAAGCUAUAACAGCCAAAGUUGUUAUGAUAUUGCUCUUUGCCCCAGGGUUUCGUCUCAUAAAGCAAUUCGAGCAUACUGCAGAAACUUUUUGCAUUUGGCUCCAAGCCCUGGCUCCUCACGGCCCAGACAAAGAUUCCCAUUCUUAUAAUUGCUUUGGGAGUAAUUUGAUGAAGGUAAACCUGAUAGAUCUUUAAAACCUCAACCACAAAUUUGCUUAAGGGGAACCAAAGCCCAGCUUUAAAAAAGCUUCGGAAGAUCACAACUUCAUUCUCUUCGGGAGUAGGCACAGUCCUCUCUCCGUCAUCGGCCCUCAUAGUAGACAUGUCUCGAAAAUAUCUUCCCCUCAUGUGAUCGAGAUGACUCUGUUUAAUAGUCGACUUUCCAAAGACUGUGUGACUGGGUCGCCACGGUCGAUCUUCGGAGUCUUCACCUCCACUUUUUAUAUCAUAGCUGUCACUUUCACCAGUAUCUUCAGAUAAACCUUCCAAAAUCUCCCUAGUGAUCUUCUCUGUGUUCGUCUUUGCUAUCGAUUCAAGAAACCCAACAUUCUUCUCUUCAGAAAGGCUCAGCUUUAUUUCGGCGACAACUUUGUUAUCUUGAGACAUCUUCGGAAAUGGUGAAAACGUGCUCUUAAGGCCGAAGCUAAAAAAUCUAAAAAGCCAGGCAAGCGUUGGUGUGCAAGAGCUAAAAAUUGAGAAAGCAAGAGCAGAUGGCAAGAACGCGUGCCAAAUGUGCUCGCAGUGUGCUCUUAUUUAUACGCCCAGUGCGUUGCAAGUGGGAGGGCCCCGCUUGUCAUUAACUGUUGCUAUUCUAGCAAAGAGAAGGUGUUUUUUCGGACCUUCGGCUUAAGGCCUUCGUCCAUAUCGCAAUAUGAAUUUAUCAUUCUAACAAAUUAAUAUUGCGAGGGGCUACUAUUGGGGGCCUUCGACUUUCGAAGGUCCUCAAAAACAUGAUUUAACGAUGUUUCUGGAGUAUAAUACACGAACAGGUACCUUCGGACUUGGACCCUUCGGACUUGAGUCAAAAUCACAAUGUGAAGAAGCACAAGGGAAACGAAGGAUGGAACAGAGCCGAAGCUGCGCGCAAGGGAGCUUCGGCAUGAUGACAGAAAAAAGGAAACCGACUUAAAGGGGAAAAGGCUAUCUAGACCCUGAUAAAUUACUAUGGAGUUAUUAGCAAAUGUAAAGGGCCUAGAUGUAAUUUUACAUGGGCUGCGUCCCGUGCCUAUAAAUAGAUGAAUAGUACUCCCGUACUGUUCACGCUGACUGAGAAUUUGCUUUUGCGUCACGCUUGUACUUUUACCUUCUUUCAAGCCGAAGGUACGUCCUUCGCAAUCUUUGUCCAAAAAUCAUUAUCUCUCAAAGGGAUAUAAUGCUUCGUAGGAUGAAGGAUUUUAACGUUUAACAUUCUCUGUGUUACCUUGUUCUUAACUCAUAGUAUUUGAGAACAAGUCCCCAACAACCCUCCGUGGCAAGAGACUGGACGGUAGUGUAUCUGUGCUCUCGGUUGGCGUGAACCCGGUCUGGUCUUGAGAACCCCGGUGGCGAGUUGACAUAUGCAAGGUGAAAGGGAAACAGGCUUACACCUUUUCCUAAAUUAAUUUUGGUGGUUGAAUUGCCCAACACAAAUAAUUGGACUAACUAGUUUGCUCUAGUCUAUAAGUUUUACAGGUGCCAAAGGUUCACAACAAGCCAAUAAAAAGACCAAAGCUGGAUUCAAAUAAAGAGAGCUAAAGACAUCCCAAAGGGCACCCUGGUCUGGCGCAUCGGACUGUCCGGUAUGCCACCGGACAGUGUCCGGUGCACCAGGGAACUCGAAGCUGAACUUGCCACCUUCGGGAAAAUGGGAGGCCGCUCCGCUAUAAUUCACCGGACUGUCCGGUGAAGCACCGGACAGUGUCCGGUGUCACAUCGGACUGUCUGGUGUGCCAGCGGAGCAAUGGCUACUUCGCGCCAACGGUCGACUGCAACCACAUUAAAUGCGCUACAGUACGCGCUAGAGUCAGAGCACGCGCAGAAGGGGCACCGGACAGUCUACAGGACCUGUCCGGUGCACCACCGGACAGCCCAGAGGCCCCACCAGUCAGAGCUCCAACGGUCAGAACCCAACGGCCGGCUGACGUGGCUGGCGCACCGGACAGUGUCCGGUGGCGCACUGGACUGUCUGGUGCGCCAUGCGACAGACAGCCUCCCAACGGCCACUUUUGGUGGUUGGGGCUAUAAAUACCCCAACCACCCCACCAUUCAUUGCAUCCAAGUUUUCCAACUUCCUACACCGUACAAGAGCUAUAGCAUUCAAUACAAGACACACCAAAGAGAUCAAAUCCUCUCCCAAAUCCUUAGUUCAUUCCAAAUCAAAUAGUGACUAGUGAGAGAGUGACUUGUGUUCAUUUGAGCUCUUGCGCUUGGAUUGCUUCUUUUUCUCAUUCUUUCUUGUGAUCAAACUCAAUUGUAACCGAGGCAAGGGACACCAAUUGUGUGGUGGUCUUUGCAGGAACUUUGUGUUCCGUUUGAUUGAGAAGAGAAGCUCACUCGGUCUAAGUGACCGUUUGAGAGAGGGAAAGGGUUGAAAGAGACCCGGUCUUUGUGACCACCUCAACGGGGAGUAGGUUUGCAAGAAUCGAACCUCGGUAAAACAAAUCAUCGUGUCUCACUCUUUAUUUGCUCACGAUUUAUUUUUCGCCCUCUCUCUCGGACUCGUUUAUAUUUCUAACGCUAACCCGGCUUGUAGUUGUGCUUAAAUUUACAAAUUUCAGAUUCGCCCUAUUCACCCCCCCUCUAGGCGACUUUCAAUUGGUAUCAGAGCCCGGUGCUUCAUUAGAGCUUAACCGCUCGAAGUGAUGUUGGGAGAUCACGCCAAGAAGAUGGUGAUCGGCGGUGAGAAGUCCGCUACAAGCCACGGGAAGGCUCCAUCAAGGGAGUCCGCCAACAAGAAGGAUGGAUCCCCUUCACGCAUUCGAUCGCACAAGAGUGGCGAGAAGAAGAAGAAAAUGAAGAAAGUGGUCUACUACGAGACCGACUCUUCCUCGCCCUCUACAUCCGGAUCUGACGCCUCGUCCGUCACUUCUAAGCGCCAAGAGCGCAAGAAGUAUAGUAAGAUCCCCCUACGCUACCCUCGCAUUUCCAAAUGUAGUCCUUUACUUUCCGUCCCAUUAGGCAAACCACCUAUGUUUGAUGGUGAAGAUUAUAAUAUGUGGAGUGAUAAAAUGAGGCAUCAUCUAACCUCACUCCACACUAGCAUUUGGGAUGUUGUUGAGAUUGGAGUACAGGUACCAUCACCGGGGGAUGAAGACUAUGAUUCGGACGAGGUCGCCCAAAUCCGGCACUUCAACUCUCAAGCCACCACUAUACUCCUCGCCUCUCUAAGUCGAGAGGAGUAUAACAAGGUGCAAGGAUUGAAGAGUGCCAAAGAGAUUUGGGACGUACUCAAGACCGCGCACGAAGGAGACGAGGUGACCAAAAUCACCAAGCGGGAAACGAUCGAGGGGGAGCUCGGUCGCUUUCGGCUUCGCCAAGGGGAAGAGCCACAAGAAAUGUACAACCGGCUCAAGACCUUGGUGAACCAAGUGCGCAACCUCGGGAGCAAAAAAUGGGAUGACCAUGAAAUGGUCAAGGUUAUUCUUAGACCACUCGUUUUUCUUAACCCUACGCAAGUUCAAUUAAUACGUGGUGAUCCUAGAUAUACACUAAUGUCUCCCGAGGAAGUGAUAGGGAAAUUUGUGAGCUUUGAGUUGAUGAUCAAAGGCUCAAAGAAGAUCAUCGAGCAAGAUGGCCCCUCCACGCCCGAAGCUCAACCGGUCGCAUUCAAGGCGACAGAGGAGAAGGAGUCUACAUCAAGUAGACUACCCAUCGACGCCUCUAAGCUCGACAAUGAGGAAAUGGCGCUCAUCAUCAAGAGCUUCCGCCAAAUCCUCAAGCAAAGGAGGGGGAAGGACUACAAAUCCCGCUCCAAGAAAGUGUGCUACAAGUGUGGUAAGCCCGAUCACUUUAUUGCAAAAUGUCCAAUAUCAAGUGACAGUGACAGGGGCGACGACAAGAAGGGAAAGAAGAGAGAAAAGAAGAAAUACUACAAGAAGAAGGGCAGCGAUGCCCAUGUGUGCCGCGAGUGGAACUCCAACGAGAGCUCCUCCGACUCCUCCUUCGACGAGGACGCCGCCAACAUCGCCGUCACUAGAGGACUCCUCUUCCCCAACGUCGGCCACAAGUGCAUCAUGGAAAAAGACGGCAAAAGGAAGAAGGUAAAAUCAAAAUCCUCCACUAAAUAUGAAACCUCUAGUGAUGAGGAUAACUCUUGUGAUGAGGAGGAUAAUUUGCGCAUCCUUUUUGCCAACCUAAACAUGCAACAAAAAGAAAAAUUAAAUGAAUUAAUUAGUGCUAUUCAUGAGAAGGAUGAACUCUUGGACUCUCAAGAGGACUUCCUAAUUAAAGAAAACAAAAAGCAUGUUAAGGUUAAGAAUGCUUAUGCUCUAGAAGUAGAAAAAUGUGAAAAACUAUCUAGUGAGCUAAGCACUUGUCAUGAUAUUAUUGCCAACCUUAGAAAUGAAAAUGCUAAUUUAAUUGCUAAGGUUGAUUCUAAUGUUAGUGAUGUUUCAAUUCCCAAUCUUAGAAAUGAUAAUGUUAGUUUGCUUGUUAAGAUUGAAGAAUUGAAUAUCUCUCUUGCUAGCCUUAGAAAUGAUAAUGAAAAAUUAAUUGCUAAGGCUAAAGACUUAGAUGUUUGCAAUAUUACAAUUUCCAAUCUUAGAAGUGAAAAUGACAUUUUACAUGCUAAGAUUGUUGAAAUAAAAUCUUGCAAACCUUCUACAUCUACUAUUGAGCAUGUUUCCAUUUGCACUAGAUGUAGAGACAUUAAUGUUGAUGCUAUUCAUGAUCACCUAGCCUUAAUUAAGAAACAAAAUGAUCACAUAGCUCAACUUAAUGCUAAGAUUAAUGAGCAUGACCUAGAAAAUGAAAAAUUUAAAUUUUCUAGAAGCAUGCUCUAUAGUGGGAGACGCCCUGGCAUCAAGGAUGGCAUUGGCUUCCAAAAGGGAGACAAUGUCAAACUUAAUGCCCCUCCUAAAAGAUUGUCUAACUUUGUUAAGGGCAAGGCUCCCAUGCCUCAGGAUAACGAGGGUUACAUUUUGUACCCUGCCGGUUAUCCCGAGCACAAAAUUAGGAGAAUUCACUCUAGGAAGUCUCACUCUGGCCCUAAUCAUGCUUUUAUGUAUAAGGGUGAGACAUCUAGCUCUAGGCAAUCAACCCAUGCUAAAUUGCCUAAGAAGAAAACUCCUAUUGCAUCAAAUGAUUCUAACAUUUCAUUUAAGACUUUUGAUGCAUCUUAUGUUUUAACUAACAAAUCCGGCAAGGUAGUUGCCAAGUAUGUUGGGGGCAAGCACAAGGGGUCAAAGACUUGUGUUUGGGUACCCAAAGUUCUUGUAUCUAAUGUCAAAGGAACCAAAAUCGUUUGGGUACCUAAAAUCAAGAACUAAAUUUGUUUUAUAGGUUUAUGCAUCCGGGGGCUCAAGUUGGAUCAUCGACAGCGGGUGCACAAACCAUAUGACAGGGGAGAAGAAGAUGUUCUCCUCCUACGAGAAAAACCAAGAUCCACAACGAGCUAUCACAUUCGGGGAUGGGAAUCAAGGUUUGGUCAAAGGAUUGGAUAAAAUAGAUAUAUCACCUGACCAUUCCAUUUCCAAUGUUUUUCUUGUAGACUCUUUAGAUUACAACUUGCUUUCAGUUUCACAAUUGUGUAAAAUGGGCUACAACUGUCUUUUUACGGAUGUAGGUGUUACUGUCUUUAGAAGAAGUGAUGAUUCAAUAGCAUUUAAGGGAGUGUUAGAGGGUCAGCUAUACUUAGUAGAUUUUGAUAGAGCUGAACUCGACACUUGCUUAAUUGCUAAGACUAACAUGGGCUAGCUCUGGCAUCGCUGACUAGCACAUGUUGGAAUGAAGAAUCUUCACAAACUUCUAAAGGGAGAACACAUUUUGGGACUAACAAAUGUUCAUUUUGAAAAAGAUAGGAUUUGUAGCGCAUGUCAGGCAGGGAAGCAAGUUGGUGUUCAUCAUCCACAUAAGAACAUCAUGACAACUGACAGGCCACUCGAGCUCCUACACAUGGACCUAUUCGGCCCGAUAGCUUACAUAAGCAUCGGCGGGGGUAAGUACUGUCUAGUUAUUGUGGAUUAUUAUUCUCGCUUCACUUGGGUAUUCUUUUUGCAGGAAAAAUCUCACACCUAAGAAACCUUAAAGGGAUUUUUGAGACGGGCUCAAAACGAGUUUGGCUUAAGGAUCAAGGAAAUAAGAAGCGACAAUGGAACGGAGUUCAAGAACUCACAAAUUGAAGGCUUCCUUGAGGAGGAGGGCAUCAAGCAUGAGUUCUCUUCUCCCUACACACCACAACAAAAUGGUGUAGUGGAGAGGAAGAAUCGAACUCUAUUGGACAUGGCAAGAACCAUGCUUGAUGAGUACAAGACUUCGAAUCGGUUUUGGGCCGAGGCGGUCAACACCGCUUGCUACGCCAUCAAUCGGUUGUAUCUACACCGAAUCCUCAAGAAGACAUCAUAUGAACUCCUAACCGGUAAAAAGCCCAAUGAUUCAUAUUUUAGAGUCUUUGGUAGCAAAUGCUUUAUUCUUGUUAAAAGAGGUAGAAAAUCUAAAUUUGCUCCUAAGGCUGUAGAAGGCUUUUUACUAGGAUAUGAUUCAAACACAAGGGCAUAUAUAGUCUUUAACAAGUCCUCUGGACUAGUUGAAGUUUCUUGUGACAUUGUGUUUGAUGAGACUAACGGCUCUCAAGUAGAGCAAGUUGAUCUUGAUGAGCUCGAUGAUGAAGAGGCUCCGUGCGUCGCGCUAAGGAACAUGUCCAUUGGGGAUGUGUGCCCUAAGGAAUCCAAAGAGCCUCCAAAUGCACAAGAUCAACCAUCUUCCUCCAUGCAAGCAUCUCCACCAACUCAAGAUAAGGAUGAGGCUCAAAAUGAUGAAGAAGAAGAUCAAGAAGUUGAGCCACCUCAAAAGGAGAGCAAUGAUCAAGGGGGAGAUGCCCGUGAUCAAGAUGAGGAAGAUGAACAAGUUCCAAGACCGCCACACCCAACAGUCCACCAAGCAAUUCAACGAGAUCACCCCGUCAACACCAUCCUCGGCGAUAUUCAAAAGGGGGUAACUACUAGAUCUCGUGUUGCUCAUUUUUGUGAACAUUACUCUUUUGUUUCCUCUAUUGAGCCACACAGGGUAGAGGAAGCACUACAAGAUUCGGAUUGGGUGGUGGCAAUGCAAGAGGAGCUCAACAACUUCACUAGGAAUGAGGUAUGGCAUUUAGUUCCACGUCCUAACCAAGAUGUUGUAGGAACCAAAUGGGUCUUCCGCAACAAGCAAGAUGAGCAUGGUGUGGUGACAAGGAACAAAGCCCGACUUGUGGCCAAGGGAUAUUCACAAGUCGAAGGUUUGGAUUUCGGUGAAACCUAUGCACUCGUAGCUAGGCUAGAAUCAAUUCGCAUAUUACUUGCCUAUGCUACUUACCAUGGCUUUAAGCUUUACCAAAUGGACGUGAAAAGUGCCUUCCUCAACGGACCAAUCAAGGAAGAGGUCUAUGUUGAGCAACCUCCUGGCUUUGAAGAUAGUGAGUAUCCUAAUCACGUAUAUAAACUCUCUAAGGCACUUUAUGGGCUCAAGCAAGCCCCAAGAGCAUGGUAUGAAUGCCUAAGAGAUUUUCUUAUCACUAAUGGCUUCAAAAUCGGAAAGGCGAAUCCUACUUUAUUUACUAAAACUCUUGAAAAUAAUUUGUCUGUAUGCCAAAUUUAUGUUGAUGAUAUUAUAUUUGGGUCUACUAACGAAUCUACAUGUGAGGAAUUUAGUAGGAUCAUGACACAAAAAUUCGAGAUGUCUAUGAUGGGGGAGUUGAAGUACUUCUUAGGAUUUCAAGUGAAGCAACUCCAAGAGGGCACCUUCAUUAGCUAAACAAAGUAUAUUCAAUAUAUUCUAAACAAGUUUGGGAUGAAGGAUGCCAAGCCCAUCAAGACACCCAUGGGAACCAAUGGGCAUCUCGACCUCGACACGGGAGGUAAAUCCGUAGAUCAAAAGGUAUGCCGGUCGAUGAUAGGUUCUUUACUCUAUUUAUGUGCAUCUCGACCGGACAUUAUGCUUUUCGUAUGCAUGUGUGCAAGAUUCCAAGCCGACCCUAAGGAAGCUCACCUUACGGCCGUAAAACGAAUCUUGAGAUAUUUAGUUUAUACUCCUAAGUUUGGGCUUUGGUACCCUCAGGGAUCCACAUUCGAUUUAAUUGGUUAUUCGGAUGCCGAUUGGGCGGGGUGUAAAAUUAAUAGAAAGAGCACAUCAGGGGACUUGCGAGUUCUUGGGAAGGUCUCUGGUGUCUUGGGCUUCAAAGAAGCAAAAUUCUGUAGCUCUUUCUACCGCCGAGGCCGAGUAUAUUGUCGCAGGCCAUUGUUGCGCGCAAUUGCUUUGGAUGAGGCAAACCCUUAGGGACUAUGGUUAAAAUUAAUCAAAGUUCCUCUUCUAUGUGAUAAUGAGAGUGCAAUCCGCAUGGCGGAUAAUCCCGUUGAGCAUAGCCGCACUAAACACAUAGCCAUUCGGUAUCAUUUUCUAAGGGAUCACCAACAAAAGGGGGAUAUCGAGAUUGCUUAUAUCAACACUAAAGAUCAAUUAGCCAAUAUCUUUACCAAGCCACUAGAUGAACAAACUUUUAACAAACUUAGGCAUGAGCUAAAUAUUCUUGAUUCUAGGAAUUUCUUUUGAUGUUUUGCACACAUAGCUCUUUAAUAUACCUUUGAUCAUAUCUCUUUCAUGUGCUAUGACUAAUGUGUUUUCAAGUGUAUUUCAAACGAAGUCAUAGAUUGAAAGGGAAUAGGAGUCUUCGGCGAAGACAAAGGCUUCCACUCCACUCCAUUGAAUUUACUCAUCCUUCGCCGUCACUCCGCGCCGCUCUCCAACUUUGGUAUAAUCUUCACUCAUAUUUUGUUCGCCAAAGGGGGAGAAAGUAGUUAGAAAGGGCUUAUAUUUCACUCAAGUAUCCGUUUUUGGCGAUUCAUGCCAAAGGGGGAGAAAGUAUUAGCCCAAAGCAAAAGGACCGCACCACCACCUAAUUUUAAAAAUAAAGAUUCUAAAAUUGAUAUCUUAUUGUGUUCAAAAGGGGGAGAAAGUAGUAUUGCAAAACCCUCUUGAACACUAAGAGGAGAAUUUGAUUGAGGGGGAGUUUUGUUUAGUCAAAGGAAAAAGCAUUUGAAACAGGGGGAGAAAAUUUCAAAUCUUGAAAAAUGCUUCUCAAAAUCUUACUCAUUUGUUCCUUGACUAUUUACAAAAGAAUUUGCAAAAACAAAACAUGUGGUGCAAACGUGGUCCUAAGUGUUAAAAAUAUAAAGAAACAAUCCAUGCAUAUCUUAUGUAGUAACCUUUGCACUUACAUUAUGAAAACUAGUUCAAUUAUGCACUUCUAUAUUUGCUUUGGUUUGUGUUGGCAUCAAUCACCAAAAAGGGGGAGAUUGAAAGGGAAACAGGCUUACACCUUUUCCUAAAUUAAUUUUGGUGGUUGAAUUGCCCAACACAAAUAAUUGGACUAACUAGUUUGCUCUAGUCUAUAAGUUUUACAGGUGCCAAAGGUUCACAACAAGCCAAUAAAAAGACCAAAGAUGGUUCAAAUAAAGAGAGCUAAAGACAUCCCAAAGGGCACCCUGGUCUGGCGCACCGGACUGUCCGGUGUGCCACCGGACAGUGUCCGGUGCACCAGGGAACUCGAAGCUGAACUUGCCACCUUCGGGAAAAUGGGAGGCCGCUCCGCUAUAAUUCACCGGACUGUCUGGUGUGCCAGCGGAGCAACGACUACUUCGCGCCAACGGUCGACUCCAACCACAUUAAAUGCACUACAGUACGCGCUAGAGUCAGAGCACGCGCAGAAGGGGCACCGGACAGUCUACAGGACCUGUCCGGUGCACCACCGGACAGCCCAGAGGCCCCACCAGUCAGAGCUCCAACGGUCAGAACCCAACGGUCGGCUGACGUGGCUGGCACACCGGACAGUGUCCGGUGGCGCACCAGACUGUCCGGUGCGCCAUGCGACAGACAGCCUCCCAACGGCCACUUUUGGUGGUUGGGGCUAUAAAUACCCCAACCACCCCACCAUUCAUUGCAUCCAAGUUUUCCAACUUCCUACACCGUACAAGAGCUAUAGCAUUCAAUACAAGACACACCAAAGAGAUCAAAUCCUCUCCCAAGUCCUUAGUUCAUUCCAAAUCAAAUAGUGACUAGUGAGAGAGUGACUUGUGUUCAUUUGAGCUCUUGCGCUUGGAUUGCUUCUUUUUCUCAUUCUUUCUUGUGAUCAAACUCAAUUGUAACCGAGGCAAGGGACACCAAUUGUGUGGUGGUCCUUGCGGGAACUUUGUGUUCCGUUUGAUUGAGAAGAGAAGCUCACUCGGUCUAAGUGAUCGUUUGAGAGAGGGAAAGGGUUGAAAGAGACCCGGUCUUUGUGACCACCUCAAUGGGGAGUAGGUUUGCAAGAACCGAACCUCGGUAAAACAAAUCAUCGUGUCUCACUCUUUAUUUGCUCACGAUUUGUUUUUCACCCUCUCUCUCUCUCGGACUCGUUUAUAUUUCUAACGUUAACCCGGCUUGUAGUUGUGCUUAAAUUUACAAAUUUCAGAUUCGCCCUAUUCACCCCCUCUAAGCGACUUUCACAAGGGUUAAGUGCUACAUAUGUCGUGUGGUUGGAGAUCCCCAGUUGGGUAUUAAUCGAUUCGGAUCGCCGUUACUUCUCGGAUAUGAAGACUUGGUCACUGCCCUACACGUAGCAAUCCAGUGAAAUGAAAGGUUGAUAAAAGACGGCUAGUAUAGGCCAAGUGCUUGAACUAGGGUAAAAAGAACUCUAGAUACAGGUAAUGACUUAACCUGGUAAUAAAACUGGAUUUUUAAGGAUACACUGUUAGUAAGCAUUUCUGCAAACAGAGUCUUUGAUUCUUGAAUAGCCUUACCUUGACUCCCUCAAGCCAGCAUAUCCUUGAGAGUCUUUUUCUUUUGUCGAGUAAGACUUGCGAAAGUACACUCCGUACUCAGGGUUUUCAAACCCAUGUUGUUUAGGUGAGGAAACAACAGAGUUUUGUUGUUUCUGUUCAAAGGUGGUACCCAAGGAAGAGCCCCAGCAGUGAAGUUGGUCGCGGGAGGAUGUUUGCCUCCCACUUUGAAAACAAUAAACUUCUGUGUGGGAGGGUGUUUUGCCUCCCUGGUCUGUAAUAAUACUUUAUGCACUCAUAAUACCCUGGUAUUGUAAUAAUAAUACUCUCUCUAUAUAUUGGAUGAAUGUAAAUUAAGUUAUUGUAAUUUGCUUCCGCUUAUUCUUUCCUCCGAUGUGAUGAAAUAUCUGCGUGACGGGUGAAGCGCUCUUGGGCGAAAUGAUGAUGAUACAGUUACCGAAAUUGUCGAGUGAUUAUGUGCAUCUACAGGGUUGUCCAAGGUCCUUGGGACAAGAACAACUAUAGGUGGGCCUAAUACCUUGUGAGGUUCCGUCACAGUGAUGGGGCCGAAUUGUCCGGGGUUGUACCCGGAUGAUCCGGCCAUGCACGGUGUGACCUGAGCAUUCUGUGUGUAGGCCUGCGUCGGGUCGGACGGUCUGACGAAAUACACCGGAUGAUCCUCGAUAUAACCGGACUGUCUGAGAUGAUGCUCGGACGGUCCAGCCGCGUCCAGAACCUACCGCGUGCCUAGUGGCGGCGGCUGUGAUGGUGACACGAAAGCGUGCAUCGACAUACCAUAUGAUGGCUGGGUCAAGGGUGACCCAUUUAUAGCCAAUGUGCUUGGCGCAUGUGGCUCUGUAUUAGACUCUCGCGAUGAAAAGCUAGGAGCAACUGAUUUUUUGUAUGAACAUAUAUGCAUUUUAAUAGAUUCAUCUACAUAUUGCUUUAACUGAUCUCCUUGUUGAUCCAUGAAAGUCGUAAGAGAUAGAUCUGAAGCACUUACAGCAGGACCCUAAAGUGGAGGUAGGAGAGAUUCCAUAUCGAUCUCCCCUUGACGGAUGAUCUUUUGGUGGCGAUCCACCGUGAAGUGUGACAAGUACUUUUCCGUCGUCUCUUUGCGACGUCCGGAGAGUUUAUGCAGCAGUUAUGUGUCCUCCUUGUCGCGUUGUUCGUUCCAUUGCUGCAUCACCUCUUUCUCAUUGUGCAUUACGAGGUCCUCAAAGGGUCUUUGGUCAUCAGUCGGGAGUGCCUCUAUGAGCCGAUUUUUAGCAGAUCUAGACACCUAGGCCCCAACGGAGUCGCUAAAAGUGUGUUGACGCUGAUUUGGGCGCCAAUUACUGCGAUGACAACCAGCGACGGUGCGACGGUGUCCUCUACAGAGGCGCAGACGGUCCGCGGCCAGAGGCUAGACGGUCUGCGACCUGGUACAGGGACUGGUGUUCCUACCUGACGGGCCAGACGGUCCGCGCCUAUAGGCCAGACGGUCCGCGCGUACGCAGGGUCAGCGAAGAUUGUUGGCGGCGUCUGGAUCUCGCUCUCGGGAGGGACUCCGUCGGUGAGGAGAGAUUCUAGGUGUUGUCCAGGCUCGGUAGGCCGACCUAAACACCUCUAAUCGACGUAGAGUCGAAGAGAAGCGAAAAAAUUAGGGAUUUAGAGGCUAAACUAGAACUACUCUUAAUGCAUAAGGUAAAAACGAGAAAUAUAUUUAAUUUGAUCGAUUGUUGGAGGUUUAAUUGGCCGUAGCCCUUCAUCUAUAUAAAGGGGAGGUCUGGUGUGGCGGAACCACCCGAAUUAUUCCAACUUAAGUGCUUAAGUCCCACCUUAGAGGCUAGACCACACUUAAAUAGGAAUAACACGUCAGUCCCUCGGAUCUAGUCCGACGAGGCCACUAACAGGAUCAAGUACCACGUACUCACUCGAUGGUGAGGCACAGAGCAAAUACAAUAAAACAUAAAACCAUACAUUAAGGAGUAUUAAAUUUAUUACAACAUCAUCGGAGUUUUACCAAAAGUAGUGAUCAUUGUUCGGAAUGCAGCGGAAUAAAACUAACGAUAAAUAAAUGGAGGGAUGGGGAAGCCUGUCCCAUCACUCCUCAUGCUCCUCCUCAGCCGAGGUAGGAUCCCACUCGACUGUCCAACCCGGUGGCAAGACGGACGACCAAGUCACUCCAGCAACCAUGUCCUCCAGAGAACCUGUAAAAUUAUGCCACAAGCAAGGCUGAGUAUACUAAUACUCAGCUAGACUUACCCGUUGUGAGGAGACUACUCCUCUACCUCUAGACAUGCAGCUGUUUGGCUGAGGGGUUAGCUUGCCAAAAGCACUAGCUGAGUCUAAAAGUCAAGUUUUAGCUUUUUCAAGUUUUAGUGUGACUCUCUUAAGACUAAAUGUGUUCCUAUCUAAUCAAACAUGGUAUCAAACAUUUAGCAAUCAACAACUUUUACCAAGUCAACACAUUUCCACUUGUUACUCAAUGCAGUACAAUGGAUCAAGCAGUCUCAUUAGCUGCGAGAAGGAGACGAUUUGAAUCGAGUUUUUAUCCUUGCAAGGUAAACCUAAACACACGACGUGGCGAGGCACUCCGUCCCCACACAUAUCAACCGUCCCCAUCGAUUCCCUGGCAACAGAUCAGGGCUCACCGCCUUGGCGUACAAUGCCUCACUGACCCCGACUGCCGUCGUGCAGUGACAGCACUUGUACCCACCAUAACCGGAAUGGGAGACCACGUCUCAGGUCGCGUGAGGGGCAAAGUCUGCGGGCAGGUUCACUCAGGUACUAGGCUUACCGAUUUACCAUAUUUCUCGGCAUGUGUUUAGUACGUUCAAACGCUUGACACAGGUAUCCGCACGUUAAUCCUUAUUCCAAUUUCAUCUUGUAGACCACGCAUCCCCAUGGAUCCGUGUCCACAGACCAUCAUCAUUCUAAUAUAAAAAUGGACACAACCAAUUCCUGACCUCGUGCGAGUGCUAGAAAAAUCACUCGACUUCUACCGAGAUCCCUAAUUAGUAAAGCAGCUACUCGACUAGCAUACUAGUAUCCAUCUCAAAAGGAUUCCUGAGUUGAUGCAACUAGGGUUUCAAUCAACUCCUACACUUAGUGCACAUUACAAACCUACAAACAUUAAGUGUAGUAAAAUAGCAUAAUAAACGGUUAUGCAUAAAACCGGGGCUUGCCUUCCAAAGCUGGGGCAGGCAGAUCCUCGAAGGCAGGCUCUGGUGCUGGCUCCUGGGCUACCUCCUGAGCAACUCCUUGCUCCGGCACGAGGAUGUAUUCCCCGUCAGCGAGAUUACAGUCUAUCGAAUGCAAUGUAUAAGAUAUAUGCUUAUUAAUGACAUGAUAAAUUGUAAAGGCUAUGCAUAGUAAAACAGUACUAAGUUUAGUGGUACUCUAGGGUUUCUUUUGGGUAUACUUAAGGGUUUUGUACCUUCAUCUUUGAGAUUUUGAAUGAAGUUACACCUUUUAAUUACAUUUUUAUGUUCCAUGAGCCCCUUGGAAGGUUUGGUUGUACAUUAUCUAUUUCUCCCAAAAUUCCCUCUUUCUUGCUAUUGCUUCUUAUUAAGCAUUUUUGAACUAUCAUGGUCAGUUAACAUUUUCCAAAAAUGUUGUAAAAAUUACAGUGGGUAAAUAUUUACCUCUAUGGGUUAUCCUAGAAAUUUGAGGUUGAAAUUAAUUCAGAUGCUCCUUGUGUAAAAUUAUCAAAAGUAAGGGUAAAAGGGCACUUUAUACUAUAGCUCUAAUUUAGGUGAGGUCUCUGCACUAAAUUUUAUUUUUCUCAAGAUUCAUAGGUGAUAUUAGGCCUCUGUGUUAAAAAUCACAGAAAAAGACCUACUGGAUAUUUAGCUGUGAUUUUCUAAAGUUUAAUGCCAAAAAGUACUUAUAACUAACUUGUCAUUUGAAAAAUAUCAAACAACAAAACUCAUAUUUUUCCUAUAUUCAUAAUAACAAAAUAUUAGUUAUCCCAAGGUUUGGGGGUGUUUUCUCCUCAGGAUUAUUUUUCUAAGAUUUUCCUAAGUUUUCAUUGUUUGCAUAAAAUAAAAUAUAUCUCAUUUCUUUUGUACUAAACAAAGGUCUAAUAAAAUUUUCCAGUGAACUCUAUUAAAUAAGUGAGCUAACAAAAAUGUGGUUGCUCCCUGGUUCUCAUUUUCAACUCCCUUUUCUAUUUUCUUUAACUUUGGGCUAAAAUGAUUUUAAAUGAUAAAACCUACCUUAAUUUGGUGUACUUAGGGGUUUACUAUUUUUAAACAGAUUAAGGAGUGAUUAAGUACUUCUCUGAUUUUUCUUAACCCCAGUCUAGCAGUGUAACUAUUUUCCCCUAUAUUAUUUAGCUUUUGGCCAGAGCACUAUUUAAUUCAAAACUCUAAAUUCUUCUACAACACUUAGAGGGUUUUGUAUUUUUCCUAAAGAGUUUACUUUAUUGAGAAUCUGGCAAAAUUGGUUUGACUAAAUUUGGUCGAAUAAAACUGAAGUUAUGAAUUUUACAAGCUCUGUUUGUAUUUAAAUUAGAAAUAUUAAAAAGGUUUUCUGGAAAACUGGUUUACACCGAGGACCCUGGGCGUUUUCUAAACCAAUCUUUUAACUUAUACCCCUGCGCUACUAUUCAUUUGAGUCGCUGACAUUUCAAAAACUCCCCUGACUUCUAUUCCUUCUUCCCCGAGGUCCCUCCCCCCUUUUGAACAGUACCCGCGAAAGGAAAAAGGGCGGCGCGGCUUACCGGCGGUGAGGGAGGUCCGGUGAAGGGUGGGGUUGGCUUCGAGAGGUCCUUGCGGUCACAACGAGGUAUGGCUCGACGACGGUGAUGGCCGGAAUCGACCGGUCCACAUGCGCAGGCAGGCGAGCUCAUCGGCGGCGGUUGCUCCGGCCUAUCCACAGCGAUACAGGUCAAUCCAAGGGCAUGGGGAGCUUCACGGGGUGCCAAUGAGUCGACCCGUGCAAGGAAUCGAAGAAUAACUCACCGUGGAGCUCGGUCUACGUUCGUCGGCGGUCGGGUGAAGUCCGGUGAACUUAAUCUGGCGUCUUCGGCGAGGCAAAGCUCGAUCCCUCGCUCUGGGGGGCUUCACCGAGGCACGUAGAGUCUCUCUCGAGGGUUGGACGGGGUUGGGAAUGGCUCUACUGGCCGGUCUACGGCGGCGAGUGCUCGGGCGGCCGGUGCCACGUCGUGUACAGGGCAACUCCGGCGAUCUCUUGCUCCGGUGAGGUCGAGAGCACGCGGGGGCAUACGACUGAAGCCCUGGCUGGCUUUAUAGGCGCGGGCGCGGGCAGGGGACACGGGCGUGGCUUGGCGCGGCGCGGGGCGCGCGGGGUCGGGUGCUGGGCGUGCUCUGGCGCGUUCAGGGCGCGUCGAACACGUGGAGGUGUUCUUCUGCCCAUGUUCAAAAGCUUGCCGAGAUCGCAAACGUGCGAAUCUUGGCAAAAAUCCGGUGCAGGCCUCCUCCUGGCACCUAGGUCUGUCUCUUGUAUGUGAGUUCCAAUGGCAGAUAUGCCCUAGGUAGGGAGAUUUGCGGAUGCCAAAUCUGGCUUGUCUCCCAGUCCACUCCGCGACAAAAGUGAUGCCAAAUCAAGUCAAACGAAUUUGGCUCGUGUUCAAAUUUUUCCAGUGGGUCUCUUAGGUGGUUUGGCACCUUUUUGGUAUUUAGACCAAGUGGUUUUGGCGUCAUUUACUAAGUGAACACAUCUUAUCUUUAGAUUAGGGUUAAAUUUUGACUUAGAGAAGAUUAGAGAGCUCUAGUGUGCUCUCUACUUAAGGAGUGGAUUUGGGGUCUUUAAGGGGUCUUUUUGUAAUGUUUCCCCUCUGCAUUUUGUAGGUUAUAAUGUUACUUAAACUUUGGUUAAGGAUUAAAAUCAAGAUUUGGCAACUUGAUUAACUUAUCCACUGAUCCCUUGCUUGGAAGUUUAGUGCCCUUAGGGGUCUUAGGGUUUUAACCUACUUGGCUCAAGAUGACAAUUGUUCAAAAUGUUUGGGUAAAGCUUUUGUCAUUAUCAUUUCUUAGCUAACCCAUGUUUUCAAGGUUUUAGGUGCUCCUUCUCCUCUAAUUAACCACAUGUGAUAACAAGUCAUCAGUGCCUAUAUGAAGCUGGUGCCUGGGUAACACUUGAGGUGUUACAUCUGGAUCCGUUACAAAUCGUUUCCCGAGCUAAUUCCGUGGCUUUAGAUAACAAAUCUUGCAAAAAAACUCGAAACCCUAACUGAUUCUGCGCACGUGCGGACCGUCCGCGCCACUAUCGUGGACCGUUCGAACCGCGGACCGUCUGGCCCCACAGCUCUUUUGUGUGCUCAACAGAUAGAUUAUAUAAUGUUAUAGAUUAUAGAUUCACUCUAUUCUAUAGCGCAAAAUAGUGUCACGACGAUAUGCAGUUAAGCAUGUACGAGCCGCGCAAAGCCGAUUUGAGCUUCCUUGAACGCAAGCCUGUUCCAUGCAUCCGCCCAAAUUCUGUCUGGCCCGUUCACCAUUUCUCGUUCAGAGUUGAGACAUCAGAGAAGGGCCACAGCACAGAGAGAGUCAGUCUAAAAAAGGCAUAGAGAGCCUCCCUGCCAGUGCCGGACUGCCAGUGUACUGUGACUGCGAGGGAUCACCUCCGACUCCGACUCAGAUCCAACCCCGACCGAUGCGAGCGCCGGCGAUGCACCGCUGGGCCGCGGCGGCGCUCGCAGCGUUCCUCGUUGCCUUGCCGGCUGCCGCCUUCUACCUCCCUGGCGUGGCGCCCAAUGACUUCCACAAAGUCAGUUCCCUUCACUCAUUCCCAUCUUCCUCGUAACGUAAUGGUUCUCCCCACCCUUUCUCGUUGGAUCUCGACGGCCAGAUCCAUAGUUUGGUGUCUAUCGAGUUGGAUGCGAGCGGUGGUGUUUGGGAUCUCAGGGUUCUGCAGCUCUCGCUCGCUCCCUUACUCUUCUCUUACUAGUCUUGUGUCGUUUCGGGUGGCACACGCUGUUCACUCACCUAACAUGAUAAUACGUUGGCGCUUCUGUGCGCACUGGUGUAAUCUGACGAAUUGCGUGCCUGUCGUUUCAUUUCUGCACGGUGCUGCUUAGUGCUAAUGACGUACCACCACUUCAGUUGCUCCCUGACAUUUGAUCGGGGUGCACAUGGAAUUCUUCACCACUGGCAUUCACUUUUGGCUAGGUCCCUUGCUUCAAAUCUCAAUGACGAGGCAACAACUUUUCCCCCUAUAAAUAACUGAAAACUAUAGUUGAUCUAGUGUCUGUAUUCGUGUACUUGAAACUUUAAAUAAGAAAAUUGUGCGGUGAGUAUGCCAGAGUCUGUGCCCAGAUGUGUUUAAAAUCUGCAGAUCACACAACAGUCUGCACCCAGAUACACUCAAAUCUGUACUCACUCGUAUUCAAGAUAUGCAGUUUUUCAAAUUUUUGUACAUACAGUAAAUGCUCCACUUGAUCUCAGAAGGUGAAUUUCAUAUGUUUCAUUGUAUACAUGAUACUUAUAGUUCGAACUUGGCAGCUGCAGGUGAUGUUUUCUUUAACAAUAAGCCAUUGUAUACCAAACCAUUUUUUUCACUUCUGUUUCCAUUGUUCCUUGUUGCCUGGUGUAACAUGUGGAUCUACACUUGUGUGUUACCGUCAUGGCGACAACUAAUAUGCAACCAGGCAUUAUGUGCAAGCGUGCAAGUGAGCAUUCUGUUUCGUUAGAUCAUGAUCCAACUGUAGAUAUAAAUGUGGUUUGUUAGAGGUUUUUUUAUAAAUCUACGUGAGCUGGUGGUGGAAGAGUUAGUGUUAAAUGUAACAUAUGGUUGAGUCGUGAUCUAACGGACCAGAAUGCUCACUUGCACAUAAGGCCUGAUUGCACAAUAGUCAUUGCCGUACAGUCAUAUGUUUCUCAUGCAUCAUGCUAAUUAAUUCACUUCUGCUUCUGAUGAUGAAUUGAUGACAACCCAUUAUUUUAAUAUCCUUAAGUAUGUAUGUGUGCUAGUAGUUAUGUUUAGAGAAACAAAUGUAAAAUGGUGUGUGUGUUUCAAUCUUUUGAGCUAUGGGGAAAAUGAUUUAUCCUUCUUAUGAUGUUUUGCAUUUCCUUCUUAACUUGUAGCCUUUUAUUUACUGAAAUAUGUUUUGCAUGUUCUCUAACUGGUUCAUAGAUAAUUUUCUGCAGAAAGAUCCACUUUUGGUGAAGGUGAAUAAGCUGACAUCAACAAAGACACAACUUCCCUACUCGUAUUACUCUCUUCCUUUUUGCAAGCCAAACAUGAUAGUUGACAGUGCAGAGAAUCUUGGAGAAGUUCUGCGUGGUGAUCGCAUUGAGAACUCUCCUUAUGUGGUCAGUACUAGAUUACUGCUAGUCACAUAUUCACCUUUGUAAUUUGUAAUGUAUUAAAUCACUGAGCUGUUAUCUACUUUGUUGUUUCUCGUUUGUGCUAUAGUUUGAGAUGGGGGAGCCCAAGAUGUGCCAGAUUAUUUGCAAAACAAAAAUUGAUGAUAAACAAACAAAGGAGCUCAAGGAAAAGAUAGAGGAUGAGUAUCGGGUGAACAUGUAAGGAUUUUAUACGUGGCACUGUAAUUUUGAUUGCAUGAAAAAGGCUGUAGUUACAUGAUGAAUUUUCUUCACAGGAUUCUUGACAACCUCCCACUAGUUGUUUCUAUUGCAAGGCAGGAUAGGGGUGCUACUGUUUACCAGGCUGGGUGUCAAGGGCCAAUAUGCUGGUGUAAGUUCGUGUGCUCAGCUGGUGUUUUACUUUUAACAGUGUGUAGGUCUCCUUUUUUUUUCUCUUGAGAGGGUGUAGCUAUCUUAUUAUAAAAUAUAUAUGUUACAGAACAAGGAUGAGAAAUCCUUUAUCCACAACCACUUGACAUUUUUAGUGAAAUACCACAAGGAUGAAACUACAGAUCUCUCUAGAAUUGUUGGAUUUGAGGUCAAGCCAUUCAGGUUUGUUUUAGUUAUGUUUGCCAUAUUUAUUGGUAUGAUGUCUUUUACACGCUGACACUAUCUUGUUCACUCACUUAUACACCUUCGUUAAAUUUCUUGUGCCAGUAUCAACCACCAGUUUGAAGGGCCGUGGAAUGAUAAAACCACUCGUUUAAUCACAUGUGACCCUCAUGCCAGCAAGCUUGUGGUAAACUCAGAUACUCCUCAGGAGGUUGAAGCUGGAAAGGAAAUCAUAUUUACCUAUGAUGUGGGCUUCGAGGUGAUAUUUCUCACAUCUGCUUCUCUUUUUGUGCUCUAACUCCUGUCCUUAAUACUCCCUCUGAUUCUUAAUGUAGGCCCUUUAGGAGACUGACAUGGCCUUAAAUAGGGGUGAAAACGGGUAGGGUACCCGAAACGGGUACCGGAUACGGGUACUGAUUCGGGACCAUUUUUCGGAUACGGAUACGGGUAUUUUUAUAUUCGGGACGGAUACGGGUAAUACCCGGAUAGUACAGCUUCGGAUUCGGGUCGGAUACGGAGCGAGUACUACCCGGUAAAUACCCGGAUAUUCGGGUCGGAUACGGGUACCCGGAAUUCGGGUACCCGUUUUUUCUUUUUCUGCAUAAUAAUAUAGUUAUAAAAUCAUAACUUUUACAUAUGAAAUCGGAUGAAGAUAAAUUUUAUAUGAAAAUUGUAGAGCUCGAAGAGAUCUAUAACUUUGUAGUACAACACAUUUUUGUUUAAACAUAUCUUUAGGCCAAAAUCAUUGAAAUAAUGUUUAAAUUUAUAUCAAAAUAAUAAACUUUAUCAUUUUCAUGUGGGGACUUAAGAUUCUAUCCAUGUGGGAACUUAGGAUUAUCUUUUUAUAAACUAUUUAUUAAUAUUGGUAACUUAUUUGCAAUUUCCGGUCGACGCUACAAUAUUUUUAUGAAUUUAAUUAUAUUUUAAUGAUUUUCUACAACAAGAAAUUAAUAAUACACCAAAUAGUCUAAAAAAUUCAUGAAUUUUUACGGGGACACAACAUAUAUCCACAUAUAGUUCUCAAAAACAUUUGGACUAUAAAAUCCACAAGAUGUUGGUGUUUCUUCCAUUCCGCUCCCAUUUAUUGCGUGAGUUACACGUGAAAUCAUUUUAUGUAUCGAAGUUUCAACAUAAUUAAUAUUUCACUUAUCAUUUUCACGCCGCGACUUGCACAACAGCACUAUGCACCAUUUUCGGCGGCCAAGCUUAUUUUCGGCGGCCAGGGCUUGGCCGCCGAAAAUAAGGACCUGGCCGCCGAAAAUAAAGGCUUAUUUUCGGCUGAUUUUUUUUGGCGGCCAGAAACCACCGAAAAUAAGCCUAAAACCGCCGAAAAUAGCUUAUUUUCGGCGGCAAAGGCCUUAUUUUCGGCGGCUUCUGGCCGCCGAAAAUGACUGUGUCUCUUGUAGUGUUGAGGUUUUAUUUGAAUAGAAUGUUUAUUUGUUUUGGUAAGCUUUUUGCAAUUUUGGAUCAAAACUAGUGUAUUUAUGAAUUUUAAUUAUAUUUUGAUGAUUUUAUGUAGAAAGAAAUUAAUAAUGUAUAGAUAGCCUCAUGAAUCUAUGAAAUUAUACGAAGGUACAACAUAUGGCCACAUAUAGUCAUAAAAAAUAAUGGGACCAUAAAAUCCACAUGAUGUCAACGUUUCUUCUAUUUUAUUUCCACUUAUUGUGUGAGUUACACGUGAAAUCACUCUAAGUAUCCAAGUUUCAACAUAAUCAAUACUUCACUUUACCAUUUUUAUGUGGAAACUUGAGAUUAUCUUCUAUUAAAUGUUUAUUAGUAUUAAUUUACUUGCAAUUUCGUGGUCGAACAAGAAUAUUUUUUAUAACCAAUUAAUGUAUUAUCCGACAAGUAUCCGAUAUCCGAUCAAAUAAUAUCCGUAUCCGUCACUUAUCCGCCCGGAUAAAUAUCCGGUCCCUGUAUCCGUAUCCGUCCCGUUUCUAACUAUCCGUAUCCGAUCCCGAAUCCGUUUUAAAUACAUUAGGGUAGGAUACAGGAUGAGCUAAUAUCCGUCCGUAUCCGCUCGUUUUCACCCCUAGCCUUAAAUGUGACACUUUGACUUGCAAUUUUUGCAGAAGUAUAUUAUGUUUUCUAUAUGUAUUAUGAAAGUAUUUUCCAUCAUGAAUCUACUACAUGAACUGUGUUGUCAAGUUACUUAAUCAUACAUUUUAAAUUUUGAGAUUGUUUUAAUGUUUACUGAUUUGCUUGGUAUUUCUUUGCAGGAGAGUGAUGUCAAGUGGGCUUCUCGCUGGGACACAUACCUGUUAAUGACAGAUGAUCAAAUUCACUGGUUUUCUAUUGUGAACUCUCUCAUGAUCGUACUCUUCUUAUCUGGGAUGGUGGCCAUGAUUAUGCUCCGCACCCUGUAUAGAGAUAUCUCUAGAUACAAUCAGCUUGAAACUGAAGAAGAAGCCCAAGAGGAGACAGGGUGGAAGCUUGUUCAUGGAGAUGUAUUCCGACCUCCUGCAAACUCUGAUUUACUCUGUGUCUGUGUUGGGACUGGUGUUCAGUUCUUUGGUAUGCUGCUAGUAACCAUGAUUUUUGCUGUUUUGGGUUUUCUUUCGCCAUCAAACCGGGGAGGACUGAUGACUGCCAUGCUGCUCACUUGGGUCUUGAUGGGGUUGUUCGCUGGCUAUGCUUCUUCACGCCUAUAUAAGAUGUUCAAAGGAUCAGAAUGGAAGAGCAUCACCCUAAGGACCGCUUUCCUGUUUCCCGGGAUUGCUUUCGGUAUUUUCUUCAUUCUGAAUGCUCUUAUAUGGGGGGAGAAGUCGUCUGGUGCUGUUCCUUUCACCACAAUGUUUGCCUUGGUCCUCCUUUGGUUUGGUAUCUCGGUUCCUCUUGUAUUUGUUGGGAGCUAUCUGGGUUUCAAGCAACCUGCCAUCGAGGCUCCGGUGAAGACAAACAAGAUCCCCAGACAGGUCCCCGAGCAGGCUUGGUACAUGAACCCUGCCUUCACCAUUCUUAUUGGUGGUAUUCUUCCGUUCGGAGCAGUUUUCAUUGAGCUCUUCUUCAUCCUGACAUCAAUCUGGCUUCACCAGUUCUACUACAUCUUUGGCUUUCUCUUCCUGGUGUUCAUUAUCCUCAUCAUCACCUGUGCGGAGAUCACGAUCGUGCUGUGCUAUUUCCAACUGUGCAGCGAGGACUACAUGUGGUGGUGGAGGUCCUAUCUCACAUCAGGAUCAUCUGCAAUCUACCUCUUCCUGUAUGCGGGGUUCUACUUCUUCACUAAGCUGCAGAUCACCAAGGUGGUGUCGGGGAUACUAUACUUUGGUUACAUGCUUCUUGCCUCGUUUGCCUUCUGUGUGCUCACCGGUACGAUCGGCUUUUGCGCUUGCUUCUGGUUCACAAGAUUGAUUUAUUCGUCUGUGAAGAUCGACUAGGCAAGUUGCACGACCUUGCAGAGUAUGCUGAUCUGAAGCGGCCUCCAUUUUCCACUGUUUUUUUUUCCUGAUUUUUCAGGAAGCUGUACUUUAGCUUGUGAACCAUUUAUGCCCACUAUGGUUCAGACUUGAGUUGUAUAAGGAUAGGACACUACUGUCAGCUUCAUAUGGGGUUAAUUUUCCUUGUCUUUGAGAACUGCUGUAUACGUUCAAUCCAUGGCUCAUUACCGUCUGCCACCCAAUUUCUACCUCUGCUGCAUGUUGAUGUUGCUGCAUGGUGAUGUUGAUACGUGCUUUGGUUUCAUCAAGAAUUGCUUGCAUUCACUUGUGCAUAUUGAGGAAUGUUUGCUUCAUCUCCACAGAAUAUUCGCGCUGCAUGGCAGGAGGCAGGCCUCCGGGAGAGCUUCGGUGUGCUGUGUUGCCACCUCAGAUGGCCUAUGAGGUCGACGACACCUCCGGUCCGGACACAGUCGGCAUCAGCCUCUCUCCGGCGGCGCUCACCGUCACUCCCCCACCAUGCGAAUACCGUGGACUAGCGGGAUUUAUUUAUGCAAAACAAUCGUGUUGUGAUUAAUGAUCGCUAUCCAUUUACUUAUUUCGUAUGAAUGAUACGUAUUUUUGAUAGACUUUUUGGAUCUACCAAUAACCCUAACCACUAGAUCAAAUGCAUAAAGCCUUGUUCGUUUCUGUCGGAUUGGUGGGUCGGAACGAUUCCUAACCGGAUUGUUUCUCUAAUUUAUAUAAACUUUGGUUAGCUGGAACAAUUCCGGGUGUAAUCCGAUAGAAACGAACAAGGCCUAAAACAGAUCGUACCUUUGUUUAGAUCUGAUUAUGUCGCGUUCUUCACUAGGGCAGGGCAGCGGCGGUGGUAGGGGAAGCGAGAUCGAUGUCGCUGGUGGACUUUCUGUUAGCCUCCCCUUGAGAUCGGUCUAGGGUUGAGGUGGGAAAUUGAGACAGUAGAACCUCUUACUAGGCCAUCAACUCCCACCUCUCUAUUUAUAGACUGCACAAUAGAAGCUCACCAAUCUCGUCUUAUGCUAGACACUCCCGAUUAGGAUGCGAGGUCAAGAGUAAGCCAUUGGGCUAACUGAUGGAGAUCAAUUCUAAUAUUCUCUCCCUUGAUCUUAUCUUGUACUUUCAAUUUUAUACCUUUUAAUUCUUUUCGUAUUCCAUCAUAGAUUAGUGCAUAGAACAUACUUCGUCGUCACGGUCAAUCGCUGAUAGACUUAUCAGCUACAAUACACGUCUCUGUUAUGAAAUAGAUCGUUUAACUUUAGGCCCUUUUAUUGUCCGGAAAACAUACUCUAUAUCAUAAACUCGUGUCGACUGUGUGUUUUCUGGUGGUGAGGCUUUAGUAAGCGGAUCCGCAAGCACUUGUCUGUUACUUAUAUGUUCAAUACUUUUGAUAUUAUUCCGGGCUUUCUCCUUUAUAACGUAUAACUUUGUGUCAACAUGUUUGACAGCACACUUGACCCGUUUUAUAUGAGUGAACUAUUUGAAUGCUUAUUGGUGUUGUCAACCAUUAUCAAUUCUGGGUACAAUUUUCCUUAACCAUUUUACCUGUCCCUUAGCCUCAUAUCAUGCUAUAUCAUGUCUUUGCAUCACAUUGAUGAUAAAUGCUUGUUUGGAGUUUUCUACACAAAAACUCCAAGUGUGAAUGUUAGCGACAAUUGUGGAUUUUGUGACGAAUUUCAGAGGGUUCUAUCUUUGUACUCACAAUCUUUGAGAGCACUAGUUCCUUUUUUUUCAUCAUGAUACCAACAUUCGUAACUCCAUUCCAGUGACCUAUAUCUGGACUGGACAUUGUCAAAACAACCCAGAUAUGUGAACAACGUCAGGUAACACCAUACUUGUGCAUUCAUUGAGCUUCCAACAGUUGAUGCAUAUGGUAUGUAAUACCCAAAAGUGUAAACAAUGAAAAUAGAGAUGAAUCUCUUUAUGUGUGUGGCUUCCACUCAUUUGAACAUGUGAACAAACACAUUUUUAAGUGAGUAAUUAAUUAAUGAGCUAUAAAACAAAUCAUGCAUCAUAUUGGAGUUCCCUUGUGUGUGCAUUUGGUAACAAUAAAUAAUGUUAAUAGAAAAAAUAUAUUAGUAACCCAAUUUGGAAGUAAACAUCUAAUUGGAAAUUCUAGAAUUUGAGAAAAGAGAAGCACUAGUCAUCACAAAAUAAAAUUCAAAAAUAAGUAAAUUCAUCUUGUACCAUGUUUAAGUGGGACAUUUAAUGUGAAGACAAAUUACCACGAAGUUUGAAUUUAAAUGGGAAUUUGAAUUUUGAAUUUUUAAAUAGAAAGAAAAGAAAACAAAAAAAAGAAAAGAAUAAAGAAAGAAAAGGGAAAACCGCGAAUGGGCCUAAUUCUUAGCGCUCGACCCAUUUCCACUCCCUCCCCUCGCUGUGCAGUCCGGUUUCUUGUGUACUGCGCAGAUCGGUGGGCCCGUGGUGGCAGUGUCGCGACGCUCGCGCCGCUGUUCUCACUAGACAUGGUCGUGUGGGCCCCAAUUUCAGGUUCUCUCCCUCUCUCUCGAUGCCAUGGCCGCGGGCGUGCGCAACCACUCGUGCGGGUAAAGCGGCGCCGUUGCCCCAGACCCGGAUGUAACACCCUGAAUUUAGGGUAUAAAACUUCUUUCUAAUUAUCACCAAAUUCAGGUGUUACUCUUCUCUAUCUAGUUUCUUUCUAUCUCUAGAUCCUCUCUCUCUCUUUUUCCCUUUUGAGUAGAGUUAGCUUAAUUAGGAGAGAUUAAUUAUUUAUUUUUUUGCCAAAACAUUGUGAGUCAUGACAUGUUGCAUCAUGCUGAGCUUAAAUAUUCUUUGAAUUGUUGCACAUGUUUGAGAUAGUUUGAAUUUGAAACUUGAUUUGAAUUUGAAUUAAAAACCCUAGAGAAAAAGAAAUGGAAAAUCAAAUAGAAAUUCUAGGAAAAACGAAAAAGCCAAAGCUGUGGCAGAACCUCCCAAGUUAUUGGGCCCACAUGCACCUGCCCUUAUCUAAAAGACCUCAGAUGGCUAUGCAUGUGCACCAGAUAACUUAACAUGAUUUGUCCGAGUGUCCCAAGGACCUCGGAUAAACCACUUACAUCCAGGACCGCAGGAUUAAGUAAACACAAAUCACACACCAACAAUUUGCAGCGGAAAUAUUAUUACCAAAUUUUACAAGUUACAUCCAGUUUACAUUGUACAUGAUCGGAGUGAUUACAAAAGUGAUUCAAAGCAAUAACUUUGAACUGUUAUAAAUUAUUUAUAGUUUUGAAAUAUAUGCUAGCUUAAGUGACCAUCCUCAAUAAGAAGUAUAGAAGAGUUACUUAGACUUAUAAGAAGGUCGUGCCCACCGGCGCUUAACACCAAUCACAAUCAAAGUGACUCGUAACCUGCAGCAACAAUGGGAAUAAAACCCUAAGUACGCAAGUACUCAGCAAGACACUUACCCGACUAAAGAAAAGACUCUCAAGGGUAUGCUGGUUUUAGAAGGAUUCAAGGUAUGGCUUAUCAAGAAUCAAAGACUCUAUUUGCAGAAAAACUUACUAUGAGUGGAUCCUUAAAAAUUCAUUUUUACUUGUCAGGUAAGUAAAGUUACCGGCAUCUAGAGUUCUUUCUACCCUAGUUCAAUCACUUGGCCUAUACUAGCCGUCUUUUUAUCUUCCCAUCAGUUCACUGGAUUGCUACGUGUAAGUCAGUGACCAAGUCCUCAUAUCCGAGAAGUAACGGCGAUCCAAAUCGAUUAAUACCCAGCUGGGGAUCUCUAAUCACACGACAUAUGUAGCACUUAACCCUUGCAUAUGUCAACUCGUCACCGGGUUUCUUAAGACCGGACCGGGUUCACGCCAACCGAGAGCACAGAUACACCACCGUCUAGCCUCAUGCCACGGAGGGUACACGCUACUCUUGCCAUCUCUCCACUCCCAUUGCGGGUUGGCCUUUCUGAUAUUAGUCUACCCGAGGCAAAGCUUACCCAUGAUGAGGCAUGUGACCAGUUAAAAGGUCCUCGAUCAUCAGGCCUACAUCGGCACGGUCCUUAAUCGACUCAGACGGAGACACUACACUGAGACUCCCUUCUCGUGCAAGUCAACCGCCCGGUCUCAGCUUUAUUAUUUUCAACCCAAAGUUUGGUACCUGACAGAGGUACAUCUUUUCCGAUGUUGAACCCAUCACGGCCAUGAUGGAUCCACCAUCAACUUUUAUUUUUGAAAACAUUCCCAUCCACUGUGAAGCAUCACUUUUUGUUUAAAAAAAUAUUUUGUUUUUCUAAAGCAAGGCUAAGCAUCAUAAAAAUCCUUUUCAUAAAAGGGUAUCAAGGAAGGGUAAUCAAUUUUCUAUGGAAGGAAAUGCAUCAAUUGUUUAGCACACAACUCAUAUCACCUAAUGCAUCAAACAAAGUGAUAAAAGAUUUUAAAACAGCAAGGAGGUGGCAAAUGCACCGGGGCUUGCCUGGAUAACACUAGGUUUGUGUUUGUUAGACGUCGAUCACUUGGCGACUAGUUUUUUGUGUUGGCACUCGUUCAGAUUAUCCAUCUUCAGGUUCGUCCAUCAGCUUCACUAUGCGGAGUAGUCCACUAGUUACGUCAUCUUGGGGUCGACUCAGUUCUUGUCUUCCGCAUCACGUGAUCAACUACCGUACCUAAUGAGAUGCAUGAUGCACAUGUAUGAAUGUACAUAGGAAUAGCAUAAGACAAAUAAUCUACACCAAAGAGGAUGAAAGACUUAUAAUAAAGCAUUAAGCAAAUACUAGCUAACGGUAUAGGACUAAUUAUAAUAAUUACGCUAUUCCAGUCUAGUCGGAGGUAGCUCAUACAUCAAGAAACCCUAAACCUUGUACGAGUCCUAUAUUUUCCUUAGAUAGCGCAUAACACCGAAAGACUAACAAUAUUCAAACUCCUAUUAUUGGACACCCUGAGUUAUAGUACAUGCAGGAAUAAUUUAACUAACCUUUUAAAUCAGGUUUUUAGAUUAAUUUGAAUUACAUACUAAUUAAAUAGGACAUUACACUAUUCGCUCUAACGGAUAAAACAUUAUCAAAUAAUAUAGCGUUUGAUAAAACUACAUUCUCAACAACUUAAAUAUCGAGAGUACUUAUGUACACUGGCCAUUAUGAAAUUCUCGGAUUUUACUUAAGAUCUACUUCAAGCAUCGACGAAAUAAAUCCAAAGCAAUUUAAUCAACAUCUAUCUGCCAGACCUUAGAAACACUAGUCCUAUAAUUUUUUAUUAUUAAUUUGGUCACAUAAUUUAGAUGUGUCUACCCUUACCUUUCAUAUGAAUCACAUCUAAAAUCUUGAUUUCAACACACAUAUGCUAAAUCAAGAAAAUCACCACAUUCAACAAUUUAGCUAGCAGGAAUAAUAGAUCAUCUUACCAUGACCGAUCUGACACGAUAGUCGGAAGAACGACAAUGGUUUUCGCUUGACGUCUUUGACCGCACACACCUGACGAGCGAUGCACAUAAUCUCGUUUUUUACUAGAUACUCAGGGGAUGCAUUUUGUCGAGCUGGUGGUGCGUGGCCAGCACAAGAGCAUCUUCACGGUUUGAUGACGACAUAAUGGAAACAGAUUGGUUUAACGCGAUGAGCAGAAGCACUCGUGACGUAAAGAAGUCCCCACGAUAACGUCGUGGAAGCAGCUACAAGGUGUGGCAACGGGCUACACGGACUUGGCGUACACACGUUGCUGGGGAAUAGCGCAUGAUGCGACGGGGAGGUGAGAUGUCUAGGAGAGCUCACAGCGACAGUUGGCUAGAGAAUAAUGUCCCGGCGAGCAUGACCAGGGAGGUGAGCAAGGGGCAGAGGGCACCGAUGUCCCUCGACCAGAGACCGAGGCACAUAGCACGAUGGACGAACUUAGUCGCGGCGAGGUCGGCCGACGAGGCAAAACAAGGAACACGACGGUCAGUCGGUGAGCUGAAGAUUGGGAGCGACAGCCGGUGAGGAGCUUAGCUCUAGAGAGCUGCGCGAGAGGAGCUAAAAAUUAAUUCGCCAGUGGUUAAGCGGCAAACGAUGGCCGGGUCCGAGGGCCAGCGAUGCGGCCAGGGGCGCGCGCACGGGAGAUAGGAGCUCGGUAGCUUGCGGCUAGCAGGGAGGAGCUCGCAGGAAAGGGGCUUCGGCUGGGCGCGGCUGCCAGGACAAGCGCAGCAGGGAGCCGGGACGAGACCGCGGCCGAGCAAGCUCUGGCCGACAUGGGCGCGAUGGCCAGGGAGCUCGGCACAGUGCCGGAGCCGGAGGCCGAGCGGGGAGAGAGCGCCAUGGGAGAUAGCAGGGAGAGCGCGCGACGCAGAGGCGAGCAGGGCACGAACUGGGCAGAGUCAAGCCAGGGAGCUUCGGAUGGGGUCUUGGCGAGAGAGCUCGGCCGGCUGGCAGAAGCUGGGAAGCCGCGACGCCGGAGGAGCAGGGGAUAUGGGCGCGCGCGCACAGAGCACAUGGAGAUGGGCGCCGAGCAGGAACGCGGCAGGGAGGAGCUGGGGGGAGAGCUCCGCGCGUGGAGAGCAGAGAGGACGACUGCGGCGCUGGAAGUUGGGCGCAAACCAAGCUCGGCGAGCAGGGAAGACGCACGGCUAGGGAGGGGAAGCAGGGGCGCGGCCAGGCGAGCCAGGGAGCUCGACGGUGGCCGGGCAGAGGGUCUUGCGGCAGCACGCGCAGGGAGCUCGGCAGGAAGAUGGCAAAAAAAUCCCAGUUGUGGCUGAAGGAUAGAGACGAGAGAGCAGUGGCGGCUGAAGGAUAGAGACGAGAGAGCAGUGGCGGCUGAAGAAAAAUCAGAGGGAUAGAGAGACGUGCGUGAGGGAGAUAAAGAUCAACGGCUGAAAAGAUCAGAUGGAGAGAGGCAGCUGCUGGAGAUCUUUUUCAUUUUUAUAGUUUCCUUUUUUUUACAGAGAAUCGCAGAUAUUUUGAAUCACGAUUUUUUAGCAAUGUAUACUGGGUCGACACGUUACACGAAUACACAUUUCAUUUUCCGGAUUUAGCGAACCAAAUUAUGUACCAAUUGCUUAUAUCCGAAGAUUUGGAUCCGAGCGAGAAACGACAGCUCAAAUAAAACCGAUUUCGACUUCGAUAAUCUGCUCUGCGUGAUUCGACCGAAAUUAGCCGAAACCAGAUCUGCUAAUGUACACUCAAUUUCAUUGCCCAAAAUAACGUGCCGAAGAAACAAUCUGAAUUAUUAACCUUGCGCACAAUUUCUUGGAUAAAACACGCAGUCAAAAUUAUCAGAUCAGGCGCUUUCCAGAUUGCAUUUACUUAACCGAGCAAUUUUAAACAAGCGUAGAACUUGUCAUCAUGCGCGAUGAUUGCAUUCCAGGCUAAAUGAGAUUUUUUGAAUAAUCUCGGAAUAAAUGAGAUUUUUUGAAUAAUCUCGGAAAUCAGGAAUAGACAUACUAUCGAAAUCAUUAUGCACCCCGGCCUUUCUUACUUACGUCCAUAAUUGCUGUUACGCACCUGGGGUGUUACAAAAGCAGCCUAGCUGGCCCAGCUCGGCCCAGCCAGGCCAUGCGCCCGCGCCGCCUGACAGGUGGGUUCCACUUGUCAGCGGCGGUUGCCUUCCCCGCACGCUCUCUCUCCCUCUCUCUGCCCAGUGGGGCCGGGCUGUCGGCGCCAGUUGCCUUCGCCCGCGCGCCCCUCUCCCCCUCUGCCUCGCGGGUCCGCAUCGUCAGUGCGCCAAACCGUUACCCCCGCGUGCCCGCUCUCUCUCUCGCUGCGCCGUGGGACCACCCUGUCAACUCCGCCUUCCCCGCACCCACCGUGGACUAGCACGGGCGCACUCGCGCACGCACACCGAGAUCCCCGGCCACGUCGCCCGCCCACGCACCCUAGCUCCAUUGUGAGCACCGCCCGCGCCCGCCCUCGCUCCCCCGUCCCAUUUCGCACAGCCUUGCCCUCUCUCACGCUCUGUCCACGGCGUUGGACCUCGCCGAAGACCCGCACUCGCCGUGCCAGUCGUCCAGUCCGCCGGAAGCCGCGUCAAGCCACCCCGAGCUCCACCCCAAGGUGAGACACCCUCUCCCAUGCUCGGUUUUCCCAAUUGUGCUACGUUGUUGGUCAAUUUUGGCUUCUCCGGAAGUCGGUCGUGGCGGUCUGCCGCACCCGCGCGGUGGCCGGCCAAAUUGGCCCAAUCCAGUGCCCCCCGCGCCGGCCCCUGGCGUUCCCCUCGCCCUACUGAAGAUAGUCCAGGCCUUAGCGCGCCUCAGACCCCUCCCUGUGGCCGAAAUCCCUCACCGGAGUUACCCCGACCCACCCGGAGUCCUCCCUCAGCCGUUCUCUCCUCUCUGACCCCGGUCUCGCGACCACAACCCUACCAGUGAGUUCACCGUGCCUUCCCCUUCGUUUUUGGCCAGCUCCGGCGACCCCAGAGCCACCAUAGUUCGCACCCGCCCCAACUCCGACGACCUCACCGCCACGAGAAGGAGCGGCACCGCCGCAGCUGCUAACCCCUUUUCGGCUUUGAUCUCCCUCGUCCGAUCUCUAUCGCACGGCCUAGAUCACGGGAUAUCGCUUCGUGCCCCGUGUGCCGACCCGCCUGUCAGCACCUGUGCCUCCUGGCGCAGGGCCCAACUGGUUAGUCCACCCCCUUCUCGGUCGCUGACACCGCCGGCCCGCCUGUCAGCGCUCGCUCGCCCCCGCGCGCGCCCUCGCCCGCCGAUCUAAUCUCGGCUGUUGGUUUUAGAUCUGACGGUUGAGUGGAUCCCGUACCCCUUCACGUGGUUAUUUUGCGUAAGAAACCCUCGGUUUGUUGGGAAUCAACCCGCCGUCCCUGGUUUUCGCGCGCAGGACCCUGUAAUCUUGUAGAUUGAACCCUGGGCGUUUAAAUAAUUACAGAAUUAGACCUAUUUUCAUAUUUUAAAUUCCCAAACUUGUUUAUUUCAUAUCUUUUGCAUAUGAACUCCAAAUUUAGUGAUUCAAAUUGCAAAAUAUUCAUAGGAAUAUUCUCUAUUUAAAUAAAUUAGUUCCAUUUACUACCUGCACACUCUAAGUUUUAUGGUUAACUAUGAACUAGUAUAUGUGUAGAUUUAUUCAUUUAAUAAAAUAAAUAAAAGGGAAACCCUAGAGAUUAAAGUAUACUUAAUCUUGUAGAAUUAAUAGUGUGUAGUACAUGAAUUUAUCUUUGGUUUAAUUUUUAUGUCUCAUUGAAAGUAAUUAAAUUAGAUUAUGUAAUCAUGGACAUUACUUAGGGAAUAAUCUAAAUGAGAUUUAGUUCACCCUAUAAUUUGAUUUCCCUCUUGGUUCUAUGCUUUUCUUUUGAGAUGUGUUCCCAUGUUUGUACAUGAUUGAUGUGUUGUUUAUUUGUCAUUUACCAAAUGUAUUGAAUGCAUGAUCGCUUUAUUUAGACAACGAGCAGUCCGUGGUUCCUGAGUGUGUUGCUGAAGAUCUUCCUGAGCAACAACCUGGUGAAGGCAAGUGUCCUCUGACCCAUUAUGUCCUAUUUUACUUUACUAGUCGGUUGCCCGUGCGUUGCGACGGCUUACAACAAUACCCAUGUAAACUAUCCACCAAAAAAAUUUCAAGAUUUUUUAUUGAUUGUUUCCACUCUCCGUAUAAUAUUUUUUUGAUUUGGCUAACUGAUGUUAUUGUUUACUCCAUCCAAUAUGUCUUGGUACAACACGACCAAUGAAGUGAACGAUUAGAAGAGAGUUCACAACGACUGAUUGAACGAACAGAGAUUAUAAAAUGACAUAAUUCCACCAUACAGAGACCAAAUAAGAAAAUGUUUGUGAGCUCAAGUUUCUAAAAUAAGUCACAUGAAAUCAAAUUUAUAAAAAAGAUAGAUCAAAAUAUGAAGUGAUUGCUAAAGUCAACAUCUAUAAAAACUGGAUGCGCUCUAUAAAUUAUGCUACUUCGUAACAAUUACUAACGUUUAAAACCAACAAAUAACCUUUUAUUUUACUGUUAGUGUGACAAAUCACUGUUUCUCCAUCCAAUUCAGCAACCCAAACACCAUGGAGUCCAUUGCGCCAAUGUAGUCUCAGAAACGACCUAAUGCUUGCAAGAGCCAAGAACGUUGUGUCGUGCUUGGGCUGUAGCCUCGGCCCGUAGUGCUGGCCCGACCCGACACGAUUAUAUAUUUUUAUUUUACAAAAAACGUAUAUACAUAUAUACAAUUUAUAUUCAAUAUUAAAAAACAUUUGAGCAUGAUGUUUGUCAGGGACCAUAAUUAGGGGUACCCUCAAGACGCCUAAUUCUCAGCAGGUAACCCCCAUCAGCAUAAAGCUGCAAAGGCCUGAUGGGUACGAUUAAGUCAGGGAUCAGUCCACACGAGUGACUCGAUCACGCUUCGCCCGAGCCUAGCCUCGGCCAAGGGCAGCCGACCUCGAGAGACUUCCGUCUCGCCCGAGGCCCCCCAUUUUACGGCGGACACACCUCCGGCUCGCCCGAGGCCUUGGCUUCGCUUAGAAGCAACCCUGACUAAAUCGCCGCGCCGACUGACCGGGUUGCAGGAGCAUUUAACGCAAAGGUGGCCUGACACCUUUAUCCUGACACGCGCCCCCCGGCAGAGCCGAAGUGACCGCCGUCACUCCACCGCUCCACUGACCAGUCUGACAGAAGGACAGCGCCGCCUGCGCCACUCCGACUGCAGUGCCACUCGACAGAGUGAGUCUGACAGGCAGUCGGGCCCUGCCAAAGGCGCCAUGGGAAACUCCGCUCCGCCCGACCCAAGGGCUCGGACUCGGGCUAAGACCCGGAAGACGGCGAACUCCGCUCCACCCGACCCCAGGGCUCGGACUCGGGCUAAGACCCGGAAGACGGCGAACUCCGCUCCGCCCGACCCCAGGGCUCGGACUCGGGCUAAGACCCGGAAGACGGCGAACUCCGCUCCGCCCGACCCCAGGGCUCGGACUCGGGCUAAGACCCGGAAGACGGCGAACUCCGCUCCGCCCGACCCCAGGGCUCGGACUCGGGCUAAGACCCGGAAGACGGCGAAUCUCCGCCUCGCCCGACCCCAGGGCUCGGACUCCGCCCUGGCCUCGGCCAAACGAUCUCCUCCUCGCCCGACCCGGGGGCUCGGGCUCGGCCUCGGCAACGGAAGACAGACUCGACCUCGGCUUCGGGGGAGCCCCCACGUCGCCCUGCCUAGGGCACAGGCCCGCCACGUCAACAGGAAGCACCAUCACCAACCUACCCCGAGCCGACUUGGGUCACGAAGGACAAGACCGGCGUCCCAUCUGGCCAGCUCCGCUGGAUGGGCAAUGAUGGCGCCCCCAAGCUCUGUGACGACGGCGGCUCUUAGCUCUCUUACGGCAGCAGGGCGACGUCAGCAAGGACUCGACCGCUCCAACAGCUGUCCCUCCGCCAGGCUCCGUCGCUCCUCCGACAGCCACGACAUCACGCCAGCAAGGUGCCAAGACCUCUCCGGCUGCCACAUUGGCAUGUACCCAGGGCGCUAGCUCUCUCUCUCCGCUAGACACGUAGCACUCUGCUACCCCCCAUUGUACACCUGGAUCCUCUCCUUACGACUAUAAAAGGAAGGACCAGGGCCUUCUUAAAAAAGGUUGGCCGCGCGGGGACGAGGACGAGACAGGCGCUCUCUUCGGGCCGCUCGCUUCCCUCACCCGCGUGGACGCUUGUAACUCCCCUACUGCAAGCGCACCCGACCUGGGCGCGGGACGAACACGAAGGCCGCGGGACUUCCACCUCUCUCACGCCCGACUCCGGCCACCUCGCCUCUCCCCCCUUCACGCUCGCCCACGCGCUCGACCCAUCUGGGCUGGGGCACGCAGCACACUCACUCGUCGGCUUAGGGACCCCCCUGUCCCGAAACGCCGACAGUUGGCGCGCCAGGUAGGGGCACGCUGCGUGCUGACGAACAGCUUCCCGUCAAGCUCCAGAUGGGCAGUCUCCAGCAACCUCUCCGGCCCGGGACGGUGCUUCGUUUCGGGACUCUUGAGUUCAUGUCCUUCAACGGCGGCUACGACAUGAUACUUCUUCCACCACCGCGCGACAACGACAAUGGCGGCCGACAACCCGCCCGCCGGCGGCGGAAUCGACGACACCUUCCCCGCGUGGUGGAAGAACAACAUUCGAGCUCGCUCCGUCCUCUCCCCCGUCAACGGAGGAGGAGGCGAGGCAACCAAGGCCAAGCGGGAGGCCGCGCUCCGUCGGCUGUCGAGCGAAUCGACGCCCCCGACGCCCCGACGGAAGGCACGCCGGACGUCGACCUCGCGUUCGAGACGAAGGCAAGCGCCGUCCCCCCGCGACACGCUGAUCCCGAGCAAGAAGACGACGCCAGCGCGCUCGCGGAAAGCCUGCAGGACGUCGCCCUCGUACCUGAGAUGACGGUGCAACCAGUCCCCGAUGUGACUACGUCGCUCCUCGUCGACCAAAAGGUACCGACUAACUCCCAUCUUACGUCAUUUCGACUCGGCCUCAACCCGCCAAACGACCUCGCUUUGGCGGGCGCUCUCAUUGAGGCGAGUGCAACCCCACUAGGGUUUCGUAUGCGGUCACCUUGGGACCGGUUGACGGACGUCUCGACCUACGGGCCCUCUGGGUCUGAGGAAGAUGACGAUCCCAGGAUCUGUUGGGAUUUCUCCGGACUUGGCAACCCCGGUGCCAUGCGGGACUUCAUGACCGCAUGUGACUACUGCCUCUCCGACUGUUCCGACGGAAGCCGCAGCCUUGACAACGAGAGCUGCGGCCCAAGCCGCGAAUGUUUCCACAUCGAGCUAGGGGAUCCCUCCGAAGGCAACCGUCUCGGCAUGCCGGAGGAUGGUGAUCUUCCUAGGCCGGUGCCUCGCGCCGACAUCCCACGGGAGCUAGCUGUGGUCCCCGCUCCGGCGGGGGGUUACGACCCACAACUCGAGCAAGUCCACGAGGUGCAGGCCAGGCUCAACGAGGGAACGGGAGCGCUUGAGCCGAUCCGUCGGGACGUCGGGCAGGUAUGGGCGGGCCAACCCCUGGCCGGAGAAAUACAUCACCUGCCCCAAGGUCUCCAGCACCGCGUCGCCAACGAUGUCAGGGUCAGGCCGCCGCCCGCAUCCAGCGGGGUUGGUCAGAACCUGGCAGCCGCGGCGAUGCUCCUCCGCGCGAUGCCGGAGCCAUCAACCACCGAGGGUCAGCGAAUCCAGGGAGAGCUCAAGAAUCUCCUGGAAGGCGCUGCGGCCCGACGGGCCGAGAGCACUGCCUCCCGAAGGCAGGGACAUCCCUCGGAACCUCAUGCCACGACUUCCCGAUUCAUGCGGGAAGCCUCGGUCUACACCGGGCGCACGCGUAACACCGCGCCUGCGGCCCCGGGCCACCUCGGCAACGAGCACCAUCGACGCGACCGUCGGGCCCACCUCGACGAAAGGGUGCGCCGAGGCUACCACCCCAGGUGUGGGGGGCGCUACGACAGCGGGGAGGAUCGGAGUCCCUCGCCCGAACCACCCGGUCCGCAGGCCUUCAGUCGGGCCAUCCGACGGGCGCCAUUCCCAACCCGGUUCCGACCCCCGACUACUAUCACGAAGUACUCGGGGGAAACGAGACCGGAACUGUGGCUCGCGGACUACCGCCUUGCCUGCCAACUGGGCGGGACGGACGACGACAACCUCAUCAUCCGUAACCUCCCCCUGUUCCUCUCCGACACUGCUCGCGCCUGGUUGGAGCACCUGCCUCCGGGGCAGAUCUCCAACUGGGACGACUUGGUCCAAGCCUUCGCCGGCAAUUUCCAGGGCACAUACGUGCGCCCCGGGAAUUCCUGGGACCUUCGAAGCUGCCGGCAACAGCCGGGGGAGUCGCUCCGGGACUACAUCCGGCGAUUCUCGAAGCAGCGUACCGAGCUGCCCAACAUCACCGACUCGGAUGUCAUCGGCGCGUUCCUCGCCGGCACCACUUGCCGCGACCUGGUGAGCAAGCUGGGUCGCAAGACCCCCACCAGGGCGAGCGAGCUGAUGGACAUCGCCACCAAGUUCGCCUCUGGCCAGGAGGCGGUCGAGGCUAUCUUCCGAAAGGACAAGCAGCCCCAGGGCCGCCCAUUGGAAGAGGCUCCCGAGGCGUCUGCUCCGCGCGGCGCCAAGAAGAAAGGCAAGAAGAAGUCGCAAUCGAAACGCGACGCCGCUGACGCGGACCUUGUCGCCGCCGCCGAGUACAAGAACCCUCGGAAGCCCCCCGGAGGUGCAAACCUCUUCGACAAGAUGCUUAAGGAGCCGUGCCCCUACCAUCAGGGGCCCGUCAAGCACACCCUCGAGGAGUGCAUUACGCUUCGGCGUCACUUCCACAGGGCCGGGCCACCCGCCGAGGGUGGCAGGGCUCGUGACGACGACAAGAACGAAGAUCACCCAGCAGGAGAAUUCCCCGAGGUCCGCGACUUCUUCAUGAUCUGCGGUGGGCAUGCGGCAAACGCCUCGGCUCGGCACCGCAAGCAAGAGCGCCGGGAGGUCUGCUCGGUGAAGGUGGCGGCGCCAGUCUACCUAGACUGGUCCGACAAGCCCAUCACCUUCGACCAGGCCGACCACCCCGACCACGUGCCGAGCCCGGGGAAAUACCCGCUCGUCGUCGACCCCGUCGUCGGCAACGUCAGGCUCACCAAGGUCCUGAUGGAUGGGGGCAGCUGCCUCAACAUCAUCUACACCGAGACCCUCAAGCUCAUGCGCGUCGAUCUGUCCUCCGUCCGAGCAGGCGCUGCGCCCUUCCACGGGAUCAUCCCUGGGAAGCGCGUCCAGCCCCUCGGACGACUCGACCUCCCCGGCUGCUUCGGGACGCCCUCCAACUUCCGAAGGGAGACCCUGACGUUCGAGGUGGUUGGGUUCCGAGGAACCUACCAUGCCGUACUAGGGAGGCCAUGCUACGCGAAGUUCAUGGCCGUCCCCAACUACACCUACCUGAAGCUCAAGAUGCCGGGCCCCAACGGGGUCAUCACCGUCGGCCCCACGUACAAACACGCGUUCGAAUGCGACGUGGAGUGCGUGGAGUACGCCGAGGCCCUCGCCGAGUCCGAGGCCCUCAUCGCCGACCUGGAGAACCUCUCUAAGGAGGUGCCAGACGUGAAGCGUCACGCCGGCAACUUCGAGCCAGCGGAGACGGUUAAGGCCGUCCCACUCGACCCCAGUGGCGACACCACCAGGCAGAUCCGGAUCGGUUCCAGGCUCGACCCCAGAUAGGAAGCAGUGCUCGUCGACUUUCUCCGCGCGAACGCCGACGUCUUUGCGUGGAGUCCCUCGGACAUGCCCGGCAUACCGAGGGAUGUCGCCGAGCACUCGCUGGAUAUCCGGGCCGGAGCCCGAUCCGUCAGGCAGCCUCUGCGCCUCGGUCGUCAAGGAAGGGUCGGCCUCGCCUCGCCAGAGCCCGACCCUCCCUCGGGGGCUAAUAAAGGGGAACCCCUCUGCGUCAAGAUUGGGUGUACUUCUCCGUAUCAAAAAUUUUCAAUCAAAAAAGGGGCCUCUUGCGUUCUCCCAGCUAUGUCAGAAGCAGGGUCUCGAGGAGCGAACGCGGGCACAUGUAAAUGGCAAGACCGACUGAGCCGAGGAACUCCCGUGCCUCCGGGUUAGGGAUACCUCACUCGUCACCUGCCACGAAGAAUAACCCAACUCGAGAAGCCACCCUAUUAUUGACAAGCUAGGACGAACAUGCAGAUGGAAAGAAAGGAGAGUACGACUUCAAGCAAGAAAGACAAAGUGUUCAGGCCUCAGCGGCCAUGGUGAGACGCACAUCCAACAAGAAAUUGUUCAAACAAGAAUUAGGCGCCGCCUUGGGAAGGAGCCGCGCCCUCAGCCCCAUCCCCGCCGUCGGUGGGGUCCAUCUCGGCCUCCGGCGACGGCGCAGGGGGAAGGAUCUCCGCCUCAAAGGUGGUCGCCAGCACCGCGCUCGGACCCGCGGCGACCGCGUCAAGCCGCUGGAUCUCCGCCAGGGCAGCAUCGUCUUCGUCAGGAAGACAGUACCCCUCACUAACCCGCUCCAGGUCCACAACGUAGUGGGAAGCAAGCACGGCGAAGGCCCGCCUGACGCCGUGGUGUAGCGCUUCGCGGACUCUGCCGCGCGCGUGAUCACCCAAGGCUCGAAGGCGGCUCUGAGGGGAGCUUCCUGAAGGGACGUCGCCGGAGCCGAGGACACGAUAAAAGUCCGAGACGGCCUCGGACAUGGCAGCGAGGUCCGCCUCCCUCUGCUCGGCAGCUCCGGCAAGCGCCUCGGCAAGCGCCUUGGCGGACUCGUCAAGGACGGACUCAAGCUCUGCAAGCAACCAGGAGAAAUACCUCAAGCACAAGCGAAGGAAACGGACAAGAACAAGAACCAGGGAGGACCAAGACAUACCUCCGGCUCGGGCACGAUGCUCCGAGGCCGUGACCUGGGCCGCGGCUAGGUCAGCCGCGAGGGUCUCGGCUCGGCUUUCGGCCUCGGCAGCCCGACCCUGAGAUCGGUCCCAUUCCUCGACGACCUGGACGAGCUCCGAUCGCUGCUGUUGCGCCUCCGCACGCGCUGCUGCCGCCUCGGCUCUCAGGUCGGCGCAGAGCAGCUGGAGGUCCGCCACCUUGGCAUCCUGCUGAGAAAGGCGCGCGGUAGCCCCGGCGAGCGAGGACCUCAGGGAUCGCAGCGAGCCCCAGACAUCAACCUCGCGGCGGAUGAACGACGACUUGGCGGCGCUCCGAUCCGUCAGAUCCUGGGGAAAGGAAACAGGGCGUCACGACGAGUGUCUCACUCACAGAAGGAAAAAAGGUAUACCUGAAACCGCUACCUGGAGGAUCUUGGGGAUGUCUCUGCAGAAAACCUCCAGCGAUGACCGGAGCGACCCCACCGUUGCCUCUGCACACUCGCGGAGCUCACCCCAGGACUGGUCCUCCUGCUCGUCAUCGAGAACGAAGACAGGGUCCGAGGCCUCGCGGGUCCGGAAUCGGAGCAACGGGCGCCGGGCCUCGGGGCUCCGCCGCACAGCGAUGAGGCUGUCACCCGGCUGGACGGAUUGCGCGUCCACGCCCACCUCUUCUGAGGUCUUGGGCGCCGAUGCAUCAGCCGUCCCGACGCUGGCGGCAACUGGACGCCCUUCGACAGGGACGGCGGCAACCUCGGCGGUGGCAGGCGCCGGCAUGACCGGCACGACAGGCGACCUCAGGGCCACGUGGGCGUCAGCCGCCUCCUCAACCACGAUAGCCGCCUCGGCUGAAGAGCCAGCCUCGGGAGCCCGCUCCUCAGAGAUUGGCGACGCCCGAGCCCCCUGCGGUGAAGUACCCCGCGGAAGGGUCGGCUGAAUGGCGCUGGCCACACAGUCCGGCGCCGUCUUGAGGGCCUUCCGGGGUGCCAGGUCGGUCUAGCCGUGACUUCGCUUGCUGGAUAUAAAAAAAAGAGAGGAGGAAAGAAAGAUCACGACCGAGACAUAUGAAUGGGAAACCAAGACGGAGACAUUCCGAGAUACUCACCCACUUCGGGCCAUGAUCCACCGCGCCUGGGGGGAGCCUUCCUGGGUCCCGGCUCCCGAAGCAGCCGCCGAGGUCCGCUUCGCCGGCACCUUCGGCACCGCCCCUGCUUGGGGCGCCCGGGAAGCAGAUCCCCUGGGCACGGCCGCGACGACUUGAGGGUCACUCCCAUGCACCGCCGACACGAGCGGCGGCCCCUGGAGAACAGACGCCUCGGCCUGGACCUCCGGAGCUGCCUCAGCUCCUCCGGCUGAGGGGUCAGGUGACCUCUCGGUUCGCCCCCGUGCCUCGGGUCGGGAGCCCGACGCCCCGACUUCGGGGGCUGACGGAGUCAGCCCGCUCGGGGGCUGGCUCGACGGCUCCUGGCCACACCCCAAGCCAGGGCUGAGGCCGAGACGGGCGGCCAUGUCAUCCUCUUCAUCAUCAUCAUCGUCAUCAUCGUCGUCGGGCGUCUCCGGCGACGGCUCCCUCGGGAGUCCGUCCCUCUCCUGCUGGCGACGGCGCUUCUCCAAGGCGUCCUGAGCCCGCCUCCGCUCGUGGGCCCGAGCCUUCUCCGCGUCCUUCUUUUUCUUCUUCUCCUCCGCGGUGACCCACCGCGCUGCACGGGCCACCGCGUCCUCCGGGACCCGUGGCUGGGAGGGUUUGUGCCACCCCACAUCCUGAAGGGAGGGGAGAAAGGAACCCGAUCAUAAGGAUCCGGAGCGACCCGAUAUACGAAGAAGGAAGGAGCGAACACUUACCAAAGUGACACACCCCUGGUCGGGGCGCAUCCGAAGCUGGGAGUAUGCGUGGGGGUCCGGCUUCCCCAUAGCAGCCGACACCCGCCAUUGGAGGGCGUUGAAGGGGAGAGGAUCAGGGGACAUUCGCGAGCCCUCCCAGUCAGCUUCCGGGGUCAUCUCCCAGAGCGACAGCCGCCGCUCCGCCAAUGGAAGCACCCUUCGACGGUGGAUAGCGGCGAUCACUCCCGCAGCGGUAAGUCCCCCCUCCCGCAACUCCUUCAGGGCCUGGAGAAGGGGUUCGAGAUUCUUCUGCCUCUCGUGUGGGGUCCCGUGGCGCCAAGCGUCGGUGGCAGCAGUAACUACUCGCUGGGAGAACGGUGGGAGCAACUCACCGUCAUUCCGGAGGUAGAACCACUGGCGCUGCCACCCCUUGUUCGAAGACGCAAGAAUGGCAGGAAUGUACUGCAACGCCCGCGACUGCCUCAACAAGAGAAUACAGCCGCCGGCCCGCACCGCUGCACGGAUCCUCCUCUCCCCCGUCGACAAGGCGAAAGGCUCGGCGAGGAAGAGAUGGGUCCACAAAUCCCAAUGAGGGGCGAUCCCCAAGUACCCUUCGCAUACCGCUACGAAAAUAGCGGCCUGCGAGAUGGAGUUGGGGGAGAGGUUGUGCAACUCCACCCCGUAGUGGAAUAGGAUGGCCCGCAUAAAGCGGCCCGUCGGCACACCAAAUCCCCGCUCAUGGAAGGAGACAAAGCUCACGACGUACCCCGGCGGUGGAGACGGAGCGGCUCCGCCCACGGGAGGAAUCCACUCUGGCCGCUGCUUGUCGGUGAGGGGGCGGAGCAAACCCUCGCCGACCAGCUCCUCCAGAUCACUUGCCGUCACCGUGGAGAAGGGCCACGGAUCGCGCGGGGGGAUUAUGGUCACUCGAUCUGCCAUCGCCGAAAUGGAAGAGAUGGCGGCGCGGGGGGCUGGGAGGGCGGUUUUUUCUCUUCUCCGACUAAAGUUUCCCGGGUUGCGAAAACCUAAAGGGAAAGAAAGGAAGCAGAGCAAAGAACCGUCACCGGACCCCCUCUCGAGUAUAUGAAGGCCAGGGCGAAACCGUUUCCAGCGCACCGCCCGGACCGGACGCGAGAUUCAAAAAACGUGAGGCGAAACAGCCGUUCCUCGAACGGCUCGCGCACGCGUAACGGCCGCCCCACCGACCACUCGCCCCGUCGCAUUAACUCCGCGGCGGGACAGGCGGUGCCUCUGGCAGGAGAAGCGGACGACGCUUCACCUUCGCCGUAAUAACCGCGUCAAAAAGAGGUACGCCACGUCGUUCGAUUUCACAUCCUUUUCCUUUUUCCUCUUUCUCUAUCUCUUGCAACAGGGACCGGGAAAGGGGGAUACCCCGAAAAGGAUCCUUCUCCGCGAAGGAACCGGGCUCCGAGCCCCUCCCUACUGAUCAGAGGUUCGAAGACUGGCCCUCCGAAGGGUUCAACAGUCGCCUCAGAUCGCGUGGGCCCGACACCCACUACUGGUCAGGGGUUCGAAGGCCAGCCCCCCGAAGGGUUCCAUGGCCGCCUCAGGCUACUCGGGCUCCGCGCCCACUACUGAUCAGGGGUUCGAAGGCUGGCCCCCGAAGGGUUCACAGUCGCCUCAGACACCGAGCGAGGGAUGACCGGGGGUACGUUCGAUACAUAACCGAGGCUCGGGCUGCGCUCCCGAGGUACCCUAGGACAUUUCCGAGACCAGCGGGAACGAUCUUGUAACGGAAUCCCAUCGGAGGGAGGCAUCGAGCCCUCGGACCCCGUCGCCAGGGGACCGGGUCCGGCAAAUCACCCGCAGGUACUUUUGGGCGUGCCUCUGGGCCCCUAGCCGACCCCCAACGAACGGGGCACGGACGUCCACUCGGAUUACCCGCUUGCAGCUCACCGGAGACACCAUGUUCGGUGCCCAUCGAGGGUAACAUGGCGCUCUCCCCCCUCCUCCUUGCGGAAAGGCGACGUAGGGGCGUAUGUAAAAAAGCCGAGUCUGUCCCUGAUCGUCCUCUCGCCCUGUGCAGAGGCUCGGGGGCUGCUCUCGCAAACCCGGCUCCGGCCAAACCGUUGACAGCGUCAACAUACCAGCCCGAGAGCUUGGGCCCCGACCGUGCACCCGGGCUACGGCCAGUUCGCAUGAGGGAACGACUAGACCAGCCGAAGCAUUACGCAAGGCAUUAAGACCUCGAAGGAGUGUAACCACUCCUCCGAGGCCUCGGGGGCUACACCCGGCGGGUGCGCUCGCGCGCACCCACCGGAACGAAAUGCAACCGAGAAAGGCUGGUCCCCUUGCAAAAAAGUGCGACGGAAGCCUCCAAGCGAGUGCUAACACUCCCUUCGAGGCUCGGGGGCUACUGUCGGGGACCAUAAUUAGGGGUACCCUCAAGACGCCUAAUUCUCAGCUGGUAACCCCCAUCAGCAUAAAGCUGCAAAGGCCUGAUGGGUACGAUUAAGUCAGGGAUCAGUCCACACGAGUGACUCGAUCACGCUUCGCCCGAGCCUAGCCUCGGCCAAGGGCAGCCGACCUCGAGAGACUUCCGUCUCGCCCGAGGCCCCCCAUUUUACGGCGGACACACCUCCGGCUCGCCCGAGGCCUUGGCUUCGCUUAGAAGCAACCCUGACUAAAUCGCCGCGCCGACUGACCAGGUUGUAGGAGCAUUUAACGCAAAGGUGGCCUGACACCUUUAUCCUGACACGCGCCCCCCGGCAGAGCCGAAGUGACCGCCGUCACUCCACCGCUCCACUGACCAGUCUGACAGAAGGACAGCGCCGCCUGCGCCACUCCGACUGCAGUGCCACUCGACAGAGUGAGUCUGACAGGCAGUCGGGCCCUGCCAAAGGCGCCAUGGGAAACUCCGCUCUGCCCGACCCCAGGGCUCGGACUCGGGCUAAGACCCGGAAGACGGCGAACUCCGCUCCACCCGACCCCAGGGCUCGGACUUGGGCUAAGACCCGGAAGACGGCGAACUCCGCUCCGCCCGACCCCAGGGCUCGGACUCGGGCUAAGACCCGGAAGACGGCGAACUCCGCUCCGCCCGACCCCAGGGCUCGGACUCGGGCUAAGACCCGGAAGACGGCGAACUCCGCUCCGCCCGACCCCAGGGCUCUGACUCGGGCUAAGACCCGGAAGACGGCGAAACUCCGCUCCGCUCGACCCCAGGGCUCGGACUCGGGCUAAGACCCGGAAGACGGCGAAUCUCCGCCUCGCCCGACCCCAGGGCUCGGACUCCGCCCUGGCCUCGGCCAAACGAUCUCCGCCUCGCCCGACCCGGGGGCUCGGGCUCGGCCUCGGCAACGGAAGACAGACUCGACCUCGGCUUCGGGGGAGCCCCCACGUCGCCCUGCCUAGGGCACAGGCCCGCCACGUCAACAGGAAGCGCCAUCACCAACCUACCCCGAGCCGACUUGGGUCACGAAGGACAAGACCGGCGUCCCAUCUGGCCAGCUCCGCCGGAUGGGCAAUGAUGGCGCCCCCAAGCUCUGUGACGACGGCGGCUCUUAGCUCUCUUACGGCAGCAGGGCGACGUCAGCAAGGACUCGACCGCUCCAACAGCUGUCCCUCCGCCAAGCUCCGUCGCUCCUCCGACAGCCACGACAUCACGCCAGCAAGGUGCCAAGACCUCUCCGGCUGCCACAUUGGCAUGUACCCAGGGCGCUAGCUCUCUCUCUCCGCUAGACACGUAGCACUCUGCUACCCCCCAUUGUACACCUGGAUCCUCUCCUUACGACUAUAAAAGGAAGGACCAGGGCCUUCUUAAAAAAGGUUGGCCGCGCGGGGACGAGGACGAGACAGGCGCUCUCUUGGGGCCGCUCGCUUCCCUCACCCGCGUGGACGCUUGUAACCCCCCUACUGCAAGCGCACCCGACCUGGGCGCGGGACGAACACGAAGGCCGCGGGACUUCCACCUCUCUCAUGCCCGACUCCGGCCACCUCGCCUCUCCCCCCUUCGCGCUCGCCCACGCGCUCGACCCAUCUGGACUGGGGCACGCAGCACACUCACUCGUCGGCUUAGGGACCCCCCCUGUCCCGAAACGCCGACAAUGUUCUACUGUUUUUAACAUUUUGCAUUGAUUGAAUCAAAUGGGCCGCCAGGCUAACGGGCUGGCCCGACACAGUUAGCAAGCCGGCAUGACGUGUCUGGGCCAGAGUUGUGCUCGCGGGCAUUCGACCCGUGCCACCGUUUGGCCAUCUAUAGGCGUGCAGCGGGUUAAUUUGAAAUAACUGUGAGGGGUUAUUUAUAAAAAAAAUGACGCGGGACGACCGUUGAAACUGAUGCUUUAAGUAUAACUAGUCGGUUGCCCGUGCGUUGCAACGGCUUACAACAAUAUCCACGUAAACUAUCCAUAAAAAAAUUUCAAGAUUUUUUAUUGAUUGUCUCCGCUCUCUGUAUAAUAUAUUUUUUGAUUCGGCUAACUAAUGUUAUUGUUUACUCCAUGCAAAUAUGUCUUGGUACAACACAGCCGAUGAAGUAAGUGAUUAGAAGAGAGUUCUCAACGAUUGACUGAAUGAACAAAGAUUAUAAAAUGACAUAAUUCCAUCAUGCAGAGACCAAAUAAGAUAAAGUUUGUGACAUCAAGUUUUUAAAAUAAGUCCCAUGAAGUCAAACUUAUAAAAAAGAUAGAUCAAAAUAUGGAGUGAUUGCUAAAGUCAGACAUCAAUAAAAAUUGGAUGUGCUACAUAUAAAUUAUGCUACUUCGUAGCAAUUACUAACGUUUAAAACCAAUAAAUAACCUUUCAUUGUGCUGUUAGUGUGACAAAUCAUUGCUGCUCCAUCCAAUUCAGCAACCUCAAACACCAUGUAGUCCAUUGCGCCAAUGUGGUCUCGGAAACGACCUAAUACUUGCAAGAGCCAAGAACGUCGUGUCGUGCUUGGGCUAUAGCCUCGGCCCGUAGUGCUGGCCCGACCCGACACGAUUAUUUUUUUAUUUUACAAAAAAAACGUAUAUACCUAUAUACAAUUUAUAUUCAAUAUUAAAAAUAUUUUAGCGUGAUAUUCUACUGGUUAGACAGUUUUAUCCAGUGUCUCCCGCCCUUCUUCCAUUAGGGCAUGGGUUCGAACCCCACCUCCUGCACCGUUUUUUAACAUUUUACGCUGAUUUAAUUAAAUGGAUCGACGGGCUAACGGGCUGGCCCGACACAGUUAGCAGGCCGGCAUGACGUGUCUGUGCCAUAGUUGUGGCCCGCGUGCAUCUAGCCCGUAUCGGGCGUCGUUACGCUGAUUUAAUUAAAUGUAUCGACGGGCUAACGGGCUGGCCCGACACAGUUAGCAGGCCGGCAUAAUGUGUCUGUGUCAUAGUUGUGGCCCGCGUGCAUCUAGCCCGUGUCGGACGUCGUUUGACAUCUAUAGAUGUGCAUCGGAUUAAUUUGAAAUAGCUGUGAGGGGUUAUUUGUAAAAAAAUGACGCAUGACGACCGUUGAAACUGGUGCUUUAAGUAUAGUAUAGAUAAUCCACUGUCCCGCAUUACAUUAUUUAAAACUUAAGGAUUGACUAGUCUGUAUUUACCUUCUCCUUGUUUACCUUUUGGGUUAUUCUGAUUAGCAUGAUGCUAUUGCUUUAACUUAAUGAAUGGACAUGAUGUGAAUAUUUAUGAUACGAUGAUGUUAUCCCGAUGAUGUUCCUGUAAUACUUUAGGGGACUCAGGCUGUUUUCUGAGUACCUCUUCGUAAGGACCUGUUUGGGGAGUGCCAACCCGGGAUAACAGUGCAACCAUGAGGGUGGAAUGAGACACCCUUAGCUGAUUAAUUAGAGGAACCAGAGGAGUAGUUGGCUUCGCCAUAGGGCCGCCAAUGGGGUCCGGGCACGGUACUUGCUCUGCCGAGGCUGGUUGCAGAGGUUCUUGAUUUGGUUUUGUUAGUCACCCUUCCUUUGGGGAGAUGUACUAUGUUUAUCAAACUGGAGAAACCUAACGGGCGACUAUGACCUCUGGGAAAUCUUUGUAAAGGCUACGUAGUGAGACCCUGCUAGGUCACCUUGGUAGUGAUCAAUGGGGAGGCUAUAACCCCGGGCAGAAUGGGAAUCACGACUUGUGGAUAAAGUGUGCGACAUGUACAGAGUGUUAGAAACUGGUAUAUCAUCCGUGCUCACGGUUAUGAGCGGCCUUGGGAUCCUCUUUGAUUGGAAGAACUUUGGUUACUUUUAUAAUGAUGGUUCGCAAUGAUGGUUAUAAUUUUGAUCUCUGGUAUUUCCUCUUGGAGGGAGGGCUUCUAGGUAAUAACUGGGUUUAUUACUAAAAUUUGGCUCUACUUAUAGUAACAAAACUUGACCAGCUAAAAGCAACAGCUUAAUCUUAACUCCACAUACAACUAGUCCACUUUAACCAAAUGGGACAUUUGUUGAGUACGUUGAUGUGUACUCACCCUUGCUUUACAAACCACCCCACCCCACCCCAGGUUGUCCCCAUUGUACUCAGUGCUCAGGAGGAGAUGUUGGCAACAUGGAGGACUUUGAGGAGUUUCAGGACUACGAUGAGUUCUAGUUUAUCUUAGUGGCAAACCCCCAGUCAGCUGCCUGUGUAGGCUUAUCCUCUACAUUUCGUUUUCCGCACUUUGAUAUUAAUGUUAAAGACAAUGGUUAUGUAUUAGACUCUAUGGAUGUCUUGGACAUCUUGAUGUAAUUAAAGUACCUUUCCGCUAUUUACUUUGAGCAUUGUGUGAUGAUGUCCAAUUAUGUAAUCGCUCUGUACGUGAGUUCUGAUCCUGGCACAUACAUGGUUCGCAUUCGGUUUGCCUUCCAAAACCGGAUGUGACAUAAGUGGUAUCAAAGCCUUGCUGACUGUAGGAACGCUAACCUAGACUAGAAUGGUCACCCUAAGGACUAUAGACCCCUACUCUUACCUUGACCUAAGUGUCAUUUCAAAAGUUGGUCAUCUUGACCAAUUCUAUGUUAUCUACUUAUCUCACAAAAUUUUGUCUCACUUUUCUUUCUGUUUACUUUCUAGUCUUAUAGUUCUACUCUCACGCUUGUGCUUACAAUGUCUUUUGUAGAUGGCUCAUAUUAGAUGCACGACACAUAAGUCUAUGAUCCCUUUUUUGCCUUCCCACCUGACGAAGCGUCCACUGCGUCGCAUGGUGCCAGGUCAGUGUGUAAAACUGGUAUACUAGCCGUGCUCACGGUCAUGAGCAGCUCAGACACUCACAUGAUUAAUUUAUGGAAUUAAAUUCAUUUUGUCAUUUGCAUCACAUUGGGAUUAUUUUAUUAUUACUUUUACUUAUUAUUACUAUGGUUUGGUAUUUACUUACACUUAGUAACUGCUAAUAAAAUUUUGACCAACUUAUAAAAGCAAUGCUCAGCUGCAACCUUUAUUUUAUUGAUCAGCCUUACACUUCACAUGAACUUCCACCUUUUGUGAGUUCAUGCACAUUAUUCCCCACAACUUGUUGAGCGAUGAACAUAUGUGAGCUCACCCUUGCUGUCUCACAUGCCCACAGGAGAAGAACAGGUGGUCGAAGAGGAGCCGCCCAACACUGAAGCUUACAAUUUGAUCUAGGUGGCGUCUCCUAUUCAGCUUUGUGGCGCCAGGGAAAUAAUAAUAGUUUGCUUUAUUUUAUCAUUUAUUUUGUAAGACUUCCGCUAUGUAAUAAGUACGUUUAUGAUAAUUAUGACAUUUAUCUCUAUUCACUCUGUUAUUAUAUGUGUUGUUCUUCCUUGGCGCACAUAUGAGACGCACUCGGCUUUAUCCCUUAAAUCCGGGUGUGACAGAAGUGGUAUCAGAGCAAAUGUUGACUAUAGGACGAAACCUAGAUAGAAAUGGACAAAACCCUUAUCUACUUACCUUACUCUGAUUCUGUCUACACUUAUCUUGAUCCUGUCUCACCUUCUACUAUUCUACUCUGAUUAUUCUUACCUUUUCUAUUCUAAGACAAGGAGGAUUUCACACCUUGGAAUCCUACAUCCAUGACCCUCUUAAGAGAUAGGAGACCUAAGACAAAAUUAAAAUUAUUUUCUUAUUUAAAAAUGUUGGUUUAUUGUUCUGAUGAUAAAUGUCUGAUUUGCUUCUUUGAUUGAUUGAAACAUUAUAGUUGGGCAUGUUAGCAUGUACCACCAUAAGGUAAUGUAUUAGCUUAGUAGGUAACAUAUUAAUCUACUUAGCUAAUAAAUCCCCCAAAGUAACAUGAUUCGUAAUUACUUGCCUUGUCUACAAUUCUUUCUUACCAUAUGUUUCUAACUCAGAUGGUCAAUACCAGGAAGGGUGGUGGAAUUGAUCUACCCCCCAAUCGACACAGUCGGAGGAUAUUUAGACAACCACAAUAACAAACAAGCUGAGUUGGAUCCUCCUAAUCCUCCACCAGCCGGUGAUGACCCAACAGUUGCAGCCCAGAUGUAGAUAAUGCAGCAGAUGGAAGAUACUAUGGCGGAUAUGCACGCACAGAUGCGGCAGGAACGCCAAGAGAUGCGCCAGGAAAGGAGGGUGCAACAGCAGCAAGCCCCAUUUCCACCACCGCCACCACCAGUUCCACCCCGGGACAAGCACCAGGAGUUUAUGAGCCACAAGCCGCCUACCUUCGCCAGCUCGCCAGAUCCACUACAUGCCGAUGACUGGUUGAAGUCAGUUGAGAAGAUGCUAAACAUCGCCUAAUGCUCUGACCGAGAGAAGGUUCUUUAUGCUUCUGGUCGUCUGAUUGGUCCUGCUGCUGACUGGUGGGAUUCUUAUGUAGCUGCCCAUGAUGCUGCUGACACUAUUACUUGGGCGAAUUCACAACUCAGUUCAGAAACUACCACAUUCUUGCUGAAUUAAUGAAGAUCAAGAAGAAGGAGUUUCUGUCAUUGAAGCAAGGCAACAUGUCUGUCAGCGAGUACCGUGAUAAAUUCAUUCAGCUGUUAAGAUAUGCUCCUGAUGAGGUGGCUGAUGAUGAGAGAAAGCAAGAGCACUUCACAGAAGGACUUAAUGGGCCACUACAAUAUGCAUUGGUUUCUCAUACAUUUCCAUCAUUUCAGAGGCUGCUUGAUAAAGCUCUAGCUAUUGAACACAAGCGUGUUCAACUGGGUGACUUGAUGAGGAAGGCCAUUGCCCAGGGGCAGGGUAGCAGCAGUGUUCGUCCUCGCUACGUUCCGCCCUAGGGUAAACCAGCUCAUCCAGGAGGAGGACCACGCCCAGAUCAGUAUACUCCAUAGGGGACUCCACAGACGCCCAACACUCGUCAGGCUACCCCCACUGGCACCCCGGCAAGGCCUACAGGACAGAAGACAUGCCCUACAUGCUUCAAGUGCAGUCAGGUUGGGCAUUAUGCAAAUGCUUGUCCAGCGGGGAAUUUCAGUGCAUCAGCUCUAAACAAGCAACAGACUCCUGACAAUGGAUUAAGCAUUGCCACGGUAAAUCAAGUCAACGCUGAGGCCACUACUGAUGGUGCCGACAUCGCACUUGCUAUGUUUUAUAUUAAUGCAAUUCCAGCAACAACAUUAUUUGAUUCUGGUGCUACACAUUCAUUUAUGUCUGCUCGAUAUGCUAACACAAAUGAGUUACCACUGAGAAAUAUGAAAACACCAUUGAUAGUAAUUACACCUAAAGGGCCUGUUGAGGCAAAUCAUAUGACACAUAGAUUGACAUUGACAAUUAUGGGAAGAGAAUUCUAGACUAUCCCUAUAAUAUUAGCAGAAAGACAGAUCUGAUCCUUGGUAUGUCAUGGUUAAGAAAGGCAAAGGCCGUUAUACAAUGUGGUAGGGGUACUGUAGAACUCACUAGCCCUAAAGGAGAAAGAUUUGAAGUUGAAAUUAUAGUAACUACCACUACCAGACUUGCGACAUUCUUAGUAGAUGGGAAGUUUGUUGGUGACAACAUCCGUGUGGUUAGGGAUUUUCUAGAUGUUUUUCCCGAGGAGUUCCCAGGGAUGCCACAAGAUAGGGAAGUUAAGUUUGUCAUUGAUCUCUUACCUGGGACUGCUCCUAUUUCUAAACGGCCAUACAUGAUGUCCGUAGAAGAACUAAAAGAACUUAAGAAGCAACUAACUAAGUUACAGGAGGCUAGGUACAUUCGUCCGAGUUCCUCACCUUGGAGAGCGUCAGUUCUAUUUGUACAGAAGAAAGAUGGAUCGCAAAGGAUGUGUGUGGAUUAUAGAUCCCUUAAUGAUGUUACUAUGAAGAACAAGUAUCUGUUACCCCGCAUUGAGAAUUUAUUUGAUCAGAUGAGAGGUGCAAGGGUAUUCUCGAAGAUUCUUCGAUCGGGUUACCAUCAAAUGAAGAUUAGGCCAUCUGAUAUUCCCAAGACGGCUUUCUCAACUCGAUAUGGUUUAUAUGAAUUCACAGUUAUGUCGUUUGGACUAACUAAUGCACCAGCCUAUUUUAUGAAUCUAAUGAAUAAGGUGUUCAUGGAGUAUCUUGACAAAUUCGUCGUGGUUUCCAUCGACGAUAUUCUUAUUUAUUCCAAGAAUGAUAGCGAUCAUGAGGAACAUUUGAGAUUGGUGCUACAAAAGCUACGGGAUAAUUAACUCUACACCAAGUAUAGCAAAUGCGAGUUAUGGAUUGAUGAAGUGCUAUUCCUUGGACAUAUCAUUUCUAAUGGUGGGAUAUUAGUGGAUCCUGCUAAAGUCAAGGAGAUAGUGGAGUGGAGAAUACCCAGUACAGUUACUGAAGUCCGGAGUUUCUUCGGACUUGCAGGCUAUUAUCGGCAAUUUAUUGAAGGGUUCUCUAGGAUUGCUAAGUCUAUGACCUCACUUCUGGAGAAGGGAAGAGAGUUUAAGUGGGACGAGAAGUGCGAAGAUAGCUUUGAUCAAUUAAAGAUGAGGUUGAUGUCACCCCUAGUGUUGGUUAUGCCAGAUCUACAGGAGGGAUUUGACAUUUAUUGUGAUGCAUGUGGCCAAGGCUUCGAAUGUGUGCUUAUGCAAGAAGGACAUGUGAUCGCCUACGCGUCUCAUUAGUUGCGGAAACAUGAGUUGAACUAUCCCACUCAUGACUUAGAACUGGCAGUCGUAGUGCAUGCGCUUAAGAAUGGAGACAUUAUAUUAUGGGAACCAAGUGCCAAGUUUACACCGAUCACAAGAGUUUGAAGUACAUAUUCACUCAGAAUGAUCUCAACCUUAGGCAACACUGAUGGUUGGAACUCAUAAAGGAUUAUGAUUUGGAGAUUCACUAUCACCCUGGCAAGGUGAAUCUGGUUGCAGAUGCCUUGAGUCAUAAAGAACAAGUCCAUUCAGCUAUUGUUGCCUAGCUACGCGAUGAGAUUGUUGAAGAUUUCAGGAGACUCAACCUAGGAAUUGUUGCACACACUGAAGGAGUCACCAUUGAAUUGGAACCUACCUUGGAGCAAGAAAUCUGUAAGGGUCAGAUUGGUGAUGCUAAAAAUUCAAGAGAUCAAGGAUCUUAUUACUGAAGGUAGAGGUCCAAAAUUCACGGAGGAUGAGCAAGGCACAAUAUGGUUCAAGGAUCGGAUAUGUGUUCCUGAGAUUGAUAGCCUUCGUGAGACUAUAUUGAAAGAAGCCCGUGAUUCUGAUUACUCUAUUCACCCUGGUAGCACUAAGAUGUAUCAGGAUUUGAAGCAGAAGUACUGGUGGUAUGGGAUGAAGAGAGAUAUGGCUGCAUAUGUGGCUAAGUGUGAUGUGUGUCAAAGAUUCAAGGCCGAACAUCAAAUACUAGCUGAACUACUGCACCCGCUUAAGAUACCCGAGUAGAAAUUGGAAGAAAUUGGCAUGGAUUUCAUUGUUGGACUUCCCCGCACUCCUGCAGGGUAUGACUCUAUUUGGGCGAUUGUGGAUAGACUAACCAAAGUGGCUCACUUCAUACCUGUGAGGACUAAUUACACGAGAGCCAAGCUAGCAGAAUUGUAUAUGACUCAGAUAGUUUGUCUACAUGGGGUGCCUAAGAAGAUUGUGUCUGACCGAGGAUCACAAUUCACUUCUCGGUUUUGGAAGAAGUUGCACGAGUGCUUGGAUACACAGUUGAAUUUCAGCUCAGCCUACCAUCCUCAGACUGAUGGGCAGAUCGAGAGGACCAACCAAGUACUGGAGGAUAUGUUAAGGGCUUGUGCUCUUAAACAUGGUGGAAGUUGGGAUAAGAGCUUACCGUAUUGUAAAACCCAAAAUUGCAAAAUAAUAAUAAUAAUAAUAAUAAUAAUAACGAAUAAAGUCAUCAUAAUUAGUGCCCUUGAUAAAUGUUUGAACUUUAGAAUUCACUCUUUCUAUCAAAACAAAGGGGGUUAAGAAAAUUGGAAUAUACCUUUAAUUUAACUACACACCUAAAAUAAUAUCCCAUUGGAAUAAAUAAGGUGUGAAUCUCAUGUUGAAAGUAUUACCUAGAAUAAAAUAAUAAUACUAAAUAAAGUAAUUUAGUAUAAUUAAUGCACAUUAUGUUGGAAUUCCAUUUGUGCAUUAAGACUUGAAUUUAGAGCAGAUUUGGGAUUCAAAUUUGAAUUAAAAAUAGAAAGGAAAACAAUAGGGAAAAAAAGAGAAACUCACUACUUGGGCCGACUUCUCCCCUGCGCCUCGGCCCACCUUAGUUUUUCCCCUUGCGUGGCCCAAGUCCACGCGCGACAAUGUGCUUGGCUCCAGGUACUAUCGCGUUGAGUCACUUGUUGGCGGGCCCGGUCUAUCAUGUCUCCCUCCCUCGUGCGCGCCGUCACUGCUUGUGGGCCGCUCUGGUCAGCUGUGUCUUCAACUGAAGACCGAUCCAACCGGGCGGAUUUCGUUGAGGAUCGUGCAUGGCUUGCGGCCGUGGUAAACCCUUCCCUUAUUCCUUGUCGACCUCCUACGGAUUCGGUCGUUCCAGCUCGACCCCAAUCCACAGACCCCUCCUCCGAUUCUUCUAGCUCCGGCCGUUGCGAAUCCAUGUUGAAUGCUUCGGGUUGUUGCAACAACCGAAGUCUCCGUCGAUUGCCGAAAUCCGUGCGGCGGGCACCUAGUUCCCAGACCGUAAAUAGCCGCCGCGGUCGCCUGGGGCCUUUGUCACGCACCCAUUGCUCGCGCGGGCAGAGGGAUUGAGCGAAUCGUGCGCUAUGCGAACAGAGUAUUGGGGAAGGAGUAGUGUCUGGGCCACGGCUUUGGCACCGUCGUCGUCCAAAUCUCUAUUGGGAGUCCUGGGUGCUUGGUUUGGGGGCGGCAAGGACACUCAGAGUGCCGUUGUGGGUGAUACUCGACCAACGCGCGAGGAAUUGCUCAUCAUACCAGAUUCAUCAUCGGAAAUCCGCCCUCGGCAUGGUUUCAGACCUCCAUGCGGGUCCUAUCCCUGGUAAGCCCACCAUCUAACUCGCGACCACCUCCACAUUGUUUUGCAUCAGCGCUUGUCGUGAAUCGGUCGCUGGGGGAAAUCGAUUUUACCUCUCCGGUGAGGGGCGCCGCCGUGCUUGGGUUCACGGGCGUGGAGUGCGCUCGUAGGGGGAGAAGCUCGGGUGCCGUCCGUCUUGAGAUAAACGGUCACGAUUAGGCGGGCAGCUCGGGGAGAAAUGAGUGGGCGCGACCGUGGGAUCUCAGAAUUGUGGCUCCGAUCGGAUCUGGCGAUGGUUGAUUAGUGGUCGUUCAUUUGCGGAUGAACGUACGGGAUUAGAACAACUUACCCCUUCGCCUCAUUAAUUAAUGACCGUAGAUCACGAAUCCGACGACCACGAUCAUGUACUGGUUCAGCGCAUAUGCACAUUUAAUCCGAGCCCUCCAUCUCAGAUCUCACGGUCAAGAUGCCACCAUACCCCUUCAGUCGUGACUCAUUUGCAGAAGAGCCCCCGUCUUUAGUAAAAAUAAACCCGCCAUCCUACACGGUGAUUACUGAGUCUUGAGAAAUCUUAUAGUUUAGCCCCUGCAGUUUCUGAUAUUUAUGCGCCUAGUCCAGUGAUUUAGGAAAGUAGGAAAAACAAUAUAGAAAAUACUUUCCUAGCACAAAAAUAAUUCUAGGUGCAAAUUGAGUCAUUCUAGUUGCAAUAAUUUUGUAUUAAUAUUUUUUAUCACCUAGUACCUUUGUUUAACCAUGAAACUUGAAUUAAAAUUGCUCAAUUAAAUUAAUCUAUUCUAGGUGCUAAAUAAUUUCAGAAAUUCAUAACUCAAUAAUCAUAACUCCGUUUUGAUCCAAUCUAGUUGCAUUAGUCUCACAAUAAUAUUUAUUAUCGUGGUAACUUUUUUUUUUGUCAUGAGAUAUAGGUUAAAAUGUUGCACUUAGUCUAUUAUAUACUUAACCACGUGGAUCUUCGGAAAACCAUAACUUCUUAAACGUAGCUCCGAAUUUAGUGAUUCUCGAAACCACGAUCUCGUAGCAGCGUGUAGACUAUUAUUAUGCAAUAUGUUCUUAUGUUUGGUGUGAUGUUAAUUUUGUCUAUACCAUGUCUGUUUGUAUUGCUACGACUAGCAGUGCGGUCACGAGGAUCUAAAGAAUUACCCUGGUAACUGGAAUCUCAAGUGCCAGGAAAGUUGUGCCCUAGAUCCACUUUUGUUACCCAAUAAUGUUCUUUAUUAUCACUUAUUCAUGCAUAGGUUUAAUUUUGAUGGGACCUAAUAGGUCACCCUAGACUGUUUAUCUUUUUACCUUGUUCACCCCUGAAUCAUUAGGUAGUUAUGCUAUUGCUUUACACAUUUUUUGGUUUAAUAUUUCAUUAUAUCCAUGUUCCUAUUAUUCUAUUAUGUUAUUUAUGUUCAUGAUAAGAUCAUUAUGUUAAUGGGAACAUGGAGCGACCACCCGGGAAAACAGUGCUACCACAAGGGUAGUAUGGAAUGCCCUUGGCUGACUAAUUAGGAAAGCUAGUGGAUGACUACCUUACCCGAAAGGGGCAAGGGCAGUAGGGGAGUGGUUAGUGUAGGGAGGUCCUUGGGUUGAUUUUGCUGCAAUGACGGUCAGGCGAGGGAUCCCUGCAUUGGAGCUUCCUAGAAACUGUAGCGUGUUUUCUGAAGCUAGUGGAACUUUGUAAAGGACUCGUAGUGUUACCCUGCAUCGCUUCCUUGGUAGAGGUGUAUGGGGUUCAUGAUCCCUUGGCAGAUGGGUAACAUGACUUGUGGGUAAAGAUGCGCAACCUCUGCAGAAUGUAAAACGGGUAUACAAGCCGUGCUCACGGUCAUGAGCUGCUCGGACCCUCACAUGAUUAAUUUAUGUAACUUAAAUUCAAUUUGUCAUUUGCAUCGCAUUGGGAUUAUUUUCUUAUUACUUUUACUUAUUAUUACUAAGGUUUGAAAUUUACUUAUACUUAGUAAUUGCUAAUAAAAUUUUGACCAACUUAUAAAAGCAAUGCUCAGCCUCAACCUUUAUUUUGUUGAUCAGCCUUACACUUCACAUGAACUCCCACCUUUGCUGAGUUCAUGCACAUUAUUCCCCACAACUUGUUGAGCUAUGAACGUAUGUGAGCUCACCCUUGCUGUCUCACACCCCCCACAGGAGAAGAAUAGGUGGUUCAAGUGGAGCCACACAUCGAGGAGUUCGAUUCGAUCUAGGUGGCGUCUCCCAGUUGACUUUCUGGCGCCAAGGAUGGAUUUUAGUUCGAUCUAUUUUUAUAUUUUAUUUUGUAAGACUUCUGCUAUGUAACAAGUACUCUGAUUUUAUUGUGACAUUUAUCUCUAUACACUCUGUUAUUAUAUGUGUUGUCUUCUUUGGCCAUGUAUGAGAUGCACCCAGCUUUGUUCCUUAAAGCCCGGGUGCGACAGAAGUGGUAUCAGAGAAAAUGUUGACUGUAGGACGAAACCUAGAUAGAAAUGGAUAACCCUUACUUACUUACCUUACUUUGAUUCUUUUCUAAACUUAUCUUAAUCUUUUCUCAUCUAUUUCCGCUUUACUCUGAUUAUUCUUACCUUUUCCUUCUAAAGACAAAUGUGGAUUUCACACUUUGAAAUCCUGUGCCUAAAGUGACCUUUAGGAAUAGGAGACCUACUCUUAAGAACAAAAACAAAACUAUUUUUAUAGGUAUCUACACGCUUGAAUGUUUGUUCUUGUGAUACAUGUCUGAUUUGGAUUUUUGAUUGAGUGUGAUGAGUCGUGGAGUAGUAUCCACAAUAACAUCUACAUAUACGUAUAGGCAUAAAUAUAAAUAAAUAAAAUUCAUGAGAUAACUAAACAAAUUAGAUUGUCCUCCAUUAAAGUGUAUCUAUUUUAUAUAGAUCCAUCUUAUCUUAGAAGGUUCUCUCUUAUCUUAAUAGAUCCAUCUUAUAUCGAAAAGAUUUUAUCUUACCCUGAUCGCAAAGAUUCUAUCUUAUUCUUAAAGACUCAUCUUGUCCUAAUAAGCAUACUUAUCCCCACCACUUUGCUUAUCUCAUAACUGUAUAACAAACAUGAUCUAUUCCAACUCGUCCGUGAAACCACGACCUAGCCUAUGGUAUAGGUUGCCCAAACCCAUUUAUCUCAAAGGCAAAGUAAAAUUCUAUUUAAUCUACCUACCCCAUGUAACCGCAGUGGUUAUCCCAGCUCAGAUAAAGGCAUUCAACACCACAACCGAUGAUUCCUAAUUCAGACCCCAAAAGAAUCUCGAUUAUGCCAUGGUACACUCAUUCUAUGUCAACACUCACCUAAUAGUUAAAACAUGAUGUACCCUUGUUUCUAUACCACACCUAUUAAUGGCAUGAAAAUUUAGGUGUGAAAAAAACGUAUUGGAAGUUCUACUUAGAUAAAAAAUAUAAUACUAGAACUUCGUAAAGAUAAGUCAGCUGGAUAUGCUCAAUUAAAUGGUAUUCUUAAAUGGGAUCAUGGAUUCUAGUGUGAUCUAAUCCAAUGUGGUCUGCUUAAAAAAGUUAGUAGUACUUGGACCCUUCUAGCCAGGUGUUAACUAAACUUAGCACAUUAGACGAACUCAACCAUGAACAAAAGAUCUAACUCAACCAGUAGAGUCAUGAUGGAUUGCAUAAUCUAUCUAUCCCCACCUAACAUCAAACAAACUUUUGAUCUACAUCAUGUAGUCUAUCUCACCCAUAUCUAUCUCAUUAUGAUAGAUUCUAUCAUACCUUUGGACAUUCACCGUAUACGACUAGUUAUCCCAAUCUUGAUAUAAAACAAAGAUUAAGCCCUACUAAAGAAUCAUCAGAUCAUAACCAGCUACUAGCUUAUUCAUUCCGCUUAUCGAAUAAAUUCCCUUGCAAAACUAUUUUGCCAUAUGCUUCUAACUCUCAUGGUCAAUACUAGGAAGGGAAGAUUACCAGACAACAGCAAACCGAAAUGAAUCCUCCAAAUCCUCCACUGGUUGGAAUCGAUCAAGUGGUUGCCACCCAAAUGAUGGUAAUACAACAAAUGGCAAACAUGGUUACCGAAAUGCAAAACCAUAUAAGACAAGAACACGAGGAAAUACGUCAGGACCGGUUGGAGAUACAUCGAGAAAUAAGGCAAGCACAGUUGGAAAGACAAUGACAACAACAACCUCCACCACUACCACCAACUCCACCAAUAAGACAAGAACGCGAGGAAAUACGUCAGGACCGGAUGGAGAUACGUCGAGAAAUAAGGCAAGCACAGUUGGAAAGACAACGACAACAACAACCUCCACCACUACCACCAACUCCACCAAGCUACAUAAACAUAUAUAUAUAUAUAUAUAUAUAUAAAUUACUACUAUUUGUAAGAUCUAAAUGUUACUUUAGUUAGUAAAUGGUAUGAUACUAUUUCAGGAGGAAUAAUAAGGUCUAAUUGACCCAUGUGUUGCUAAUAUAUCAUACAUCAUGCUGAGAUUUUUGUUUGUGCAUAUGUUUUGAGAUAACAUGGUUAGAUACCCUUUUCUUACAAAUCUCGAGGACGAGAUUUCUGUUAAGGGUGUAGGAUUUGUAAAGCCCAAAAUUGCAAAAUUAAAUCAUAAUAAUAAUAAUAAUAAUAAUAAUGAAUAAAGUCAUCAUAAUUAGUGCCCUAGAUAAAUGUUUGAACUUUAGAAUUCACUCUUUAUAAAGUAGAUGCUCAUAAUAGAAUAACUAGGUGAGUGCCCGUGCGUUGCAACGGGAACAUAUAAUAUCAUGGUAAUUUAUGUACCUGGUUGCACGACUGACUGACCCAUCUGCCCCGAGCACUCCUCGAUCCUCAUCCGUGCUCGCCAAGCGACGAAACCCAAGACGGCAACACCAUAGCCCACAGCACACCAGCGACCACACUAAAGCCAAGCAAGCAGCUUAGGAACCCACGCGCCCGGCGCCUUGGACAUGCUGGGCGUGCGGCGGUUCGUUAGUGGCAGGAUUUUUCCUUGCAUUUCCCUGCUGCCGUAUUAGCCCCUCUGCCCCUCGGCGCCGUGCCAACGCCACGGGAGCUAUAGCCCCCGAUUUAAAGUUCAGUUCGUGGUGGGGGGGUGAUCGACGUAUCCUGCCGAUUGCCCAGACGCAGCACGCUCUCUGCCCAAAAUUCGCCUGCAACCCCGAGCGACGACAAUGGGGGGAGGGGUCGAUGGCGAUGCUGGCCAAGCCCAUCCAGCUCAUGGACCAGGUGGCGCAGCAGGCGGGCUGGCAGUGCCUCAGGGCAGACUGCACGGAGCUACGGUCCCGUGCUAUAAAGCUCACCGAGCUCCUGCGGCAGGCGGCGUGGGUCGAGCUGUACGAGCGCCCUGCCGCGCGCAUCAUGGCCGACAUGGAGCGGGCGCUCCACAAGGCCGCGGGCAUGGCUGUGCGCUGCUUCCAGAGCCACUCCCGCCUCCGCCGCUUCUUCAUGCUGAACCCGGUGUCUGGGCUCCCACGCACCCUCGCCCUGCUCGACACCGCGCUCGAGGACAUCGACUGGCUCAUCCACGUCUCGUCCCCACAGGUCGACGACGGCGACCUACGGGGGCUCCCCAACAUCGCGCAGAAUGAGCCCAUGCUUGGCAUGGUAUGGGACAACAUCGCGCGCCUCCACACCGGUGGCCUCACCGCGUGGGCCGACGCGGCCGCCACCCUCGCCUCCCUCGCCGUGGGCAACUCCUACUUCGCCAAGUACAUCGUCAAGGAGGACGGUGUUGCGCCCCUCGUCAAGCUGCUCAAGUAAGGCACCGACGACAGGCAGGAGGCCACGGCCAUGGCGAUCGGCCUCCUCUGCUGUGACGAGGACAACUUGCAUAAGCUCCUCCACUCCGGGGUGUGCUCCAUCUUCGUCGCUGCGCUCAAGGAGCCACCGAUGCGCGUGCAGGCCGCGGUCGUGGACGCCAUCGCGUCGCUGGCGCGCCAUAGCCACAAGUGUUAGGACCUGUUCGCGCAAAGCAACGCCGUCCGACAUCUCGUCACCCACCUCGCUUCCACCCCAUCCGUACCACCGCCCUGCCCGCACCUCGCCGCGCACCGCCUGUCCUCGCACCCGCUGCGCUUCCUCCGCCGCUGCCUGCGCGUGCGCCCAUUCGACCGCCCCAAGAUCCAGCGGGACCCGUGUGAGCUCCCGCGCGGCUCGCCCUGCACCGCCGCGUCCCCGCCCCCACCUCCCACCUCUACGCCUGCCUCUCCUACGCCACCGUCUUCUGCCCCUCCCACGCUGCCACGCACGCCUCCGCCUCCGCGGGGCCCGGCCACCAGAUCACCGUCGACGUUGAUCGCGCCGAGCUCUUCUGCGCCGCCUGCGGGUACCAGGUCUACGAUCCCGACUUCGAUCAUGUCGUCUUCCUUGCCCAGUCCUCCUCGCUUCUCCCCUCCACCUCCACAUCCUCCGCGUCUGCCUCCCUGUCCCUCCGCAAGAGCGGCGUGUCGAUUACCGUGCGUAGUUGCGGACCUCGAGCAUCACGGACGUGGAAUGGGGAUGGGACUGGAUGACAACUGUUGGGGGCGUGGCAGGUUUCUCGGCGUGGUGGUUGCAGCUUUCGCGGGGGAAAGAUGGGGGCGUGCGCGUAGAGGGGGGAGGCGGGAACACAGGAGAUGGUCUACACUAUUGCCUUAGUAGUUAGUAGAUAUAUAUAUAAAUAUUAAAUGUAAUAUAUCAAAUGAUGAUUAAUAUUGAUGACACAAAAAUCGAUAACCAAAUUGAUUCCAUUAAUUUGUCAUUUUUCAUAAUCAUGUGAGUGGUCUGAAUAGACAAAUGUAGCUCAAAGUUCAGGAACAAAGGACAACAGUCCUAGGCACACGACCAUCAAAACAACUCAGUUCAAUGUGAAAAGUACAUUACUACAGACCCCUUUUCAAAUGUUCAGAUGUGCAUUAAGACUAAAACUGAAACAAAUCAAACACUUCAUAACUUCAACAAUGUGCAGCAUAACUUCAAGCUUGCAUCAGAAAAUGGGAUAGGUCUUUUCUUGCCAUAAUAUGCCAUCACAUCUUCAAGCUUGCAUGAGAAAAUUGAUCGGAUCUUUUCUCUUCUUGACAUAGUAUGACAUCACCUUGUCCAAUGUCAACAGUUUGUACUAAGGACAACAAUAGAGACUACAACUUCUCAGCAUCAUAUUUGGACAUUAUGAUGAAGUACUAAAAAUAAGGAGUAGAGUGAUCAGCUUGCCUAUAAUUUUAAGUUGGCAACAAUAAGAUGGUGUACAACGAACAAAGCCUAAUGUCAGGUACUUAUGUUGGUAGCCAAAUCAUCAGUAUGCCUACUGUUGGGUACUUGUUCUCAAAUGCUUUGAAUUAAGAACAAGGCAACAUAAAAUGUUAAAUAUCAAAGCCCUUCGUCCUUCGAAACAUUAUUUCCCCUUGGAUAUAAUGAAUUUCAGACGAAGGUUAUGAAGGUCAUACCUUCAUAAUUACAAUAGAAGACAAGAAAAGAUUUAUGCAUGAAAUAGAGAGAAUAUCAUAAUUAUUCUAAACAUUAUUAUUAAUUUAUUUCUAUUUAUUUUACUUGUAUAAACGAUGGCAAAUUACAGAUGUACCUUCGGUCUGAAGGAAAAUAAGGGUACAAGCGUGAUGCCAAUGCCAAGUCAGCGUGAACAGUACAGGAAUACUGUUCAUCUAUUUAUAGGCACGGGACACAGCCCGUAAAAAAUUACAUUAAUGCCCUUUACUUCUAUCAAUAACUCUAUAGUAAUUCUUCAAGGGCUGAUUUGGCUUUUCGUCUUUAAGUCGGUUUCCCCUUUCUGCUGUCAUGCCGAAGCUCCUCUGCACAUAGCUUCGUGAUCGUUUCAUCCUUCGUCAUGAUUGUCUUCCAUUUCAGUCAAGCUUCGUCUUGACCAUGCUUCUGUAUACCCGCAACCUGAUUCCGAAGAUACCUGCUCGCAUACUUAGAAAACAUUGUCAAAUCACGUUUUUGAGGACCUUCGGAAGCCGAAGGCCCCCAAUAGUAGCCCCUCGCAAUAUUAAUUUGCUGUAAUGAUAAAUUCAUAUUGCGAUAUGGACGAUGGCCUUAAGCCGAAGGUCCGAAAAACACCUUCCCUUUGCUAGAAUAGCAACAGUCUUUGACAAGCGGGACCCUCCAGUUUCAACGCUCUGGGCGUAUAAAUAAGAGCUCAUCCCGGGUUUAUUUGGUACGCUCUCUUGCCAACUGCUAUUACUCACCCAACUUUUAGCCUGCGCGCAACAACGCUUGCUUGGCUUUUUAGAUUUUAAAGCUUCGGUUUUGAGAGCACUUUCUCAGCAUUUGGAAGGAUGUCUGAAGAUAAAAAGCUGUUAGUGAUUCGAAGCUAAGUCUUUCUGAGGAGAUGCAUCUGGGUUUCCUUCAAUCAAUGUCGAAGACUAAUACAGAGAAGAUUACUAAAGAAAUUUUGGAGGGUUUAUCUGAAGAUACUGGUGAUAGCGACAGCUAUGAUGUGGAUAGUGGUGGUGAAGACUCCAAAGAUCAACCUUGGCGACCAAGCCAUGCGGUUUUUGGCAAAUCAAGUAUUAAAGAAAAACAUCUUGUCAACAUGAGGGGAAGAUAUUUCCGGGACUUGUCCGUUGUGAGGGCUGAUGAAGGAGAGAAGACUUGUCCAACUCCUGAGGAAAAUGAAGUCGUGGUAUUCCGAAGCUUCUUGAAAGCUGGACUACAAUUUCCCUUAAGCAGCUUUGUUGUAGAGGUGCUGAAGACAUUUGAAAUCUACCUUCACCAACUUACCCCCGAAGCAAUCAUAAGGAUGAAUAUCUUCGUGUGGGCCGUGAGAAGCCAAGGCUUGGAGCCUGAUGCGAAAAGUUUCUGCAACAUACACGAAUUGUUAUACGAGAGAAAACCCUGGGGUAAGGAACAGUAUCACAACAAUUUUGGCUGCUACAGCUUCGGCUCCCGGUCUGGGUCAAGCUGCCCCGUGCUGACCUUUCGAAAGAGGUGGCCUGACGACUGGAUGACGGAAUGGUUUUACGUGAAGAAUGACUUGAAAUCACAAGAAGAUAUAAAGAAGAUCAUAAUGUGUCCCAUCUGGCAACGCUUCGGCCUACGGAGGCCGAAGGUGGAAAUGAAUGAAGCCGCCGAAGAAUACCAGAGAGCCUUCGGAGUUGUUUGCUCUUUUAUUGGGACGAGGGAUUUGGUCCAAGAACACAUUGCCUUCAGAGUAUGGCCACUUGUGGAAAAAUGGGAAAUGCCGCAGGAGACCAUUAAAGAGACUGACGAAGGUGGACUAGUCAGGCUGAAGUACACAUUUAAGUUCGGAGACAAAUUCGUUGAGCCAGAUGAUGACUGGCUAAAAAGCAUUGAAACUGUAAGUGAUGAACUGCUUGGGGGUAUAUUCAAAGGCCGAAGAUACUGCAUUGUCAGCAGCCUUCGGAGGCCGAAAGAAGAAGAGACUGAACCGAGUAUUUGACGCAAUUGGGUUCGUCUACCCCGACUACCAUUAUCCAGUGCGGGGUCAAAAAAGAAAGAACACUUCCUCUGUGAAGGAGACUACUUCAGCCGCUCCUAGUGAGCCGGCGCCGAAGAGGAAAAGGGUAAAGGUUCUCACACACCGGCCACGUUACAUUGAACUGGCCACAGUGCCUGAGUUCGCCGGUGAGACCUCUUCGGCCACCGAAGCUAAAGAAUCAACUCUGCUGCCAGAAAUAAAAGAGCUGGCCGAAGUGCCAGCAACAGAAAAAAUGGAAGAACCAAGGACUGAAGAAGCAAAAACAUCAGAAGUUUUAAGUCCUUCGACAAAGAUUGAGACAGGAAAAAGCCAGAAGGGUCCAACAGUGACUCCGAAAAUAAAAAGGAUGGUUAAUGUGUUAGAUGUUUUGGAGACAAUUAAAUCUUCAAGCAUAACUCCAAAGAAAACUGUUGAAACUUCUGAAGUGUCUACUGAAGCCUUUGUUGCUGAAGCUUCGAAGCAACAAUCUGAAACUGAAGCUGGGCCCUCAGAGCCAACCAAGGUAAAACCUUUGGAAACCGAAGAAACGAACAUUGCAAAGGCAGCCAAAAAAAUACAAAUGUCAGAGCCAAUUUUGGUUGAAGAAACUGACACUGCUGCCCCCGAAGCACCUUCCAAAAUAUACGAUUAUAUUGUGCGACACGCUUCGGGGAAGAAAUUAUCCGAAGAAGAGAUUUUUGAAUCUAAUCACUAUGCCAGAGAAUUGAAAUAUCCGAAGGGGGCACUAGUGUUCAAUGGGACAGACGAAGAUGACUUCCUAUACUGCCUCCCAGACAACAAAGAAUUAUCCGUCUGCCGGGAGAUGGCUAGAAGCAUGGGGUUUCCGAAGCUUGAAGCUGGACUCUGCGCUAUGACGAAGGACGAUCUUGCGAAUAGCCUUGCAUAUAAUAGUCUGAAGGUGUGAGAAUUGUAUAUUUGGAAAUUUACAAUUUUUGAAUUAUUCUUUUAUUCUUAUAGUAAUUCUUUUUCCACAUAGGGUUUGAUACUAAGCAACGCCUUGAGAGCGCAAAAGAAUGCUGAAGACGAAAGCUAUAAUAUCGCUUUCAACAACCUACGAGCAGAGGUUAUCAAGCUGAGGAACGAAGCUUUGGAAAAAGAUAAAAUUCUGCUUACACUAGUGGAUAAAAUAAAGGAAGACGAAGCUACCUCUAAGGCUCAAGCUGAAACCCAAAAACACGAAAUUCAAGAUCUUCAGAAACAACUGGCCAGAGCUAAAGAAGAACGCAUACUAGAAGAAACAAAACGAGAACUUAGUGAUCAAUGGGCAAAUCAUUUGGAAAUAAAUGUUGAAGAGCUUCGUGCUUCCAAGAAAAGAUACUAUGAUAAAUCCAUAGAGUGUGUUAAGAAGAUAAAAUCCAGCUUCACCAGCGUUGGCACAUUCUCUAGCGAAGAGAAUUUCACAAGGGGGGAUCCAGAAGGCCCAAUUGAAUGGAUUGGUCACGAAGCUGAGGCCUUCGAAGAAAUCUUGAAUAGCCGCGGAGACAUAUGCACUUUUUCAGGCGCCAGGGGGAUUGCUACUGUUUUGGAAAGAAAAGGCUGUGAUCAUGUGAAAUCUUUAGCUCAAACAGAAACCGCCUUGUCUUCCGAAGACAUAAAAGACCCCUCGGCCGAAUCAAGCCUGGUUGGUGGAAAGUUUUUCACCGACAUUUGGGACAAUGGAGGCCGAGAAAUGGCUCAAGAAAUCAUUCAAAGAAGCGAAAAAGGCAUCCAUGAUGCUAGGAAGAUAACAGAGGCUGCUGAGAAAGGCACAGAGCCCGAAGGGCAAAUAGGUAUCAACUAGUGGUUUUUUUAUUCUGUUGUAAUCUUUGAUUCCAGACUUUGUUCGCGGUUUGUAAUAGUAAUAUAGCCGUAUCUUCUCCUCCCUCAGAACCUGCUGAGGCAACUCCGGGCCCCCACCGGAAUGGGGACAAUGAAAUUAGAAAAAUGGCCGAAGCCAUCAUGGACAAGGUUGUCGAUCGGCUGCUGAACGAAGCUGCAUAAAUAGUUCUUAGGGAAGAUUAGAUGCUAUUGUAAAAAUAUUCAGAAUGUAACAUGUGUAAUACAUUGUAACUUUGAAUGUAAUAUAUAAUCUAUUUAUAGUUUAAUUCUUUACGAUGCAUGAAAUUUUGUAUACAUACCGUUUUUUGAGCCUUCGGCGAAAAAACACCUUCCCUUCUUUUCAUGCUUCGUGAAGAAAAUCUUUUAUAUAUCACAAGAAUUUCCAUACUUCUCUGAUGAGAAAUAUCCAGGCUUCGUGAAAUAUUCUCCGAAGCUAUAAAAAGUUUUAUGUUGCCUUUCUAAUGAAGCUACACUUCUUCUCAAUUUAUCUUGUGCCUUAGCACGAUUUUCUCUUUUUCAAAAUAUUCUCCGAAGAUCAAUAUUGUAUCCCCUUCUUGUUCCACAUGCAAUAUGUUGUAUGAUGCUUAUGUUAUGCAAAAUGAUGUGAUGAUGUUAUGUUAUGCAAAAUGAUAUUUGUGUCGAAAAUACACACAUCCCUGCAAUAAAGCACACCAUCUUUUUAUAUCAGCGCUGACUUUUCGCUGUAAGCCUCCCUUAGGAGCUUCUUCGCCUUUUACUUUCAGCGGAAUCAGUGUUUAUUUUUCGUUGUAAGCCUCCCUUAGGAGCUUCUUCGCCUUUUACUUUCGGCGGAAUCAGCGCUGACUUUUCGCUGUUAGCCUCCCUUAGGAGCUUCUUCGCCUUUUACUUUCGGCGGAAUCAGCGCUGACUUUUCGCUGUAGGCUUAGAAAACUUACAUUGCGCUCCCUUAGGAAUGACUUUUUACUUCUUCGAAUAAAUUGCACUGUGUCCCUUGGAACAAAUUUUUGAUAAUACAAAGGUCCUUCAUGCCACCAUAAAUUCGUAUGCUUCAACAACUCAAGCCUAUGGAGAAGAUAUAUUUUCAUUAUAGCGAAAGGCGAAACUAUUACAAGAAAUUGAAAAACAAUAAAAAACUCUUAGACUUCCCAUAAUUGUUCCUUAUUAACAAAAAGGUAAUACUGAAUGUAAAAAUGCGAAAAAACUGCUGUCGAGGUAGGAUAUUUGUUAGUAAAUGUGCUUCGACUCUGGCACAGUGCUAUUGACUGUGCGAGCUUCGGACUCCUCUCUGAAGUCCCUCUGAAGGUGAAUGUGCUGACUCCCUUCUAGCUGCUGUCCUCGCUGCGUUGGUGGUGGCAGUGGAGGCUGUUGCCAAGAUGCUUGGGGUUGACUUGCUGAAGCAACAGAAGCUGCAGAGUGAUUGCCUACAUAUUCUGGGAUGUAAGGCGAAUGGUAUGAAGCAGUGUGCAUGACCUGCUUCGGCUGACUCUGUUGUGCUGCAGCCUCUGCUAUCUCCUUUUGCUUUUGGAUGGUGACGUGGCACAUCCUGGUGGUAUGGCCCUUGUCUUCGCCACAGAAUAGACAGUAAAUUCUUCUUGGCUGAUCCCCAAAUCUUCCCCCGAAGCCCCUGGCGCCUCUGCCCCUUGGCGCUGGCGGCCGAACAGAGCUUUGUUGUUGUCCCGAAGCUUGCGAAGAGUAUUGUGGCCUUUGCUGUUGGCUCCCUCUAUAAUCACUGAGUGGAGUUAUGAAUUGACCUGACAUGCCUCGUAUGAAAUCUUCCUCCGAAGCCCCUGGUCAUUUCAGAGAACCUAAAUGCUUCCUCCCUUCUUUGGCGGAAGUCGUUGUCGGCCCGGAUGUACUCAUCCAUCUUUUGGAGCAGCUUCUCCAAAGUUUGUGGUGGCUUCCUAGCAAAGUAUUGCGCUGAAGGUCCCGGCCGAAGCCCCUUAAUCAUGGCCUUAAUGACAAUUUCAUUGGGCACUGUUGGUGCUUGUGCCCUCAGAUGCAGAAACCUUCGGACAUACGCCUGGAGAUAUUCUUCGUGGUCCUGGGUACACUGGAAUAAAGCUUGAGCAGUAACUGGCUUCGUCUGAAACCCUUGGAAGCUGGUUAUCAACAUAUCCUUCAGCUUCUGCCAUGAAGAUAUGGUUGCUUCAUAGCUCAUCAAGAAUUGCUUCGGAUCUGUAUGACCGUCGUACAUGGGGAGCUGGGGUGGCUUGUAAGACUGGGGCCAUGGUGUAGCCUGCAAUUCUGUUGAUAGAGGAGAAGCAUCAUUGAAAGCAAAAUUUCCAUGAUGGAAAUCUUCAUACUAGUCUUCCUCAUUGUAGAAGCCUUCCUGAUGGAACUCUCUGCGCGGAGGCCUUCGGUUCUGAUCAUCUUGAACAAGAUGACGAACCUCUUCGGAAGCUUCAUCUAUCUAUCUCUGAAGGUCAGCUAAACGAGCCAUCUUCUCCUUCUUCCGUUGCACCUGUUGCUGAAGGAUCUCCAGGUUUUGGAUCUCCUGAUCCAAGUCGUCUUCCGGAGGCGUUGGACUAGCAGCCUUCCUCUUCUGGCUUCAGGCCUCCCUGAGAGAAAGGACAUCCUGAUUGGGGUCCAACGGCUGCAGAGUAGCAGCCCCUGUCGUUGAAGCUUUUUUCGGCGACAUGACGAAGGUGAUGCUUGCCGAAGGCGUUCAAGGCUCAAGAAAUGGAAGUGAGUUCACCGGAGGUGGGCGCCAAUGUUGGGGACUUGUUCUCAAAUGCUUUGAAUUAAGAACAAGGCAACAUAAAAUGUUAAAUAUCAAAGCCCUUCGUCCUUCGAAACAUUAUUUCCCCUUGGAUAUAAUGAAUUUCAGACGAAGGUUAUGAAGGUCAUACCUUCAUAAUUACAAUAGAAGACAAGAAAAGAUUUAUGCAUGAAAUAGAUAGAAUAUCAUAAUUAUUCUAAACAUUAUUAUUAAUUUAUUUCUAUUUAUUUUACUUGUAUAAACGAUGGCAAAUUACAGAUGUACCUUCGGUCUGAAGGAAAAUAAGGGUACAAGCGUGAUGCCAAUGCCAAGUCAGCGUGAACAGUACAGGAAUACUGUUCAUCUAUUUAUAGGCACGGGACGCAGCCCGUACAAAAUUACAUUAAUGCCCUUUACUUCUAUCAAUAACUCUAUAGUAAUUCUUCAAGGGCUGAUUUGGCUUUUCGUCUUUAAGUUGGUUUCCCCUUUCUGCUGUCAUGCUGAAGCUCCUCUGCACAUAGCUUCGUGAUCGUUUCAUCCUUCAUCAUGAUUGUCUUCCAUUUCAGUCAAGCUUCGUCUUGACCAUGCUUCUGUAUACCCGCAACCUGAUUCCGAAGAUACCUGCUCGCAUACUUAGAAAACAUUGUCAAAUCACGUUUUUGAGGACCUUCGGAAGCCGAAGGCCCCCAACACCUACCAUUUGAAGAUGAUGUCAAUCAGUAGCAUACCCUAGUAGAAGAACCUAUUUGCCUAGGUGUUGGAAGCACCAACUUCUGUCAAUACUACUUUUUUAUGGUAACAGUUGCAGAAAUGAGCUUACUCGAGCUAUAUCAAAUGUGACCAUAACAUUAGGUAAGACAUGAUUUCGAUUGUUUGCGGAUAGGGUGCUGCUUCUAAUAGUUGUCACCAAGCAAUGGUUAAUUUGGAUGUCUAGAAAUACUACGAGACAUAGAAUUUCAGCACCUAGAUUUUAGAGGGUAAUACACCAUCCCAUUUGUUAUAGGUACUGCAACAAUUUUUUGUCCAUAAACCAUAGUCCAUCCUCAGUAAAAAACAUGAGAUUGAGAAUCCAAGCAGAUAUGGAUAAAUAAAAGGAGUGUGGCUUCGGCGGGAGUGGCUCUGGAAGCAGCGCGUGGCCAUGCCCGCGGCCUUGUGGAGCGCCCGCUCCAUGUCGGCCAUGAUGCGCGCGGCGGGGCGCUCGUACAGCUCGACCCGUGCCGCUUGCCGCAGGAGCUCGGCGAGCUUCAUGGCGCGGGACCGUAGCUCCGUGUAGUCCGCCCUGAGGCACUGCCAGCCCACCUGCUGCAUACUACCCAACAACAAAGAAUGCAUAGCCAUCCAAGUGUUAGCUCUGAACAUUUGUGGCAUUAUUUUGGAAUAUAAUCUCCUUAAAGCCCUAAUAGGUGCUAUUUGUAAUAUAAUUGUGUCAACAUUUGGUAGGUAUAAACAUCAAAAGACUACAGACAUAUUAAACUGAAUAGUCACCAAACCCCAAACAUCUAUGAACUAAACCAUCGGUCCUUGCACGCGUCGCACUGGAAACACAACACCCGUCGGUCAUUGCUCCACGCAUGACAGUCGAUGCCAUUCGCCGUCGUGGUCGCGCCAGAUGCUGGGGAUGCCUAGAACAUGGCGUUGACGGGCUAGAGCCUGUAGUACGCCAGCAGCUUGCAGCAACCAGAGUGCGCCGCACAGUGUUAGUGUUACACAAGAGAAUAUCAAUUGAGUUUAAAUAUUCCCUGCAAGAAACAAAAUAGGCGGAUAAUGACUGUUUUUUUGUUUUGCGAUUAUGCAUAAACUCUGUGACAAGAACCAUGCAUUAGAUGAAAUUCAUAAUCACUAACUGAAAUAUGGACAGAAACCCGUAAUAACUGGGAAAUCAUCUACACGGGAGUUCUGAACCCAAACCCAAAGAAUCCCCUUCUCUGUUUAACUUGUGGAAUGCCGGUUGGGGACCAAUUCCUCACAUGAUUGAACUUGUGUCGCAUGAUUCCACUGCAUUUGCGCCAGAGGCCAUAGAGAGCACUGCACUUUUAAGCCUCCACCAGAUGCUCGAAAGAAUCUGUCGCCAAAGAAACAUUGGGAGCAGAAAAUUAUCCUGCUAUUUUCUACCAGCGGACGACAGAGGUAAGGGAAAAACAUGAUGACGACAGAGGGAUGGGCAGAGCCGACGGACCUAUGUAGGUGGGGAUGUCGAUGAUGUCGCUAAGCAUCUUCUAGGACAUAUGAUCAUGAGCUAGCGGAGCCGACGGACCUGACAUUGCUCGAAGAGCUCGAAGUGCGCAGCGAUCCACACGGUGCCUAGCGGGCUCUUCUGCGUGAGGACCGUGUGCGAGUAGAAUAUCCUCUGUGAUCCCCUCCAGGUCACCGAUAAAAUGAAACUACCUGAAGAAAGAUCCAAUAUAACUAUGCGAGAGAAAGGACCUCCUAAUCAUGUGAUGCGAAACACUGACAGUGACAGCCCCAAUCCAUACGAACACAAUCCAAGCAUACGAUGAUACAAUAAUAAUGUACUAAGGAAAAAUGUAUGGACUUUUAAAAAUGGUACUCCAAGAUUACCUUGCAGCAGAUCAUAGUUGACGACAACAACAUUAGUACUUGUAGGAAAAGAUGUGAGCCUAGUGGUCGCCAUGCUCGUAGCGGUUCCCCGCGACGCAGCAAGGGACACCGCCGCGGAAGUCGUCUCCAUGGCCACGCUAGCUCCGAAGCCGUACUGCAGCAACCCCAGCGUCGUGUUGUGCUCGUGCGCCGCGUCGCUUGCCACGGUGUUGGUCACCGUGGUGGUAUUGUUCUUAUGGUGUUGAUGGUGAUCAGCGCCACCCACGGGCCAGAACUGCCCGAGCCCCGCCGGGCCCCAGGCGCAUGUCCUGUGACAAGUGACAGUCGGCUCUGUCACCUCAUUGCACAGCCCCAAGAACGCUCCCGCAGGUAACGCCGCUGGUGGUUGCUGCUGCACGGGCACGUCGUGCCUAUAUUGCCCCCGAGAAUGGUGGCGACCUCGGCAGCCGACAGGAAGUAGCCUUGUGGCCACGGCUGGAAGACGGGCUCGUCGGAGGCUACAGGGUCCUACACCUUGUGCGCUAGCGGCGCCGAGACCGGCGCCACAGGGUGGGCUUGGUAGUAUAUCUACGCACACACCGCACCAAGCGGCCCUAGAAUGUCCAUGACCGCUGUCGUCGCGAACAUCGGCUACGGCGCUGGCUUGCUGGACCCAGAGGAGCGGUCGGAGGAGGACGAGGACGAGGAAGCUGGCGCCUGCGCCUGUGCGAGCGAGGCGAGCAGCUGGAAUUGGUUCUGGAUCAAGGGCAGUGGCUGCGGCAUGACGGGUGCCGCUGCCGCAGCGGCCCCGCAACCUGGCGUGCGCGCAAAGCCCAGCCCUAGUGUCCAGUGCGCAGCUUGUUCUUGGAGCGGGACUUGCGGUUCUGGAACCAAUAGAAGAAGUUGGCAUCACCGACCUGGUCGUACUCCUGCAGGCGCAUGCGGAUGCGGGGGAUCUCCUCGCGCGGCGGAUUGACCAUGCCGGAGUUGAAGAUGGCCUCUAGAAUCCGGAUCUGCUCCGGCCUGGGGUUCCACCGGGGCUUUGGAUCCGGGGUCCGCUCCUCGCCACCUACGCAUGCACAAAUCGAGAACCAAAAUAAUCAACCAGUACAUACGUAGUCAGCUUUAGUUCACCCCUCGAUCUUGAUCCCCGUCUCGCUACAAAUAAACACUACCUCUAAAACUGAUAGGUUGCAUCACGAAUGGGGCGUCCGCAUGGCAAUUGUCGGGGCGGGGAUCGCACGACAGGUAGGGGCGCGGGCCAUGGAUGGUGGCGAGGCGUAGUCCAAUGCAGAUGCGAGGUCGAGCACCAAGAACGACCGAUGCUAGGAGCGGCGGGAGCAGGGGCAGUGGUCGUGGAUUCUGGGUAUCCCGGGCGUGGCGCUGGGUGUGCGACGGUGGGGGCGGCCGCAGGGGCGACAAUCAUGGUGCCGAGGUCAGGGAAAUGGGGGCGUCGGGUGGGGGAGGCAGCCAUAGCGGAGGCAGGCAGUGGGGUUUUAGCAGAGAGAGGUUCGGUUGGUUGACUAGCGGAGCGCGCGGGAUGAGGACGGGGCGGGGGCAUGUGCUAUAGUCUACACUAUUGCCUUAAUAGUUAGUAGAGAUAUUAGUUAAAUCGUAACCUAAUUAAGAUUAGACAUUGGAAAAUGUUUUCUAUCAAAACAAAGGGGGUUAAGAACAUUGGAACAUACCUUUAAUUUAACAACACACCUAAAAUAAUAUCCCAUUGGAAUAAAUAAGGUGUGAAUCUCAUUUUGAAAGUAUUACCUAGAAUAAAAUAAUAAUACUAAAUAAAGUAAUUUAGUAUAAUUAAUGCACAUUAUGUUGGAAUUCCAUUUGUGCAUUAAGACUUGAAUUUAGAGCAGAUUUGGGAUUCAAAUUUGAAUUAAAAAUAGAAAGGAAAACAAUAGGAAAAAAAGAGAAACUCGCUGCUUGGGCCGACUUCUCCCCUGCGCCUCGACCCACCUUAGUUUUUCCCCUUGCAUGGCCCAAGUCCACGCGCGGCAAUGUGCUUGGCUCCAGGCACGAUCGCGUUGAGUCACUUGUUGGCGGGCCCGGUCUGUCAUCUCUCCCUCCCUCGUGCGCGCCGUCUGAUGAGGACAUCCUCCACUAUUACCCGUUGGCAAAGACAUAAUUGUCCCAGUUGGCCCAAUUGUAGUCGGAUGGUGACCGUGUGAGCCUCAGAAUUAUCCCACCUCGCUUAACUUGGGAGGAGGAAGCCACUUUAAAAGGGAGAGCCACCCUUCCCCCAUUGGACUAGUCUCUUGGGACGAUUGGGCCUUUCGCUGAGUUGGGUGUGCUUAAUAAACUGUUGGGCUCCAGGCAACCCUAAUUUGUUGGGCCUUGGCCAACCCCACCUGGGCUGGGUGUAUCAUCUGGUAUCAAAGCUAGGGCCCAUUUUAAGAAGGUGGGAAUGAUGAGGACAUCCUCCACUAUUACCCGUUGGCAAAGACGCAAUUGGCCCAAUUGGCCCAAUUAUAGUCGAACGGUGACCGUGUGAGCCUUAGAAUUAUCCCACCUCGCUUAACUUGGGAGGAGGAAGCCACUUUAAAAGGGAGAGGCACCCUUCCCACAUUGGACUAGUCUUUUGGGGCGAUUGGGUCUUUCCCUCAGUUGGGUGUGCUUAAUGAACUGUUGGGCUCUGGGCAACCCUAAUUUGUUGGAUCUUGGCCAACCCCACCUGGGCUGGGUGUAUCACCGUCACUGCUUGUGGGCCGCUCUAGUCAGCUGUGUCUUCAACAGAAGACCGAUCUGACCGGUCGGAUUUUGUUGAGGAUCGCGCAUGGCUUGCGGCCGUGGUAAACCCUUCCCUUAUUCCCUGUCGAGCUCCUACAAAUUUGGCCGUUCCAGCUCGACCCCAAUCCGCAGACCCCUCCUCCGAUUCUUCUAGCUUUGGCCGUUGCGAAUCCAUGCC